rnacentral:lncRNA from 1 species
AAUCAUAGACAUAAAAGUAUUAAUAGGCUCAUUCAAGUGAAAUGAGCAUUAUUUCACACAUCCUUUAGGUUUUUAAGUUAUUUAGAAGUCAUUCAUGUUAAAAAAAAAAUCAUAUACUUUCAAUAUAAUUAGUACAUACACAAUUAAUUAAUUAAAUAAAUUUGUUUCAGCUAAUAUAGGAACUUAAUUAAUCAAAGCUAGUAGUUAUAGCUAGGACUUGAACGAGGCACCUUUCAAAGUUCAAGAAGAGCAUCUGAACAGAAUGAAAGCAAUUUGUAGAAAUGGUAAUGAUGCUUUACAUCUACAUGCUCUUACACAAUAUGAACUUUCAUUUACUCCAAGCUCUUAUUCUACAAGUCAAUUCAGUUUGUAGACGCACGCCAUUGUAAAAACUUUUGUAUUAUAAUUUCUGAAAAUAGAAUGUAACAUUAUUAAUAUAGAAUCAGCAAUGUAUAUAACUUAUCAGACAAUAUAACAAGCACUUGGUGAGCAUACAAGAUAAACUAAAACAAGUUAUCUAGAAAAUGAAACUAAAACCCAAGCUCCGCUAUUCAUUGUAGAAGCUUUAAACAUAAAAUUAAAGUAAAUCUAAUAGCAAAACAUUAGAAUGGAUAUUGAAAUUAAAGCUAAAUUCAAUAGUAAUUCAAAUGAAUCCAUUUGAACUUUGUAAAUUCCGCAGAACAAAAUUAAUUUGAGUGAGCAAACUCACCAAUGGAACAAGAACACAGGGGCUUCAACUUGUAGGAAUAAAAAAAUAUUGCUGGCGGGACAAAAAUUGACAAUAACAGCUACAAUACGAAUUUUAAAAAAAAUCAAAAUCUAUAAUUACAAGCUAAGUAAGAGAAGAAACUCAUAAUCACAAGCUUAACUCAAAAGAUGAAGGGAGAACACGAUGAAGAAGAAGAUGGCUGGUGUUUUACGCCGUUCGCCGGCAACCAGUUAGGUUUACGAUGGUGGCUAGUAACACGGAGUCCAGCGAAUAGUUUUCUAACUGGAAAUAAAUUUAAAAUUCUAAAAUAGUACCGAACGGCUCAAGCUCUCUAUAUAGUUACUAAUUCAAUUCUCCUUCGAAAGGUUCUCUCUGUCCUAGAGAGAACUUUGAAUGGAAGAGUAAAAGGGUCCUCAUGACUCGAGUAGUCACUCACAGGUGAGUGAAGUAUUUCAUUUCGUUACCUUACAUCCUAGUUCAAGUAGAUAUUCAGGUCCUUUUAUUGGGGUGAGCAGAGUUGGUGAGGGGUAUAAAACACAGGGUAUUAACAACCAAGGCUGUACAUCAAUUUCUCUAUCUGUUAAAAAGAGAGCUUCCAUAAAUAUGGAUACUGAGGAACUGAUUAGGAAAUGCAAAGCUAGGGGAGGAUAAAGAAAAGAUAGUGAACUUUGAGGGAAGCAUGAGGAGCAAAGGAAGACAAGUAGUAGCUGGUUGUUUGGUGGGUAAAAUCCUACACAACAGGAGUGUUAAUCAAGAAGGAUUGAAGAGUGCGCUACAAAUGGUGAGGCGGACAACCAAAGAAGUUCGGAUUGAAAGCUUGGGAAAUAAUGUCUUUUUGUUCAAAUUUGCGCAAGAAGCAGACAAGAAAAGAAUCCUAGCAGGAGGUCCUUGGCAUUUUGACAGAGCAUUGAUAAUCCUCACAGAGCCAAAAGGAAUUGGGGAGGUUACUAGACAAGCCUUCACACAUACUUCAUUUUGGGUACAACUUCGGAAUGUACCAAUCAUGUGUAUGGAAAAGGACAUCCUAAAAGUGUUGGGGGAGCAAAUCGGGACUGUGGAAUAAGUAGAGACGAACGGAUAUGGAGAAUGUAUUAGUGAAAUUGCUAGAAUACGAAUCUCUGUUGAUAUAACACAACCACUGCCCAAAAUGAUUUUUCUCAGACUAGAAGGGGAAGAAAAAAUCCCAAUGCCAGUUGGCUAUGAGCAUCUACCAGACUUUUGUUUUUGUUGUGGACAUAUUGGUCAUAGCUUCAAAGAGUGUGCUCAGUACAAGGGGCAAGCUAAAGAGCAGCUACCAUAUGGGGUCUGGAUGAAAGCGAUCAAGAUAAGUGAAAGAGCAAAACUGAACCGCAGUAGAGUAAAUUGGAGUAGAAACCAUGGGAAAACCGACGGUAAUCCAACAAGUUCAGAGCAAAUUGACAAUGGGAAAUCGCAACAAAGGCGGGUUGAACCAAACCCAGAUAUGGUGCACGGGUCGAAACCAGCAAAUGAGGAAACGGGUCAAAUCAUUGAACAAGCUCGAGAUGCUGAGGUGGAGUGGAAAGCUGAUGAGCAUUUAAUGCAAGAUAUCGGAGGAUCGAAAAAGAAGCAAAUCAGGGACAGUAAGCACGAGGUAGCAGCUGACAAUGGAAAAUCUUUUGGAAAUUCGAGAUUUCAAGCGAGAAAGGAAAAUACGAAAGAGAGGGAAAAUGGAGGAGCUGAUUCAAUUGAAUUAGAUUCGGGUACAGUGGGCUCAGAACACCAAAUUCAAAAAACCAAAAAUCAAGCAAAAAAGGGAACAAAAAAAUAUGGUUUGGAUAAAGGGCCACGCAUGAACUACUCGAGGCCCAAUAGAAGGAAAUGGAAGCUGCAGGCUCGGGCAACAUGUAACAAGAGUGGAUGCAAGGCUAGUCCAAAGGUUUCAAAAAGCUCAAGUUGUCACCUAAUUGGACCAAGCCCAAAACACAAAAACAUAAAGCUUGUUAGCCCGAUUAAAUCAGCAAUGAAGCAAAAACAAGAAGGCUCCCCAGCAGCAAAGCUCAAACUUACUUGGGAGCCGUUGGCAGUGGAAGAAAUGGAGAUGGCAAUUCCAAGCUUAGAAGAGAUAUCGGCGGAGGCUAGUGGCCAGCCCCGCCGGAAGCCAUGAGGAUCCUUAGUUGGAACGUUCGGGGUUUGGGGAAUACCCGAACGUUUCUAGCAUUGCAAAAGAUUCUCUAGUUGCAUAGGCCUCAUCUUUUAUUCUUGUGUGAAACGAAGUUGUUGCCUGCGCAAAUGAACGGGAUUAGUAGGAAGUUGAACUUUGAAAAUUGCUUUAAGGUGGAUAGAAGAGGUAGAGGAGGAGGAUUAGUGAUGUUGUGGAACUCUGAAAUUGAAGUGCAAAUUAAAUCUUUCAGCAACCACCAUAUUGAUGCUAAGGUUCAAACUGAAAAUGGGAAGCACUUUCGAUGCACCGACGUUUAUGGCCAUCAUGAGGCAGGGCAAAAGAAACAUACUUGGACACUUCUGAGGCGGUUGGCAGGAUUAUACCCUUUGCCUUGGUUAUGUUUUGGCGACUUUAACGAAGUAUUGCAUCCUUAUGAAAAAACAUGAGGUAAUGAAAGAGAGCUAAGCUUGAUCAGAAACUUUAGAGAAGCUUUGCGAGAUUGUAACUUAGUUUGACGUGGGAUACAAAGGAUACCCAUUUACCUGGAAUAAUGGGAGAUAUGGGCCUCAUUACAUUGAAGAACAGCUUGAUGGGUUCUUGUGUAACAGGAGCUGGAGUGACAUUUUCUACGAUUGUGCAGCAGCUCAUCUAUCUACUUGGACUUAUGAUCAUUGUCCGUUGUUGAUAGAAGUUCAAGAAAGGGGGAGGGAUUAUGUUGGAAGAGAAAAAAAUCCACUCGAAUUCAUUAUGAGGAUUUAUGGAGCCCAUAUGAAGCUUGCAAAGAAAUAAUCAAGACUGAUUGGAGUAGUUACGGAAGCUAGAAUGAUGCAAAUCCCAUACCCUUAUUUCAAAAGGUGGUUAAAGAAUCAAUGGCUAGGCUGCUUGUGUGGAGCAAGGAAGAGUUUGGAGAAAGAGAGAAGAUGCUGAAGCAGAUUAUGAAUCAGCUGGAGAGGCUGAAACAAAGCUGCGUGCAAUAUGAUAAUGGGGAGGAGAUUAAGAAGUUAGAGGGGCAGAUUCAAGAUAUCCUCAUUGAUGAAGAAAUAUUUUGGAAGCAGCGAUCGAGGGCAGAGUGGUUGAAAGCAGGGAACAAAAAUACCAAAUACUUUCACUACAAAGCAUCAUCGAGGAAGAAAAAGAACCAGAUUUGGGGAAUUGAAAAUGGGUCAGGAAGCUGGACUGAUAAGGCAGAAGAGGUGGAGUAUGAGUUUUACGAAUAUUUCGCAAAACUCUUCACUACAUCAAAGCCAAGUCAAGAAGAAAUUUCGGCAGCAUUAGAAGGCAUCACGCCAAGAGUCUCAAAAGCCAUGAAUGAGCAUUUGGAGCAACCUUUUACACCGGAGGAUAUUACGGAAGCCUUAGCUCAAAUGUCUCCAAUAAAAGCUCCGGGACCAGAUGGUUUUCAAGCAGCCUUCUAUUAGAAGCACUGGAACAUGGUGAAGAAAGGGGUCAUCACAACCUGCCUCCACAUUCUAAAUGAGCAAGGUACUAUGGCUCCUCUUAACCAUACCUAUAUUGCUUUAGUCCCAAAGGUCAGAAAGCUUAAGAGAGUAACAGAUUACAGACCAAUUAGCUUGUGCAAUGUGAUCUAUAGAAUUGUGGCUAAAACGAUUGCAAAUAGGCUGAAACAUAUCCUCCAUCAAGUUAUUUCCCCAACAUAAAGCGCUUUUAUUCCUGAUAGGCUUAUAACAGACAACAUCAUAGUAGGAUAUGAGUGUCUACACAAAAUUAGGCAUAGUAAGGGAAAAAUAAAUGGGCUGGUAGCUUUGAAACUUGAUAUUAGUAAGGCUUACGAUAGAGUCGAGUGGAGCUUCUUAGAACAAGCCAUGACUAGGUUGGGUUUUUCUCCAAAAUGGGUGAAUCUAAUUAUGAGAUGUAUAACUACAGCGUCUUUCGCUGUGAUUAUAAAUGGAGUACCACGAGGAGUUAUCCAACCACAGAGGGGUCUGAGGCAAGGGUGUCCACUUUCUCCAUAUUUGUUUAUCAUGUGCGCAGAAACUUUUUCUUCUCUAAUGUUACAGGCGGAAAGGCAGAAACUCAUUCAUGGAUUAUCAUUCGGCAAAGACAUAAAUAUCUCGCACCUCCUCUUCGCUGAUGAUAGCCUAAUUUUUAUUCGAGCUUCGCCUACGGAUUGUCAGAAUCUGAAAAGAAUUUUUGACUGCUAUACUACUGCAUCAUGACAACUCUUUAAUUUCGAGAAGUCAUCAAUGUUUUUCAGCAAUAACACCAAAGUUGAGCAAAUUUCAGCCAUACAGAAUAUUUUUCAGCUCAAUGUGGUUUCAAGGCAUGAGAAAUACUUAGGUUUACUAUCAAUGAUAGGGAGGAAGAGAAGUAGUUUUUUCCAAGAUGUCAAACUCAAGGUGAUGGAGAAGAUAUCCAAUUGGCAGCAUAAAUUUUUCUCUAGUGGGGGCAAGGAAGUGUUGAUUAAGGCUGUGGCUCAGGCUGUUCCAGCGUAUGCCAUGAGCGUGUUCAAAGUUCCUCUUGGAGUUUGUGAUGAUAUUUAGAAAGCUAUUGCCAAUUUCUGGUGGGGAUCCAAAAAAGAGAAGAGAUGUAUUCACUGGGCGAAAUGGGAAUGACUAAGUAUAGCAUUUAUAAAAGAAUCCUUAGUCUUUCCAUAUAGAAGAACUUACAAAAUAAAUUAGUAAUUUAUUGUUGUGCAAUAAAAUAUUUUCAUGCAAAUAUAAAUCAACCCUUUUUCCCUAAUUUCUUUUUUACAUCUAAAAUUAACAUAUAAAAUAAAUUUUACCAAUAAUUCAAUUUUUUUUUAAAAUAUAAUAUAAAACAAAUACUAUAAAGUCACUGCGUGUGACCGUAGAUCAUCAAUUGACCUCAUUAGUUAUUACGAUUGAUGAUGAUCAGAUCGUACCCAACUUGGAGGAACUAUCACUAAGUGGAAAAGAUGUGAAGAUGAUUUUGCAGGCCGAUUUCCCACAACACCUUUUUGGCAGUCUUAGACAUCUAGAGAUUGCUGCAGAUGACUCAGCUUGUUUUCCAAUCUGGAACGUACUGGAGAGAUUUCACAAUCUCGAAAUACUCAUACUGUGUUAUUUUUCAUUCCACGAAGAGGUAUUUUCGAUGGAAGGAUGCUUAGAGAAACAUGUGGGGAAGUUGGCAAUGAUAAAAGAAUUAGAGCUGUACUGGCACUAUCAUCUGAAGCAGCUGUGCAAACAAGACUCCAAACUUGGCCCCAUUUUUCAGUAUCUUGAAAUUCUAGGAGUAUAUCAUUGUCAAAGUCUGUUAAUUCUAUUGCCAUCAUCAUCGGUAUCUUUUGGGAACCUAACAAAACUUGUAGCUUUCGAUUGCAAGAAAUUGAUACACUUAGUUACAUCCUCCACAGCAAAAACUCUAGUGCGACUCGUAUCACUUUGUGUAUACGGAUGCAGAGCAAUGACAGAGGUCGUAAUAAAUGACAAAGACGGGGUUGAAAAAGAAGAGAUUGUUUUCCGUAAAUUGAAGACGUUGGAACUGCGUGAUUUAGACAGCCUCACUAGUUUCUGCUCUGCCAAUUACACCUUUGAAUUCCCAUCUUUGCCAAUUUUAUUGAUUUCACUACAGGAGAAUCAAUCACGCCUCCGAGAGCAUACGUCUGGCAUGGAGAGACAGCGGGUCAAUGGCUUCGGGCCAAUAAUGUUCUUAACACAACUAUACAACAUUUGCAUGCUGAAAAGGUACGGAUAUACAUACUGCUCUCUAUCUCCCAUGGAAAAAUUUUACAAAAUUUGCUUUUUUUAAUAAAAUAUAGAUAAAAUGUUUGUUAUAAAGUAAAAGUUUAAAUUGAUGAAUAAGAAUUUUAUUUUCAGCUGUUGGCGGUGCCGUCGUCGUUCUCCACCCGGUACUAAUUUCAUAGGCUUCUUAUGACUUGGGAAUUGUGAAUUUUUAGAAGAAAGUCUCAACUAGUAAUUAAUUUUUAUUUCAUUUAUUUGAUCACAUGGCUUCUUUCGCAAUUUCAUCUGAAUUAUUUAGAAUGGGUCACUUGAUUUACUGUUAAAUUUGGAAUGUCAUUUUAAUGAUUCGUUCAGACUUUUAUGGACAGAUUUUGCAUCAUUGAAUGUCUUUUAGUCUAGUUUAAUUUUUUUUUUAUUUGGAGAGUUUCCCUUGUUUUCUAAAAUUGUAUAAUUCCUUUCAUACUUUUUAUGAUAAAAUUUCAUUAAAAGCCUUCAUAUUUUAUAAUUCCAUGAAAUCGUGCGUACUUUUUUCCUAUCUUUCUUCGCCAAUUAUUUGUUUUCAUCAUUGCUGUUCUGUUAUUUUAGUUUGUGCUCUGUUUGUUCAUUUGGUUUGGUUUGCUUCACACCUACCUUUCUUUGGAAACUUAGAAGGCAAAGGAAGUACUUAGAAAAUGCUCUUCCCUAUGAACACAUAAUUAAGAACAGCUGAAAAUCAUUCAUCGGAUAAAAAAAUUAAAAAUAAACAAAAUCUAAUCAGAGCAUUAUGCCUGGAACAAAUCCUUAAGCCAUCAAAGCAAAACUCUUCGCUAUGAAAAACUAUAUUGUGGAAAUAUUGUUUGAAAACGUUGGAUACCAAGAAAGGGACUAAUCUGGUCUAGUUUUAUGAGAAGUGCAGAAGAACAGUAUUUUCUCUGUUGUUCCUAUUAAAAUUCUUUACUCUGUGAUUGUAGAAUGUCUGGAUACUGAUGAAGAUUCAGGUAACUCUUCUUCUGUGCAUCAUUUGAAAUAAGGUCUUUUGUUUUUUUUGGGAAUAUCUCCUACUGGGUUAUAGCUCAUACAAAGAGAUAUUCUCAAAUGAAGCCGGAUACUGGUAGAAACAAGGGAGGAAGUUGGCACUGAUAAAAUGGAUAAUGAAGCAACUCCAAACUGGACUUCAUUUUCAAUAUCUUGAAAUUCUAAGACUAUAUUACUGCUUGUAAAAAUCUUUUAAGUCUAUUCCCAUGAUCAUCUGUAACUUUUGGGAAUCUAACAGAACUGGUGGUUUUCCAUUGCAAAGAAUUGUAACAUCCAUCCACUACAGCAGAAAGUCUAGUGCGGCUCGUAUCAAUGAAUGUAGCUGGAUGCAGGGCAAUGACAGAGGUGGUAAUAGGUGACGGAGAAGAAGAUGGAGCACCAAAUUUAAAUAGAGAUCGUUUUCAGCAAAUUGAAGACGUCAAGUCUGUGUGAUUUAUCUGUGUGAUUUAGAUAGUCUCACAAGUUUCUGCUUUGCCAAUUACGCUUUCAGAUAAAGAUUCUUGAAACUGUCCUAUUUAGAGCUGACAUUUCCACAAGAGUUAAGAGAAUAUAAAAAAUUCAUUAAUCGUUAGUUUUUAAUUUCAUUAUUCAAUGAAAGUCCUGUCAAAUUAAAUUGCCGCUAUUGAAUCUCUCGCUCCCCUUGCAAAUCUCUAUGUGCAAGUACCUAAAUUUACAAAUUUUACUUCAAAUUAAUGAAUGACAUAAUUUAUUUUCAGCUGUUGGAGGAGCCGUCGUCUCUCUCGACGCAGUACGAUAUGUUCUGAUCCCAUAGGCUUUUUAAUUUAUUACAUGGUGCUGUGAAAUUUGAAGAACAAGGUCCCAGGUAACUAUCGUUUUCAUUUCAUUUUGUUUGAUCUCUAAGUUUAUUUUAUCGUUUCAUCUAAAUUAUUUGCAAUGCGUCGGUUGGUUUAUUGUUAAUUUUGGAACAAAGUUGAUGCAACCAACGGUUGCAUAUGAUGAGUAGGAUAUCGCUCUGAGAUCAUAACUUGAAUUAUAGGUAUCUAUCUAGGGCGUAUAAUAUAUCAUUAAUCUAUUACUAUAACAUCGUAUUGGUCUCGUGGUCCAGCUAGAAAUUCUGUUUAUUUCAUAGUUAUUUUACAAGUUUAAGAUAUUUUCUUAUUUUUCUUAUUAUUUUCAAGAUUUUUAUUUUUUUUAUAAAUAUAAGAUUUAAGUACGAUUAUUUUAUUUUUAUUAGAAGAAUGUUAUUAUAUAAUAAUAUUUUAGGUUUGCCUAUUUUGGUAAAUUCGUAAUAUUUAGAAUUAGUAUAAAGAGGGUCCAAAAUCCAAAUUUUGUUAUUCAGACCUCUCUAUUAAUAAAAUUUCAGACUUUUCAAAAACUUGUGUUUCUCUAUAUUUUCAAUCUCAACGUCCAUGUUUCCGUUAUCAUAAAUUCUAAUGCCUGGUUCCAUCAGACCUCUCUAUUAAUUGAGGCUCUUGAAUAAGACUCUUUAUGACUUCAAUAUUUUACUUGAUAUGAAAAUUUCUUUCUAGAUAGAAUCAUUGUGAAGAUAAAUUGUGGUAUUACUGACAAUGAAUAAGUUGAAACAUCAACAGAGAUAAAUAUUGAGCAAUUAAUGUUACCAGCAAUCAAUUUGUGAGCACCAACAACCAUUUUCAUAUUUAAGCCGUUAGAACAGUAACACAAAAUAUGGCGAGUGGCAACCACACAAAUAAUCAAAUUCCUGAUAGAUUUUGAAAACUUUAAUUUGCUAGAUAUGUAUUUUAAUAUUUCAACAGGUGCAUCUUUUCUCUACUCAUGUGGCACGUUGAAUCAGAAACGGUUUGAAUGUCAAUAUUACUCCAAGUGCCUCAACCAAAUUCAGAAUGAAGAAAAUCAUCUGGUUACCUGCACUUUAGUUUAAGCAGCUGAUUAAGUUAAUUAGCACCAAGUAAUUCACAUACUAGUGAGAAAUUUCAUUAGUAAAUUCAUACCUGGGAGGAAACCAGCAUCUUGACGCUUUUGUGACCAAGAAAAUCUGCCAGAACCCCAAUUAAUGAAAAAAAAAUUAUAACAUCAUUUACAUAUAAUUUUAAAAAAUCAAUAGGACACUUACAGAGCACCUCCUACAGCUGGACCGGCAGUUUUGGUAAGCGACACCACUGUCAUAGCAAGUCCAUUAGCAGCUCCUCUUUGAUGCUGUUCCUGUUAUUAUACCAUAAACCAAAAAAAUAAUUUAAACUUUUGACACAUACAAAACUUGAAAAAGCUGAAAGCAUGGAAAUGUACUAAACAAACAAAAGAAAAUAUAUUUACCACUGCUCUGUUUUGCAGAAGGAACAAUCCAGUUAUUAUAGACACCUGAUGUUAUAAUUCAGGAAAAGUGAAAGAGAAUUACAACAUUUCUGAUAAAGAAGAUAUAAAAUAAUUUUUAUACAUACUUGCUAAUGGGUAAUACAACCUAAGUAUAUGAUGGGUGUCGAAGCCAACAAAAAUAAAUUCCUACUCUAAAUAAAUUGUGUAUAGUGAUUGAGCAGGGUCGUGUCCACAGAGAUCGGUAAUUAUUUAAAUCCUUUUGAAACGUAAAACGUAAAAUGGGGGAAUUGUUGACAAUAAUAAAAAUCAAAUUGAAAUAAACAAGAAUGCAAAUUAAAGUUGUAAUUCAAAUUGGAGAAAGCUCUGGUUGAAGGAAUUAACUCAGCUUGAUUCGACUACUGAUCAUUGAUUCAAAUAUAGAUUAUUAUUAUUACUUAUGAAUAGAUCGGUUAUAGCUACUGGGACCCUCUAAUAGCCAAUCUCUCCUUAACUAGUCGAUAACCAAGGUACGACCGUUGGUUAUUUCCCUAAUCAAUAGACAACCCUAGAUACGAUCAUAGGAUUUAAUCAAUUGACAGCCUGAGAAACCAGAGAGACCCAAAUCCUAAUCAACACAUAUGAUGAUUCAUUUAAAUUAGAUUGUUUAUUCUCACAACACAACUCUCUGCUAUGUUAUUUGUCACAAACAUUAAAUUCUUCAUACGAUGAAUCCUUUAAUUGACAAUAGAUUAAGUUGAUAAUUAAAUAGUGGCCAAUUACCUAAUUAACAAACAUAAUCAUGAAACUAAUUUAGAGAAUAAACAAAUACCCAAAAAGCAAUAAAACAAUUAAAGCACAAGAAAGAUCUCACAGUAGUGAUGAAUCAAAGCUUCAUUAUCCUUCAACCAGAAAAAUGGGUUUAGUUCCUUAUAGAGAGAAGAGAAAAAUUAGAUCUAGGGUUUCUUUUUCUCCAAUCCAAAAAUCCCCCUUUUUCACAAUAGAUUCCUCCCUUCAAUACUCUCUCUCUCUUCUCUUUUAGAAUUCUAUUUAAAAUAAAAUACUAAUAUCUGAAAUAUUAAAUUCGUAAUUACAAAAAUAACCAAAAAUACAAAACACGUUAAACUAAAAACUGCAGGUCCGCAGUUGACAGCACGCGCCCACGCCUUAUCAACAAAGUUCUUCUGACGCUCAGAAAUUUCUCCAAGAGAACAAUCCUCCUUAAACAUCAUCUUUUAGCUCAAUUUUAUCAUCAAUCAAUAGAAUUGCACCUACAAAAGUAAAACACAAGUAAAACAUUAUUAUUAAAUGCAAAACAUCGAUAUUAAGGGAAGUAAAUAAUGCAAAACUAGUGCAUAAAUUGCACUCUAACAAAUUCUCCCACACCAAGAUGAUGCUUGUCCUCAAGCAUAUAACUCAAGAUUAAUCCCAAAUCUCCACUCAAUUCUCAUCUCAACUCAUCCAAAAAUAAUUUUAAGCAAGCAUACCUCAAGAAAUUAAGUCGAUCAACAUUCGAGAGACAAGGAUUUUAAAGCAUAGAAUCUCAUAAGAUAGAAUAAGAACAUUCAACCACCAAGAAGAUCCAUUCAAAAUUCAAGUGCAACAAGAUGUAAUAGCCCUCUCAAUAACUUCACUCCAUGCACUCAAAGUGUUUAGGGUGUCAUUUAUCCACUCAAAUCAAAUCAAAGAAUGCUAUUACCAUAAGCUUGCUCAUAAAUCACAUCUCAAUCCACAAAACAUGAAUAAAAUGCAAAAAUCUAAGGGUCUUAAAAGGGUUGUAAUGGGGUUAAAUGGGUUAAAUGAAAAAGAAAGGUUUACGAAAGAAAAAGAGAUCAAAAUGAGAAGAAUGAACUCAUUGAAUGAACUUAUGAUAUCAAAAUGCUUAUUUCUACUCAAGUCACCAAGAAUGUAAACAUUUUUUUUUUCGAUUUUUCUUUUUCUUUUUUUUUUCUUUUUCUUUUUUUUUCUUUUUCCUUUUCUUUUUCUUUUUUUUUCAUUUUUUUUUGUUUUUUUUUUUUUCGAAUCAAACAAAAGAAACGAACCUUGCACAAUUGAAUUCAAGCAUAAUGCUUGUUGAUCUAAUUGAGAAACUUUAAUACAAGGUAGAAAAAGCAACAAAAUAUAUCCAUACAAUGAGUCCAAAAAUCUCCUUAAAUUGAGGCUCAAAAAGAAGAAAAAUGGUUAAGUAGACGGAGAGAAUUAGAUGGGUAAUGGUUAAGGCUCAAACAAAGGUAGCAAAUAAAGGUCUUCGGGUAAAGAAAAAUGAAAAUGCGAGAAUAGAAAAAUGGUAAAUGGUUUGCCCUUAUCAUUUUAAUGCCUAAAAUCCCGUAAUGUGGCUUCAACAUGCAUAACAAAGCAAGUUCUAGAAUAAACAAACUAGGAUUGAUAUUCACAUAACAAAAAUAAUUAGAGCAAAGUGGUUGCUCAUAGGCUCAAAUCCUCACAAAGUUGGUAAAUUUGCCAUCAAAUCAUGUACACUCUUCAAAUGAAUCAACCAUCAAUAGUGGUGUAGAAUGAGAAGAAGGUAUGAGUGAUAUAUAAAAGGAAAGGUAAAAAUGAUAAGAAGUGAGAAAGAUGAAAAGUGAAAGAUAAAAUGUGAGUGAUGAAAGAGUAUGAUAGAAUAAAAAUAGAUGUAAAUAAUUUGAGAUAGAUGGGAAAAAAAAAAAAAGUAGUGAGAAAUAAAAGAAAAGAAAAAAUAAUAAUAUAUAAAGCAUACUAACUCCAAAAUCAUUUAAGGAUGAGUAGAGUGAAAAAAAAAAAAGAUAAGUAGAGUGAAAACAAUAAUUCCAGCAUCAAUAAUGCAAAAAUCCCUCCCCCACACCAAGAACUUACAUUGUCCCCAAUGUAAGAUAAUCAAAGCUCACAUAAAAAUUAAAGCAUAAGGAUAAAAGUUAAAGGGCAAAAAGAAACUUCCCUGAAUUGUGAGCUUUGAUCCACAUAACGUCUAUGGGCUUGGCGGAAAUGGUGGGGUAAAUCCCACACUCUCAAAGUAUGCGGCCAAAUUCUGCUCCAUUUUGUUCAACUUGUGCUCCAUUUUCUCUAACUGAAUGCUCAAAGGUGGUGCGGAUGUAGAAGGAAUAGUUGGCGGGGCAACAGUGUCGUCGUCAAACUCGUCAUCAGAGGUAGCACCACUCCUAGCAUAAAGCUUCUUCGGAAGUUGAGUGGGUCCUGGUUCAGUAAACUGAAAUCUCCCCUCCUUGAAUUCAACCACACCUGUUCUUUCAAACACAAACAUAUCCAAAAAUUCCUUUUUGCAAGCAGGAUGCAAAUCAUUAUUGUCAGGAUCAAGCACACAUAGGUUUAUAGCUAACAGAGUAAUGUAUGGACCAAGAAAUAAAGUCCUAUACCGUUUAAGCACACUUUGAAAUUGAUCCGCUAACCAAAAACCUAAAUUAGGCCUCACAUCAUUUAACAUGCACCAGAUAAAAUAAAAUUCAGUUUUAGAGAAAAUUCCUGAGUGAUAUUUCUUGCCUAAAAAAUUAUAUGCUAAGAAUCGAUGCACACAUUUCAAAACAGGAUCACGUAAGAAAGAACUCUUUGAUUUACUCGGGUCAUAGGCAUUGUGAUCAACAGAUAAAUUACGCCAAAGACCAUAAGGCUCAAAAUUUUUGCUAAAGUCACAAGUUGUUCCUAAAUAUUCAUCACUAGUAGAAUAAUCAUCAUCAAUGAAUCCUAAAGCUAGGUUAAAAUCCGUGAUAGAGUGUGAAAAACUUCGUCCCAUUAACCUAAACUUAAUGACAUCCGGGGUAUGCAAAGUAAAAUCAUUCGGCAUAGUGAAUUGAAAAGUAGCAUAAAACUCCCUAAUCAACUCAACAUAACCCAAGCAAUCAACAUCAACAAACUUACGCAACCCAAUCUUAUCUAUCAAAGAAUCAAAAUUAUCUUUAACAUUUAAUUUUUCAAGAGUCGGGUAAUGAAUAUACUUAGCUGGAAGUAUUUUGCGCGUGGAAAUAUCUUUGUACCUCUCUUUCUCUUGUUGAGUCGCGAAUGCGAGGCACCCUCCGAGAUUGGAUUCCGCAAGUGGCAAAACACUCAUGCCUUUUUCAUGCUUCGAUCUUUGUCUCACGGCUUGGCGUGAAUCUGAAAUUAUGUUCCAUGGAACCGUAGUGGGAGCGGCAAUCUUAGAUUUCUUUGCGACGGGUGUCUUUUUCGACGACUUGGAAGUAGAUGCUUUCCUCUUCGGCAUUGUUACAAUAAUUGCACUCACGGAUUUCGAUUUACUCGGCUGGAAUACAGGGCGUAGGCUGGUUGUGUUGCGCUUGCUGCUCGGCUGGAGCUUGUUGCGCGAGUUGGGGCUGGUUGUGCGCGCUGCUGAGGCUUGCUUUGCGGGUGCUGGUUCGUUGCUGUGUUGCGCGCACGGGGCUGUUGCGCGGGAGAGCCAGUUCACGUUGCGGGUCUGCGUUGCGGAUCUGUUGCGCUGCGCGCGCGGGACUGAUGUGCUGUGCUGAGGCUGAUUCGCGCUGCUGCUGGUUGCGGUGCGCGAUGCUGUGCGCGGCGGCUGGGGCUGCUGGAGCUUGCUGCUGGUUCUGGGCGUACUCGUCUGCUGCUGCUGGUUGCGCGGUGAAGGCUGGAGCUGAUGCUGCUGUAAAACGAUAAUCAACAGUAAUUUUGGAAUUAGGGAUUUGUAAACAGUGAUUUUCGAUUUUUGGUUUUUUUUUUUUUUAUAUAUAUAAAUAAAUAUAGAAAAGAAAGAAAGGAACGAAAAUAAAUAAAUAAAUGAUGAUUUUCGAUUUUCGAUUUUUGGUUUUUUUUUUUUUUUUUUUUUUUUUUUUUUUUUUUUUAGUGAUGAAUCACUUUGAGACACUAAAAAUUUCAGAAGUACUUUUCUAAUAAGUACGUGGGCACGCCUUAUCAAAAAUUUUCUUCUGACCAAAAUAAGCAAACAAAUUAAAUUUCAGAAGUACUUUUCUAAUAAGUACGUGGGCACGCCUUAAAACUUUGUGACAUUAAAAAUCACAGAAGUACUUAUUAGUUAAGACGUGGGCACGCCUUAUCAAAAAUUUUCUUCUGACCAAAAUAAGCAAACACAUUAUUUAUUUUUUUUAAAAAAAAAAAAAAUCUGAAUCAAAAUUAAAAGAAGAUAUAACAAAAACCAAAAUAAAUAAAUCAUUUGGGUUGCCUCCCAAAAAGCGCCUUUGUUUUAUGUCUUUGGCUAGACACAUUUAUGCAUCAAUCUCCAUAAUUGGGACUCUCGAGAGCCACAUCCUCCAUAAUAUUCACCGAAAAACCUUCAUAAAAAGGUUUUAAGCGAUGACCAUUAACCUUAAAAACUUUGUCAGAGGUCGGACUCCGAAUUUCAACUGCACCAUGAGGAAAAACAUUAGUAACAAUAAAAGGUCCAACCCAGCAAGAACGUAAUUUACCCGGAAAAAGUUUAAGCUUAGAAUGAAAAAGAACUUUUUGACCAACAGAGAACUCCUUUAUCAAAAUCAUUCUAUCAUGAAAUGUCUUCGUCUUUUUCUUGUAAAAAACUUCCUGCACUAUAGGGUUAAUAACAUCCACAGAGAAUAUUGAAUGUUCCUCACUAGGAUAUUUCAUGGCAUCAUUCAUAUUGAAUUCUAUAACCUCUCCAUCAAACUCCAUAGUGAGAGUCCCUUUAUGUACAUCCAUUUUAGUCCUAGCAGUCUUAAGAAAAGGUCUUCCUAGCAAAAUUGGGACAGAAUUAGAGGAGUUAUCAUCUUCCAUAUCAAGUACAUAAAAAUCAGCAGGAAAAACCAACUCAUUAACUUGUACUAAGACAUCUUCUAAUACCCCAUCAGGAUAUGCAUUAGACCUAUCAGCUAGUUGAAUUAUCACGCCAGUUUCUUUUAAUGGACCAACAUUCAAAGAUGAAUAAAUGGAACGAGGCAUGACAUUAAUAGAAGCUCCUAGAUCUAACAUAGCCUUUUCAACUCUAACACUACCAAUUUUACAAGGGAUAGUAAACAUACCUGGAUCCUUGCACUUAGGAGGUAGUUUCUUUUGGAGAACUGCUGAAACAUUCUCCCCCAUGUGAACUUUUUCAUCUCCUCUUAAUUUUCUCUUGGAGGUGCACAGUUCCUUAAGGACUUUAGCAUAUCGAGGUAUUUGUUUUAUAGCAUCUAACAAAUGAAUAUUUACCUCAACCUUGCGAAAUGUCUCAAGGAUGUCUUUAUCUUGUUCCUUCUUCUUGGAUUUUGCAAACCGGCUUGGAAAAGGAGGAGGUAUCACAAUAGGUAGGGGUUUCGCUCUUGUGGGUUGUGCAUCUUGAGAUUGAGGCAUCAAUUCAUUCUUCUCAAGCUCAUCUUCUACAUGCUUUGUCACUUUCUUACUAGGCUCUUGCAACUCCGUCCCACUUCUAAGGAUGACAGCACUAACGUUUUCCUUUGGAUUCACCUCAGAUUGUGAAGGCAAUCUCCCUAAUACUUGAGACUCCAGACGGCUCACUGUAGUCGCCAAUUGACUCAUUUGGUUCUCCAAGUUCUGAAUGCUUGCUGUAGUUGCCUGCUGAAAUUGUUGAGUGUUAGUCGCAAGUGAUUUAACAAUUUCUUCAAGAGAUAUACCUGACUUGGAGUUUGACUGUGGAGGUGCUGGUUGUCUUGGUGGAUACUGUUGUGGGAAUCCUGAUUGCCUAACUCCAUAGCUGAAGUUGGGAUGAUCCUUCCAUCCCGGAUUGUAUGUUUGUGCAUAAGGAUCAUACCUCCUCUGAGGCAUGCCUGGAAAUCCUCCAACUGCAUUGGCUUGUUCAACGGGUUCUUCUUGAAGUGUAGGACACAUAUCAGUUGAAUGACCCAUAUUGUAACAAAUGCCACAAGUCUUCACCUGUUGCACAUUACCUACAACAAACUUUUCCACAAGAGAAGUAAGUUUAUCUAAACGUUGUUCAACAGAAGAAAUAUUUACCUCAUUCACCGUUCUUGAAGUGGCAUCUUGUCUGCUGCCAAAUUGUUGUGCAUUGGCAGCCAUAUUUGAGAUCAACUCCCUUGCUUGAGUAGGGGUCUUGUUCACCAACACACCUCCACUAGCAGCAUCUAUCAUACUCAUAUCCAUCAAUGACAGUCCUUCGUAAAAAUAUUGAAUAAGAAGUUGAUCAGAAAUCUGAUGCUGAGGACAGCUGGCACACAAUUGUUUGAAUCGCUCCCAAUACUCUUACAAAGUCUCCCCAGGAAGUUGUCUGAUCCCACAAAUAUCUUUUCUGAUGUUGGCAGCUCUUGAAGCAGGAAAGUACUUCUCAAGGAACUGCUUCUUCAAACCAUUCCACAUUGUAAUCGAUCCAGGAGGCAAGUAGUACAACCAAUCUUUAGCUAGCCCAUCUACAGAGAACGGAAAAGCACGCAGCUUAAUCUGCUCUUCAGUCACGCCUUGUGGCCUCAUACUUGAGCACACAACAUGAAACUCCUUAAGAUGUUUAUGAGGAUCUUCACCUGCAAAACCAUGAAACUUGGGUAAUAAAUGAAUAAGACCAGACUUUAAUUCAAAAUUUACCUCCAAAUCUACAUAUUGAAUGCAGAGUGGUUGCUGAUUCAAGUCUGGUUCAGCUAACUCUCUAAGAGUUCUUUCUACAGGUGCAGGUCUAUCCAUCACUUGUUCUUCUGAAUCACUAGAUGAUUCAACUAAAUCAGGCACCGUAUCUGUUUCAGAAAGCAAAGGCGACGAGGAUCGUUGCUUAGCUCGCUUUGUCUGCUGUCUCAGCUGGUGAGCUGUCUUCUCAAUUUCAGGAUCAAACGAAAGUGUACCUGUACGAGAAGAACGAACCAUACACCAAGUAAAACGUAAAAAGGAUUAAAUAAAUGACACCAAUCCCUGGCAACGGCGCCAAAAUUUGAUGGGUGUCGAAGCCAACAAAAAUAAAUUCCUACUCUAAAUAAAUUGUGUAUAGUGAUUGAGCAGGGUCGUGUCCACAGAGAUCGGUAAUUAUUUAAAUCCUUUUGAAACGUAAAACGUAAAAUGGGGGAAUUGUUGACAAUAAUAAAAAUCAAAUUGAAAUAAACAAGAAUGCAAAUUAAAGUUGUAAUUCAAAUUGGAGAAAGCUCUGGUUGAAGGAAUUAACUCAGCUUGAUUCGACUACUGAUCAUUGAUUCAAAUAUAGAUUAUUAUUAUUACUUAUGAAUAGAUCGGUUAUAGCUACUGAGACCCUCUAAUAGCCAAUCUCUCCUUAACUAGUCGAUAACCAAGGUACGACCGUUGGUUAUUUCCCUAAUCAAUAGACAACCCUAGAUACGAUCAUAGGAUUUAAUCAAUUGACAGCCUGAGAAACCAGAGAGACCCAAAUCCUAAUCAACACAUAUGAUGAUUCAUUUAAAUUAGAUUGUUUAUUCUCACAACACAACUCUCUGCUAUGUUAUUUGUCACAAACAUUAAAUUCUUCAUAUGAUGAAUCCUUUAAUUGACAAUAGAUUAAGUUGAUAAUUAAAUAGUGGCCAAUUACCUAAUUAACAAACAUAAUCAUGAAACUAAUUCAGAGAAUAAACAAAUACCCAAAAAGCAAUAAAACAAUUAAAGCACAAGAAAGAUCUCACAGUAGUGAUGAAUCAAAGCUUCAUUAUCCUUCAACCAGAAAAAUGGGUUUAGUUCCUCAUAGAGAGAAGAGAAAAAUUAGAUCUAGGGUUUCUUUUUCUCCAAUCCAAAAAUCCCCCCUUUUUCACAAUAGAUUCCUCCCUUCAAUACUCUCUCUCUCUUCUCUUUUAGAAUUCUAUUUAAAAUAAAAUACUAAUAUCUGAAAUAUUAAAUUCGUAAUUACAAAAAUAACCAAAAAUACAAAACACGUUAACCUAAAAACUGUAGGUCCGCAGUUGACAGCACGCGCCCACGCCUUAUCAACAAAGUUCUUCUGACGCUCAGAAAUUUCUCCAAGAGAACAAUCCUCCUUAAACAUCAUCUUUUAGCUCAAUUUUAUCAUCAAUCAAUAGAAUUGCACCUACAAAAGUAAAACACAAGUAAAACAUUAUUAUUAAAUGCAAAACAUCGAUAUUAAGGGAAGUAAAUAAUGCAAAACUAGUGCAUAAAUUGCACUCUAACAGUAUAUGGAUCAAUGAUUAGGAUAUCCACUUACAGAUUAAACAUUCUUCAUCACAGAAGCACAGUUUAUCAAUAAGGCAAGGCUGAACCCAGAUAACAUUGCUAUGUAAGUGUAACUUGUCAAAAGCGGUAUCGAUAAAACCUGUACAUACAUAGAAAAUUACGUCACCAAAUCCAUGAAGAAAAGUAUUUUAUAAACAAAUAUGUUUGAGACAAACUAUCAAAUGAUCUAAAUGCCACAUGGUGUGUUCAAAAUUUUACCCCUGCAAUGCGUGUUAUUAUUAUUGGCCCGAUCAUCCUCUCAACGUAAGGGUACAUAGUAAGUUGAAAAACAAGGAGAAUGAAAUCUAUAGUAACUUCAAAAUGAGGACAAUCGUCAAGCAGUUUUGGGGGGUUGAUGCAUGAGAAAAGAAGUUAAGAGGAACGAGUAACAUUUUCAGUUUCGUAAUAAGUAUAAAUGGGGAGCAAGAGUAUCAGUUUUGCACCUGAGAUGGCAAGAACUUGGCCAACAUUUUCGGUUGAGUAACUCAGACCCCCGUACUUCCACCGGCUGAUAGCCCACAGUGAAAAUAUCUAACAGAAUAGUUGCAAUAUUAUGAUUUAAAAAAAUUACACAGAUAAGAAAUUCUUAGGAUCAGUAAUAGCCAUAUGUCUUCUUUAUGUAUAAAACUCUCAACAAUCCCAUCAACAGCAAUAGCACCCUCUGUUUCAGGUAGAAGUUAAGAGAUAACUUUGCAAAUAUCUAACAGAAUGCGAUCUGAUCCAGGAUCCUGGACUUUAUUCAAGUUCGGGAAAGCCAUUGGUCAUUGGACUAUUAAACCAUAUGGCUUAAUAACUUUCCCGAACAUUAACAUAGUUUAGAUUUUGGAUUGGAACAUUUUUAUGUCAUAAUAAAGUAGAAUAUAUAUAUAUAAACAAUCAAGUAGAGAUAUUUAUACCUCGGUGUAAGCGAUAUCAUGAAGCGAGAAAACACAAUAAACAAUAAUAGAAGAAAUAAAGGGCCAAUUCUUCAUGAGGCUUUUCUUAGCAGUGGCCUCCUCACUUCCUUCAUCUUGUUUAAAUUCUGCAUUGGACCCACAGGAUGCGGAUUCCAAAGCAUCACAUGAUACAUCAAGUGAUACACCAUCUUCAUUGUGUUUGUGCAAUGUCUCACACUGAUCCAUAGUUGAGAGAGGCUGUGGGGAAGUUAAUGGAGUUGAAGGAGAGGGAUAAUGAUAAUGAAGAUUACUCUUCAUAUGCUAGUGAGGAUUAUGUCUACUCUUCUAGAGCAAUGACUGAUGAGGACUUCUCAUUCUCAGUAACUGGCUGAACUCAACUUAUUUUUUCUUUCUUUGGCUUUUGGCAGCUGAUGUUCUUUUUGGGGUUAGUAGAAGGAAGGAUAAAGCUGGCAAUUAAAGGAAGCCAUUUAUGUUAAUCUUAGUAAUUUCCCCAUAUAUAGAUAUAUCUUUGAAUGUUUUUAACUUUUGCAAGGUUCAUUAUGUAACGAGGCAGUGACACUGAUUAAACUUGUAUUAUUAUUAUUAUUAUUAUUAUUUUGAAUAGAAGCAAAUUGAUUGUGUUAUGGGUUUCUUUUGCUUCCCAUCGGAUUAGCAACUGGCACUGGCACCGGCAUGAUUGGCAAAGGCCAAGUUGAAGCUGCCUGCAGACUCUCAGUGGACUGAAUUACAUAUUACAUAAUACAAGUGAAAGGAAGGGACUCGUAAAGCUUUAUUGUCGUAGUUUGGAUAAGAUUAAGAAUUGCUGUCGCUUCUUGUCAGAUUGCAUUGAAACGCUAGUAGUCGCUGCUGCGAGCAUUGGUAUUAGAAGAUUAGCACAAGCAGCCCCUACCUAUCAUGGACUCUGAUGUUAUGGACCUUACGGAUAUCAAUUACCUAGUUAAAAGCUAGUUAAAAGCUACCUCCAUAUUUUUUAUUUUUACCCUAAUGCAUGUCUGAUUCUUUUAAAAUUUUACGUUAUAUAUAUUAAACAAAUAUUAUAAUUUUAAUCAUUGAAAAAUUAAUGACAGACAUCUUUUGAAUAAUUUUUUUUUUUAAAAAUACAGAGCUAGAGAAAAUGCUAUAAUUGAUUGAAUAAGAAGGCUACAACUUGAUGAUAACUUUAUUGCAAUGUUGCGUGAUCUCAAUAUAUUAUUGGCUUAUGUGUGAGUAAAAGUUGCUGGCUCCUGUUUUACUAAUUUGCCUUUGAAUUUGACUGGCUCGACAAAGAAUCGAUUUACCUCAUACUCAAAUUACAAACAUCGAAACCGGAUCUGUCAUUACGUUAAUUGGCCUCCUAAAAUAAUCAAUCACUUUCUCUUUAGUCUACCAUCCACGCUUUCCAGUCGCUUAGUUUCAUUCUAAUCAUCUAAACGGCUCUUUGCUACUGUUUCUUCUAUUUGUCAUUGUUCUUGUUCUGUUAUUAUUUAGCUUUGCUCACUCCUGAGUCUCAUUUCUUAUUCUGUACCCAUCAGCUCUUUUAGCUCUUUACGUCGUGAUAGAAACCCUUUUCUUGUUUCCUUCAUCUCAUCUGAAAAACACAAUUGCUUGUCCUAUCGCUGUCUCUUUGUUUUUACUUUCCUUUGGCCUUCUUCGCUUCUACGUUUUUGUCAGGAUUCGAGAUGCUGGAAAUCAUUGUGACUAUCGUCUUGGAACUUGUAAAAUGCUUGGCUCCUCCAACUGCACGCCAACUUGUUUAUUUGCGAUAGCGGAACUACAAUGCCAACUUUGAGAAUAUCAAGGCGGAAAUGGAGAAGUUGAAGGUUGAACGUACGAGCAUUCAGCGCAAAGUUUCAGAGGCGAAAGAAAAAGGGGAAGAGAUUGAAGAGAAGGUUGAAAAGUGGCUGGUUAGUGCGAAGUGCGAACGGCAUCAUUGACCGGGCAGCCAAAUUCAUUGAAGAUGAGGAGUCAACAAAUAAGCGCUGUCUCAAGGGCUUGAGUCCUAAUUGGAAGAGUCGCUAUCAGCUUAGCAAGAAAGCAGAGACGGAGGUGAAGGCCAUUAUUGAACUUGGAGAAGAAGUUAAGAAGUUUGAUACUGUUUCCGUAUCAUUCCGGAGGAGAUACGGCUCAAGUCUAGCAAUGGUUACGAGGCCUUCAAAUCAAGACUUUCUACUUUGCAGUCUAUAAAAAAUGCAUUGACUGAGGCGAAUGUCAGCAUUAUUGGGGUGUACGGCAUGGGCGGCAUUGGAAAUACGACAUUGGUGAAGGAGUGUGCUAGGCAAGCCAGGGAAAGGAAGCUGUUUGAUCGGGUGGGUUUUUCAGAGGUUUCACAAACUCCUAACAUAAAAAAGAUUUAAGGGGAAAUUGCAGAGAAGUUAGGUCCGGAGUUGUCCGACGAAGCUGAAUAUAGAAGAGCAAGCAGGCUGUAUGAACGAUUGAAGAGUGAGAAUAAGAUUCUUGUGAUUCUAGAUAACAUCUGGAAACAUCUUGAAUUGGAGACGGUUGGAAUUCCUUUUGGAAAUAAUCAUAAAGGAUGUAGACUGUUGCUGACAGCAAGAGAUAAUAAUGUGCUUUUAAGUAUGGGCUCCAAAGAUAACUUUUUGAUUGGCAAUCUAACUGAACAAGAAGCCUGGAGAUUGUUUAAGAUAAUGAAUGGUGAUGAUGUUGAAAAUUGUAAGUUCAAGUCUACAGCAAUUAAUGUAGCUAAGGCAUGUGGAGGUUUGCCAAUUGCGUUGAGGGCACUGAGAAACAAGAGUCUCCAUGAAUGGAAGAAUGCCUUGCGAGAGCUCCGAACGCCUUCAAUGGUAAACUUCGAAGGUGUGCCUGCAGAGACUUAUUCAAGUAUUGAGCUGAGUUUCAAUUAUUUAAAAGGUGAGCAAGUCAAGAAAAUUUUUCUGCUUUGUGGACUAGUAGGUAACAGUGUUUGGUUUUCAGACUUAUUUAGAUACUCCAUGGGUUUGGGCAUAUUUCAAGGAGUCAACAUUCCCUUCAUAUUUACCAAAGGUAAGUGAUAAAUCCUACAUAUCCCACUCAAGAAUGCAUAAGUUUCUUCAAUCUCAAGUACCUAAAGUUUUCUUCUACGUUUAUAAAAAUUUCAGCACCAUCUCCCUAUAAUUCUCCAAGCUCACGACAUAGCUAUAUAAGUGUUUAUGCGUUAUGCCAAAACAACACAUGACACCCGCUCACCUAGAACGUACCCAGAGAACACGAGGAGCAGCUACCGAAAAAGCCAUAUUUACGUGGGAAAAAAACUUCAGCUACUAGCUACCAGAGAGACCUAUGCAUUCCCAAACUGUCCAAGCCUGGACAAUUCAAGAAUUAUUAAUAGACAUAUGAUCCUCACUAUCAUCCAAAGAUGACACUAAUACAACAUGUGUCUAUUAAUAAUUUCUUAAACAAGUCUAAGCUUUCAAUGCACGUAUCAAAAGUUUAAAAUUGAAUCUGAAAUUUGAAUAACACAUAAAUAUCAUAAAUCUCUUCAAUUUAUUCCUGAUACAAUGUAGCAUUAUUUCAGAGAUCAUUUCUUAAGCAAAACCAUAAAAAAUACAAACGAUAAAUACAUUUUCCCACUGAUGCAGAUUAUGUUUACUGAGCAAUAAGUUUUAAGCCAUUCAUGUUGAAAUACUUCUGCCUGUUCUUUCAACAUAUAACUAGUACGUACACACAAUUAAUAAAUUAAAAAAAAAAAAACUGGUGGUGAAUCUGCAAAAUCUUCCUUUUUUUCUUUUUUUUUCUUUUUCUUCUUUUUUUGGGGGGGGGGGGUGUUGGGGGAACUAUGAAUCUUGCAAAUCCUCAAGAAGCUAUGUUAAGACAAGGCCAGCUUACUAUUAGGGUAUGAAAGAUAAAACCUUUUAUUUCCUUUUCAGAAUAAAAAGAACAUUGACAGUGUUAAAAAAAUCUAGAGGAUUUCAGGCCUCCAGAUCCUUACAAAUCAAGGAUAUUAAAAAAUUUACUUAGAGGAGAAUGGUUAUGCUCAUUUGUAUCUUGUUAGAAGAAAUUGAUCCAAAGCCUCAGUUUUAAUUAGCUUCAUAUAGCCAAUGAUUAGGUGUUUAAAAACCAAUGAAUAUUUUUAUAAGAAAUCGACAAUAUUGUUGAAAGAAAAACCAAAUAAAAAUAAUAAAGCCAAUGAAUAGAUCAAGGCUCUUUGUGGUCUAAAACUAAUCAAACUAAGUUGUGGGCAAAGGCGAAUAUGUUUGUUUGGUCAAUAAUAAGCUCAACAAAUCACUAAUAAUCACCUAAUCACUAUUCCUUACGCUAUGCAAUAUAAUGGCCUGGGUAAUGGCGCCAAGGCAGACAUUAACUAGCUAGCCAGUUAUGAUAGUUGAUUAACUUAACCUACUGGAAAUCUGAAGACCAAAACGAAGAAGCUUUGUCUAGAACUAGAAUAGGAACAUUCGUACCCAAAACUAAUAUACACAAUUAAGAAACUUGAUUAUAUGUAUAUUUCUGUUGGCCACACUUAAAGAGAAUUUUCAAAAGAUGCUAAGGUACACCAAAUCCCACUAUUUCAUACUCAUAAACACAAAAAACCAUGGCAAAAAUUAAUGACUAUAUCAAAUAAAAUCGGUGAUAGGACAUUGAGAUUAGGACAACUUGAUUUGUAUACCGUAAAAUAACUAUAUCUGCAUGGUGAACUAUAUUUCUGUUAGAACUCUGAAGUUUUCUAUUAAGUUUUUUUCUGUUAGGUAAACCACUUAACUGAAGUGCUUAAGCCAAUAUUGACAAUCAUAGACAUAAAAGUAUUAAUAGGCUCAUUCAAGUGAAAUGAGCAUUAUUUCACACAUCCUUUAGGUUUUUAAGUCAUUUAGAAGUCAUUCAUGUUAAAAAAAAAAAUUCAUAUACUUUCAAUAUAAUUAGAACAUACACAAUUAAUUAAUUAAAUAAAUCUUUUUCAGCUAGUAUAGGAACUUAAUUAAUCAAAGCUAGUAGUUAUAGCUAGGACUUGAACGAGGCACCUUUCAAAGUUCAAGAAGAGCAUCUGAACAGAAUGAAAGCACUUUGUAGAAAUGGUAAUGAUGCUUUACAUCUACAUGCUCUUACACAAUAUGAACUUUCAUUUAUUCAAGAACAUAACACUACUCCAAGCUCUUAUUCUACAAGUCAAUUCAGUUUGUAGAUGCACGCCAUUGUAAAAACUUUUGCAUUAUAAUUUCUGAAAAUAGAACGUAACAUUAUUAGUAUAGAAUCAGCAAUGUAAAUAACUUAUCAGACAAUAUAACAAGCACUUGGUGAGCAUACAAGAAAAACUAAAACAAGUUAUCUAGAUAAUGAAACUAAAACCCAAGCUCCGCUAUUCAUUGUAGAAGCUUUAAACAUAAAAUUAAAGUAAAUCUAAUAGCAAAACAUUAGAAUGGAUAUUGAAAUUAAAGCUAAAUUCAAUAGUAAUUCAAAUGAAUCCAUUUGAACUUUGUAAAUUCCGCAGAACAAAAUUAAUUUGAGUGAGCAAACUCACCAAAAUUAAAAAGAUAUUGCUGGCGGGAAAAAAAUUGACAAUAACAGCUACAAUACGAAUUUAAAAAAAAAAUCAAAAUCUAUAAUUACAAGCUUAACUCAAAAGAUGAAGGGAGAAUACGAUGAAGAAGAAGAUGGCUGGUGUUUUACGCCGUUCGCCGGCAACCAGUUAGGUUUACGAUGGUGGCUAGUAACACGGAGUCCAGCGAAUAGUUUUCUAACUGGAAAUAAAUUUAAAAUUCUAAAAUAGUACCGAAUGGCUCGUUGCCGUCACGUGGUUAGUAACAUAUGUGACCGCAGUGUGGCCGUCACAUAAAAGGUAUUGGGGUUACAAAGUUAGUGAUAUACGUGAUGGCUGCUCUUGCAUUCACAUUAGGGAUCACAUAUACCCUAUUUUCUUGUAGUGCAUGGUAAAUUCUAUUUGAAAAUUGCUAAGUAUUUUAGAUUUGUACGAAUUCAUUUUUGUGUGCUCAUUGGAUAAUAAUAUAUAAUAAAUUAAAUUUUUGGUGUCAACCAUACCAUACCAUACCAUAAAAUCAAAUUUUAUCGUGUCAUUCUUCUUGGUUCAAAUUUUUGGAAACAAUAAUCAAAUGCAUCCAUGAACUAGUAUAUUCCGACAUAUAUAUAUAUAUUGAAAUUUUAAUAACAACAAUUGGGCCAAGCAUAUGUUGGUACUUGAAGAUUUAUAAGCUCCAUCCUUGAAAAAAAUAAGGCUUGACUGUUCUCAAUCUAAAAUUCUUUUUGUUUUAAGUUCUUAAUUAAGCUUUCUUGCUUGUUUUCAAGAGCCAGUUUUGUAAUGAUCGACAAACAUGACUUGCAUAUACUGCACUUGGCUUUUAUGUGUCACUUAUUAAUUAGAUUUAGAUUUUAUGUCUCAUGCACUCGCUAAUUAAGCUCUUAAUUAAGUGCUCCUUAUAUGGAUAUUGUGUCAAAACAAGUGCUUUCCAUACGGAUAUUGGAUCUAAAGAGAAAAUUAUCUUUAGGUAGUGUUGCCAAAUUUGGAGGCUUUGGAGCUGAAUGCUAUUAAUGUCGACGAGAUUUGGCAUGACAAUCAACUUACGGCCAUGAUUACUUGCUUUCAAAGUUUGAUACGAUGGAUAGUGUGGGGCUGUGACAAAUUAAAAUACAUAUUUUCAGCUUCUAUGAUCUUAAGCCUUAAGCACCUCCAACACCUGGAGAUACGGAUAUGUAUGGGUUUACAAGAGAUCAUCUUCAAAGACAGCAGAUCAAGUGACCCCAUAUUUUGUCUUUCCACAAGUGACCACUGUGAAUCUCGAAGGUCUACCAGAACUCAGAUGUUUAUACCCUGGAAUGCAUACUUCAGAAUGGCCAGCACUAAAAAAAUUGGAGGCCUGUAAUUGUGAUAAAAUAACGUUGUCCCAGAAUAACGAGAAUGAUCAAUUUGGUAUUCCGCCACUACAACCCCUGCUCUCGUUCAAGAAGGUAUGAAACCAAAAUUUAGAUUUUUUUUAUCAAUUAUCUUUGUUGUUCCUCACUCACAGAUCAGGAGGUUUAAUAACUACCUAUAUGGAGUUUUUUUCUAGUGGGAAUGCCCUUAUUUUUUACUUUUUUCAUGCGGAGAAGCUUUCAAAUCCCUCGGUUUAAGAGCGUGUUUGUAAUGAUCCACAAACAUGAUUUGCAUAUACAGUAUUGCACUUGGCAUUUAUGUAUCACUUACUAAUUAGAUUUAAAUUUUAUAAAUUAAUUAAACUGAUUAAUAUUUUAUAUGUGCACUGAAUGAUAGAUACUACAUAAAUUGGGACACUAUAACUACGUAUCCCAACUAUGUAAUAUUUGUUUGUCACAAACCCAAUCAUGACCUGAUAUUCUGAAUAUUAUUUAGGAUACCAUUUCAAGCCCCAUGAGGGCUCUUUCCAUUUUAAAAAGUAUGAAAUAGAUGUAGAUUUUUCUUUAGAUAUUAUCAGUGAGAGUACCUUUGGUGGCAGUGGUCCGGGAUGAUUUGUGUUAAGGAAGCUCAUUGAGCACGUGUGUCAAUGAUGAGUCAGCAGUUAGUUGGGUAAAGAAGCCAGCUCAGCAAAUCUGUUAAUCAUGUUUUACGUUCUGUUCUUCAGUUGUUAGUAAUGCUUUUAAUUCUGUUGAGAUAUGAGUUAGUAUAAAUAUGUUGUUAUUGUAUUUGUAAUUGUGAACGUGAGAUUCAAUAAAAAAUAAGUAGUUUCUAAGGAAAAAUCUUAUCAUUAUUUUCUUAGCUUCCAAACAACUUUUACAGUCACAAUUCAACUUUCAAACAUGGUAUCAGAGCCAGUAAGAGCAAGCUCUAGUGCUCAGCAAACAAAUCAACAAAGUCAAAUAAAUUUUUCUUUCAACACUCCAAUUAAACUAGAUCGAUCGAACUAUCUACUUUGGCGUUUUCAAGUUUUUGCUUCCAUAAGAGGCAAUCGAUUGGAAGGCUUCAUCAAUGGAACAAAACCAGCUCCUGAAGAAUAGUUCACUCAAGUUGUAGCUGAUGGAUCUAUUCAGAAAAUUGAUAAUCCAGAAUAUCAGAAUUGGAGAUCACAGGAUCAAACAUUGCUUGGAUGGAUGCUAUCAUCAAUAAGUGAAGGUACUCUAAAUCUUGUCAUAAAUUGUGGUAGCUCGUUUGAUGUUUGGAGAACUUUAGAAAAGAAAUUUGGUGUGCAAUCUGAAGCUAGGGUUCUUCAACUUAGAUAUGAGUUGAAUACUCUUAGGAAGGAAUCAAUGAGUAUUGAAGAUUACUGCAUCAAAAUGAAAAUUGUAGCAGAUAAGCUUGCUAGUGCUGGAAGUCCUAUAACAGAGAAAGAUCUCAUGCUGACAAUUCUUAAUAGCUUAGGAGCAGGUUAUCGUGAUAUUGCUACCUUUAUAACUGGCUCAAAAAUGGACUAUGAUGAUGCUUAUGCAUUAUUAUUGACUCAUGAAACCAGACUUGAACAAGAGCAGAAUGAUAAAAGCAUGUUUAAUGCAAAUUAUGCUUACACAAAUGCCUAUUAUCCAAGGGCAUUCUAUGCCCAAUCUAGAAAUAAUUUUAGAAGAGGAGGAUAUGCUGGUGCUCAGUUUGGUAAUACUGGUAGAAAUCAUACUGCUGGAAGAGGAAAUAUUUUUCAGUCUCCAAGGAUGUUUACUGGCAAUCACAGAGGUGGAUAUGGAAGAGGACACUCAUUUGGCCCAAAUAAUGUUAACUCUUUUCAUGCACCUAGGAAUCCAAUACAAUUUACUAGGACUGGAGUCACUAAUAUGAAUGGACCUCAAGGAAUUCCAAGUAAUGCAGAAGAAUUGGUUUGCCAGAUUUGCUUUAAGCUGGUCACACUGCUGAUAUUUGCUGGCAUCGAUUUGUGGAGGAUUAUGUCCCUUCUUCAAGAAGUCUAGGCAGAGGAAAAGGACCAAGAUCAGCAUAUAUUGCUAAUUUUGAUGGCUUUACAUAUCCAUAUCAAGGUUAUGAUAACUAUGAUAAUCAUCCUGCAUCUGAGACAAGCUGCUAUUCUGGAAUUGAUAACUAUGCACCUACAGAAGCUUAUGUGGCUAAUUUUGAAAGCUUUGCUGAUGAUGGCUGGUAUUUGGAUAGUGGGGCAACUCAUCACUUGACCAACAACAUGGAGAACUUGCAUUUUAAGGAAGACUACAAAGGUACUGAUCAACUCAUUAUUGGAAAUGGUCAAGGUCUGUCAAUUUCUCAUAUUGGUCAUGCAUUUUUAUCAUUUAGAGCUUCAAAACAUCCUUACACACAUGCCUCCACUAUAGCACUUAAAGAUAUGUUACUUAUUCCUACAAUCACUAAGAAUUUACUAAGCAUCUCCAAACUUACAUCUGAUAAUUCACUCUCUGUUGAAUUUUGUGGAAAUGUUUGUUAUGUUAAGGACAUGAAAGGGCAAGUUCUUCUGCAGGGCCUUGCUGAGAAAGGUCUUUACAAGCUGUUGAUGAAAUCUUCUUCCAUGUCAUCUUCUGCUUAUCAUACAUCACCUGCCUUUCAUCUUUCUCAACUUCAGUCACAUAAACCAAUAUCCAUGCUGUCAUGCUCAAAUGUGUCUUCUAUUUCUCAUCAUUGUAAUGUCUCAACUUCAGUCACAUAAACCAAUAUCCAUGCUGUCAUGCUCAAAUGUGUCUUCUAUUUCUCAUCAUUGUAAUGUCUUUGAUAAGACUUGUUUCAGCUCAAUUUCAAAUAAGUGUAACCAGAAACAUGAUGAACUUAUCUUGUUACACAGAAAGUUUGGUCAUCCAAGCUCAACAGUAUUGAUGCAUUUGCUUAAGACUUGUAAACAAGUUAAAGUCUCUCAAAAAUCAAUUUUAUCUCCUGAGCAUUCUAUGUGUGAAGCAUGUCAAUUAGGAAAAGCUCACAAGCAACAUUUUUCUACAACCGAAACCAAAACAACUCAAGUAUUAGAACUGAUACAUACUGAUCUGUGGGGGCCUUCACCUACUACAUCUAGAAAUGGUUUCAAAUACUACAUUAGCUUUGUAGAUGAUUACAGUAGGUAUACCUGGAUUUACCCACUCAAACUCAAAUCAGAAGCUUUUGAAGUUUUCAAAUUAUUCAAAAUCCAAGUAGAGAAUCAGUUCAAUACCAAAGUCAAGAUGCUGCAAUCUGACUGGGGGGGAGAAUAUAGAGUUUUUACUAACUUCUUAAACCAGAAUGGGAUCAUUUUCAGACAUUCAUGCCCUUACACACAUCAUCAAAAUGGUCUAGUAGAAAGAAAACAUAGACAUAUAAUUGAGUUAGCUUUGACUCUCUUAGCUCAAGCCAAUCUUCCUUUUAAAUUCUGGUGGGAAGCUGUUCAUACAGCAGUGUAUCACAUAAACAGAUUACCAACACCUGUAUUGAAACUCUUAUCUCCAUAUGAGAAGCUCUUUAAACAUAAACCAGAUUACAGCCUCCUUAAAUGCUUUGGUUGUCUUUGUUAUCCAAACUUGAGAGAUUUUAACAAACAUAAAUUUGACUUUCAUACCAGCAAGUGCAUCUUUAUUGGUUAUAGCUCAUCUCAUAAGGGAUAUAAAUGUCUUACAAGCUCAGGUCGAGUUCAUAUCCUUAGACAUGUUGUUUUUUAUGAAAGUGUAUUUCCAUAUACAACAUUCUCUGUUCCUUCUUCAUCUGAAAAUGUUGCCAACUCAGAAACACCAGUGUCAAAUUUCUCUAAACAGCAAGUCUAUCAUCUUUUAACUCUACCCUUAUUCAACAGCAGUUUUGAAGAUACUUUCUCAGCAGGUGUACCAAGUGAUGAACAAACUCCUGUUUUGCCUGAGCAUACAGAUAAUUUGAAUCAACAAGAAUCAUCUAGUUAUUCUUUAUCAGAACCAUCAAUAUCACAAGUUAUCCCUCAAAUCCCUGAAUCUACUCAAACACAACCUGAACCACAAACAAGCAAUCAACAACACUCAGAAUAUAAUCCAAACAGAAUUCAGAUCUCACAACCUACACACAAAAUGAUUACCAGAUCAAAGUCUGGAAUAUUCAAGCCUAAGUUAUAUACAGCCACCUUGACCAACAAAGAACCUGACACAAUUCAAAAAGCUCUGAAUGAUAAAAAUUGGUAUAAGGCCAUGAAAGAGGAAUAUGAAGCUUUGAUCAGGAAUGAGACUUGGUCUCUUGUACCACCUCCAGCUGAAUACAAAAUAGUUGGAAACAAAUGGGUGUUCAGGGUUAAACAAAAUAGUGAUGGCAGUAUAGCAAAGUACAAAGCUAGAUUGGUUGCUAAAGGUUUCCAACAAACUGAAGGGAUUGAUUAUUUCGAAACUUUUAGCCCUGUUAUAAAGGCUUCCACAGUGAGGGUUAUAUUAAGCCUGGCUGCAAUGCAGAGUUGGAUGAUCAGACAGGUAGAUGUUAAUAAUGCUUUUCUGAAUGGUGACUUAACAGAAGAUGUCUACAUGUGUCAGCCUGAGGAUUUUGUUGAUGAGAAGAGAUCAGGCUAUGUAUGUAAGUUGAAGAAGGCUUUAUAUGGUUUGAAACAAGCUCCCAGAGCUUGGUUUGAUAAACUAAAAGGCUGUUUGGUUGCAAACUGGGGAUUUCAAAAUUCCAGAGCUGAUACCUCACUAUUCUUUAAAGGAAAACAAGAUUCAAUGAUAUUAGUUUUGAUCUAUGUUGAUGACAUACUGAUAACAGGGCCUAACAGUGAUGAACUUGAAAAGUUUAUUUCAGACUUCAGCAAAGUGUUUGCAUUGAAAGAUUUGGGAAGACUCUCAUAUUUUCUGGGUAUAGAAGUAUCUUAUGCUGAGAAUAACAUUUACUUAUCUCAAAGAAAAUAUGUUAGAGACCUGCUAAGUAAAGCUGAUAUGCUUCACUGCAAAGGGUGUGAUACACCAAUGGUUACAGGGACAAAACUUCAAAAGGAAGCUAAGGGAUCUUUGGGUCAGCAUGUUGAAGAUGCAACAAGUUAUAGAAGUUUAAUUGGAGGGCUGCAGUAUUUGGUUCUGACCAGGCCAGAGAUAGCUUUUGCAGUGAACAAGCUAAGCCAAUAUGUUUAUACACCUACACUACAACAUAUCCUAGCCUGUAAGAGAAUGCUUAGAUAUUUGAAAGAGACAGAAGACUAUGGAUUAAAGUUUUCAGCUGAUGGAGAAAUAAAGUUAACAGGUUUCACAGAUGCAGAUUGGGCAUGUGAUAUUGAUGAUAGGAAAUCAACAGGUGCAUACUGUAUUUACUUGGGAAAUAACUUGAUCUCUUGGUCAUCCAAGAAGCAAUCCAUAGUUACAAAGUCAAGUGCAGAGAGUGAGUACAGAGCUCUUGCUUCUGCAAGUGCAGAAAUUACAUGGUUACAGUCAUUGUUCAAGGAACUCAAGAUUGAAUGUAUUUCAGUGCCCACAAUCUGGUGUGACAAUAUAAGUGCAACUGAGCUGGCCAAAAAUCCUGUCUACCACUCGAGAACCAAACACAUUGAAUUGGACAUGCACUUUAUAAGAGACAAAGUGUUAGCAAGAGAGCUGGAAAUCAAUUACAUUCCCAGUGAAGAACAGAUUGCAGACAUCUUGACCAAGCCUCUCACAUUCACUCAAUUCAAUUAUCUCAGGAGCAAACUUAAUGUGCAGCCAUGCCCCUUAAGUUUGAGGGGGGCUGUUAAGGAAGCUCAUUGAGCACGUGUGUCAAUGAUGAGUCAGCAGUUAGUUGGGUAAAGAAGCCAGCUCAGCAAAUCUGUUAAUCAUGUUUUACGUUCUGUUCUUCAGUUGUUAGUAAUGCUUUUAAUUCUGUUGAGAUAUGAGUUAGUAUAAAUAUGUUGUUAUUGUAUUUGUAAUUGUGAACGUGAGAUUCAAUAAAAAAUAAGUAGUUUCUAAGGAAAAAUCUUAUCAUUAUUUUCUUAGCUUCCAAACAACUUUUACAGUCACAAUUCAACUUUCAAACAAUUUGGGAUUUGACAAUUCCACUCUCAUCUUAAUUAUCAAAUGGAAUGUAAGUAGAGAUAAACUUGUCCUGUUUAUAUAUUUGUGAUCAAAAUUAGGACCAAUAUAAAAAAUAUUAGGGUCCGACUAUCUAUACUUUAAAAAUCAUUAUGAACACUUAAUUAUUUAUGUACUCAGCUAAUAAAUUUAAAAAAUUAAGUUUUACUUUCCACACUUUUUUUAGGAGUACUUUCUACACUUUUUAAAAUAACAAAAACAUCUUUACAUGAACUUAAUAAGUUUCUUUAAAAAAAUUAAAUCAACUAUUUUUAUUUAUUCAAAAUACUAAUAAAAAUAUUUAGCAGACCGUGAAAGAAAAUUUUUAAGAAAUUUAACACGAUUUUAGUUAUUACUUAUUGUUUAUUAAAGAAUGUGUUCACUAUUGUAUUUAAUUUUGUUAGUAAAAAAAAAAAGAAGAAGUUUGGGUUUAAGAUACAUUUAAUUUUUAGUGUAACAGUUGUAUCAAAACAAUAAAAACUAAAAGAUCCAAAAGUCACAAGUUCCAACACCACCCAAAUAAAAAGGUCUGUUAAGAUUAUUUUUGGGAAGCUCAAAAGUGAUUUUAAAAAUUUAAAACUAAUUUUUAGUGUUUUAUAAAUUUUUUAGUAAUUACUUUUGGCAAAAUCAUCUCAUUGUACAGUAGAUUUUGAAAAAGUAGGGAAUGAAUAAUUUUUCAAAAUAUGAUUUUGAGAAUCACUUUUAUAUUUAAUCAAAUUCUAUAUAUAUAUACUCAUUAUAUAAUAAAAAUUCAAAAUUAUCUUUAUUAAUUAAGAAAUAAAAUGAUUAACUUUAAAGAGAUUAUUAUUAUUACCAAUUAUAUUGAGAUAAAAAAAUAGAGAAUAAAAUUUAAUAAUAUAAAAUAUUUAUUUUAGUUAUCAAUAAUUAUAUGUACAAUAAAAAUAUUUUAUAUACAUGUUUAUAAAUGUGUAAAUAAAUUUUAUUUAACAUUAUGUCCAAUUCAGUCAUUUACAUUUUUGGUCCAAUUUAACAAUAAGAUUUACGAAAUAUAUACGACGCUUUUAAAACUAAAAGUAUUUUUAAAAAUAAAUUUUACUAAAUGUUCAGCUGAUUCUCUUGACGAUUGAUCAAUUUCUACAGCAUAGCUAACUGUAAUUAUUUUAAAGGCUACAGGAUUACCAAACUGACCCUAAAUCAAACCAAUAAAAAUGUUUAAAAAUAAUAAUAAUAAACCAAAGUAAACGUACAAAAAUUCAUGCAUAAAUUGAUAAUCAACAAAAACAUCCACAAGUUUACCUCCAAGUUUUCUAUUCAAUUGACAUAACCCUUAAAUUUCAAAAGGCAUAAUCAAUUUUUGUCUAAUCCUAUAAAAUUAGAAAAUUAAAGAAUAUUAUGUACUGAUAAUUAAAUAAUAUGCAAUUAACAAUGUUAAAAAAAAUAAUGUUAAACAUAUUGUCAACUAAAACAAUUGGGAUUAACGAGCUGCUAUUGAAAUUAAUGUUAAAAAAAAUAAUGUUAAACAUAUUGUCAACUAAAACAAGCAUCAUGUGCAGUACCCACCGUGAUCUACUCACAUUGGAAUAAGUUGUUGGCAGCUGGUAAAAAAUUCAAUGUUGAUUUUGAUCCCACUAAAUUAAGUCAUCAAAAAUUGCUGGGAAGGGAGUAAUAUCUAUUUAUAACUGGAAAUUAGUCACCGUACAAAGAUGAUUGGAGCUGCAUAUAUCGUUUAUUAUUAACAACUAACUUAUGAAAUGCUUUGAAUGUACCUCCUAGGUCGUAUUAUUUACUAUACUAGUUAGGAGAAAUUGCAAUGUUAAAUUAUUUGAUAAAUACUUAUUAUAAUUUGAAAAUAUGUUAAUUUUGUCCUCCAUUUAUGAUAAAAAAUUUUGUAAUAUAUAUAAAUCAUUCAUUCUAUAAUCUUGAACUUUAUUAAAGUUCGAAAAACUAUUACUCUAUAUGAUAUAAUAGUGUGAUGUUAUUACACUAUUAUACCAUAUAAAAUAUAUUUGCUUUCUCAAAUUUUAAUAAAGUCUAGGUCUUGGACAGAAGCACUUUAUAUAUGUAUAUAUAAUGAUUCUCUAGUAACGACAUUCUCAUUUUAACAAAGUAAUGAUAUCACUAACAAACUAAAUAACACAUAUUUCAAUACACCAAUAGAUUAAAAAAAAUACAAUUUUUAAUGUGUUAAAAUAUAGGUCUUUUGUAUGUUAUUGAUAUUUUCACUUUAACAAAGUGAGGGUCUCCUCACUAUAAAAGUAAUUUAUAAAUAUUCCUUGUAUUUUUGUGAAAAUUAUUAUUUAAAUGUCAUAUCUUACCAAAAACUAUUAGUUUUUAUUUUAUUACUACGCUAUACUUUUCAAGAUAGAACACCUUAAUACCAUGACCUUAAUUUUUGAACCCUCUUGUACAAAGUUGUUGGCUGGUCUAUUUAGCUUAAUCUUUCAAUUAUUUGUCGUUUGAACUGAGAUGAUCCGAAUAAGGCUAUGUAUCAAUAAUUUCUUAGUGAAACUUCGGGAAAAAAUAAAAAUCAUCUCAUACAGUAGCAUUAUUUUAAUUCUCAGCUUGAUUAUGUUUUGAGUUAACUUAUAGAUUAUUUGAAAUGAAAAUAAUAUAAUUUAUUUUUUCCAACUGAAAUUUUUAAAUAAUUUUAUUAGUUUGAUGAGUAAGUAUACACUUACAAAGUUAUGAUAUAAAAUUAUAUCCCAGAAUCCCAAUAAUAUGACACCAAUUAACUAUUGCUAUGUGUUUCUUAGUAAUUAACUUUUUAUACUAUUAUUAAUGAGAUAAUUAACUUCAACACCAAUAAACAAUUAAUACAUCCUCUAACUUUAUUAUCAAAUAAUCAUACGUCAUAAUCAAACCAAGUUACCAGAGCCUACCACUAAAAGAUUGAUUGAAGGGUUUUCCAAGUUUGAAAAUGUUAGUAGCAUUGGCAAAUGGCAACUUCCAGGAAUCUUCCUGCUACAAUCAAUCAUUUAGUGAAAUGCCCAAAUGACACAAAGGACCCCGCCAACCGUGAAGUCACAUCAUUUAUUUAUUUGUAAAUGAAAAAUAAGGUUCCGAUCGGAAGAAAUCAGCACCUUAUAAUGCAUGAUUACCCGUAUGUCAAGUUUGGCGAUUAUAAGUCAUCAUCACAAUAACUUUGGAUUUUGAUAUUUAAGUCUCCGUUUGGGACCAAUGUAUGCCAAUUGGACAACACAUCACUCAAUUAUAGAGAGCGAAAUAUUGAUAUUGUCAUUAUUUUACGUAAUGUAUAAACUUUUCCUUUUAUUUUUGUUUGUUUAUUUAUUUUUAAUACCUAAUAAAUAUAAAUUUAUUUUUUAAUAUUUAAUAAAUUUUGUCAGAAAAUAACAAACAAUGACCCAAAUCCUUUUAUUUUACAGAAAUAAUUUCAAUUCACAACUAUGACAUUACAUUACCAAACAAACACUAAAUAUUUUGAUGAUUGGAGUUUAUCUUUCAUUCAUAGCAUGAAAAGUUUGAAAUAGAAUCUCAAAACAAAAGAGUACGACAUGUCUUGUUGGGUUUACAGAAGAAGUGUACGCCAUGUCAUCCGAAAACUAAAAGGCAUGUAUGACAACCAAACGGUAUCAUCCCUGAUUUGCCUACACUUUAAGGAUGAAUUCUGGGUUUUGAGUGACAAUUAAAAGCCAGAGUGAGAAUUAGAGAGAGAGUUAUAUAUUCUUAUUUAUUCCUAGUCACUUGCUAUAUUGUGUGGGUCUUUUGUGAUUCCAAUAAUAAAAAUGUUCAAUAUUUUUUUUGAUAGAGCAAUAUUUUUUAAAGCAUAAAGAAAGGCAGAAAUAUUGUAAAUCCAUCUCAAAUUUUCUGUUUAUUGUGGUUGCUGCUAGCGCUAGCUGUUUUCUUAUUUAACUUUGUUCCCUUUUGCCAUCAGCUCUUUGCAUUUUCAUUGGAUCAAGCGGCCCUUUUCUUGUUUCAAUUUUUUAUCUCAAAAGCACUUUGAUUCUCUUCUGUUACACUGAUUUUCUCCUUAUUUUGCACAAAUAUCGUUUCUCUUUCCCAUUUAGCCUUGAUUUGCUUCUACUUGACUACCAAUUGCCCAGUCGUUGACCCUGUUGUAUUUUUAUUUCAUUCACUUCCAAUAGACCAAAAAAAAAAAAGAGAUGUUGAAUAAAAGCUUAAAAACUAAUUUGAUUUUUAAUAUGAUUUAGCUAAGAUGUCCAAUUUAAUACUAAGAGUAAUGUUAAGGAUCCUAAUAAUUGAGUCCCAACUGAUAUGGUAGUCAUUUAUUAGAUGAUGGAAAUAUAAAUUUUAUUAGUUGUGAAAUUCAUUAUUCAAUAAAAAAAUAACACAUAACAAUUAGGUCUCAAGUUAGUAUUUUACUAUUGGAAUUCCUAACAUUAUUCUAAUAUUAAAAAAUUCAUCAAAAUAAUAUCCGUUGAUGCUGAAAUCUAGUCGCCUUUGGACCGACCAGAUUGGUUCACCAACGCUUGUAUUGACAAAGGAAUAGAGGCUGCGAUCCAUUAGCUUCAACAAUUUCCCGAGCUUCUGGGACCCAAAUCACCCGUCUUCUUCCUUCCAGGCCUAUGUUCACAUAAACAAAUCAGAGAAGCCGGUGGUUUUUUGGGCAUAAACCCUUCGAUACUUAAGUUAGUACAAGGUGUUUACGAGAAAAGUUAAUGAUUUGUGUUGUACAUAUUAGUUGCAAUAUUCUCAAUACCAAAUGUAUCAAGGAUUUGGAUAUUUGAAUUUCUGAUUAUAAUUUGACAGAGUUUCCCCUUUACUCUCAAUUUGUGUCUCCCCCUUUUCAUUGAUUUCUUGGCCUUUUAUAGGCAAUCAUCCCAUGUUUUCUGAGUAUUAUUCAUGCCCCUCAUUUUCGGGUGAUGACGGACCUUCAUGGGUCUCCAACCACCGAAUCGUGGGUAAACGUGGGGCGUCAUGUUCUCCCCAACGGUUUGGGGCAUGACAAAACUGUCGUGAGUUUGUGAGAUCGUGUCCUCUUUCUUUGAAUAAUGAGUACUUGGUCGAUAUGUACAUCUGGUCGGUACUCGUUUCUAGUCGGCAUAUGCCCCGUACAGGAUGUAUUACCAGGAAUCUGCUCGUGCCAUUCAUCUGGGGAGAUUCGCCCCAGGGUGAGGGAAGAGGGGAUAGCUGAGCUGGUACUUUUCAUUACUCAACAAUAUCUAUUAUCUAAAAAAAUAAAAUAAAAAUCUAAAACCAUAGAUUUACUUUUCAAUCUUCGUGAUUUGACUGAUUUCUUUUAAAGCUUUGGUUUCUUUAGAAGUGCAAGGAGAAAUAGUAAUAAGAUUAAAAAAGCAAUGAAGUAAAACUUUAAAAUUUUUGUUUCUUUAUAUUUUUAUCGGUCAUUUUACCGGUACUGGCGUUUGAUUUUCUGACUAAGCUACUGUUUAGUUCUAAGUUUUGGCAAUUACCCGGACUGCUCUCUUUCGUGUAACAUCGACACAAUGAGGCUUUGCAUCUAAAAGUCGGCAGCCACGCAACUUCUUGGAAUCUUCGUGCAAGUGUUGGAUAUCGACCGUUCGAUAAUGACGGCAGCAUUGUUCUGGAGUGUAAUUGACGCAGUGGAAUAAGGAUCACAUGUCUCAAACUUUCGGUGAAGAUAUUGUUAGAUAUUUUAUUGAUUAAGGAUCAUUCUUUGCACUCAUUCUCAAUCAAGAAACGCAUAUGCUUUUGUUCAUUGUAGUCACUGCUGUUUUGUUAUUAAUCUUUGCUCCCUUUUGCUGUCAACUCUCUUGAAUUUCACUGGAUCAACUUUUCUCUUGGCAUCUGCUUUGUUGUAAUCUCCAGUCUUUGUUAAUUAGUCUCUCCGCUCGCAAUCCAGUUGUUGAACUAGAAACCUUUUCCUUGUUUCCAUCUUCUCAGCAGAUCCAUAACAGCUAUUACGAUUUCUUUCAUUUCUCCUCGUCCACAACCAGAUAAACUGUCCAUCUUUGCGUUUCUUUUUCUUUUUCUCCUCACUCUCUCUGUGUUUCGCUCAUUGUUUAUUUUCUUGUCAGAAACUUCGAAAAAAAGAAAAGGGAUUCAGGAUGGUGGAAAGCAUUGUUACUAUUGUUUUAGAAUUUGUGAAAUGCUUGGCUCCUCCAACAGAACGCCGACUUGGUUAUUUGCGUACUAUAAAGCCAACGUUGAGAAACUCGAGGCAGAAAUAGACAAGCUCAAGGAUGAAAGGAGAAGCAUUCAGCACAGGGUUUCUGAGGCUGAAAGAAAAGGGGAAAAUAUUGAAGAGAAGGUUGAGAAGUGGCUGGUUAGUGCGAACAUCAUCAUUGAGCAGGCAGCCAAAUUCAUUGAUGAUGAGAAGACAACAAAUAAACGAUGUCUCAUGGGCUUGUGUCCUAAUUUGAAGACCCGCUAUCAGCUUAGCAAGAAAGCAGAAACAAAGGUGAAGGCCAUUGUUAAACUCCGAGAAGAAGCUGGGAGAUUUGUUGAUGGAAUUUCCUACCGUACCAUUCCGGAGGAUAUAUGGCUCAAGUCUCACAAAGGCUACGAAGCCUUCGAAUCAAGACUUUCUACUUUAAAGGCCAUACAAAAUGCAUUGAUCGAUGUUGAUGUCAGCAUCAUUGGGGUGUACGGCAUGGGCGGCAUUGGAAAGACGACACUGGUGAAGGAGUUUGCAAGGCGAGCCAUUGAAGACAAGCUUUACGAUAUGGUGGUUUUUUCGGAGGUUACCCAAUGUCCAGACAUAAGAAAGAUCCAAGAGGAAAUUGCGGAAACGUUAGGCCUAGAGUUGUCCGAGGAAGCUGAGUCUAGAAGAGCUAGUAGACUAUAUGAAAGAUUGAAGAAUGAGAAGAAGAUCCUUGUGAUUCUCUAUAACAUGUGGAAACCUCUUGAUUUGGGGACUAUUGGCAUUCCUUUUGGAGUUGAGCACAGAGGAUGUAAAUUAUUAUUCACAACAAGAGAUCUUGAUGUGCUGUUAAGGAUGGGAUCUGAAAAAAACUUCUCGAUUGGCAUUUUAAAUGAACAAGAAGCCUGGAGAUUGUUCAAGAUAAUGGCUGGUGAUUAUGUUGAAAAUCGUGAGUUAAAAUCUGCAGCAACAAGUGUAGCCAAGGCAUGCGGAGGUUUGCCUAUUGCCCUAACCACAGUAGCAAAGGCACUGAGAAAAAAAGAGCUGCCUGUGUGGAAGAAUGCCUUGCAAGAACUCCAAACGCCUUCAGAGGCAAGCUUCGACGAAGGAGUACCAGCAGAGGCAUACUCAACAAUUGAGCUGAGUUACAAGUACUUAAGAGGUGAGCAACUCAAGAAAACUUUUUUACUGUGUAGUCUUAUUACGCCAGCACCAAUUAUGGAUUUGUUCAAAUACAGCAUGGGCUUGGGUGUAUUUAAAAGUGUCCAUAAGCUAGAAGAUGCACAUAACAAAUUACAUGCAUGGGUCCAUCAACUAAGAGACUCUUGUUUGUUGCUUGAGGAUGGUGGCAGUAAAUACAUUUCUAUGCACGAUGUUGUUCGCGAUGUUGCCAUUUCAAUUGCAUUUCGUGACAUGAAUGCAUUUGUGGUGAGAAAUGAGGAUGAUUGGAAAUGGCCAAAUGCAGAUGAAUUAAAAAAAUAUUUUGCAAUUUCUUUUAAAGAUAGUAUUGUUAAUGACAUUCCUGAAGGGUCGGAAUCUCUACAACUUGAACUUCUAUUCAUGUCUCCCAAGAACUCUUUUGCUGUGCCUAAUAUUCCUGAGAACUUCUUCAAAAGGACGAAAAAGCUUCGGGUUUUGGAUUUGACUAGAAUGCGGUUAUUGUCAUUGCCAUCUUCAAUUGGUCUUCUAGUAAAUCUUCAGACACUUUGUCUUAAUCAAAGCAUUUUGGGAGGCAUAGACAUAGCCAUUAUUGGAAAGUUGGAAAAUCUAGAAAUCCUUAGCUUUUUGCAAUCUGAUAUUGUAGAGUUGCCUAAAGCACUGGGUCAACUGACUAAGCUAAGGCUGUUAGAUUUAACAGACUGCUUCCGUCUGAAAGUUAUUGCCCCAAAUGUCAUAUCGAGCUUAAUCCGAUUAGAAGAAUUGUAUAUGGGUAAUUGCUUCAUUGAAUGGGAGGUUGAAAGAGCCAACAGCAAAAGAAGUAAUGCUAGCCUUGACGAAUUGAUGCAUUUACCUCGGCUAACUACUCUAGAAAUUGAUGUUAAAAAUGAGAGUAUGUUACCAGAAGGCUUUUUGGCCAGAAAGCUCGAAAGGUUCAAAAUACAUAUUGGAAAUGGGUUAUUCAUGCAUCCCAUGCUUUUUGGACAACAUUGGUUUAAAAGUCAGCUGCACUUUUUGAUCGACAGUAAUCGCAAGAUUUCAAGAGAAUUGGAGCUCAAGCUUGAUUUUAUGGACAUUUGCUCCAUGAAAUUGCAAGGCAUCAAUAACGUUGAAUACUUACGGUUGGACAAGCUGCAAGGCAUCGAGAAUGUUCUUUUCAAUUUGGACACGGAGGGCUUUUCACAAUUGAAGGUCCUCUGGCUUCAAAAUAAUCCUGACUUCUUUUGUAUCGUCGAUUCAAGGGAGAUGGUCGCUUGUGAUGCCUUUCCUCUGUUGGAGUCACUUGCCCUUCACAAUUUGAUCAACAUGGAGAGGAUAUGUAUUGAUCGGCUCAAAGUAGAGUCUUUCAACGAACUCAAAAACAUAGAAGUAUAUAAUUGUGAUAAGUUGAGUAAUAUCUUUUGGCUCUACUACAAAAUGCCUUCCAAGACUUGAGAGAAUUGCAGUUAUUAAUUGCAGCAAAAUGAAAGAGAUUUUUGCAAUUGGGGAAGAAGUUGAUAAUGCAAUUGAGAAGAUAGAGUUUGCUCAAUUAAGAUCUUUGAGUCUGGGGAAUCUUCCAGAGGUUACAAGUUUUUGCCGUGAGGUGGAGACUCCUUCAGCAUCACCGAACAGACAAGUGUCGCAAGAGGAAUCGACGACUAUGUAUUGCUCCAGCGAAAUCACUUUGGAUAUUUCAACUUUGCUUUUCAAUGAGAAGGUGCGUAGGCUAACAUUUUAUUCAUAUAUAUAUAUAACAGAGUUUAUUCUAUCAUGCGUUCUCUUAUGUCAAACGUGGAAAAUAAUUAAAUCAUUUAGAGAAUUGAAAGAAAAUGAAAACAAUGAGGAAAAAAAUAAUCUCACGCACUCACUAAUUGAGCUCUUAACAGGUAGUAUGAAUUAGAAUGUUAAUUUGUAAUCAAAGAGAAAUUUUCAACAAGAAAUUCUUAUCUUUUUAGGUUGCGUUGCGUAACUUGGAGGCUUUGGAGAUAUCUGAAAUUAAUGUCGACAAGAUUUGGCACUACAAUCAAAUUCCAGCGGCAGUGUUUCCUCACUUUCAAAGUUUAACACGAUUGAUUGUGUGGGGUUGUCACAAAUUAAAAUACAUAUUUUCAGCGUCUAUGAUCGGAAGCCUUAAGCAGCUCCAACGCCUAGAAAUACGCUCCUGUGAGGAUUUACAGGAGAUCAUCUCUGAAAACAGAGCAGAUCAAGUGAUCCCUUAUUUUGUCUUUCCACAGCUCACCACUUUGAUACUCCAUGAUCUACCAAAACUUAGAUGUUUGUACCCUGGAAUGCAUACUUCGGAAUGGCCCGCCCUAGAAAUUCUUUUAGUGUAUCGUUGUGACAGAUUAAAGAUAUUUGCGGCAGAUUUAUCGCAGAAUAAUGGGAAUGAUCAACUUGGUAUUCCUGCACAACAGCCCCUAUUGCCAUUGGAAAAGGUAUGAAGCCAUUUUCUAGAUUUUUUAUCUAUAGCUUAUUUUUAACUUUGAAAAAUAUGACAAAGUAUUGAUAAAUUAAUGCUCAAUAAAUUGAAAACUUUUAUUAUACAAUAAUCUUUGCUAGUCUAGACUAAGGGAUCAAUGUGGUAGAUUAAUGAUUAUAUAAACUUUUUUAGGUAUAGCAUUUGUAAAAGAAUCUUGAGUCUUUCCAUAUAGAAGAACUUACAAAAUAAAUUAGUAAUUUAUUAUUGUGCAGUAAAAUAAUUUCGAGUCAGUAUAAAUCAACCUUUUUUCCCUAAUUUCUUUUUUACCUCUAAAAUUAACAUAUAAAAAAUCAUUUAAUAAAUUUUAUCAAUAAUUCAAUUUUUUUAAAUAUAAUAUAAAACAAAUACUAUAAACUCACUGCUUAUGAUUGGAUUACUCAAAAUCAUUUGAGAAAACAUCAAUUGACCUUAUUAGUUAUUAUGAUUGAUGAUGAUCAGAUCUUACCCAACUUGACGGAACUAUCACUAUGCGGAAAAGACGUGAAGAUGAUUUUGCAGGCCGAUUUCCCACAACACCUUUUUGGCAGUCUUAGAGAUCUAGGGAUUGCUGCUGAUGACUCAGCUUGUUUUCCAAUCUGGAAUGUACUGGAGAGAUUUCACAAUCUCGAAAUGCUCGUACUGUGUUAUUUUUCAUUCCACGAAGAGGUAUUUUCGAUGGAAGGAUGCUUAGAGAAACAUGUGGGGAAGUUGGCAAUGAUAAAAGAAUUAGAGCUGUACCGGCACUAUCAUCUGAAGCAGCUGUGCAAACAAGACACCAAAUUUGGCCCCAUCUUUCAGUAUCUUGAAAUUCUAAGAGUAUAUCAUUGUCAAAGUCUGUUAAUUCUAUUGCAAUCAUCAUCGGUAUCUUUUGGGAACCUAACAAAACUUGUAGCUUUCGAUUGCAAGAAAUUGAUACACUUAGUAACAUCCUCCACAGCAAAAACUCUAGUGCGACUCGUAUCACUUUGUGUAUACGGAUGCAGAGCAAUGACAGAGGUGGUAAUAAAUGACAAAGACGGGGUUGAAAAAGAAGAGAUUGUUUUCCGCAAAUUGAAGAGGUUGGAACUGCGUGAUUUAGACAGCCUCACAAGUUUCUGCUCUGCCAAUUACACCUUCAAAUUCCCAUCUUUGCAAGAUCUAUCUGUGAUUGGUUGUCCCAAAUUCAAGAUUUUCACUACAGGAGAAUCAAGCACGCCUCCGAGAGUAAACGUCUGGUAUGGAGAGACAUCGAAUCAACGGCGUUGGGCUAGUAAUGAUCUUAACACGACCAUACAACAAUUACAUGCUGAGAAGGUACGGAUAUACGUGUUACUCUCUAUCUCCCAUGGAAAAAUUUUACAAAAUUUGCUUUUUCUUUUUAAAUAAAAUAUGGAUAAGAUAUUUGUUAUAAAGUUAGUUUAAAUUGAUGAAUAAGAAUUUUAUUUUCAGCUGUUGGCGGGGUCGUCGUCAUACUCUGUGGAUUACGACUAAUUUCAUAGGCUUCUUAUGACUUGGAGUUACGAAUUUGAAGAAGAAAGUCCCAGCUGGUAAUUAAUUCUUAUUUUAUUUAUUUGAUCUCGUGGGUUGUUUCACAAUUUCAUCUCAAUUGUUUAGAAUGGGUCACUUGGUUUACUGUCAAUAUGGAAUGCACUUUUCAUGAUUCGUUCAGGCUUUUAUGGGCAGAUUUUGCGUCAUUGAGCGUCUUUUGGUCUAAUUUAAUUUAAUUUGAGUAUUUUGUUUUGAGAGUUCCCUUGUUCUCUAAAAUUUUAUAAUUCCUUGCAAGCAUUUUAUGUUGAAAUUUCAAUAAGAGGGGCAACACUUGCAUGUUGAAAGUGUUCAGAUUUUAUAAUUCCUUGAAAUCAUGCAAACUUUUUUCUUUCUUUCCUUGCCAAUUAUUUAUUGUCAUCGUUACUGUUCCGUUAAAUUUGUUUGUGCUCUGUUUGUUCAUUGGAAACUUGGAAGGCAACGAAAGUACUUAAGAGAAUGUUCUUGCCUAUUAACACAUAAUUAAGAACAGCUGAAUAUCAUUCAUCGGAUAAAAAAAAAAAAAUCUAAUUAGCCCGUCAUGCCUACAACAAAUGCUUAAACCAUCAAAGGUUAGCUAUGAACAAAUAUAUUAUGGAAAUAUUGUUUUAAAGCAUUCGAUAGAAUUUUCAAAAAUAUCAAGUUUUCACAAACCAAAAAGGGAACUAAUUUGGUCUAGUUUUGUUACAAGUAUAGAAGUACAAUAUUUUGUCUGUUAUUCUUGUUAAAAUUCUCAGCUCUGUGUUUGUAGAAUGUCUGGAUACUGAUAGAGAUUCAAGUCACUCUUCUUCUGUACAACAUUCGAAAUGAAGCCUUUUUUCCCCCUCCAUUCAAAUUUUAUGUUGUGAAGGGUUUCCGUUUCCAUCUUCAUGUGAUUUACUUCACCGUGUCGCUACAUCUAUGAUAGUGUGUGUUAUAUCCUGUCUGUUUCCUUUAUUUGACCAUCGAAAGUUCAAAGACAGUUUAUUCUAAAUAUGUGUAAAUUCAUUUUCUGUAUAAGCUCUUUGUAUGCAUUUUGACAUUUUAUUCUCAAUAUGUAUGACUUAAUGAGAGGUCUUUUGUUAUACAUAUGUCCCGAAUUUCUUGUGUAUUUUUAGAUUUGAUGAUGUAUUCUUGUCUCAUUGCAAGGUCUUAUAAUCACUGAUUCUCAUUUCUCGUAUACAUACGUAUAUAUGGGCAAGAAAUUUGGUAAAUGAUCUAGUCAUUUUCUCAGUAAAACAUCUAGUACUUUAUAUGUUGGAAGGGUACUAAGCAGCAGGCCAAGAUUUGUCAACUCAAAGAUCGUCAUGUCAUUUUUUAAAAAUAUUAAGGAAUUCUAAGGAACCUCAAGAGAAAAUUUAGAAAUACUAUAGGGACUACUUCUGCAUUGUUCAUUUUCGUAAUUACGUUCAUUAUUAUUUUUUUUUUUUCAAUUAAUCAAACUUCAGUUCCUUAGCAUUCAUCUAAUUAUGUACUUCAUCUGGAAAUCCUUAAUUUACUCAUCAAAAUGUGAACGCUAAGGAAACUAUGAAAAUAAAUAUAAAACUACUAGCUAAGUUUAUCAUCACAUAUGAUCAGCACUAGACUAUCAAAUAAUCAUAAAAGCAUAUAAAUUCAAGCUACUGUAUUAUUUGUAGCUUUCUAAUUUGUGUUUAUAAAGAAUUUAGUUAUGCAACAAAAAAAGGGGAUACGAAAGUAGCCAUAAAAAAUACUCUGUUUUGUAGUACUUCAACAUAUCUACUGGCUAAGAAGUAGCAUCACAUAUGAAAAUGUCGGCACAAAUACUCAAGCAAGUGCAAGUGUGUGGACGAGCCACUUGUGUUAUCAUGAAACUUAAUAUAAGUAUCAAAAGUUGGUGGAUUAUUGUGGUUUUCCUGCUUUAUCGUUUUUGGUUGAAUAAAAUAAUAUAAAGCUGUCGAUUCUGCAUUAAAGCAUAUGAUUUGUGAAGAUAUGAAUACCACAUCUUUCCAACUCCUCAACUCUUGAGUAAUUACUAGGUUCCCACCCAUGCAAACAUAUUUUCUUUCGAGAAAAAGGGAUGCCUGAUUCAGGGCAUCCGUUGCCUCGGUUUAUUUGAUUUUGUUUGGUUCAAUUGUGGUUCUGUUAUUUAGUUUUUCCUCUGAUGGUUCUGUUUCUCUGUAUAUUUCACUGGGUUUGCUUUGCUUCACAUCUUUCUUUCAAAACUAAGAAGGCAAGGAAAGAGAGUACUUAAUUAGAAAAUGCAAGAAGCAUAUAUUAAAUAUGCAUAUGGCUCAUGCUCUUGCCUAUGAACACAUAAAGAACAACUGAAUAUCCUUCGUCGGAUAACAAAAAAGAAAAUCUAAUCAUCCAUUUAUCCAUACAAGAAAUGAUACCAUUACUUUUAGCAAAUUGAAAGUGUUGUAUCUUUUUUAUUUAAAAAGUCUCUUAAGAUUUUUAUUUUUUCCGGUAAUUACACCUCCAAAUUUCCACAGCUAUAAUGUCAAUUUGUAAUUAUUUGUCCCAAGAUGCAGAUUUUCACUAGAGGAGAAUUAAUAAUUACGCUAUUUCGGCCCAGAGGACCAUGAAGCCCCUUGGGUUGUUGACAUUAACACUAGUGCGUUUACCAACCUAAACCUUCGGUUUGGUCAACAGUGUCUAAAUUGAACCUAUGGUGAAUGGAGGAAAAAGAAAAAGAGAUUUAUUAGAAACCUCCCCUGAAGUUUGAUAUAUUUUUAGUUUAAUAGAUUAUAUUUGUGUAUUCUCAAAUACCUCCCCUGCUGCUAGGGUUGGCAAUAGGACGAGAUAUGAUAGAAUUUACCAAUUACAGUCCCAUCCUGUAUAUGUAAAUGGGAUUAAAAAACAUAUCAGUCCUGUCCCUAUAUUUGUUUUUAGGACAAAAAAUAUAUCCUAAUCUCGUCCAAAAAGAGAUAGAAUCCUGUAGGAUCUCAUCCCAAUUAGAAAAUUUUUUAUUCUUAAUCGAUAAUGAGACGAGAUGGGACAGAAUUUGUCAAUCCUACUCCCGUCCUGCAUAUGUAAUUGGGAUAAAAAAAAUCUCACUCCCGUCCUUAAAUUUUUUUAUGGAAUAAAAAUAUGUCCCAAUUUCAUCCCAUCAAAAAAAAUUAUCAUUCCUAUCUGGCGCUAGUAUACCUUUCUUAAUACCCCUAAUUUAGAAAAAAAAAAUUUGUAUACUGAAAAUAAAAAAUUGUUGGUUAGUACCAGCAUGUUUGUUUUGGUGCCAAGGGAUGUGAAUGCAAUGAAAAUAUCAAAUCAUCCCCGUUACUUUCCAAAAUGACUUUGAUAAAUGAAACAAACAAAAGAUUUAAGUCAAAUAUCAAAGAAUCAGAGGGAAGCUGUUUUGCACUGGCCUAAUUGCUAUGCUGUCUGAAUCAAAUUUCGUUCAAUCUUGGUGUCCCUCUUUUAUUCAAUAUAAGAAGAAUGAAAAAAGUAGGUUGUUUUUUACACAAGUGAUAGAAAUACUUCUGAACUUUAGACAGUGUAACACCAUACACAUCAAAGAAAUAAGACAACAAACCAAUUCCCAUACAUAAAGCCAACAAAAUUACUAUUUAGUACAAGAGAUGCAACAUAAUUUUAAAUUUUAUUCCUCAAGAGCUACAAGUGAUACAAAUGAGUACACAAAUCAACCAUCUGUAGCUUAACCAGAAGUUGAUGCGAAUGCAUGAAAAUGAAAAAAGCCUACGAAUAGUAUACAUGGUAAGUAUGACUAAGUAAAAUAACAAUUCUGAUUGAUAAUACCACCAGCAACAGGACCUUCAUACCCUCUCUUUAUUAAUCACUAGUUGGUAUGCUAUAGCCCAGCCAAGUGUAAAAUGAAUGGCGAUCGAGCUCUUGAGCCUCUUUAUACCCUCCAUAAGUUGUCCUCAACUUCAUCAAGGACUGCAAAUAUAUUAAGCAAUAGAAAAAUAAUCGUGAUACAUUGAGUAACAUAUGGAGCAUGCACCUGCUUUAUAAAUAUCCAAGAGUCUGAAGAUAGAUACAUGGAGCUUGAUUUGCCAAAUGAUCUAUCAAAAAAGCCUCAGUGCAAAAUCUUCAUCCAUAUUCCAAACAAAACCAGGCAUAUCAAUCCUCUGCCAGGCGACAAUCCUAUAUAUGUAAAGCUUCUUAACAGGGAGCUCCGGCCUUUAAUCUGGGGGUCUCCUCUCGUCAAUAACUUAAACAUUCAGCGUGAUUUUCCAAAGACACUGCAAUUUUCAUUUAUAACUCAAACAAAUAAGACAGGACUUAUCUAAAGACACUGCAAUUUUGGACAUUGGCUAACAAGUGUGAUUAGGUCAAGACUUUGUAUAGUGGCAUAGCUCAUAUUCAAGGUUAUUAGGCCAGAGCAAACAAAAUUGACAGAUCACACUAUUUGAGACCAUAAUCAGGUUGCAUCUACAACUCAUUUUCCAAAAUUAUACCAAUCUCUAACCCAGUACAUUGCUAAUCAAUAUUCCUGAUUAAUAUAGGCAGCAAUGACUGUAUAAACAAUUAUUUCCAGCCAACCAGGUAUGCUAGAAGCCAAAUCUAUAGUAGAGAAGGUUUUGCAGAUCUCCUAAAAAAAAAUCUCAUCUUCAAUUUAACAAAAACUAGCAUGAAUCUCUGUUCAAUAAUCAGCAGUAAUACCUUAAACAAAUAAAAAAAUUUCAGAGCCAUUUUCAAUCUGUCACACGGCAGCAUAACAAAUCACAAGCCAUUUUCAAUCAAUCACAAGCUAACAUGCAUUUGCAACAAUCAUUCACCUACAACUAACAUUAAUCGAUGGAAAAAAAUGUAAGCGACAGAAAUACUCUAAAAAAUUUUCGAGACCCAUUAUUCUUUUUUCUAUUUUUUUACCAAAUAGAGUGACCAUGUCGUGCUGUGAAAUUUGAUAAGAAACCUCGACGUGUUUGUUUUGUUACUGUUUUGGGACUUUCAUUUGGUUUGCUUGUUAAUUUUAUUAUUGGUUCGGUUUCGGUUUUCAUUCAUCCCAACCGAAAUGAAACCGUCCAAUUUAGGUUAUUGCACAACCGAAUCAAAUAUCGAACCGAAUCUGAUACGGUUCUUCAAUUUUCUGCCCACUCCUACUUCAUGACAAUAAACAACAAAAACAAAAUCCAUAAUAUAGCUUUUGAAUUCUUAAAAGGGGGGAGAAAAAAAAGCACAGGUGAGUAAGCUAUUAAGGUAAGAAGUUGAGAUUAGACACGUAUCAGUAAUAUUGAUAUUUAAAUUUUACUCAAACAACUCUAAUUCAAAAUAUGUAGAAACAAUUCAAAAUAACAAUAAAAAUUAAAAAAAUAUUAUUUCAAGGAAUCCAAACAGGGUAUAUGAUGAGUAUGAUGCUGUUUUAAAUUCUCAACUGAGGAAAAACAGAGAUAGAGAAAGAACAUACUAUCAACACCAGCAAAGGCUUUGGAUUCUUAAGCAGGUGGUGAUGCAUGGUUUGUCAGGAGGUGGAGAUGGAAUUCUGAUUUGUUGUUGGCAAUAGCACACGAUUUUUGGCAGAUUCGGGCGAAAUUACAUUCUUAUAUAGAACCGAGGAAAGGGUGCUGGCCAAUAAAUGAUAAAGGCCUGUAUAAAGAAAGACAAACAAUAAUGUGGGCUUUAGAGAAUCAGAAACUUGAUAGAAGAGAAGGGGAAUAUCAACAAUUAUUUCAGAAGAAAGAAAAAGAAAAAAGCAAGCACGCUUGAAAAUUUUUCAAGAUAAUGAAACCGCAUUAAUUAACAGGUUAAAAUUUUUUGUAAGAUUACUGGUUUCUAAAAAAUUCUAUGAACCUUUCAGUUUCACAGAAAGAGAGAUAAAGACAAAGACAGUAGUCUACAUUAAAAGCACUUAAAAAAUCCAGUGCAGAAUACAUCUCUAAAAGUACUACAAAAUAUAUACAAGUAAAUAUUUAUAAAAGAAGCAUUGAAACGAGUCAGAAUGUGACCCACCGUGUGUCCUUGACUGUAUAUAGCAUUAAAGCAAUACUCCCCUAGUAUGAUAUGCGCACACACAAUUUAUAUAGACGCAUAAAACAAAAACAGCACAAAUCUUAUUAUUUGUCUUGCUAAAACCCAAGAAAUAGCUUAUAAGAUGAAAUGGACUGCCCAUGGUUCAUACAAAGAAAAGAAUAAGCCACAUAUUAAUUGAAGCUAACAACAGACAUAAAAUGAUAAAUGAAAAAUGCUCACCUUCAGAAUGAAGUCAAUGUAAUGAAGAGCUCAAAUUCAGUUCUGCCACCUGAAAAAAUGUGGUAUUCACCAGUAACUUUAACCCCAUUUUGCUAACCCUUAACUUCUGCAAGCUUUGUGUGGGGAAAAUUAUAAUACCAAAUCUAUCCCACACAGCAUGAGAACAAAUCUUAGCCCAAGUGAAUUAAAAGUACUCAAGUAUAUAUUUUAUAAUGCAUAAUAUAAGAUCAUACCCUAUCCCUGCUUUGGGGCCACUUAAUUGAGUGUUUGUAUCCUUCCGGUAAAGGAGCAAUACAGGUACAAGCUUCUUCAGGGCAAUACCUCUCUCGAUGUUCAUAAUGCUUUUGUGCUGGAAAGCAUUCUAAUUGCUUGCAAAUUGUCCAGGCAAGGGAUGCAAUCUGGCCUAGCAGUGGCAUUACACACUUUCCAGCGAUGACCAUACGGGUCCUUAGAUAUAGAAGUUUGUUGUGAUAUUUUCUGAUUCUAUGACUCAAUAGGUUGAGUUAAGCAAGCCCCAUUCUGAGCAUUAGUUUCCUUCAGAAUUUCUGACUAGUCACCAAAAGGAAAAAUCUCAGUUGAAGCCUGAUCCUUUCAACGACUCUCAGUGUCAUUAUCUUGAUCUUGAGAAUCCUUCUCCUUUUCAAUCUGACUAGCCUCAUCCAUUUAUUUUCAUCCAAGCUCUUCUCUGAUUCAAUUUGCUCAAUUUUAUUCAAUUCGCCGCCUUCUGUUUCUCCAGCUUCUGAAUUCGAAUCUCCACCUUCACUUUUAGAUUCCUUAUCUUCCCUUUUUCUAACAUCGUAAUUUUUAGACACCACCUUAGAUUCCUCUUCAGACUCAGUAUUCUCAUCAAAACUCUCCUUCACUAAAUUCUCUUCCUGGUUUUGAUUAACCAUAUUCUUAGAUUCACUCGUCUCACCAUCACCCUCAUACAUAUUCAUCUCUUCGUAAUUAUCUUCCACUCUAUUCUCUAACUUUUCAACAGGAACAUCAUCCCCAUCCCCAUUUGUUGAAUCCUGUCAUUCAUCACCUUGAUUUUCUACGGAAGGCCCAGAAAAAUCUCAGAUACUCUCUGUUUCACUUUGCUUAUAGGCUCUUAAGAGGACAACAUCCUGGAUCCCACACCAGUACAACUGAUGAUGACAUUAACAUCCAAACGCCAACCAGAAAACGACCAACAAACACUACUACAGUAACCAUUGAACAAAGACAAUAUCACAGGUUCUUUAGCUAUUUAAUAUUCCAUCAAAUAUAAUUAUAUAAUACCUACCAAGGAUUUCCGAAUAGAAGGCAUUCUCAUCAUUCUCAUCUCAAGCAGCAACCUCACCAGUAACACAUUUUCAUAUCAUGUUUCCACCACAGGUCGCACAUAUAGAAAGAAUGAAGUAUUAAUUAGCUUCAACAGAGCCUAUUUCUUUAUUUCUUUUUUUCCCAAAUAAACCUUCAUUCUUAUACGUAUAAUUAAAAUAUCAACUGAAUAAACAAAGUCUGUGAUUACUAGUACAACAUUUUCAUUUUCAAGCGGAGCUAGAUAAGAUAUCGAUGUCUGUCAAAUAAACCUAAUUUAAUCUUGAAACCAUAAACUGCACUAAGCAUAGCAGCAAAGCCAGAGCCUGACUAUAAAGAAGAUAAUAUAUAUAUAUAUAUAGAGAUUAAACUUUUGUUUUAUCUUCCACAAGCAAGAAAUUCGACUGGAACAUGAAAUUUUUAACAAUCUUACAAACAUUAUACACAAAUCUCAAUUAACGGCAAAUAGGGGGAUGAAUCACUGACAUCACCCAAUUCAUAUAUUCAAUUAAUGUAUUCCCACCCCAGUCAGCAACGUGCUACCACAGUUGAUUAGUUAUUAGGGAUAAGGCUUACCGCAAAGAACUGAAUGGCGUUAUCUAAAUAAUGAGUUGAAACGGCAUCUGCAAUCGCAUUAAAUGGCAUUGAACCGAAAGGUAGGGUUUAAAUGAAUGUUGGCCUGAGACAAAAGGGCGUGGCAUAUUGGGGUCUUAUGGCUUCGUUUUGUUUCAAUUGACGGAGGGAAGCUGAGCGAAAGCUUUGAUAUGUAAAUUUCAGCUUAAUUUAAGCUAGGGUCUUCUUUCGAUUGAAACAGAAAAAGAUUUUGGGUUAUUAAAGUGAAAGAGAUGGAAUAAUACAAAAAAUUAGCAAAGUGAAAGCGAGGGAAUACAAGAUUUAUUAUGGGUCCUAAGAGCUGAAGGCAAUUCGCCAUGGUUCUGAUAUACGGAAAACUUUCUUAGCUUUAUCGGUGGUGGAAGUGAGGGUUAGGGCUAGGGUUCUACACAAUGUCGUUGAGAAUGGCUCAAAGUUCAUUGAUUUUAGGUUGCGGCGAGAGAGGGGUUUAUUCAACACUUGUCGAUAUUUGGCUGAAGUGUUGGUAUGUUUUAAGUUUCAUAAAAACGACGUCGUUAAUUUAAACGUCAUCAUUUUAAGAUAUUAUAAAUCCACAAAACUUGAGCAUCACUUAUAUCUAUAAUUUAUUUAUGUUAGUUAAGUUAUAAGUUAUGAAUAUGUCAUAAACUCUAAACAUAUGAAUAUAUGCCACACCAAUAAAGUGUUGGCUCCAUUAGCAAUGGAGUCCCCUUAAGUGGCUUGAUUGGGUUUGCUCCUCAGUUCUAGUUGCAGGGAAGUCGCCUUUGUUGAGAGAACUUGUGCCUCCCGGUUCGAGCGGGGACUUCUAAUAUGGGUUGUGGUACGGGCUUAAAAGUGUCUCCCACAAUUGGGGCCCUCCUCAAAAUACCUCGUGGUUAAGACAAAAUAUAUAUAUAUAUAUAUGUCACAAAUCUAUCACACUUUCAUGAUACAUUUGUGACGUAUCGAAGGUUCAUGUCAUUCCUCCGGUGCAACAUUCGAAAUAAGGCCAUUGCCCUUGUGAAAUUUGCAUUACUUCUAUUGAAAAUCUACAUAAUAAGAGCUCUCCCGUUGCAUUUUUCGUUGUUUUGCUUUUGCUUUACUUUAAUGUGUCGCUACAUGAACAAGUAUAUUGCAACAUAUGUACCAUCAAUUUUGCUAUGUCUUAUUCCCAAUUUUAUAUAAUACAAAUCAUUUUGAAAUUAUAAUAACAACAACGGGGUCAAGCACAUUUUGUGUCUUGAAGAUUUGCGAGGGCUCCAUCCUACAAAGUUAAAUUAUUAUUGUUGUUGUUGUUAUUAUUAUUAUUAUUAUUAUUGAUGACGAUGAUGUGCUGUUGAUGUUUUUAUUAUUUGAGAGAUGGUAGAAUAAAGUUAUUCAUUUUGGAGCUUAACAGUGGAAAAUAAGGAAAACAAGAAAAAAGUUGUAUUCGUGUUAAUUUCCUUUGUCAUUUCUUGUUUCUAGAAAUAUUUUUGCUUCGUUUAUUCUAUUUUAUUUGCUUAUUUCAUUGGGCUUGCUUCACAUAUCAUAUCUAUCUUUCUUUCAAAAUUUGAAGGGAAGGAAAGUACUUAGAAAAUGCUCUUGCCUAUGAACAUGUAAGAAAAACUGAAUAUCAUUCAUCGGAUAACAAAAAACACUAAUCAGCGCAUAAUCCCUAGAACAAAUAAUUAAACCAUCAAAUGUUAGCUAUGAACAACUAUAUAUCCUAUCAUAUUUAACUUCUAUUUAUGGUCAUAUCCCUAACAUAUUUAGAGUGGUUUUGGAAUUUUGAUUACAUCUGAGCUUUCUCAAAAGCAGAUGCUGUGAAAUGAAGUUACUAUUUGCUUUUCAAAACUGUUAAUAAUGAUAGUAGUUUAGAAACUUGAACCACCACCUACGUGAGUCUGUGAAUUUCACCUUUUUGUUUGAUAAUUGGAGGUUUUCGUUUAAUGCCUAAAUUCGUAAACUGUGGAAACGUUUGAAAGCAUCUAUAGCAUAUUCAUUAAAAUCACGUUUUCACAAACCAAAAAGGGUACUAAUUUGGUCUCGAUGUGUGAAAAGUAACACCUACCUAGCCAUCCAUCAGGUAAGUGAAUAAGUAUAAAAAUAUUAAUAUUUUCUCUGUAGUUCCUAUUAAAAUUGUCUAUUAUAGUUGCAGAAUGUCUAGGAAGUAUAAAAGGAUGUCGUUCAAACAUGAUUAAGAUAGAAAGGGAAAAAAUAAGUAAUUAUCCAUGGACCACUUCAUCUUUUAGCCUUUAUAAAAAACAUACAAACAUUUUUUAUUGUUUUCAACAAUCCAUCUAAUAUUUACAAACUGCAUCACAGCUCCACUACUAUCAUAACCCUUUAAAAAUGUUGCUUAAUCACGAGAACCUAUUACUUGUAAAUUAUUUUUCAAGCAAAUGCAACAAUAGAUCUAGUUUUGAUCUGGGUGACUUUUAAGUGUACAGAAACGAGGAGAACGACCUUAUGUCAAGUUGAAGGAUUAAGAUAAAUCAAUUACAAAUCCAAACAAAACUUAUGAGUGACAUUUUAGUAUUAAGCAAACCUACCAUAAUUAAUCAUCCAGUGAUAGGUUUGUUUUCAAUUAGAGUAAUGAUAGAUAUCUCAAAAUAUUUUAUCCCAAAUGGUGUGUCAUUACUUGAAUAGUAGGUAAUUCUUUCAAGAUUUGAGUGAAUUAAUUGUAUUAUCUCUUCAAUCUAUUGAUAAAUACCAUAUCAUUUGAGAUAAUUUUUUAAGAUAAAAGAUUUAGGAUGUGUGGCACUACUCAUUAAUUAUGCAACUUAAAUGCAAUUUUUUUAAAACCAUUUAUUUUCAUUAAAUUUUGAGCCAUUAAUGAAAUAAAUAUAAGUAAAGCUAUUUGAACCUACUCAUUUUCUCACUACAUCAUUUAUUUAAUCAAAUUAAAAUUUAAUUUUAAAAUAUAAUUCAUUAAAUUAUUUGUUUGACUUUGUUCUCUCUCUCUCUCUCUCCCUUCCUCUCUCAUUCUCUCCAACCAUUUUUUUUUUGUUUACAUAGACUAAAUAUUUCAAUUAACAAAUAAAAUUGUUAUAAAGAAUAACAAAUUUAACCAUAGACACCAAUAUUAAUUAAUAAACAAAAAAAUUGAAGAGUGAUAGAAUUAAAGUCUGUUAUACCACAAUUUGCUUUACUUUUAUAUUUUUAUUUUAGUGCGGAUAUGAUGUAGACAUUAUUUUAGGAUUUUAUAAUUUUUAUUAUUUUAUCGUUUUCUAUUUUAAUUAUAGUCAACUAUGGUAUAUGUCUUAGUUUUUUUAUUUCUAUUAAAAUUGUGAUUUAGUUUUUCUUUUUAAGUUAACUUAGUGAAGUAGGUUUAUUAUAUUAUAAAUCAAAAUCUUAUUAUUGUAACUUCAACUAUUGAUCAACUAAUAAAGCCCUUUUUAAUAAUUCCCUCUAAAAUUAUUUAUUAAAAUCUCUCUUGCAAAGUUAUUUAGAUUAAAACGUCGUCUAAUCUCGCUUUAUGCGUUAUUAAAAUCUCAUUGAGCCAUUGUUAGAAUGAGAUCUACUCACGUUUCGAUUAGGACGUAAACUAUCCACAUUACCUUAGCCAGUAUUAGAACAAUAGCUAAUAUUUCCGACCUAUCAAUUCCACUUCCGCUAUUCCAAUUUGUUAGUUUGUAUUAGAGUGGUUCAAUGCCAAUUGCACAGUUUUCCUGGCUACCCAUAUCCAUCCCCACCAAAUCCAUCAUUGUUUAUGCAACAAAAAAAUAUUACAAAAUUACAAAACCUUAGCAGCCGCCCACCGCCAUUUCCACUCUCCACUAAUAGUUCAUCAUUGGCUAAUCCAUCUACCAAACUCAUUAGCCACUACUGACCAAACCUUAGCCACUCCUGCCAUCAAUCGCCGCUUGUACCUACUAUAAAUCAUCUAGACCUAAAAAUUGGGAGCAUCCACCAGCUGCCACCGUGAAACCAACCAUCUUCACUGUCAACCAACACCACCACUAAACUUGCUAGAUUCCACUGGUCAUAACUUGACAAAACCCACCAAUGAUCACCGCCAUAAAUCGCCACAACGCUAACCCAAAACCCGGGCUUCACCUAGCACCACCGCAAACGCCACUUUCUCAUUGUCGAUAUCCAAAUCGCAAUUGAAAUCUCUAACAUGAAUGAAGCACCACAUAUGCCAAUUCAAGUCAACUUUUUGACCAAACCACCGUGAAUCCAGCCAAUCCUCGGCCAUUGUCGAGUUUCUCACGACCAUAUCUAGCAAAUCUAACCACUAAGGUCACCAGCCCCAGCGAAAGAAACUCUAAAGGAUAACUUUAAUCUUAGGUGUUCAAGUAAAAUGGUAAUUUUAAUCUUAUGACAUCAACAAGAUUCUAACGAGCUAAGAUGACAGUGAAUAAUUAAUAAACUCUAGGUGGAUUUCUACAAAGAAAAACGUUUCUGUGUAUUUUUAAAAAAGACCCAAAGACUACAUGGUUAGUGGAUAAUUUCCUUUUUUGUUCUUAUUUUCUACUAUUAUUAACAAUAAAAGUUUUUCAAUAGUAAUUGUUCCAACCAUUAUAACAAUUAUUAUUGUUAUUGCUGUUGUUGUUGUUGUUGUACAACAAUUGUGAAAUUCUAUCUACACAACCCAGGAGGGCGGUGAAUUGGCUAUUAAAAUUAUACUUACAAAAAUACAAAACAAAUUAAACAAAUGCUUUAAGAAAUUUAUAAUAGCAAAAUUAAACAAUGAAUGCAAUUAAAAAAAUAAAGGAGAAGAUAACAAACAAACGAAUUUUUAUGUGUUUCGACAAAACUCGCCUAUGUUUAUGCCGCCGAGCAAACUAAGUUUGAGGAUUCCACUAUCCAAACCUUCUCAGGCUCCAAGAUUUUACAAUUGACUUUUAAUGUGUCAAUAAACUUUUAUAGUAGUAAUGUGUACACAUACCUCUUUCCCCAAGUGUUUCCCACACUUAUACUCAUAAAAUUUUGAUAUUUAAUUGAAGAUUACAAAGAUUAAUCUCUAUAAGAGUGUAUAAGCAAAUGAUAACUCAAUAAUGAUUUAAUGCAUGUAGAUAAGUAAAAUGAAAGCUCAAGAUUAGUUGUAUGAACAAGUUUUAACUUAAUUGGGAUUGAAAAAGUUGUUAGAUUUGAGUUUGAUUUGGGUUCUUCUAGUUUAAACAAUCAAACUAGUCAUAAUUGACUUUUUGAGGACCCACUGGAUUGCUGCUAAAAUAAAGAAGUUAGUUGCUAUAUUGAUGUGGCAAGUUACCGUUACAAAUAAAAUUUAAAAACUUUUUUGCCUAAGCAAAUCGUCGCCUGAUUUAAAUGGUUAGCAGCUAUGUUUUUGGACCUGAAGCAGUUAGCCACUAUUCGUUAAGUGGUUAGUCGCUACUGUUUCAAAAUUUAUAGAUUUAAACUAAAAGUUCCUAAAAUUAUACUAUGGCCUAAAAUUUUGAAAUAUUUACAAAUAGGUCCACUUCAAGAAUUUAAUACAUUACUAAUUAAUUUCAAAGUUCUCAAAACUUUUCAGUCCAUAAAUUUGAAAACAAUUAAUUUUAUAAAAUCAUUUUUACUUACGUUUAAAACUUUUAUAUUAUAGAAAAUGAUGAUUUAAUUUGAAAAUUGUAUGAAAAAAUAUCUUGAACUCUUAAAUACUAAAUCAUGCAUAAAUUAAAUCAUAUUAGCUUUACAAGAAAUAUAACUAUGAAGAUUGCUUAAGCUAGUACCUUUAGUAUUCAUCCUUGAUUGUUGUUGUCUAUUGAGUGACUUGAAAUUGAUCUCACUUGAAUGAUUUUUGUCCUUCAAGAACUUGUCAGAUUGUGAGAAAUAAAUUUAUCAUUUUACCUUAUGUGGUUUGUUAUCAUCAAAAUUAAGGAUCAUAUAGCCGUUUACCCCAACAAUCUCUCCUUUUUUUAUGAUGACAAACACCCUAUGUAUUUUGACAUUUCUAUUGCCCCUGAGUAUAUGACAUAAUUCAAAAAAUAUAACCAAAUAUAUAAACUCACUCCCUCUAAGUACAUGAUCCAUAUAAUUGUACAACAUUUGUAAACUCUCCUUGAGUGACUCAGAAAGUAACUAAAAUACUACAAACACUCAAUCAACCCCCAUGAGCCAAAAACAUGUCAAAACACUUCAAAAUACAUGUCAAUAUCUUCUCCCCCUUCAUCAUGAAAAAUCACUCCUCUAUUAUACAAAUAUUAUCAAUAAUUAUCCCCUACAAAGAUCAUCAAUCGAAAAUCCACACAUGACCAUUAAUCAAGUAUCCAUAUACAUAAUCCAUAAUCAAUAAAGAUAAUCCAUAAAGAUAAUUAAUAAAGAUACCACAAUCAAUAACUAGAAUGCAUAAAGAUAAUCCAUAUCAACUCAAGUAUCUAUAAUGCAUAAGUAAAAUAAAAUCCAUCAAGUAUCCAUAAUGCUAAAAACGAAAAUGCAUAUGAUAAAUAAUGUCGGUGCAUAAAACAAGGAAGCAAAAGAGAUAAAAGAAAAUCACUGAUGAGGCAGCAAACAUGAUAAUAAGGAUGGUGGCGAAAAUUUGAGAGCAAUGAAAAUAAGCUGGUGAUGGUCUAGAAUUUGUUGUUGUUGAAGAAAGAGACGCUGCUGCUCAGAAAGAAAAUGAUCCUGGAAUGCUGCGAACGAUAUCUUAAGUUCGUUUUACUGUUCGGAUAUGGAACGCACUUUAUUCAACAACUGCUGGAUUGGGUUAUUGGGAAUGGCUGAAGAUGAUGAUGGUGGAGCAUCAGAAGGCCAAUGUAGAGCUUGUGACCUCAGGGAAGAACUAAGAUCAAGAACCCAGUAAGGGGAAGCACAUCGUUAAAGAUGCAAUGAUAAAAAAGAGCCAGCUUUGUGGGUUUUCUCAACAAGUUCUAAUUUUUAACCUAUUGGUCAUCUACCCACCCAAAUCCUAAGCUAGCAAUGACCUCAUCCCUUAACUCCUUGGGUUCAUCAUGAGAUGGUUCAGCUAUAGGGACCCAAAAAUAUUGAAGGAUAUGGGUAAUGACACUACCAACCGAAAAGGAUAGGUUUCCUAUACUCAGUGUAUUAAGCAUGUGCUGAAUGAUAAUAUUCUCACAUUUAGCUUUUACCCUCAAGGAUGCUAUCUAAUAAAGUAACAUCUAAGCGUGUAACCUCAGCACCAUGUCCCUUGUGAGGACUGAUCACAAGCUGAAGGACAUUAUGUAGGAUCCGAACUUGAAGAGGCAACACUUGUGAUCUAAGAGAGGAGUUAAAAAGCUCCAUGGAUAGAUCAGAUCACCUACAUAUGUUUCGAACAUCUAUGUUUCAAAUAUCAUCUACAACUAAAUACCAGGGAUAAUCAAUUUUAAUCCUAGAUGUAUACAAAUGCAACCUAUCAUCUAGGAUUCAUGUUUAAAUCUUCUACAGUAAACUUAAUAGGAAUCCCAAUAACAUUAGUAAUAAUCAUGUUGGCAAUAUUUGUAGAAAUAAGCAUGUUCGAAUAAAAUACUCGUACCAAAUUAGGACAAAUAUGUUCCUUAAGAACUAAGACAUUUGUCCAACCCAAUUCAGCAAGUAAAGUUCUAAGAUUUUUGCUACAACUUGAAAAAUUUUCUAAUUAAUCAAGAUUAACAUAUAUAGUAUGGGAGGACUGACCUUGUCAUAAAUCGAUCAGAGAAUCAUUCCAUUGAGGCAGAUUUGGGAAGUGGGUGGAAAUGAAUUUCAAAAUGUCUUUAUGAAUCUUUUUUUUUUUACAUUUUAGGCAUAUGCUUACCCUUGGACUUCUCACCACUAGCCAUUAAGAAAUUAUCAAAAUGUGUCCAAAAUUGCACAAAUUCGAGUUCACAAAGUUUUUAAAGAAAUAGAUGAUUUUGAACCGAUUAAAAUGUUCUUUGAGAAGAUCUAAGGAAUGUAUGGGUUUAUUUUGGUCGAAAAUGGUCAAAUAAUGGUUCAAAUUUGAGAAUGUUGAAACUGGUGACUUAGGCUUUAAGAUUUUGAGAGAAGAAUGAUUAGAUUGUGUUUUAAAAGCAAAUGUGUGAAGAUUAAUUGAUGGGAAAUGAUUUGGAAAGUUUAAUUUGACACAAAAGUGAUGUAAAAAUGGAAGAUUUUAGAGAGAGAGUAAAAGAAAUGAGAGAUGACAGUGAUAGAGAGAGGGUAACAACUGAAAGUAGGAAAAAGAAGAUGAACAACAUUUGAAAAUGUGAAGCCAGCUAGCCUCUUGAAGAAAGCGGUUAACCGUUUCAUUUUUAGAAACCAAGCAAUUAACCGUUUACUUUGAGCCGGCUGGCCAGCUAGUUUCUGCCUCACAAUUGGCUAGUCGCUUGUGGUUAACGGUUAGCUAGUUCCUCUAAAUUUUGCAUGAUUUUGCUUUUUGGCCAAAAUUUAAUUAAUUUUGAGACCAUUUUGUGAUCCCGAAGUAUUUCAAAAGCCAUUUUUAAUGCAUAAGAUAUGAUGAUAAAUAUUCAAAGAAGUAAAUUCAAGCAUAUAAAACAUUAAAAUCAAGUUUUUAUCAUACAAUCAAUCAAGAUAGAAAAUCAAGCAAAUUUGUAGUCUCAAUAUCAUGCAACGAAAUAUUGAUGUGAAAAUGUCAUCAUUCCAAACUCAAUCCAAAUCUUUGAAAACUAUUCUUCACAAAAAGGCUUUGUAAAAAUAUCAACAAGUUAUUUUUCUAUAGAAACAAAUUCUAAAGCAAUAUCUCUCAUUUGAACAUGAUCACGUGAGAAAUAAUGCCUAGUUUCAAUAUGUUUGGUCCUAGAAUGUUGAAUGAGAUUCUUUGACAAAUUUAUUGAGCUAAUAAUUUAUAUGAGUUCCCUUAGACCAAGAUCAAUUGUUCCUCAUAAAUAAUGAAAAAUUAUUUUAACCGCAAGCAAAUGAGAUUCUUUGAGAUAUGGUUGAAAUCAUGCACACAAACAUACACUAAAGUAAUGUCUACUAGCAGUAAAGUAAAGUAAAGAUAUGAUCAUACCUCGAUAUCUUUUGAUACAACAUCUUUACUUUUUUUAUCCUUAUCGAGCUUGAUUGUAGUACUCAUUGGAGUGUCCUUAGUCCUGAAUGCAAAAUCUUUUGAGUAGAUCUCUGAAAUACUUGGCUUGAUUAAUGAAUUCUUUUUUUCUUUUAAAUUUUAAGUCCAAGAAAGUACUUCUAUUCUCCCAUCAUGCUCAUCUCAAAUUCUCUACUCAUGCAAGAUGAAAAUUCCUUACACAGAAACUCAUUAGUAGAACUAAAGAUAAUAUCAUCAAUAUAAAUUUGAACAAGUAUACCUUGAUCCUUGUAUUUAACAAAUAGAGUAGUAUUCGCUUUACCCAUUGAAAAACUAUUUUCUAAAAGAAAUUUACUAAGUCUAUCAUAUCAUGCUCUAGAUGCUUACUUUAAACUAUAUAAAACUUUGGACAACUUGUAAACAUGAUCCAAAAACAUUUUUCGUUUUUAAAAUGAGGGGGUUGUUUCACUUAAGCUUCUUCAUAAUACAACUAUUUAGAAAGGUGCUUUUAGCAUCCAUUUAAUAUAAAAUAAAAUCAUUAUGAUAUGCAAAUAAUAAAAGCAUGUAAUGGAUUCUAAUCUAGAUACAUGUGCAAAGGUUUCAUCAAAAUCAAUUUCUUCUUUUUGGUUGCAUCAUUGAGCUACUAAUCUAACUUUAUUCCUUACAACCACACUAGAUUCAUCGAUUUUAUUCAUAAAUACCCAUUUACUGCUUAUUACAGAUUGAUGUUAUGGUUUAUGAAUAAGUUUCCAUACAUUGUUUCAUUCAAAUUGAUUUAACUUUUCUUGUAUUGCUAUAAUCCAAGAUUCAUCAUUUUCCACAUCUGAAAAAGAUUUUGGUUCAACUUGAGAUAUGAAUACAGUAUGUUCACAUGUAUUUCUAAGUGAUUAUCUAGUAGUUAUACCUCAUGAAGGAUCUCCUAAGAUUAAGUCUUAGGGUGUGAAGAGACAUACCUUAGCUCCUUGGAGCGUGUUUGUGAAUUACCUUCAUUUUGAAUCUGUUUAACUUGUUCUUCUUGUUGCUUAUCUUGAUUUUUACCUCGUAAAUCAUCUUGUUUGUCUUUUAAAGACUUUUUGUUUUGUAACUCUUCAUAUGCAUCAUCAUCAACAACAACUUCCUUCAUAGAAGAAAAGUUAGAUUCAUCAAACAUAACAUGUAUAGAUUCUUUAGUGACCAAGGAUCUUUUAUUAUACACUCUAUAAGUUUUGCUUGUAUUUGAAUACCCAAGAAAAAUAUCAACAUCAGAUUUUAGAUUAAAUUUACCAAGAUUGUCUUUUGUAUUCAAUAGAAAACAUUUGCAACCAAAAACUUUAAAAUAGUCAAUGUUUUUUCUAUUUUUCCAAAGCUCAUAAGGAGUUUUAUUUAGGUAAGGUCUAAUCAAUGCACGAUUUAAAAUAUAACAAACAAUGUUGACGGCUCCAACCCAAAAAUAUUCUAGUAAAGCAUUUUCAUUUAACAUGGUCCUAGCCAUUUCUUGGAUAGACCUAUUCUUUCUCUCAACUACUCAAUUUUAUUGUGGAGUUCUUGGUGACAAGAAUUGAUGCUCAAUGCCAAAGUUAUUGUAAAAAUUUUCAAAAUAUAAUUUUCAAAUUCUCCACCAUGAUCACUUCUAAUGCAAGAAAUAACAUAUCAUUUUUUAUUUUGAACCUUUUUAUAGAAAUUUUGAAAGCAUUAAAGGUGUCAUCUUUAUUAGUUGAGAGUAAUACCAUGUGUAUAUAGAAUAAUCAUCUAUAAUUAUAAAUGCAUAAUAUUUACCACUUAAACUAGCAUAUUUAGAAAAUUCAAACAAAUCCAUGUGAAAAAGUUAAAGUGGUUUUGAAGUAGAAAUAUGAAUUUUAUUUUUAAAGGACGUUUUAUUUGUUUUCUAAAUUGGCAAACUUCACAAAUUCUAUCUUUUUUAGAACCAAUUUUUAGAAGACCUAUAACCAAAUCAUUUUAAAAAAAUUUUGAAAUCAAAUCCAUGCUCGCAUGACCUAGUCUUCCAUGCCAUAUCAACUAUCAUCAUGUAAUGUGAAAAAAAUAUUUAUCAUGAGUUGAUACACUAUCUAUAUCAAUGGUGUAUACAUUAACACAUCUUUAUCUAACAAAUAAAACUUUGCCAUCACAUGCAUUUUUAAUAACACAUUUUGUUUUAUAAAAAAUAACUCUAUAGCCUUUAUUACAUAAAAAUAACUUUGUAACCUUUAUCACACAAUUGACUAAUACUAAGCAAAUUCUAAAGCAAUAUAUUUCAUUUUUCUUUUUCAAAUCAUUUACAAGUAAACCUUUAUUCUUAGAUGAAACAUUUUGUUUUUUCUUUAAAAGAUGCAAUUUCUUCACAAAUACUUCUAGGCACUUAAUCUUUUUAUUCAAAGUGUCAUUCUCAUUUAAAAGUUCUACUUUUUUCUUUCCAAGAGAAACAUUUUACAUUUCAAUCUUCUUUAAAUCUUUAUGCAAUUUAGAGAAUACUUCAAACAACUCAUCCUAAGAGGUUUACCUCAUCAAGUUCAUCUUCUAUAAUCAUCUCCUAUAACCAUAAGUGCCAAAUUUGACACUUCAUGGGACUACUCUUCAUCUAUAGUCUCCUUAUCGCUAUCAUCCCGUGUUGCUACCAUGGCUUUCUUCUUUAAUUUUUUGAGAAAAGGACAUGCUAGUUUUAUGUGUCUAGGCUUCCUGCAUUUAAAGCAAGUAAUUGCCUCCUUCUUCUCUUUCUGAUUUUUGAAUUUCCUUCGCUCGAUGGAUUUCUUGAAAAUUAUUUUGAAUUUUCCAGCUAUCAUAGCCAUGUCUUCAUUUUCGAUCUCACUUUCGUUGUCACUUCUAGAUCUUGAUGCUUUUAAGGAAAUACUCUUCUUCUUCUCGUCUUCAUUAUAUUUUUUAGUUGUCAAAUCCUUUUCAUAAGAAAUAAAUGAACUAAUUAAAUCAUCAAUAGAUAAAGUAUCCUUGGCUUCCUUAAUGGCAAUUUUCUUAGGUCUCAAUUCUUUUGGUAAAGACCUACUGAUUUUUUUUACCUUCUCGCUGUUUGAAAAGGUUUUUCUAAGAGUUCCUAAAGUGUUUAUAAUGUCUGUUAAUCUAGUGUAUAUAGGAUUAACACUCUCAUUUUGUUCCAUUUAUAGCAAUUCGUAUUGCCUAGUAUAUUUACUAAUUUUAGACUAUUUGACUUGAUUUGUAGCUUUAUAAACGACUUUAUGUUUUUUCCAAAUUUCAUAAGCAUUGGAACAACCUUAAACUCUAUAGAAUUCUUUUUUAUCUAAGGCACAAAACAAAGCAUUCAUGACUUUGAAAUUAAGAGAAUCUUUUCUCUUUUCCGACUCAUUCCAUUCUUGUGAAGGUUUUAGAAUUUCUUUCCCUUCUUCAUUUUUAGCAGUAGGCAUGAAUGGACCAUCACAAUCAACUUCCUAUAUUUCAUAAUAUAAUGCUUGCAAAUAAAUUCUUAUCAUAAUUUUCCAACAUAGAUAAUCAUUCCCAUCAAAGAAUGGUGAUCUAGUAAGGGAUUAACCUUCCCCAAAUCUGGGAUCAUUUUGGAUUACUAUGGAUCUUUUACUCUAGAUGGUUAAGUCCUAACAAGAGAACUUCCUCUGAUACCAAAUGAAAUUCUAGCUAAGCAACCCAAGAGGGGGUGAAUUAGGUAUUAAAAAUUAUACUAACAAAAACACAAUACAAAUUAAACAAAUGCUUCAAGAAAUUUAAUAAUGGUAAAUUUAACUAUGCGUGAAAUUAAAAAGAUAAGGGAGAAGAUAACAAACACAUGAAUUUUUAUGUGGUUCGGCAAACCCGCCUAUGACUACGCCUCCAAGCAAUCCAAACUUGAGAAUUCUACUAUCCAAACCUUCCAAGGCUCCAAAAUUUUACAAUUGACUUCUAAGGUGUCAAUAAACCUUUACAAGUAAUUAUGUAUACACACACCUCUUUUCCCAAGUGUUUCCCACACUUAUACUCACUCAAUUUUGAUAUUUAAUUGAAGAUUACAAAGAUUACACUCUAUAAGAGUGUAUAAGCAAAUGAUAGCUCUAUAAUGAUUAAUGUAUGUAGAUAAGCAAAAUGAAAGCUCAAGAUAUAUGAAUAAGUUUUAGCUUAAUUGAGAUUGAAAAAAAUUGUUAGAUUUGAAUUUUAUAGUUUAAACAAUCAAACUAGCAAUUAUUGGCUUUUCUAGGGACUUGCUGGAUCGCCGUUAAAAUGAGGCGAUUAGCCACUAUGUUGAUAUGGUAAGUUACAGUUGCAAAUCAAAUUUGAAAACUUUGGUUCAAGCAGAUUACCACUUGAUUUAAGCGGUUAGCUGCUAUGUUUUUGGACUUGAAGUAGUUAGCCGCUAUUGGUUAAGCGAUUAGCCACUAUUGUUCUAGGAUUUAUAGAUUAGACCUAAUUUUUUUGAAAUUAUAUUACGACCCAAAACGUUUGAAAUAUUUAUAAAUAUGUCAAUUUCGAUGAUUUAAAACAUUAUUAGUUGAUUUCAAAGUUCUCAAAACUUUUCAAUUUAGUCCAUAAAUUUGGAAAAAGCAACUAAUUUUAUAAAAUCGUUAAAACUUUUAUAUUAUAGAAAAUGAUGAUUUAAUUUAAAAAUGUCAUGAAAAAUAUCUUGAGCUUUUAAAUGUUACAUCAUGCACACGUUCAAUUAUACUAUCUUUACAAGAAAUUUAACAAUAAAGAUUGCUUAAACUAGUACCCUUAGUAUUCAUCCUUGAUUGUCAUUGUCUAUUGAGUAUCUUGAUCUUGAUCUCACUUGAAUGAUUUUUGCCCUUCAAAAACUUGUGAGAUUGUGAGAAAUAAAUUUACCAUUGUACUCUAUGUAGUUUGUUAUCAUCAAAAUCAAGGAUUAUAUAACCAUUUAGGCCAACAAAAUAUUAUAAUAAAUAAUAAUUAUUAUGAUAAAAAAUUAAAGAUAUUUUGUAAUUUGUAACAACUCAUCGUGAUUUUAAAAUAAAAUAAAUAUAUCAAUGAUGAUAUAAUUUAUUUUAAUUUUAAUUUUUACAAUUUAAAUAAAUUAAUUAAUUAUCAUUCCAUAUUUUAAUUCCAACUCAUUCCAUUCCAAUUCAUUCAUAUUUUAAUCAGUAUAUCAACUACCCCCGAGCAAUGCCCGAAAGACAUUGAGGCAAGGGCCACAGAAAAAUAUGCACUUGUUAGCUUAGCGUUGGUGUCAAGUUUCUUUAGCAUUUUAAAUUCAUAAAAGAACUUAUAGUGUUUCUUCAUCCUUUGGCCUUUUCGGUGUUUACUUUCUGGAGUGAGUGUCAGCAGUGUGAAUUCCUCCCACUCCAGUGUUUACUUCACCAUUUUAAGGAGGGAUUGGGAAUCCCACUCCAUGGACCCCACUCAUUUUUGGAGUGGGGAGUGUGAGUGGGACUCCCAUGGGAAACCCACUCCCACCUCUCCAUUUUCUACUUUUAUUUAAUUAAAUUUAAUAUUUUAUAUUUAAUAAAAUAAAAUAAAAUAAAUAAUAUUAUUAUAUUAAUAGAGAAUUAAUAAUAUUACUAUAUGCUAUCUUUAUUUGAAGAUAUCAUAUUAUUAUAUUUAUUUAAAAAUAAUAGUAUUAUAUUUAUUUAAUAUUAAUAAUUAAUAAUAAUAAAUAGUUUAUUCUAAGAAAAUAUUAAUUUUGUACUAAAUAAUAUUAUAUUAUUAUUUAUAUAAUAAUAAAUUUAAUAUAAUAAAAUAAAAAAAUAUUUCAUUUUAUAUUUACCUUCCUUUUUUAACCCCCUUUUAUUAAAUUUACUAUAAUUAUAUUUAAUAAAAUAAAAUAAAUAAUAUUUUAUUUAUUUAAAUAAUAUUAUUAUAUUUAACUAAAUAAUAAUUUGGUUUGAUUCUAAGUUUAAAUUACUUAAAAAUAAUAAUAUUAUAUUAAUAGAGAAUUAAUAAUAUUACUAUAUACUAUCUUUAUUUGAAAAUAUAAUAUUAUUAUAUUUAUUUAAAAAUAAUAGUAUUAUAUUUAUUUAAUAUCAAUAAUUAGUAAUAAUAAAUAGUUAAUUAUAAGAAAAUAUUAAUUUUGUACUAUGUUCAUAGUAAAAAUGUUUCAUUUACAUUGCUCUUAUCAAUAAUUUUUAAUUUAUAUAAUUAAAAUUAAAAUUAAUAAAAAAUUAUGAUGUACAUAAUUAAGAAUAUUAAUAAUUAUUAUAAAUUUACAAAUAUAAUAAAAUAAAUGUUUAUUCAUUAAACAUAUUUUUUUAUUAACUUUGUAAUUAAAAACUAUAAUUCUUUAAAUAAAGGUAAAAUUAUAAUUUGAAACUAUUUACUUCCAAUCCAAGAUAAAGUAAACACAUAAAUUGGAUUAUAAUUUUCAUUCCGUGCUUAUAUUCCAGUGUAAGUAAACAACUUACACCCACUUUUACUCCAUACUCUCAAUCCUAAGAUUUCCACUCUUCAAGAUUCUCAGUCCAAUCCAAAAUGUAAACACUAUCUAUGGUAAUUGUUCACGCAACUAUUUUAAUCGAAAAUAUUUUAAUCGAAAAUAUUUUAAUCGAAACUAAUAGACCUUUCAACAAUUUUAAUCGAAAAUAAUAGACCUUUUAACAAUUUUUGCGGAUUCUGGCAAUUGUUCAGGCAACUAUUUUAAUAGAAAAUAUAUAUGGCUCCAUAAACAAUGAUUAUCUCUUGACAGCUGUUCUGGACUCGCUAUUUGUACUGAAAUAGAAGAUUAUCUCUUGAUGAUUAUUUAAUUGAAAAGAAUUUGUCGUUUAUAUUUGUUCACCUGGCCUUUGGAUGAGGAUCACAUGUUUUAUGACAAUCGUAAUGUUACUAAUGUAAGUCAAGCAAUUAUUUUUAAAUAAUGAUAUUAUAAUUAAAAAUCUAAAAACAUUUAUAAUACUUAAAGACUAAUUCAGAUUAUUAAUUUUUUUAUAUGACUUCAUUAUUAGCUGACAAAUAAUUAAAAGGCCAUAGAUCAAUAUUUUUAGGUCCAAUUUUUAAUUUAAUAUGACACAACUUGUACUUUCAUUCCUAUACUAAAGUAUAUCGAACCUACUAAUAAUUAAGAAAUAUAUAUAUUCAACACAUAUUUGUUAGAAAGAUUAUCUACUAAUUAAUCAUUGAUUACGAGAUUAAUAUAUUGAAAUUCAGAACUUUUUUUUUUCCUUCUGCAGUUUAAAAAGGAGUCGCCCUCUUGAUCCCCGUAUUCGUCAGCUUCUACUCUUUGCCUUCAAUUCUCAGUCAAGAAAACCUCUCCUGAUUUUCGUCUUUUGAUCUCAUACACACUUUGCUUCUGUUUAUCGUGGUCACUGCUCGUGCUAGCCGUUUUCUUAUUUAUCUUUGUUCCCUUUUUCCAUCAGCUCUUUGCAUUUUCAUUGGAUCAAGCAACCCUUUUCUUGAUUCAAUUUUCUGAUCUCAAAAACACUUUGAUUCGCUUCUGUUACACUGAUUUUCCCCUUGUUUUGUACAAAUAUCAUUUCUUUUUUCAACUUUGCCUUGUUUUGCUUCUACUUGAUUAUCAAUUGCACAGCCGUUGACCCUGUUCUAUUUCUAUUUCGUUCACUUCCCCAAAAAAAAAAAAAAAAAUGGACAUUUUGAAAAGCAUUGUUCCAGGAGUUGUAAACUGCUUGUCUCCUCACGCACAACGCGAAUUUUGUUAUUGGUAUAACUCCGCUGCCAACUUUGAGAAUCUCAAGGAAGAACUCGAUAGGCUCAAGGAUGAAAGAGAAAGCGUUCAGCGCAGAGUUUCUGAGGCUGAAAGAAAAAGUGAAAAGAUUGAAGAGAAGGUUGAGAAAUGGCUGGUUAAUGCGAACAAGAGCAUUGAGGAGGCAGCCAAAUUCAUUCUAGACGAAGAGAAAGCAAAUGAACGAUGUCUCAUGGGGCUGUUUCCUAAUUGGAUUACUCGCUAUCAGCAUGGAAAGAAAGCAGAAACAGAGAAGGAGGCCCUUUUUAAACUCCGAGAAGAAGCUGGGAGAUUUGAUGAUAGAAUUUCCUACCGUACCAUUCCGGAGGAGAUUUGGCUCAAGUCUCACAAAGGCUACGAGGCCUUCGAAUCAAGACGUUCUACUUUGGAGGCUAUAAAAAAGGCAUUGAUCGAUGUUGAUGUCAGCAUCAUUGGGGUGUACGACAUGGGCGGCAUUGGAAAGACGACACUGGUGAAGAAGGUCGCCAGGCAAGCUAUGGAAGACAAGCACUUUGAUAUGGUGGUCUUUUCAGAGGUUUCGCAAACUCCAGACAUAAAACAGAUUCAACAGGAAAUUGCCGAGAAGUUGGGCUUGGAGUUGCGCGAGGAAGCUGAAUCUAGAAGAGCUAGUAGACUAUAUGAAAGAUUGGAGAAUGAGAAGAAGAUCCUUGUGAUUCUGGAUAACAUCUGGAAACCUCUUGAUUUGGGGACUAUUGCAAUUCCUUUUGGAGAAGAUCAUAAAGGCUGCAAACUACUGCUGACAGCAAGAGAUCGUAGUCUCCUCUUAAAAAUGGGAUCUAAAGACAACUUUUUGAUAAACAAUUUAAAUGAAGAAGAAGCCUGGAGAUUGUUUAAGAUGAUGGCCGGAGAUGAUGUUGAAAAUCGUGAGUUGAAAUCUACAGCAAUAGACGUCGCCAGGGCAUGUGGAGGUUUGCCCAUUGCCUUGACUACAGUGGCAAAGGCACUGAGAAGCAAGAGUCUUCAUGAAUGGAAGAAUUCCUUGCGAGAACUCCGAACGCCUUCAAUGGUAAACUUCGAAGGAGUAUCUGCAGAGACUUAUUCAAGUAUUGAGCUGAGUUUCAACCAUUUAAAAGGUGAGCAACUCAAGAAAAUUUUUCUGCUCUGUAGUCUAAUGGAUAACCGUAUUCUUACUUCGGACUUGUUUAAGUACUCCAUGGGUUUGGGUAUAUUUAAAGGAGUCAAUAAGAUGGAAGAUGCACGAGACAAAUUAUAUGCAUUGGUCCAUGAACUUAGACACUCUUGUUUGUUGCUUGAGGGUGAGAGCAAUGAACAAUUUUCAAUGCAUGAUGUUGUUCGUGAUGUCGCAAUAUCAAUUGCAUGCCGCCACCAACAUGUGUUUUUGGUGAGAAAUAAGGAUGUGUGGGACUGGCCAGAUGAGGAUGCACUUCGAAAAUGCAAUGCGAUCUCUUUAAGAAAUAAUAGUAAUCGUGAAUUUCCUGAAGGAUUAGAAUGCCCAAACCUUGAAUUUUUAUUUAUCUCUCUCAAAGAUUCUUCUCUUGAAAUCAAUAUUCCUGAGAACUUUUUUGUAGGGAUGAAAAAGCUUAGAGUUCUAGAUUUUACUCGAAUGCAGUUUUCUUCUUUUCCAUCUUCAAUUGAUCUUCUACCAAAUCUUCAGACACUAUGUCUGGAUCAAAGUGCGUUGGGGAACAUAGCAAUCAUUGGAAAGUUGAAGAAUCUAGAAGUCCUUAGCUUUUUGAAGUCUGAUAUUAUGCAGUUGCCCGGAGAACUAGGUCAAUUGAAUAAGUUGAGAUUGUUAGAUUUAACCAAUUGUUUCCAUCUAAAAGUUAUUGCGCCUAAUCUCAUAUCAAGCUUAACUCGAUUAGAAGAGCUGUAUAUGGGUAAUUGCUUCAUUGAAUGGGAGGUUGAAAGAGCCAACAGCAAAAGAAGUAAUGCUAGCCUUGACGAAUUGAUGCAUUUACCUCGGCUAACCACUCUAGAAAUUGACGUUAAAAGUGACAAUAUUUUACCAGAAGGUUUUUUGGCCAGAAAGCUCGAAAGGUUCAAAAUAUCUAUUGGAAAUGAGUCAUUCAUGCCUCCCAAGAGUGUUAGAGGAUCAACAGUUAUCGCAAGAGUUUAAGAGGAUUGAAGCUCAAGCUUGAUUUUAUGGACAUUUGCUCCAUGAAAUUGCAGGGCAUCAAUAACGUUGAAUACUUAUGGUUGGACAAGCUGCAAGGCACCGAGAAUGUUCUUUUCAAUUUGGACACGGAGGGCUUUUCACAAUUGAAGCUUCUCUGGGUUCAAAAUAAUCCUGACUUCUUUUGCAUCGUCGAUUCAAGGGAGAUGGUCGCUUGUGAUGCCUUUCCUCUUUUGGAGUCACUUACCAUUCGCAAUUUGAUCAACAUGGAGAGGAUAUGUAUUGAUCGGCUCAAAGUAGAGUCUUUCAACAAACUCAAAACCAUAGAAGCAUAUAAUUGUGAUAAAUUGAGUAAUAUCUUUUGGCUCUCUACAACAAAAUGUCUUCCAAGACUUGAGAGAAUUGCAGCUAUUAAUUGCAGCAAGAUGAAAGAGAUUUUUGCAAUUGGGGAAGAAGUUGAUAAUGCAAUUGAGAAGAUAGAGUUUGCUCAAUUAAGAUCUUUGAGUCUGGGGAAUCUUCCAGAGGUUACAAGUUUUUGCCUCCAUGAGGUGAAGACUCCUUCAGCAUCACCGAACAGACAAGUGUCGCAAGAGGAAUCGACGACUAUGUAUUGCUCCAGCGAAAUCACUUUGGAUACUUCAACUCUGCUUUUCAACGAGAAGGUGCGUAGGCUAACAUUUUCUUCAUAUGUAACAGAUUUUAUUCAUAUAUAACGUUCUCUUUUGACGUCAUACGUGGAAAAUAAUUAAAUCAUUUAAAGAAUUGAAAGAAAAUGGAAAAAAGGAUAAAAAGAAUCUCACUCGCUCACUAAUUGAGCUCUUAACAAGUAGUAUGAAUUAGAAUGCAUACUCAGCUGUCAGUUGGAAAUUGAUUCAGACUUGCAUUAAUUUGCAAUCAAAGAAGAAAUUUUCAACAAGUGCUUCCCAUAUGGAAAUUGGAUCUAACGAGGAAUUCUUAUUUUUUUAGGUUGCGUUGCCUAACUUGGAGGCUUUGGAGAUAUCUGAAAUUAAUGUCGACAAGAUUUGGCACUACAAUCACCUUCCGAUCACGUUUCCUCGCUUUCAAAAUUUAACACGAUUGAUUGUGUGGCAUUGUCACAAAUUAAAAUACAUAUUUUUAGCGUCUAUGAUCAGAAGCCUUAAGCAGCUCCAACACCUAGAAGUACGCUUCUGUGAGGAUUUACAGGAGAUCAUUUCUGAGAACAGAGCAGAUGAAGUGAUCCCUAAUUUUGCCUUUUCACAGCUCACCACUCUGAGACUCGAAGAUCUACCAAAACUUAGAUAUUUGUACCCUGGAAUGCAUACUUCGGAAUGGCCCGCACUAGAAAUUCUUUUAGUGUAUCGUUGUGACAAAUUAAAUAUAUUGGCUGCAGAUUUAUCGCAGAAUAAUGAGAAUGAUCAACUUGGUAUUCCUGCACAACAGCCCCUAUUGCAGUUGGAAAAGGUAUGAAGCCAUUUUCUAGAUUUUUUAUCAAUAGUGUAUUUUGAACUUUGAAAAAUAUGACAAAGCAUCAAUAAAUUAAUACUCAAUAAAUUGAAAACUUUUAUUAUACAAUAAUCUUUGCUAGUCUAGACUAAAAGAGUUUGUUUGUUAAAUGUCUGAAGUUUGAAAUUUUAUUAAUUUCAGACCUUUUCCAACAUAUGCUUAUUUGUUUUUUUGGAACUUAUUGUUUGUUUUUUGGAACUUAUGUUUGAUUUUCAGACAUUUACAUAUGAAUAGAAAAAGUAAACUUUUGUGACUUUUAUUUGAAUGGAAAAAUGUCUGAAUGACAAGUAAAUAUUAAAUUCCAAAAAUAUCCUUGUAAAAUAAUUUAUUUCCUAAACUAUAAAAUGUUAUCCUCUUUUUUGUUUUAAUUUACAAGGACAUAAAUGUCAAAUAACCAAAUUAAGAUGUUUUUUAUUAUAAAAACAAACAAGAUGCCACUUAUAUUCAGAUAUUUAAAAAAGAAAAGGGAAAAGGACAAACACACCCCCAACGUUUAGGUAAAGGGACAAAAACCUCCCUAAUGUUUCAAAAAAGACAUUUACACCCCAAUUUAUUAUAAUUUUACCAUUAUACCCUUCUAGCAUAUAAAAAAAUUAUUAGAUUAUCCAAUUUGUCUAUAUAUUGUUAAUAAAAUUAUAAAUAUACCCUCAUUGCCUCAUUCCUCUAUUUAAAUUUUUAUCAAUAACCAAUUUUAAAGAAAGACAUCUACACACUUAAAAAAAAUUGUAAAUAAAUUAUAAUUUAUAAAAAAUUGGUUAUGAAUACCAUAAUAAAUAACAUAGAAAAUUGGUUAUAAAUGUACAAGUUUAAAUGAUUGACAUGUGGAGAAUUGUUAAAUAUACAAGUUUAAAGUUUAAAUAAAAUUGGUUAUUAAUAACCAAUUUUAUUUUUUAAAUUAUAAUUUAUUUACAAUUUUUUUAGGUGUAUAGAUAUCUUUUUAAAAAAUUGGUUAUUGAUAAAAAUUUAAAUAGAGGAAUUGGGCAAUGAGGGUAUAUUUAUAAUUUUUUUUUAAUAUCCAAAUUGUCUAUUUAUAAUUUUAUUAACAAUAUAUAGACAAAUUGGAUAAUCUAAUAAUUUUUUUUAUAUGCUAGAAGGGUAUAAUGGUAAAAUUAAAAUAAAUUGGGGUGUAAAUAUCUUUUUUAAAAUAUUAGGUGGGUUUUUGUCCAUUUACCUAAACGUUGGGGGUGUGUUUGUUAUUUUCCCAAAAGAAAAACAAACAUGUCAUUCAUAUUUUCGUAAUCAGACCCAUUCAGACUUUAAAAAAAUUUAGACUCAUUUAGAUUUCAGACAAAAAAAACAAAAGCUACCUAAGGGAUCAAUGUGGUAGAUUAAUAAUUAUAUGAACUUUUUUAGGUAUAAAAUUUAUAACUAUAUGAACUUUUUAAGUCUUUCCAUAUAGAAGAACUUACAAAAUAAAUUAGUAAUUUACUAUUGUGCAAUAAAAUAAUUUCGUUUUUUUCCCUAAUUUCUUUAUUACCUCUAAAACUAACAUAUAAAAAAUUCAUAUAAUGAAUUUUAUCACUAAUUCAAUUUUUUUAGGGGUAAAACUAAUAUAAAAUAAAUACUAUAAAGUCACUGCUUGUGAUUGGAUUACUCAAAAUCAUUUGAGAGAACAUCAAUUGACCUCAUUAGUUAUUAUGAUUGAUGAUGAUCAGAUCGUACCCAACUUGAAGGAACUAUCACUAAGUGGAAAAGAUGUGAAGAUGAUUUUGCAGGCCGAUUUCCCACAACACCUUUUUGGCAGUCUCAAACAACUAGAGAUUGUUGGAGAUGACUCAGCUUGUUUUCCAAUCUGGAAUGUACUGGAGAGAUUUCACAAUCUCGAAAUACUCUCACUGUUUCAAUUUUCAUUCCACGAAGAGGUAUUUUCGGAGGAAGGAAGCUUAGAGAAACAUGUGGGGAAGUUGGCAAUGAUAAAAACAUUAGAGCUGCGCUGCCACUAUCAUCUGAAGCAGCUGUGCAAACAAGACUCCAAACUUGGCCCCAUUUUUCAGUAUCUUGAAAUUCUGAGUGUACUUCAUUGUCAAAGUCUGUUAAUUCUAUUGCCAUCAUCAUCGGUAUCUUUUGGGAACCUAACAAAACUUGUAGCUUUCGGUUGCAAGGGAUUGAUACACAUGGUAACAUCCUCCACAGCAAAAACUCUAGUGCGACUCGUAUCACUUUGUGUAUACGGAUGCAGAGCAAUGACAGAGGUGGUAAUAAAUGACAAAGAUGGAGUUGAAAAGGAAGAGAUUGUUUUCCGCAAAUUGAAGAUGUUGGAUCUGCGUGAUUUAGAUAGCCUCACAAGUUUCUGCUCUGCCAAUUACACCUUUGAAUUCCCAUGCUUGCAAGAUCUAUUUGUGAUUGGUUGUCCCAAAUUGAAGAUUUUCACUAGAGGAGAAUCAAGCACGCCUCCGAGAGUAAACGUCUGGUAUGGAGAGACAUCGAAUCAACGGCGUUGGUCUAGUAAUGAUCUUAACACGACCAUACAACAAUUACAUGCUGAGAAGGUACGGAUAUACAUGUUACUCUCUAUCUCCCAUGGAAAAAUUUUACAAAAUUUGCUUUUUCUUUUUAAAUAAAAUAUCGAUAAGAUAUUUGUUAUAAAGUUAGUUUAAAUUGAUGAAUAAGAAUUUUAUUUUCAGCUGUUGGCGGGGUCGUCGUCAUACUCUGUGGAUUACGACUAAUUUCAUAGGCUUCUUAUGACUUGGAGUUACGAAUUUGAAGAAGAAAGUCCCGGCUGGUAAUUAAUUCUUAUUUUAUUUAUUUGAUCUCGUGGGUUGUUUCACAACUUCAUCUCAAUUGUUUAGAAUGGGUCACUUGGUUUACUGUCAAUAUGGAAUGCACUUUUCAUGAUUCGUUCAGGCUUUUAUGGGCAGAUUUUGCGUCAUUGAGCGUCUUUUGGCCUAAUGUAAUUUAAUUUGAGUAUUUUGUUUUGAGAGUUCCCUUGUUCUCUAAAAUUUUAUAAUUCCUUGCAAGCAUUUUAUGAUGAAAUUUCAUUAAGAGGGGCAACACUUGCAUGUUGAAAGUGUUCAGAUUUUAUAAUUCCUUGAAAUCAUGCAAACUUUUUUCUUUCUUUCCUUGCCAAUUAUUUAUUGUCAUCGUUACUGUUCCGUUAAAUUUGUUUGUGCUCUGUUUGUUCAUUGGAAACUUGGAAGGCAACGAAAGUACUUAAGAAAAUGCUCUUGCCUAUGAACACAUAAUUAAGAAGCUGAAUAUCAUUCAGCGGGUAAUAUAUAUAUAUAUAUAUAUAUAUAUAUAUAUAAUUAGCCCAUUAUGCCUACAACAAAUCCUUACACCAUCAAAGGUUAGCUAUGAACAACUAUAUUAUGGAAAUAUUGUUUGAAAGCAUUGGAUAGAAUUUUCAAAAAUAUCAAGUUUUCACAAACCAAAAAGGGAACUAAUUUGGUCUAGUUUUGUGACAAGUAUAGAAGCACAAUAUUUUGUCUGUUAUUCUUGUUAAAAUUCGCAGCACUGAGUUUGCAGAAUGUCUGGAUACUGAUGGAGAUUCAAGUCACUCUUCUUCUGUGCAACAUUCGAAAUGAAGACUUUUUUCCCCCUCUAUUCAAAUUUUAUGUUGUGAAGGGUUUCCGUUUCCAUCUUCAUGUGAUUUACUUCACCGUGUCGCUACAUCUAUGAUAGUGUGUGUUAUAUCCUGUCUGUUUCCUUUGUUUGACCAUCGAAAGUUCAAAGACAAUUUAUUCUAAAUAUGUGUAAAUUCAUUUUCUGUAUAAGCUCUUUGUAUGCAUUUUGACAUUUUAUUCUCAAUAUGGAUGACUCAAUGAGAGGUCUUUUGUUAUAUAUAUGUCCCGAAUUUCUUGUGUAUUUUUAGAUUUGAUGAUGUAUUAUUGUCUCAUUGCAAGGUCUUAUAAUCACUGAUUCUCAUUUCUCGUAUACAUACGUAUAUAUGGGCAAGAAAUUUGGUAAAUGAUCUAGUCAUUUUCUCAGUAAAACAUCUAGUACUUUAUAUGUUGGAAGGGUACUAAGCAGCAGGCCAAGAUUUGUCAACUCAAAGAUCGUCAUGUCAUUUUUUAAAAAUAUUAAGGAAUACUAAGGAACCCCAAGAGAAAAUUUAGAAAUACUAUAGGGACUACUUCUGCAUUGUUCAUUUUCGCAAUUACCUGCAUUAUUAUUUUUGUUUUCAAUUAAUCAAACUUCAGUUCCUUAGCAUUCAUCUAAUUAUGUACUUCAUCUGGAAAUCCUUAAUUUACUCAUCAAAAUGUGAACGCUAAGGAAACUAUGAAAAUAAAUAUAAAACUACUAGCUAAGUUUAUCAUCACAUAUGAGCAGCACUAGAUUAUCAAAUAAUCAUAAAAGCAUAUAAAUUCAAGCUACUGUAUUAUAUGUAGCUUGCUAAUUUGUGUUUAUAAAGAAUUUAGUUAUGCAACAAAAUGGGACACGAAAGUAGCAAAACUUCAUCAAAUACUCUGUUUUGUAGUACUUCAACAUAUCUACUGGCUAAGAAGUACCAUCACAAAUGAAAAUGUCGGCACAAAUAUUCAAGCAAGUGCAAGUAUCAAAAGUUGGUGGAUUAUUGUGGUUUUCCUACUUUGUCGUUUUUGGUUGAAUAAAUUAAUAAAAGCUGUCGAUUCUGCAUUAAAGCUUAUGAAUUGUGAAGAUAUGAAUACCAAAUCUUUCCAACUCCAACUCUUGAGUAAUUAUUAGGUUCCCACCCAUGCAAACAUAUUUUCUUUCGAGAAAAAGGGAUGCCUGAUUCAGGGCAUCCGUUGCCUCGGUUUAUUUGAUUUUGUUUGGUUCAAUUAUAGUUCUGUUAUUUAGUUUUUCCUCUGAUGAUUCUGUUUCUCUGUAUAUUUCACUGGGUUUGCUUUGCUUCACAUCUUUCUUUCAAAACUAAGAAGGCAAGGAAAGCGAGUCUGUAAUUAGAAAAUGCAAGUAGCAUAUAUCAAAUCAUGCAUAUGCUUAUGCUCUUGCCUAUGAACACAUAAAGAACAGCUGAAUAUCCUUCGUCGGAUAACAAAAAAUAAAAUCUAAUCAUCCAUUAUCCAUACAAGUAAUGAUAUCAUUACUUUUAGCAAAUUAAAGGUGUUGUAUCUUUUUUAUUUAAAAAGUCUCUUAAGAUUUUUAUUUUUCCGGUAAUUACACCUCCAAAUUUCCACAGCUAUAAUGUCAAUUUGUAAUUAUUUGUCCCAAGAUGCAGAUUUUCACUAGAGGAGAAUUAAUAAUUACGCUAUUUCGGCCCAGAGGACCAUGAAGCCCCUUGGGUUGUUGACAUUAACACUAGUGCGUUUACCAACCUAAACCUUCGGUUUGGUCAACAGUUUCUAAAUUGGUUUAGGUCAACAGUUUCUAAAUUGAACCUAUGGUGAAUGGAGGAAAAAGAAAAAGAGAUUUAUCAGAAACCUCCCCUGAAGUUUGGCAUAUUCUUAGUUUAAUAGAUUGUAUUUGUGUAUUCUCAAAUACCUCCCCUGGUGGCUGGUGCUAGUAUACCUUUUCUUAAUACCCCUAAUUUAGAAAAAAAUAAUUUGUAUACUGAAAAUAAAAAAUUGUUGGUUAGCACCAGCAUGUUUGUUUUGGUGCCUAAGGGAUGUGAAUGCAAUGAAAAUAUCCAAUCACCCCCGUUACUUUCCAAAAUGACUUUGAUAAAUGAAACAAACAAAAGAUUUAAGUCAAAUAUCAAAGAAUCAGAAGGAAGCUGUUUUGCACUGGCCUAAUUGCUAUGCUUUCUGAAUCAAAUUUCGUUCAAUCUUGGUGUCCCUCUUUUAUUCAAUAUAAGAAGAAUGAAAAAAGUAGGUUGUUUUUUACACAAGUGAUAGAAAUACUUCUUAACUUUAGACAGUGUAACACCAUACACAUCAAAGAAAUAAGACAACAAACCAUUUCCCAUGCAUAAAGCCAACAAAAUUACUAUUUAGUACAAGGGAUGCAACAUAAUUUUAAAUUUUAUUCCUCAAGAGCUACAAGUGAUACAAAUGAGUACACAAAUCAACCAUCUGUAGCUUAACCAGAAGAUGAUGCAAAUGCAUGAAAAUGAAAAAGCCUACGAAUAGUAUACAUGGUAAGUAUGACUAAGUAAAAUAACAAUUCUGAUUGAUAAUACCACCAGCAACAGGACCUUCAUACCUUCUCUUUAUUAAUCACUAGUUGGUAUGCUAUAGCCCAGCCAAGUGUAAAAUGAAUGGCGAUCGAGCUCUUGAGCCUCGGUAUACCCUCCAUAAGUUGUCUUGCUAAAACCCAAGAAAUAGCUUAUAAGAUGAAAUGGACCGCCCAUGGUUCAUACAAAGAAAAGAAUAAGCCACAUAUUAAUUGAAGCUAACAACAGACAUAAAAUGAUAAAUGAAAAAUGCUCACCUUCAGAAUGAAGUCAAUGUAAUGAAGAGCACCAUUCUCAAAUUCAGUUCUGCCACCUGGAAAAAUGUGGUAUUCACCAGUAACUUUAACCCCAUUUUGCUAACCCUUAACUUCUGCAAGCUUUGUGUGGGGAAAAUUAUAAUACCAAAUCUAUCCCACACAUCAUGAGAACAAAUCUUAGCCCAAGUGAAUUAAAAGUAGUCAAGUAUAUAUUUUAUAAUGCAUAAUAUAAGAUCAUACCCUAUCCCUGCUUUGGGGCCACUUAAUUGAGUGUUUGUAUCCUUCCAGUAAAGGAGCAAUACAGGUACAAGCUUCUUCAGGGCAAUACCUCUCUCGAUGUUCAUAAUGCUUUUGUGCUGGAAAGCAUUCUAAUUGCUUGCAAAUUGUCCAGGCAAGGGAUGCAAUCUGGCCUAGCAGUGGCAUUACACACUUUCCAGCGAUGACCAUACUGGUCCUUAGAUACAGAAGAUUGUUGUGAUAUUUUCUGAUUCUAUGACUCAAUAGGUUGAGUUGAGCAAGCCCCAUUCUGAGCAUUAGUUUCCUUCAGAAUUUCUCAGUAGUCACCAAAAGGAAAAAUCUCAGUUGAAGCCUGAUCCUUUCAACAACUCUCAGUGUCAUUAUCUUGAUCUUGAGAAUCCUUCUCCUUUUCAAUCUGACUAGCCUGAUCCAUUUAUUUUCAUCCAAGCUCUUCUCUGAUUCAAUUUGCUCAAUUUUAUUCAAUUCGCCGCCUUCUGUUUCUCCAGCUUCUUAAUUCAAAUCUCCACCUUCACUUUUAGAUUCCUUAUCUUCCUUUUUUCUAACAUCGUAAUUUUUAGACACCGCCUUAGAUUCCUCUUCAGACUCAGUAUUCUCAUCAAAACUCUCCUUCACUAAAUUCUCUUCCUGGUUUUGAUUAACCAUAUUCUUAGAUUCACUCAUCUCACCAUCACCCUCAUACAUAUUCAUCUCUUCGUGAUUAUCUUCCACUCUAUUCUCUAACUUUUCAACAGGAACAUCAUCCCCAUCCCCAUUUGUUGAAUCCUGUCAUUCAUCACCUUGAUUUUCUACGAAAGGCCCAGAAAAAUCUCAGAUAUUCUCUGUUUCACUUUGCUUAUAGGCUCUUAAGAGGACAACAUCCUGGAUCCCACACCAGUACAACUGAUGAUGACAUUAACAUCCAAACGCCAACCAGAAAAAGACCAACAAACACUACUACAGUAACCAUUGAACAAAGACAAUAUCACAGGUUCUUUAGCUAUUUAAUAUUCCAUCAAAUAUAAUUAUAUAAUACCUACCAAGGAUUUCCGAAUAGAAGGCAUUCUCAUCAUUCUCAUCUCAAGCAGCAACCUCACCAGUAACACAUUUUCAUAUCAUGUUUCCACCACAGGUCGCACGUAUAGAAAGAAUGAAGUAUUAAUUAGCUUCAACAGAGCCUAUUUCUUUAUUUCUUUUUUUCCCAAAUAAACCUUCAUUCUUAUACGUAUAAUUAAAAUAUCAACUGAAUAAACAAAGUCUAUGAUUACUAGUACAACAUUUUCAUUUUCAAGCGGAGCAAGAUAAGAUAUCGAUGUCGUCAAAUAAACCUAAUUUAAUCUUGAAACCAUAAACUGCACUAAGCAUAGCAGCAAAGCCAGAGCCUGACUAUAAAGAAGCUAAUAUAUAUAUAUAUAUAUAUAUAUAUAUACCUUUGGAAAUUGAAACUGUUCACUGUAGCGGGUUUUUAAGUGCACAGUAACCUUUGGAUCGUAGCUUUGAAUAGUAGGCUGACCGUAGCUUUGAACAGAAGACUACUUUGUACGAAUACUGAAAUACAAAAUGAAAUACAAUACGGGUGAAGAGACAUGUGCGGAUCGAAGGAUGGAUGUGCUUUCAAAAUACUUUAUUAUUAAAAACUCAAAUUAAACAAUCAAUAGAAUCAGCUUCGUCAGAUUUUAAAAGAACUUGAGCCCAAUACAGAGUUGCAAAAUAAUUUCCCGUCCAAGGAUAAGUUUUCCGUUUAGGGCUGUAAAACCAUACCUGUAGCCAUUCUGACCAAACCAAAGAUAGAACCCAGGAUUCUAACCAUGGAUCCUCUUUACUGUAGAGCAUCGUCCUUUUCUAGCUCUUCUUCUGGGAAGACUAGUGAUUCAAAGCAUGUUGUGAGUUCAGAAGAAUUUGUUAUUGAGAACUUUGAUAAAGCAAUUGAUUGUUGGGAACUUCCAAAGAUUUCAAAAGAAAAGAUUUACAGAACAAAAAAGCUUGAUUUCUGGAAAAAUGAUUAUGUUAUAAAAACUGAAGAACGUGAUAUAACUCUUUCAAAGCCUUUUGAAACAAUUAAUUUGUUUUCAGAAAAAUCUUUAAAUAAGUUAAAAGAAAAGAAUUUUAAUUACAUUCAUAUAGGUCUCAUCCAAAUAGGCAUAAAGCCCCUUACCAAAGAAGGCUUGGAUACUUCUAUCCUUGCUGUUCUUAGAGAUGGUCGAUUCAUCUCUUUUGAUGAUUCUCUGCUAAGUAGCAUUGAAUCCAGCCUAUGUAAAGGUCCCAUUUCAUUUGAUUGCUAUCCAAACAUAACAUUGUCUCUUAAAGACAAAAACAUUUUGAAAAGCAUGAUUUUACAAAUCAAAACGCAUAACUAUCAUAUGAUUGAGGGAUCUAUCCCUGUUGCAUUGAUUUUUAAAAUCUCUUACAAAGCUAUGAUUACUGCAUUCAGCACUCAGCAUAAAUUUCAGUCCAAAAGAGAUGAAACUCUUCUCUUACAGACUGAUCUGUCCAGAGCAAACACUGUCAUUCCAAAACCAAUCCAAUGGAAAGAUGUCAAUCUUCCUGAGGAAUGGAUUCUUGAAGGAGCCGCUCCACCAGCGAUUCCAAAACAACUUGAGCCCAAUACAGAGUUGCAAAAUGUGACUCAGUAUUCUGAUGGUAAAGUCAAAUUAUCAUUUAGGAGAUCUAAUUCAUCCAGAUUCUCCGAUAAAGCAUCAUGCUCAAGCAUUCCUUCAAUGGAAAGGAAAUUUACAAAAAUACCCUCUGUCAUAAAUCUCCCAUUUCAGAGUCAACCUAGGUUCUCCACUUCGGACUUACCUAGUUCUUCUAUUAGUUCUGUUGACUACACUACAAAGGUACCACAUCCCAUUUACAUUAGCAGUCAACAUGAACAAAGACAGGAAGAGAAGGAACCUUCUCCUCCAACUUCUCCUACAUUCUCUGCAGUCACAGAAAAUGUUUUAAAUGUUAUUGAAAAGCAUUUUGAAUUAGAUAAAACCAUAUUGCAUAAUGAUUUUUAUUCAGAUGAUAAUAAAGAAAAAAGACUUUGGUUUUUUAAACAUUUUUUAAAUCAAAGGAAGGAAAUCCAACAAACUUACUAUGAAUUUGUUAAUUUCCAUCAAGUUCAUAUAUUGUUUUUUGAUUGGUUCGAGAUAUAUUCUUCUAAGAACAACAUUUCCUAUCCUUUCAAAGAGUCAAACCCUAUUACUAUCAGAAAUAAAACCACUGAGUGGAAACUCUUCGAUAGUAAUAGAACUGUCAAUUCUGAGCAUCCCCCUCUUAGGAGUGUAAUCAUAGAUCAUGGUGAACCUCCUGUUGAAAUCAGAGCCUCACCUUACAAAAUCCCAAAGCCUAAUGAUCCUGAAAUCAAUUUAAGUAGUAUUAUUCAACAGAAUAAUUUCUGUAAUACUAACUUAAAUACCAUAGGAAAACAGUUGACCAGAUUGGAAAACCAAUUUCAACAGUCAACCAUAUCUGUAGUCCAAAACCUGUUUCUUUAAAGUCAGAUUCUGAUAAAAAGCUUAAAGAACCUAUUUUCAAACCUUUUCAGGUUUCGAAAACUAGCCAGAAGCUUGUCCAUGAAUCAAAAUCAGAUUUUGCUAAAGCCAUUAGAGAACAACUUGAUAGGAUAGAAGCUGCUUCUUCCUCAUCAAGCAAAGUUCAUAUUGCUCCUGAUACUCCCCAAUCUAGCAAGAUUGGAGUAUUGGAGCAAGACCAGGUUUCUAUUGCCUCCUCAGACUUAGAAGCCUUUACCGAAACACCUAUUCCUAAAACCAAUAAAAUCCAUUGGGAGUUAGCUCUUCCUACUUCCAAAUCUCCACCAGAUUUAACUAUAGACAACAGGCCUAGUGCAUUAAAUCAAGCUCGAUAUAAUGCAUCCUCUGUCUAUGAGUGGAAUAUAGAUGGAAUGUCCGAGUACAACAUUCUAGGUGUAUUGCAGCAAAUGACCAUGGCAGCCAAUGCCUAUAAAACCCAAUCAGGAACUUCUGACAAAGCCAUUGCAGAAAUCCUUAUUGCUGGUUUUACUGGUCAACUUAAAGGAUGGUGGGAUCAUCUUCUCACUAAAUUGCAGCAAUUAGACAUCCUUAAUGCCAUCCAAAUCGAUGAGAAUGGUGCUCCCAUUCUUGACGAAUUAAAUAAUCCAAUUCAGGAUGCUGUUGCUACCCUGAUUUUAACCAUUUCUCUUCAUUUCAUAGGUGAUCCUUCUCACCUCAGAGACAAAAAUGCUGAGUUACUACAUAACUUGAGAUGUAGAAAACUUAGUGAUUUCCAAGAUUACAAAACCACUUUCUUUACCAGACUCUUCCUAAGGGAUGAUGCAAAUCAUGUAACUUGGAAGGAAAAAUUCCUUGCAGGUUUACCUACCCUUUUGGGAGAAAAGGUAAGAAAUUCUAUCAAAACCCUUUUUGAUAAUCGUAUUCCCUAUGACGAACUCACCUAUGGUGAAUUAGUCAGUUUUGUCAAUAAAGAAGGUUUAAAGAUCUGUCAAGACUUGAAACUUCAGAAACGUCUAAAGCAAGAGCUUAGGCAAUCUAAGCAAGAAUUAGGCGGGUUCUGCAAGCAAUUCAAUUAUGACCCCUUUAAAGCUUCCACCUCCAAAGACUGUAAUGGUAAGUGUUCUUCAAAACCUUACAAAAAACAUUACAAGUCUAAAAGCCAUAGAAAGCCCUUUCAUGAUUUUAGAAAACUUCCUUAUAAGAAACCUUCGAGGCCUUAUAAGAAACAUAGUUUCUCUAAAAAGAAAGAGUUUAAAGCCAAACCUAAAACCCCUUUCAAUUUUAAAGAUGCUACCUGUUAAAUGUGGUAUGAAAGGUCAUACUGCACGAUUUUGUAAAAUGAACAGGAGACUCCACGAGCUCGGCCUCGAGGAGGAAAUCCUUUCCAAAAUUGCCCCUCUUCUGGUCGAGCUUUCUGAUUCUGAGUCUUCCUGGUCGGGAAAUGAUGACCCUCUUCAAGUCGAUGAACUAUUCGAUUCAGAUAGCUCUACUUCCAGUAAUAGUGAUUCUGAUUCGGAUAAUUCUUAUUUAAAGAAAAUAAAUGUUUUAACCAAAGAUCAAGAGAUUUUCCUUGAACUUGUAAAGCAUAUUUCUGAUCCAAAUCUUCAAAAGGAAUAUCUUGAUAAACUUUUAAAAACCAUGGAUUCAAGCAUUACAGAGGCUUCUUCUUCUAAAAUCCCUAUUGUCAAAAAGAAUUCUUAUGAUUUAACUGAGAUUUUAGAUAAAAAGAAAACAAAGAAGUCUACUCCUAAUAUCCAAGAUCUUCAAAAAGAGAUUAAGGAUAUUAAACUUGAAAUAAAGGAUUUAAAAGAAAAACAAAAAACUGAUUCUGCAACUAUUCAACUCCUUUUACAAAAACAGUUGCAAGAUACUUCCGACAAGGAGGUUGAAUCAGAAAAUGAUGAUGUUGAGCAAAAGAUUGAUAAUAUUGAGUCUAUUCCAAAUGAUUUUCUGUUUGUCUUAAAGCAAAUCACCACCAGAAAAUAUUUGAUUAAAAUUACUUUAAUUUUUUCAAAUGAUUUUGCGAUGGAUGCCAUUGCUCUUUUUGAUACUGGUGCUGAUUUAAAUUGUAUUCGAGAGGACAUUGUUCCUAAAAGGUUUCGUGAAAAAACAAAAGAAAGACUCUCUGCUGCUAAUAAUUCAAAGCUCAAUGUUACUUCCAAAGUUGAAGCAUCUAUUUAUAAUGACAAAAUUGAGUUUAAAACCUCUUUUGUUCUUACAAAUGAUAUACACCAUGCUAUCAUUUUAGGAACACCUUUUAUAAAUUUGAUAACCCCAUAUGCUGUCAACUAUGAUGGUAUAUAUUUUAAAGCAAAAUCCAAAGAACUUGCUUUUCCAUUUAUUGAAAAACCAAAGACUCGAAACCUCAAUAUGGUUAAAGCCUGCUCGGUCUACCAGAACAAAAUCAAUGCUAUUGUAAAGUCUAAACAAGAUGACUUGUUUCAUUUACAAAAGGAUUUAAAUUUUCAAAGAAUUGAGAGUCAAAUACAAAGUGAUUUUAUACAAAGAAAAAUUUCUGAUUUCAAAAGCCUUAUUGAAAAAAAAUUUGUGCUGAUUUACCAAGUGCUUUUUGGAAUAGGAAACAACAUUUGGUAGAUUUUCCAUAUGAAAAUUCUUUUGAUGAAAAGCAAAUACCUACUAAAGCCCGUCCAAUCCAAAUGAAUUCGGAUUUGGAACAGCAUUGUAAAGAAGAAAUUAAUGAUCUUAUUUCCAAAGGUCUUAUUGUAAAAUCCAGGUCACCUUGGUCUUGUGCUGCCUUUUAUGUCAACAAAAAUUCUGAGAUUGAAAGAGGUGUACCUAGACUUGUGAUAAAUUACAAACCUUUGAAUAAAGCUUUAAAAUGGAUUAGGUACCCGAUACCUAAUAAGAAAGAUUUACUUCAAAAACUCUGCUCGGCCUUCAUUUUUUCUAAAUUUGAUAUGAAGUCGGGUUUUUGGCAAAUUCAAAUUCAUCCAAAAGACCGUUACAAAACAGCAUUUACUGUUCCUUUUGGUCAGUAUGAGUGGACAGUAAUGCCUUUUGGUUUGAAAAAUGCACCCUCAGAAUUUCAAAGAAUCAUGAAUGAUAUUUUCAAUCCCUACUCUGAGUUUUGCAUUGUCUAUAUCGAUGAUGUUUUGAUUUUUUCUCAAAGCAUUGAUCAACAUUUCAAACAUCUAAAGACUUUUUAUCUUGCUACAAAGAAGGCUGGAUUAGCCCUUUCCAGUUCAAAGAUUUCAUUGUUUCAAACAAAAGUCAGGUUUCUUGGUCACUACAUUUCCAAAGGAACCAUUACUCCUAUUGAAAGAUCUCUUUUGUUUGCGGACAAAUUCCCAGACAAAAUUUUAGAUAAAACUCAAUUACAAAGAUUUCUCGGUAGUCUAAAUUAUGUUCUUGAUUUCUGCCCUAACAUCAAUAGGAUGUCAAAACCUCUGCAUGAUAGGUUAAAGAAGAAUCCUGUUGCAUGGUCAGAUGAGCAUACUAGAGUUGUUAGAUUAAUAAAGCAGUCUGUUAAAAGCAUUCCUUGUUUGCAUCUUGCAAAUCCUGCAUUUCCUAAAAUUGUUGAAACUGAUGCAUCAGAUUUAGGAUAUGGAGGUAUUUUAAAACAAAAAGAAAAUGAUAAAGAACAGAUAGUCCAAUAUGUUUCUGCUCAUUGGAACGAUUGUCAGAAAAAUUAUUCUACUAUCAAAAAAGAAAUUCUUUCUAUUGUUUUAUGCAUUACUAAAUUCCAAAGUGAUUUGUUAAAUCAAAAAUUCUUACUUAGAAUUGAUUGCAAAGCUGCAAAACAUGUUUUAGAAAAGGAUGUUCAAAACAUUGCAUCAAAACAGAUUUUUGCACGUUGGCAAGCUAUUCUCAGUGUUUUUGAUUUUGAUAUAGAAUUCAUUAAAGGUGAUAAAAAUUCUGUUCCUGAUUUUCUAACUCGGGAAUUUCUUCAAAACAGGUAAUGGCUCCAAAGAAAAAGGACAAAGGGAAAGCACCUGCUUCCCAAGAACUUUCCAAAGAACCUCAUGCAACCCCCUCUAAAGAAAAGCUCCUUUCCUCAGCCAUGCCAAUUAAAUCUUGGAUUGAAUUGGUUGAAGAACAUGAAGCCAAAUACAAAUCCAUUUCUUCUGAAGACCAAGUAAAGCAAUGGAUGAGUUCCAUUACAAAGUCACCCGAGCUUAUGAUAGCCCUACAAAGCCUCUCCCAAAGUCAACCUAAAGAGGAAGAAAAACCCACUUCCAAAGAAAUCUCAAAGCCUUCCUCUCAAAACAUUGUUGUUUCUGGUGAGAGCUCAUCCUCCCAAAUUGUGCUCUCUCAGCCAACACCUUCAAAGAAAACUUCCGAUUGGUUUGAUAAAACCCAUUUUCAAAACAUUAUUUCAAUGGAAGAUGGAUUUUACCAUUCUGAUCCUUUUCAAAGUAUUUCAAAGUUUUUUCCCCCAGGCUGGUUUUUCAAACCAUGAGAUUUGACAAAACCCCAGUCUUAUUAUCACAGUAUUUUGGAAAUUACUGAUUCAGUAAAAUUCAAACAUUUCUUUUUUAGCAAAACCCAUUCUGAGCCGGCCUAUUCAACGGCUACAAUUUUAAAAGUUUUGAGCCCGAACCAGUGGGGUGAUCUGCUCCACAAUUUUAAAACUUUCCCCCUUGAUUUUGAGACCCGUUUGCCACACUGUAGGACUUUCUCCUACUGGGAUUACCAACAGGCCUGGUAUAACACUUUCUUCAUACAAAACCCUAAAAAAUCCCAUUCCUGGUUAUUUUUCUUUAAUUCAAAAAUAACCGUCCAAAGCCUGCCGAACUGGUUUCACCAUUGGUGGAACUAUUUUGGUCCAACCUCAGAUAUCCUUACUCAAAAUGCCCUCCAAUGCCUAAACCUUUUCAAAGCCAAUUAUAAACCUACGGAGUCUGAGAAAAGAUUUCCUCCUUUUCUCUGCUUCUGUACCAAUUUCUUCCUUCCAUGGGUCUGGAUGUGGAGUCUUCGACAUCACACUCAGGAUUCCCAUUUUAUCCUCCAAAGAACCUUCAGAGUCAAAUGGUGGUCCAAAUUUGAUGAGCAGACCAAAUUAACCACCAACCAAGUACAAAACUGGCUUUCUGCCCAAGGCCAUCUACAACCAGCCAUCAAAGAUAUUAAAGCCCAAGGCACUUUCCUCACUCAAAAAUCCAAAGCCCAAGCCCUCCUAGCAAGUGCCAAAACCGAAGAAGAAUACUUCAAAGCAAUGGAACAGCUCCUCCGCUUCUCGAUCCAAGUCCUCAGUUGCAGAUUCUACUGAAGACGACGACGACGAUGAUGACGAGCCAACCGUCUCUCUCGGAGAUAAAAACGAAGAUGACUGUUUCGGCAUUUUCUCUCCAAUAAAGCAUUGUAAAUAAUUAUUUGAUUAUUUACUUAAAAAAAAAAAGUGUAAUUGUUCAUUUCGGGUGGUCCCUUGGACACAAGUGAGAGCGCACAUGUCUCUUCACCCGUAUUGUAUUUCAUUUUGUAUUUCAGUAUUCGUACAAAGUAGUCUUCUGUUCAAAGCUACGGUCAGCCUACUAUUCAAAGCUACGAUCCAAAGGUUACUGUGCACUUAAAAACCCGCUACAAUGAACAGUUUCAAUUUCCAAAGGUUACUGUGCACUUAUAGCUCCGCUACAGUGAACAGUUUACAAAGUUUUGUAUAUAACCCAAGAGGAAGACUUAGACUCCUCACGGGUUUUUAUUUUAAGUUUUCAUUUCUCUCUCUUCUCCUCCUUCUCUCUAAAAAUUCUCUCUAAAGCACGAAGAGCUCAAAGAAAUCCUCUGUUUACGCAAUAGUUCUAUCUUAGAGCUUUGAGUAAUCAGACUAGUUCUUUACCUUCAACAAAUCUUCCCGUCUUUCAAUCUUCCCUUCUGGAAAGAUUUGAAAAAUUGUAAAGCAGCAAAAGCAAAGUGUAUGUCUAGAUCUUUGAUCUAGUUUUAUUUACAAAGCAAUUUCAAUUCAUGUAAUUUAAUUUUAAAGCAAUUUACUUUUCUGCAAUUUCAUUUCAGUAAUUUACUUUAAAGCAUUUUCUUUUACAAAGCAUGUUAGCAGACUGAUCUGUAUCAGAUCUGCCAUAUAAAAUAUACAUUCUUCUGAGGCAAAGAGACCAGAUCUCGAUCCUCAGUCGUAAACUUCUCUCUCCCCCCUUCUUCAGAGCACCAUUUCCGGGAACCGGAUCUGGUACUGUGUAUGUUUUAGAAGCCAACCUUAAUGCAUGUUUAUUUCAGUAAAGCCCUGCUGCUAGGUUUGCUAAAAUCAACCUAACUCAGAUCUGGUAAAGACACUUCUAAAAUUGACGAAUCGCAUUCCAAAGCAAAGUAGAUCUCCAGAUCUACCAAAGAAUUUAAUAAAUAAUCGGUAAAGCACACUAUUCCGGUAUAUCGGCUGGAAACCAGAACGUGCGGGCUAUUGAUCUGUCCUAAGUCAGAUCUGGGUCCAAAGGCAGAUUAAUUUCUGCGUCGAUCCGGUAUAACAACGCCACGUACCAGUCUAGAUCUAAAAUUUUGACCAACCGCGUUCCAAAGCAAAUUAAUUUGAUAAAGAAACGGUAAGUUCUUUUAAAAUCUGACGAAGCUGAUUCUAUUGAUUGUUUAAUUUGAGUUUUUAAUAAUAAAGUAUUUUGAAAGCACAUCCAUCCUUCGAUCCUAUUUCCUUCUGGUAUCAGAGCCUCACCUUACAAAUCUCCAUUAACGGCAAAUAGGGGGAUGAAUCACUGACAUCACCCAAUUCAUAUAUUCAAUUAAUGUAUUCCCACCCCAGUCAGAAACGUGCUACCACAGUUGAUUAGUUAUUAGGGAUAAGGCUUACCGCAAAGAACUGAAUGGCGUUAACUAAAUAAUGAGUUGAAACGGUAUCUGCAAUCGCAUUAAAUGGCAUUGAACCGAAAGGUAGGGUUUAAAUGAAUGUUGGCCUGAGACAAAAGGGCGUGGCAUAUUGGGGUCUUAUGGCUUCGUUUUGUUUCAAUUGAAGGAGGGAAGCUGAGCGAGAGCUUUGAUACGUAAAUUUCAGCUUAAUUUAAGCUAUGGUCUUCUUUCGAUUGAAACAGAGAAAGAUUUUGGGUUAUUAAAGUGAAAGAGAUGGAAUCAUACAAAAAAUUAGCAAAGUGAAAGCGAGGGAAUACAAGAUUUAUUAUGGGUCCUAAGAGCUGAAGGCAAUUCGCCAUGGUUCCGAUAUAUGGAAAACUUUCUUAGCUUUAUCGGUGGUGGAAGUGAGGGUUAGGGCUCGGGUUCGACACAAUGUUGUUGAGAGUGGCUCAAAGUUCAUUGAUUUUAGGUUGCAGCGAGAGAGGGGUUCAUUCAACACUUGUCGAUAUUUGGCUGAAGUGUUGGUAUGUUUUAAGUUUCAUAAAAACGACGUCGUUUAAAUAGUCAUCAUUUUAUGAUAUUAUAAAUCCACAAAACUUGAGCAUCACUUAUAUCUAUCAUUUAUUUAUGUUAGUUAAGAUAUAAGUCAUGAAUAUGUCAUAAACUCUGAACAUAUAAACAUAUGCCACACCAACAAAGUGUUGGCUCCAUUGGCAAUAGAGUCCCCUUAAGUGGCUUAACUGGGUUUGCUCCUCAGUUCGAGUUGCAGGGAAGUCGCAUUUGUUGAGAGAACUUGUGCCUUCCGGUUCGAGCGGGGACUUCUAAUAUGGGUUGUGGUACGGGCUUAAAAGUGUCUCCCACAAUUAGGGCCCUCCUCAGAAUACCUCGUGGUUAAGACAAAAAAUAUAUAUAUAUAUAUGUCACAAAUCUAUCACACUUUCAUGAUACAUUUGUGACGUAUCGAAGGUUCAUGUCAUUCCUCCGGUGCAACAUUCGAAAUAAGGCCAUUGCCCUUGUGAAAUUUGCAUUACUUCUAUUGAAAAUCUACAUAAUAAGAGCUCUCCCGUUGCAUUUUUCGUUGUUUUGCUUUUGCUUUACUUUAAUGUGUCGCUACAUGAACAAGUAUAGUGCAACAUAUGUACCAUCAAUUUUGCUAUGUCUUAUUCCCAAUUUUAUAUAAUACAAAUCAUUUUGAAAUUAUAAUAACAACAACGGGGUCAAGCACAUUUUGUGUCUUGAAGAUUUGCGAGAGCUCCAUCCUACAAAGUUAAAUUAUUAUUGUUGUUGUUGUUAUUAUUAUUAUUAUUAUUAUUGAUGACGAUGAUGUGCUGUUGAUGUUUUUAUUAUUUGAGAGAUGGUAGAAUAAAGUUAUUCAUUUUGGAGCUUAACAGUGGAAAAUAAGGAAAACAAGAAAAAAGUUGUAUUCGUGUUAAUUUCCUUUGUCAUUUCUUGUUUCUAGAAAUAUUUUUGCUUCGUUUAUUCUAUUUUAUUUGCUUAUUUCAUUGGGCUUGCUUCACAUAUCAUAUCUAUCUUUCUUUCAAAAUUUGAAGGGAAGGAAAGUACUUAGAAAAUGCUCUUGCCUAUGAACAUGUAAGAAAAACUGAAUAUCAUUCAUCGGAUAACAAAAAACACUAAUCAUCGCAUAAUCCCUAGAACAAAUAAUUAAACCAUCAAAUGUUAGCUAUGAACAACUAUAUAUCCUAUCAUAUUUAACUUCUAUUUAUGGUCAUAUCCCUAACAUAUUUAGAGUGGUUUUGGAAUUUUGAUUACAUCUGAGCUUUCUCAAAAGCAGAUGCUGUGAAAUGAAGUUACUAUUUGCUUUUCAAAACUGUUAAUAAUGAUAGUAGUUUAGAAACUUGAACCACCACCUACGUGAGUCUGUGAAUUUCACCUUUUUGUUUGAUAAUUGGAGGUUUUCGUUUAAUGCCUAAAUUCGUAAACUGUGGAAACGUUUGAAAGCAUCUAUAGCAUAUUCAUUAAAAUCACGUUUUCACAAACCAAAAAGGGUACUAAUUUGGUCUCGAUGUGUGAAAAGUAACACCUACCUAGCCAUCCAUCAGGUAAGUGAAUAAGUAUAAAAAUAUUAAUAUUUUCUCUGUAGUUCCUAUUAAAAUUGUCUAUUAUAGUUGCAGAAUGUCUAGGAAGUAUAAAAGGAUGUCGUUCAAACAUGAUUAAGAUAGAAAGGGAAAAAAUAAGUAAUUAUCCAUGGACCAAACAUUUUACAAACUGCAUUUUUUAGAAAACACACAAACAUUUUUUAUUGUUUUCAACAAUCCAUCUAAUAUUUGCAAACUGCAUCACAGCUCCACUACUAUCAUAACCCUUUAAAAAUGUUGCUUAAUCACGAGAACCUAUUACUUGUAAAUUAUUUUUCAAGCAAAUGCAACGAUAGAUCUAGUUUUGAUCUGGGUGACUUUUACGUGUACAGAAACGAGGAGAACGACCUUAUGUCAAGUCGAAGGAUUAAGAUAAAUCAAUUACAAAUCCAAACAAAACUUAUGAGUGACAUUUUAGUAUUAAGCAAACCUACCAUAAUUAAUCAUCCAGUGAUAGGUUUAUUUUCAAUUAGAGUAAUGAUAGAUAUCCCAAAUGGUGUGUCAUUACUUGAAUAGUAGGUAAUUCUUUCAAGAUUUGAGUGAAUUAAUUGUAUUAUCUCUUCAAUCUAUUGAUGAAUACCAUAUCAUUUGAGAUAAUUUUUUAAGAUAAAAGACUUAGGAUGUGUGGCACUACUCAUUGAAUUAUGCAACUUAAAUGCAAUUUUUUUAAAAUCAUUUAUUUUCAUUAAAUUUUGAGCCAUUAAUGAAAUAAAUAUAAGUACAGCUAUUUGAACCUACUCAUUUUCUCACUACAUCAUUUAUUUAAUCAAAUUAAAAUUUAAUUUUAACAUAUAAUUCAUUAAAUUAUUUGUUUGACUUUGUUCUCUCUCUCUCUCCCCCUUCGUCUCUCAUUCUCUCCAACCAUUUUUUUUUGUCUACAUAGACUAAAUAUUUCAAUUAACAAAUAAAAUUGUUACAAAAAAUAACAAAUUUAACCAUAGACACCAAUAUUAAUUAAUAAACAAAAAAAUUGAAGAGUGAUAGAAUUAAAGUCUGUUAUACCACAAUUUGCUUUACUUUUAUAUUUUUAUUUUAGUGAGGAUACGAUGUAGACAUUAUUUUAGGAUUCUAUAAUUUUUAUUAUUUUAUCGUUUUCUAUUUUAAUUAUAGUCAACUAUGGUAUAUGUCUUAGUUUUUUAUUUCUAUUAAAAUUGUGAUUUAGUUUUUCUUUUUAAGUUAACUUAGUGAAGUAGGUUUAUUAUAUUAUAAAUCAAAAUCUUAUUAUUGUAACUUCAACUAUUGAUCAACUAAUAAAGCCCUUUUUAAUAAUUCUCUCUAAAAUUAUUUAUCAAAAUCUCUCUUACAAAGUUAUUUGGAUUAGAACGUCGUCUAAUCUUGCUUUAUGCGUUAUUAAAAUCUCAUUGAGCCAUUGUUAGAAUGAGAUCUACUCACGUUUCGAUUAGGACGUAAACUAUCCACAUUACCUUAGCCAGUAUUAGAACGAUAGCUAAUAUUUCCUACUCUAUCAAUUCCACUUCCGCUAUUCCAAUUUUUUAGUUUGUAUUAGAGUGGUUCAAUGCCAAUUGCACAGUUUUCCUGGCUACCCAUAUCCAUCCCCACCAAAUCCAUCACUGUUUAUCCAACAAAAAAAUAUUACAAAAUUACAAAACCUUAGCAGCCGCCCACCGCCACUGCCACUGCCACUCUUCACUAAUAGUUCACCAUUGGCUAAUCCCUCUACCAAACUCAUUAGCCACUACUGACCAAACCUUAGCCACUCCUGCCAUCAAUCGCCGCUUGUACCUACUAUAAAUCAUCUAGACCUAAAAACUGGGAGCAUCCACCAGCUGCCACCGUGAAACCAACCAUCUUCACUGUCAACCAACACCACCACUAAACUUGCUAGAUUCCACUGGUCAUAACUUGACAAAACCCACCAAUGAUCACCCCCAUAAAUCGCCACAAUGCUAACCCAAAACCCGGGCUUCACCUAGCGCCACCACAAACGCCACUUUCUCAUUGUCGAUAGACAAAUCGCAAUCGAAAUCUCCAACAUGAAUGAAGCACCACAGAUGCCAAUUCAAGUCAGCUUUUUGACCAAACCACCGUGAAUCCAGCCAAUCCUCGGCCAUUGUCGAGUUUCUCACGACCAUAUCUAGCAAAUCUAACCACUAAGGUCACCAGCCCCAGCGAAAGAAACUCUAACGGAUAAUUUUAAUCUUAGGUGUUCAAGUAAAAUGAUAAUUUUAAUCUUAUGACAUCAACAAGAAUCUAACGAGCUAAGAUGACAAUGAAUAAUUAAUAAACUCUAGGUGGAUUUCUAAAAAGAAAUUUUUUUUUGUGUAUUUUUGAAAAAGUCCCAAAGACUACAUGGUUAGUGGAUAAUUUCCUUUUUUUUCUUAUUUUCUACUAUUAUUAACAAUAAAAGUUUUUCAAUAGUAAUUGUUACAACCAUUAUAACAAUUAUUAUUGUUAUUGCUGUUGUUGUUGUUGUACAACAAAUGUGAAAUUCUAUCUACACAACCCAAGAGGGCGGUGAAUUGGGUAUUAAAAUUAUACUUACAAAAAUACAAAACAAAUUAAACAAAUGCUUUAAGAAAUUUAUAACAGUAAAUUUAACAAUGAAUGCAAUUAAAAAAAUAAAGGAAAAGAUAACAAACAAACAAAUUUUUACGUGUUUCGGCAAAACCCGCCUAUGUUUAUGCUGCCGAGCAAACUAAGUUUGAGGAUUCCACUAUCCAAGCCUUCUCAGGCUCUAAGAUUUUACAAUUGACUUUUAAUGUGUCAAUAAACCUUUAUAAGUAGUGAUGUGUACACAUACCUCUUUCCCCAAGUGUUUCCCACACUUAUACUCACAAAAUUUUGAUAUUUAAUUGAAGAUUACAAAGAUUAAUAUCUAUAAGAGUGUAUAAGCAAAUGAUAACUCAAUAAUGAUUUAAUGCAUGUAGAUAAGUAAAAUGAAAGCUCAAGAUUAGUUGUAUGAACAAGUUUAACUUAAUUGAGAUUGAAAAAGUUGUUAGAUUUGAGUUUGAUUUGGGUUCUUCUAGUUUAAACAAUCAAACUAGUCGUAAUUGACUUUCUGAGGACUUACCGGAUUGCUGCUAAAAUAAAGAAGUUAGUCGCUAUAUUGAUGUGGUAAGUUACCGUUACAAAUAAAAUUUAAAAACUUUUUUGCCUAAGCGAAUCGUCGCCUGAUUUAAAUGGUUAGCAGCUAUGUUUUUGGACCUGAAGCAGUUAGCCACUAUUCGUUAAGCGGUUAGUCGCUACUGUUUCAAAAUUUAUAGAUUUAAACUAAAAGUUCCUAAAAUUAUACUAUGGCCUAAAGUUUUUGAAAUAUUUACAAAUAGAUCCACUUCAAGAAUUUAAUACAUUACUAGUUGAUUUCAAAGUUCUCAAAACUUUUCAAUUUAGUCCAUAAAUUUGAAAACAACUAAUUUUAUAAAAUCAUUUUUAUUUACAUUUAAAACUUUUAUAUUAUAGAAAAUGAUGAUUUAAUUUGAAAAUUGUAUGAAAAAUAUCUUGCACUCUUAAAUACUAAAUCAUGCAUACAUUAAAUCAUAUUAGUUUUACAAGAAAUAUAACUAUGAAGAUUGCUUAAGCUAGUACCUUUAGCAUUCAUCCUUGAUUGUUGUUGUCCAUUGAGUGACUUGAACUUGAUCUCACUUGAGUGAUUUUUGUCCUUCAAGAACUUGUUAGAUUGUGAGAAAUAAAUUUACCAUUUUACCUUAUGUGGUUUGUUAUCAUCAAAAUUAAGGAUCAUAUAGCCGUUUACCCCAACAAUCUCUACUUUUUUUAUGAUGACAAACACCCUAUGUAUUUUGACAUUUCUAUUGCCCCUGAAUAUAUGACAUAAUUCAAAAAAUAUAACCAAAUAUAUAAACUCACUCCCUCUAAGUACAUGAUCCAUAUAAUUGUACAACAUUUGUAAACUCUCCUUGAGUGACUCAUAAAGUAACUAAAAUACUACAAACACUCAAUCAACCCCCAUGAGCCAAAAACAUGUCAAAACACUUCAAAAUACAUGUCAAUGUCUUCUCCCCCUUCAUCAUGAAAAAUCACUCGUCUAUUAUACAAAUAUUAUCAAUAAUUAUCCCCCACAAAGAUCAUCAAUCAAAAAUCCACACAUGACCAUUAAUCAAGUAUCCAUAUACAUAAUCCAUAAUCAAUAAAGAUAAUCCAUAAAGAUAAUUAAUAAAGAUACCACGAUCAAUAACUAGAAUGCAUAAAGAUAAUCCAUAUUAACUCAAGUAUCUAUAAUGCAUAAGUAAAAUAACAUCCAUCAAGUAUCCAUAAUGCUAAAAAUGAAAAUGCAUAUGAUAAAUAAUGUCGGUGCAUAAAACAAGGAAGCAAAAGAGAUAAAAGAAAAUCACUGAUGAGGCGGCAAACAUGAUAACAAGGAUGGUGGCAAAAAUUUGAGAGCAAUGAAAAUAAGCUGCUGAUGGUCUAGAAUUUGUUAUUGUUGAAGGAAGAGACGCUGUUGCUCAGAAAGAAAAUGAUCCUGGAAUGCUGCGAACGGUAUCUUAAGUUUGCUCUACUGCUCGGAUAUGGAACGCACUUUAUUCAACAACUGCUGGAUUGGGUUAUUGGGAAUGGCUGGAGAUGAUGAUGGUGGAGCAUCAGAAGGCCAAUGUAGAGCUUGUGACCUCAGGGAAGAGCUAAGAUCAAGAACCCAGUAAGGGGAAGCACAUCGUUAAAUAUGCAAUGAUAAAAAAGAGCCAGCUUUGUGGGUUUGCUCAACAAGUUCUGAUUCUUAACCUAUUGGUCAUCUACCCACCCAAAUCCUAAGCUAGCAAUGACCUCACCCCCUAACUCCUUGGGUUCAUCAUGAGAUGGUUCAGCUAUAGGGACCCAAAAAUAUUGAAGGAUAUGGGUAAUGACACUACCGACUGAAAAGGAUCGGUUUCCUAUACUCAGUGUAUUAAGCAUGUGCUGAAUGAUAAUAUUCGCACAUUUAGCUUUUACCCUCAAGGAUGCUAUGUAAUAAAGUAACAUCUAAGCGUGUAACCUCAGCACCAUGUCCCUUGCGAGGACUGAUCACAAGUUAAAGAACAAUAUGUAGGAUCCGAACUUGAAGAGGCAACACUUGUGAUCUAAGAGAGGAAUUAAAAAGCUCCAUGGAUAGAUCAGAUCACCUACAUAUUUUUCAAACAUCUAUGUUUCAAACAUCAUCUACAACUAAAUACCAGGGAUAAUCAAUUUUAGUCCUAGAUGUAUACAAAUGCAACCUAUCAUUCCUAGUCCUGAGAUUCAUGUUUAAAUCUUCUACUGUAAACUUAAUAGGAAUCCCAGCAACAUUAGUAAUAAUCAUAUUGGCAGUAUGUGUAUAAAUAAGCAUGUUCGAAUAAAAUACUCGUACCAAAUUAGGACAAAUAUGUUCCUUAAGAACUAAGACAUUUGUCCAACCCAAUUCAGCAAGUAAAGUUCUAAGAGUUUUGCUACAACUUGGCAAAUUUUCUAAUUAAUCAAGAUUAACAUAUAUAGGAUGGGAGGACUGACCUUGUCAUAAAUCGAUCAUAGAAUCAUUCCAUUGAGGUGGAUUUGGAAAGUGGGUGGAAAUGAAUUUCAUAAUGUCUUUAUGAAUCUUUUUUUUUUACAUUUUAGGCAUAUGCUAACCCUUGGACUUCUCACCACUAGCCAUUAAGAAAUUAUCAAAAUGUGUCCAAAAUUGCACAAAUUCGAGUUCAGCAAGUUUUUAAAGAAAUAGAUGAUUUUGAACCGAUUAAAAUGUUAAAAUGUUCUUUGAGAAUAUCUAAGGAAUGUAUGGGUUUAUUUUGGUCGAAAAUGGUCAAAUAAUGGUUCAAAUUUGAGAAUGUUGAAACUGGUGACUUAGGCUUUAAGAUUUUGAGAAAAUAGUGAUUAGAUUGUGUUUUAAAAGCGAAUGAGUGAAGAUUAAUUGAUGGGAAAUGAUUUGGAAAGUUUAAUUUGACACAAAAGUGAUGUAAAAAUGGAAGAUUUUAGAGAGAGAGUAAAAGAAAUGAGAGAUGACAGUGAUAGAGAGAGGGUAACAACUGAAAGUGGGAAAAAGAAGAUGAACAACAUUUGAAAACGUGAAGCCAGCUAGCCUCUUGAAGAAAGCGGUUAACUGUUUCAUUUUUAGAAACCAAGCAAUUAACCGUUUGCUUUGAGCCGGCUGGCCAGCUAGUUUCUGCCUCACAAUUGGCUAGUCGCUUGUGGUUAACGGUUAGCUAGUUCCCCUAAAUUUUGCACGAUUUUGCUUUUUGGCCAAAAUUUAAUUAAUUUUGAGACCAUUUUGUGAUCCCGAAGUAUUUUAAAAGCCAUUUUUAAUGCAUAAGAUAUGAUGAUAAACAUUCAAAGAAGUAAAUUCAAGCAUAUAACACAUUAAAAUCAAGUUUUUAUCAUACAAUCAAUCAAGAUAGAAAAUUAAGCAAAUUUGUAGUCUCAAUAUCAUGCAAUGAAAUAUUGAUGUGAAAAUGUCAUCAUUCCAAACUCAAUCUAAAUCUUUGAAAACUAUUCUUCACAAAAAGGCUUUGUAAAAAUAUCAGCAAGUUAUUUUUCCAUAGAAACAAAUUCUAAAGCAAUAUCUCUCAUUUAAACAUGAUCACGUGAGAAAUAAUGCCUAGUUUCAAUAUGUUUGGUCCUAGAAUGUUGAAUGAGAUUCUUUGACAAAUUUAUUGAGCUAAUAAUUUAUAUGAGUUCCCUUAGACCAAGAUCAAUUGUUCCUCAUAAAUAAUGAAAAAUUCUUUUAACCGCAAGAAAAUGAGAUUCUUUGAGAUAUGGUUGAAAUCAUGCACACAAGCAUACACUAAAGUAAUGUCUACUAGCAGUAAAGUAAAGUAAAGAUAUGAUCAUACCUCGAUAUCUUUUGAUACAACAUCUUUACUUUUUUUAUCCUUAUCGAUCUUGAUUGUAGUACUCAUUGGAGUGUCUUUAGUCCUGAAUGCAAAAUCUUUUGAGUAGAUCUCUGAAAUACUUGGCUUGAUUAAUGAUUUCUUUUUUUUCUUUUAAAUUUUAAGUCCAAGAAAGUACUUCAAUUCUCUCAUCAUGCUCAUGUCAAAUUCUCUACUCAUGCAAGAUGAAAAUUCCUUACACAGAAACUCAUUAGUAGAACUAAAGAUAAUAUCAUCAAUAUAAAUUUGAACAAGUAUACCUUGAUCCUUGUAUUUAACAAAUAGAGUAGUAUUCGCUUUACCCAUUGAAAAACUAUUUUCUAAAAGAAAUUUACUAAGUAUAUCAUGUCAUGCUCUAGAUGCUUACUUUAAACUAUAUAAAACUUUGGACAACUUGUAAACAUGAUCCAAAAACAUUUUUCGUUUUUAAAACGAGAGGGUUGUUUCACUUAAGCUUCCUUUAUAAUACAACUAUUUAGAAAGGCGCUUUUAGCAUCCAUUUAAUAUAAAAUAAAAUCAUUAUGAUAUGCAAAUGAUAAAAGCAUGUAAUGGAUUCUAAUCUAGCUACAUGUGCAAAGGUUUCAUCAAAAUUAAUUUCUUCUUCUUGGUUGCAUCAUUGAGCUACUAAUCUAGCUUUAUUCCUUACAACCACACCAGAUUCAUCGAUUUUAUUCCUAAACACCCAUUUACUGCCUAUUACAGAUUGAUGUUAUGGUUUAUGAACAAGUUUCCAUACAUUGUUUCAUUCAAAUUGAUUUAACUCUUCUUGUAUUGCUAUAAUCCAAGAUUCAUAAUUUUCCACAUCUGAAAAGGAUUUUGGUUCAACUUGAGAUAUGAAUACAGUAUGUUCACAUGUAUUUCUAAGUGAUUAUCUAGUAGUUACACCUCAUGAAGGAUCUCCUAAGAUUAAGUCUUUAGGGUCUGAAGAGACAUACCUUAUCUCCUUAGAGAGUGUUUGUGAAUUACCUUCAUUUUGAAUAUGUUUAACUUGUUCUUCUUGUUGCUCAUCUUGAUUUUUGCCUAGUAAAUCAUCUUGUUUGUCUUUUAAAGACUUUUUUUUUUUUUGUAACUCUUCAUAUGCAUCAUUAUCAACAACAACUUUCUUCGUAGAAGAAAAGUUAGAUUUAAUCAAACAUAACAUGUAUAGAUUCUUUAGCGACCAAGGUUCUUUUAUUAUACACUCUAUAAGUUCUACUUGUUUUUUAAUACCCAAGAAAAAAUAUCAACAUCAGAUUUUAUAUCAAAUUUACCAAGAUUAUCUUUUGUAUUCAAUAGAAAACAUUUGCAACCAAAAACUUUGAAAUAGUCAAUAUUUUUCUAUUUUUCCAAAGCUCAAAAGGAGUUUUAUUGAGGUAAGGUCUAAUCAAUGCACGAUUUAAAACAUAACAAACAAUAUUGACGGCAACCUAAAAAUAUUCUAGUAAAGCAUUUUUAUUUAACAUGGUCCUAGUCAUUUCUUGGAUAGACCAAUUCUUUCUCUCAACUACUCCAUUUUAUUGUGGAGUUCUUGGUGACAAGAAUUGAUGCUCAAUGCCAAAGUUAUUGUAAAAAAUUGAGAAUUACAAUUUUUAAAUUCUCCACCAUGAUCACUUCUAAUGCAAGAAAUAACAUAUCAUUUUUCAUUUUGAACCUUUUUAUAGAAAUUUUGAAAGCAUUAAAGGUGUCAUCUUUAUUAGUUAAGAGUAAUACCAUGUGUAUAUAGAAUAAUAAUCUAUAAUUAUAAAUGCAUAAUAUUUACCACUUAGACUAGCAUAUUUAGAAAAUUCAAACAAAUCCAUGUGAAAAAAGUUAAAAUGGUUUUGAAGUAGAAAUAUGAAUUUUAUUUUUAAAGGACGUUUUAUUUGUUUUCUAAAUUGGCAAACUUCACAAAUUCUAUCUUUUUUAAAACCAAUUUUUGGAAGACCUAUAACCAAAUCAUUUUAAAAAAAUUUUGAAAUAAAAUCCAUGCUCGCAUGACCUAGGCUUCCAUGCCAUAUCAACUAUCAUCAUGUAAUGUGAAAAAAACAUUUAUUAUGAGUUGAUACACUAUCUAUAUCAAUGGUGUAUACAUUAACACAUCUUUAUCUAACAAAUAAAACUUUGCCAUCACAUGCAUUUUUAAUAACACAUUUUGUUUUAUAAAAAAUAACUCUAUAAUCUUUAUCACAUAAAAAUAACUUUGUAACCUUUAUCACACAAUUGACUAAUACUAAGCAAAUUCUAAAGCAAUAUCUUUUAUUUUUCUUUUUCAAAUCAUUUACAGGUAAACCUUUAUUCUUAGAUGAAACAUUUUGUUUUUUCUUUAAAAGAUGCAAUUUCUUCACAAAUACUCCUAGGCACUUAAUCUUUUUAUUCAAAGUGUCAUUCUCAUUUAAAAGUUCUACUUUUUUCUUUCCAAGAGAAACAUUUUACAUUCCAAUCUUCUUUAAAUCUUUAUGCAAUUUAGAGAAUACUUCAAACAACUCAUCCUAAGAGGUUUACCUCAUCAAGUUCAUCUCCUAUAACCAUAAGUGCCAAAUUUGACACUUCAUGGGACUACUCUUCAUCUAUAGUCUCCUUAUCGCUAUCAUCCCGUGUUGCUACCAUAGCUUUCUUCUUUAAUUUAUUGAGAAAAGGACAUGCUAGUUUUAUGUGUCUAGGCUUCCUGCAUUUAAAGCAAAUAAUUGCCUCCUUUUCUUUCUGAUUUUUGAAUUUCCUUCGCUCGAUGGAUUUCUUGAAUUUUUUUUUGAAUUUUCCAGCUAUCAUAGCCAUGUCUUCAUUUUCGAUCUCACUUUCGUUGUCACUUUUAGAUCUUGAUGCUUUUAAGGAAAUACUCUUCUUCUUCUCGACUUCAUUGCCUUUUCAAUUUGUCAAAUCCUUUUCAUAAGAAAUAAAUGAACUAAUUAAAUCAUCAAUAGAUAAAGUAUCCUUGGCUUCCUCAAUGGCAAUUUUCUUAGGUCUCUAUUCUUUUGGUAAAGACCUACUGAUUUUUUUUACCUUCUCGCUAUUUGAAAAGGUCUUUCUAAGAGCUUCUAAAGUGUUUAUAAUGUCUGUGAAUCUAGUGUAUAUGGAAUUAACACUCUCAUUUUGUUCCAUUUAUAGCAAUUCGUAUUGCCUAGUAUAUCUACUAAUUUUAGACUAUUUAACUUGAUUUGUAGCUUUAUAAACGACUUUAUGUUUUUUCCAAAUUUCAUAAGCAUUGGAACAACCUUAAGGCACAAAACAAAGCAUUCAUGGCUUUGAAAUUAAGAGAAUUUUUUCUCUUUUCUGACUCAUUCCAUUCUUGUGAAAGCUUUUAACAGUAGGCAUGAAUGGACCAUCACAAUCAACUUCCUAUAUUUCAUAAUAUAAUGCUUGCAAAUAAAUUCUUAUCAUAAUUUUCCAACAUGGAUAAUCAUUCCCAUCAAAGAAUGGUGAUCUAGUAAGGGAUUAACCUUUCCCAAAUCUGGGAUCAUUUUGGAUUACUAUGGAUCUUUUACUCUAGAUGGUUAAGUCCUAAUAAGAUAACUUCCUCUUAUACCAAAUGAAAUUCUAGCUAAGCAACCCAAGAGGGGGUGAAUUAGGUAUUAAAAAUUAUACUAACAAAAACACAAUACAAAUUAAACAAAUGCUUCAAGAAAUUUAAUAAUGGUAAAUUUAACAAUGCGUGAAAUUAAAAAGAUAAGGGAGAAGAUAACAAACACAUGAAUUUUUAUGUGGUUCGGCAAACCCGCCUAUGACUACGCCUCCAAGCAAUCCAAACUUGAGAAUUCUACUAUCUAAACCUUCCAAGACUCCAAGAUUUUACAAUUGACUUCUAAGGUGUCAAUAAACCUUUACAAGUAGUUAUGUAUACACACACCUCUUUUCCCAAGUGUUUCCCACACUUAUACUCACUCAAUUUUGAUAUUUAAUUGAAGAUUACAAAGAUUACACUCUAUAAGAGUGUAUAAGCAAAUGAUAGCUCUAUAAUGAUUAAUGUAUGUAGAUAAGCAAAAUGAAAGCUCAAGAUAUAUGAAUAAGUUUUAGCUUAAUUGAGAUUGCAAAAAAUUGUUAGAUUUGAGUUUAAUUUGAAUUUUAUAGUUUAAACAAUCAAACUAGCAAUUAUGGGCUUUUCUAGGGACUUGCUGGAUCGCCGUUAAAAUGAGGCGGUUAGCCACUAUGUUGAUAUGGUAAGUUACAGUUGCAAAUCAAAUUUGAAAACUUUGGUUCAAGCGGAUUCCGCUUGAUUUAAGCGGUUAGCUGCUAUGUUUCUAGACUUGAAGUAGUUAGCCGCUAUUGGUUAAGCGAUUAGCCACUAUUGUUCCAGGAUUUAUAGAUUAGACCUAAUUUUUUUGAAAUUAUAUUACAGCCCAAAACAUUUGAAAUAUUUACAAAUAUGUCAAUUUCUAGGAUUUAAAACAUUAUUGGUUGAUUUCAAAGUUCUCAAAACUUUUCAAUUUAGUCCAUAAAUUUGGAAAAAGCAACUAAUUUUAUAAAAUCGUUAAAACUUUUAUAUUAUAGAAAAUGAUGAUUUAAUUUAAAAAUGUCAUGAAAAAUAUCUUGAGCUUUUAAAUGUUAAAUCAUGCACACAUUAAAUUAUACUGGCUUUACAAGAAAUUUAACAAUAAAGAUUGCUUAAACUAGUACCCUUAGUAUUCGUACUUGAUUGUCAUUGUCCAUUGAGUAUCUUGAUCUUGAUUUCACUUGAAUGAUUUUUGCCCUUCAAAAACUUGUGAGAUUGUGAGAAAUAAAUUUACCAUUGUACCCUAUGUAGUUUGUUAUCAUCAAAAUCAAGGAUUAUAUAACCGUUUAGGCCAACAAAAUAUUAUAAUAAAUAAUAAUUAUUAUGAUAAAAAAUUAAAGAUAUUUCGUAAUUUGUAACAACUCAUCGUGAUUUUAAAAUAAAAUAAAUAUAUCAAUGAUGAUAUAAUUUAUUUUAAUUUUAAUUUUUACAAUUUAAAUAAAUAAAUAAAUUAUCAUUCCAUAUUUUAAUUCCAACUCAUUCCAUUCCAAUUCAUUCAUAUUUUAAUCAGUAUAUCAACUACCCCCGAGCAAUGCCCGAAAGACAUUGAGGCAAGGGCCACAGAAAAAUAUACACUUGUUAGUUUAGCGUUGGUGUCAAGUUUCUUUAGCAUUUUAAAUUCAUAAAAGAACUUAUAGUGGUUCUUCAUCCUUUGGACUUUUCAGUGUUUACUUUCUAGAGUGGGUGUGAGUAGUGUGAAUUCCUCCCACUUCAAUAUUUACUGUACCAUUUUAAGGAGGGAUUGGGAAUCCCACUCCAUAAACCCCACCCAUUUUUGGAGUGGGGAGUGGGAGUGGGAGUGGGACUCCCAUGGGAACCCACUCCCACCUCUCCCUUUUCUACCUUUAUUUAAUUAAAUUUAAUAUUUAAUAUUUAAUAAAAUAAAAUAAAUAAUAUUAUUAUAUUAAUAGAGAAUUAAUAAUAUUACUAUAUGUUAUUUAUUUGAAGAUAUAAUAUUAUUAUAUUUAUUUAAAAAUAUAGUAUUAUAUUUAUUUAAUAUUAAUAAUUAAUAAUAAUAAAUAGUUUAUUCUAAGAAAAUAUUAAUUUUAUACUAAAUAAUAUUAUAUUAUUAUUUAUAUAAUAAUAAAUUUAAUAUAAUUAAAUAAAAUAAUAUUUCAUUUUAUAUUUACCUUCCUUUUUUAACCCCCUUUUAUUAAAUUUACUAUAAUUAUAUAUUAAUAAAAUAAAAUAAAUAAUAUUUUAUUUAUUUAAAUAAUAUUAUUAUAUUUAACUAAAUAAUAAUUUGGUUUGAUUCUAAGUUUAAAUUACUUAAAAAUAAUAAUAUUAUAUUAAUAGAGAAUUAAUAAUAUUACUAUAUACUAUCUUUAUUUGAAAAUAUAAUAUUAUUAUAUUUAUUUAAAAAUAAUAGUAUUAUAUUUAUUUAAUAUCAAUAAUUAGUAAUAAUAAAUAGUUAAUUAUAAGAAAAUAUUAAUUUUGUACUAUGUUAAUAGUAAAAAUAUUUCAUUUAUAUUGCUCUUAUCAAUAAUUUUUAAUUUAUAUAAUUAAAAUUAAAAUUAAUAAAAAAUUAUGAUGUACAUAAUUAAGAAUAUUAACAAUUAUUAUAAAUUUAUAAAUAUAAUAAAAUAAAUGUUUAUUCAUUAAAUAUAUAUUUUUAUUAACUUUGUAAUAAAAAAUUAUAAUUCUUUAAAUAAAGGUAAAAUUAUAAUUUAAAAUUAUUUACUCUCAAUUCAAGAUAAAGUACACACAUAAAUUGGAUUAUGAUCUCCAUUCCAUACUUAUAUUUCAGUGUAAGUAAACAACUUACACUUAUUUCCACUCUACACUCUCAAUCAUAGAUUUUUAUUUCUCAAAAUUCUCACUCCAAUCCAAAAUGUAAACACUAUGGUAAUUGUUCACGCAACUAUUUUAAUCGAAAAUAUUUUACUCGAAACUAAUAGACCUUUCAACAAUUUUAAGCGAAAAUAAUAGACCUUUCAACAAUUUUUACGGAUUCUGGCAAUUGUUCACGCAACUAUUUUAAUAGAAAAUAUAUAUGGCUCCGUAAACAAUGAUUAUCUCUUGACAGCUGUUCUGCACUCGCCAUUUGUACUGAAAUAGAAGAUUAUCUCUUGAUGAUUAUUUAAUUGAAAAGAAUUUGUCGUUUAUAUUUGACUGACUUGACAAAGAGUUGUUCACCUGGCCUUUGGAUGAGGAUCACAUGUUUUAUGACAAUCGUAAUGUUACUAAGGUAAGUCAAGCAAUUAUUUUUAAAUAAUGAUAUUAUAAUUAAAAAUCUAAAAACAUUUAUAAUACUUAAAGACUAAUUCCGAUUAUUAAUUUUUUUAUAUGACUUCAUUAUUAGCUGACAAAUAAUUAAAAGGCCAUAGAACAAUAUUUUUAGGUCCAAUUUUUAUUCUAAUAUGACAAAAUUUGUACUUUCAUUCCUAUACUAAAAUAUAUCUAACCUACUAACUAUCAAGAAAUAUAACUAUUCAACACAUAUUUGUUAGAAAGAUUAUCUACUAAUUAAUCAUUGAUUACGAGAUUAAUAUAUUGAAAUUCAGAACUUUUUUUUUUCCUUCUGCAGUUUAAAAAGGAGUCGCCCACGAGUAUUGAAAUAAUUUUAUCAGAUUCGCUUAAAAGUAGUUUUAAUUCUCAGUCAAUUCUCAGUCAAGAAUUGACUUUUUUUUUUCCUUCUGAACUUUUUUUUUUCCUACUCUUUGCCUUCAAUUCUCAGUCAAGAAAACCUCUCCUGAUUUUCGUCUUUUGAUCUCAUACACACUUUGCUUCUAUUUAUCGUGGUCACUGCUCGUGCUAGCCGUUUUCUUAUUUAGCUUCGUUCCCUUUUGCCAUCAGCUAUUUGCAUUUUCAUUGGAUCAAGCAACCCUUUUCUUGAUUCAAUUUUCUGAUCUCAAAAACACUUUGAUUCUCUUCUGUUACACUGAUUUCCCUUGUUUUGUACAAAUAUCAUUUCUUUUUUCAACUUUGCCUUGUUUUGCUUCUACUUGAUUAUCAAUUGCGCGGCCGUUGACCCUGUUCUAUUUCUAUUUCGUUCACUUCCCCAAAAAAAAAAAAAAAAAAUGGACAUUUUGAAAAGCAUUGUUCCAGGAGUUGUAAACUGUUUGUCUCCUCACGCACAACGCGAAUUUAGUUAUUGGUAUAAUUCCGGUGCCAACUUUGAGAAUCUCAAGGCAGAACUCGAUAGGCUCAAGGAUGAAAGAGAAAGCAUUCAGCGCAGAGUUUCUGAGGCUGAAAGAAAAAGUGAAAAGAUUGAAGAGAAGGUUGAGAAAUGGCUGGUUAAUGCGAACAAGAGCAUUGAGGAGGCAGCCAAAUUCAUUUUCGACGAAGAGAAAGCAAAUGAACGAUGUCUCAUGGGGCUGUUUCCUAAUUGGAUUACUCGCUAUCAGCAUGGAAAGAAAGCAGAAACAGAGAAGGAGGCCCUUUUUAAACUCCGAGAAGAAGCUGGGAGAUUUGAUGAUAGAAUUUCCUACCGUACCAUACCGGAGGAGAUUUGGCUCAAGUCUCACAAAGGCUACGAGGCCUUCGAAUCAGGACGUUCUACUUUGGAGGCUAUAAAAAACGCAUUGAUCGAUGUUGAUGUCAGCAUCAUUGGGGUGUACGGCAUGGGCGGCAUUGGAAAGACGACACUGGUGAAGAAGGUCGCCAGGCAAGCUAUGGAAGACAAGCUCUUUGAUAUGGUAGUCUUUUCAGAGGUUUCCCAAAUCCCAGACAUAAAAAGGAUUCAACAUGAAAUUGCCGAGGAGUUGGGCCUGGAGUUGCGCGAGGAAGUUGAAUCCAGAAGAGCAAAUAGAAUAUUUGAGCGAUUGAGAGAUGAGAAGAAGAUCCUUGUGGUUUUAGACAACAUCUGGAAACACCUUGAUUUGGAGACCGUUGGAAUUCCUUUUGGAGAAGACCAUAAAGGAUGCAAACUACUGCUGACAGCAAGAGAUCGUAGUGUCCUCUUAAAAAUGGGAUCUAAAGACAACUUCUUGAUUAACAAUUUAAAUGAUGAAGAAGCAUGGAGAUUGUUUAAGAUGAUGGCCGGUGAUGAUGUUGAAAAUCGUGAGUUGAAAUCUACAGCAAUAGACGUUGCCAGGGCAUGUGGAGGUUUGCCCAUUGCCUUGACUACAGUGGCAAAGGCACUGAGAAGCAAGAGUCUGCAUGAAUGGAAGAAUUCCUUGCGAGAACUCCGAACGCCUUCAAUGGUAAACUUCGAAGGAGUAUCUGCAGAGACUUAUUCAAGUAUUGAGCUGAGUUUCAACCAUUUAAAGGUGAGCAACUCAAGAAAAUUUUUCUGCUCUGUAGUCUAAUGGAUAACCGUAUUCUUACUUCGGACUUGUUUAAGUACUCCAUGGGUUUGGGUAUAUUUAAAGGAGUCAAUAAGAUGGAAGAUGCACGAGACAAAUUAUAUGCAUUGGUCCAUGAACUUAGACACUCUUGUUUGUUGCUUGAGGGUGAGAGCAAUGAACAAUUUUCAAUGCAUGAUGUUGUUCGUGAUGUCAUAUAAUUUUCAACUAUCACUAAGUGGAAAAGAUGUGAAGAUGAUUUUGCAGGCCGAUUUCCCACAACACCUUUUUGGCAGUCUUAAACAACUAGAGAUUGUUGGAGAUGACUCAGCUUGUUUUCCAAUCUGGAACGUACUGAAGAGAUUUCACAAUCUCAAAAUGCUCAUACUGCGUUAUUUUUCAUCCCACGAAGAGCUAUUUUCAAUGGAAGGAUGCUUAGAGAAACAUGUGGGGAAGUUGGCAAUGAUAAAAGCAUUAGAGCUGCGCUGGCACUAUCAUCUGAAGCAGCUGUGCAAACAAGACUCCAAACUUGGCCCCAUUUUUCAGUAUCUUGAAUUCAAAAUGUACUUCAUUGUCAAAGUCUGUUAACUCUAUUGCCACCAUCAUCGGUAUCUUUCCAGAACCUAACAGCUCUGGUGGCUUUCGGUUGCAAGAAAUUGAUACACUUAGUAACAUCCUCCACAGCAAAAACUCUAGUGCAACUCGUCAAAGUGUGUAUAUAUGGAUGCAGAGCAAUGACAGAGGUGGUAAUAAAUGACAAAGAUGGAGUUGAAAAAGAAGAGAUUGUUUUCCGCAAAUUGAAGGCGUUGGAACUGUGUGAUUUAGAUAGCCUCACAAGUUUCUGCUCUGCCAAUUACACCUUCAAAUUCCCAUCUUUGCAAGAUUUGUGGGUGAUUGGUUGUCCCAAGAUGAAGAUUUUCACUACAGGAGAAUCAAUCACGCCUCUAAGAGUAAACGUCUGCUAUGGAGAGACAGCGGAUCAACGGCGCUGGGAUAAUAAUGAUCUAAACACAACCAUACAACAAUUACAUGCUGAGAAGGUACGGAUAUACAUAUUACUCUCUAUCUCCCAUGAUAAAUUUUUACAAAAUUUGCUUUUUUUAAAUAAAAUAUCGAUAAGAUAUUUGUUUUAAAAUUAGUUUAAAUUGAUGGAUAAGAAUUUUAUUCUCAGCUGUUGGACGGGUCGUCGAUAUACUCUACGCAAUACCACUAAUUUCAUUGGCUUCUUAUGUCUUGGAGUUGCGAAUUUGAAGAAGAAAGUCCCAGCUGGUAAUUAAUUCUUAUUUUAUUUAUUUGAUCUCGUGGGUUGUUUCACAAUUUCAUCUCAAUUAUUUAGAAUGGGUCGCUUGGUUUUCAUGUUUCGUUCAGGCUUUUGUGGGCAGAUUUUGCGUCAUUGAUUGUCUUUUGGUCUAAUUUAAUUUAAUUUGAGUAUUUUGUUUGAGAAUUCGCUUGUUCUCUAAAAUUUUAUAAUUCCUUGCAAGCAUUUUAUGAUGAAAUUUCAUUAAAAGGGGCAACACUUGCAUGUUGAAUGUCUUCAGAUAUUAUAAUUCCUUGAAAUCAUGCGAACUUUUUUCUUUCUUUCUUUGCCAAUCAUUUAUUGUCAUCAUUGCCUUUCCGUUAUAUUUGUUUCUGCUCUGUUUGUUCUUUGGAAACUUGGAAGGCAACGAAAGUACUUAAGAAAAUGCUCUUGCCUAUGAACACAUAAUUAAGAAGCUGAAUAUCAUUCAGCGGGUAAAAUAUAUAUAUAUAUAUAUAAUUAGCCCAUUAUGCCUACAACAAAUCCUUACACCAUCAAAGGUUAGCUAUGAACAACUAUAUUGUGGAAAUAUUGUUUGAAAGCAUUGGAUAGAAUUUUCAAAAAUAUCAAGUUUUCACAAACCAAAAAGGGAACUAAUUUGGUCUAGUUUUGUGAAAGUAUAGAAGCACAAAUUUUGUCUGUUAUUCUUGUUAAAAUUCUCAGCACUAUGUUUGCAGAAUGUCUGGAUACUGAUGGAGAUUCAAGUCACUCUUCUUCUGUGCAACAUUUGAAAUGAAGCCUUUUUUUCCCCCUUUAUUCAAAUUUUAUGUUGUGAGGGGUUCCGUUUCCAUCUUCAUGUGAUUUACUUCAUCGUGUCGCUACAUAUAUGAUAGUGUGUGUUAUUUCCUGUCUGUUUCCUUUAUUUGACCAUCGGAAGUUCAAAGACAUUUUAUUCUAAAUGUGUGUAAAUUCAUUUUCUGUAUAAGCUCUUUGUAUGCAUUUUGACAUUUUAUUCUCAAUAUAUGUGACUCAAUGAGAGGUCUAUUGUUAUAUAUACGUCACGAAAUUCUUGUGUAUUUUUAGAUUUGAUGAUGUAUUAUUGCCUCAUUGCAAGGUCUUAUAAUCACUCUGAUUCUUAUUUCUUGUAUAUAUAUGUAUAUAUGCGCAAGAAAUUUGAUAAAUGAUCUCGUCAUUUUCUCAGUUAAACAUCUAGUACUUUAUAUGUUGGAAGGGUACUAAGCAGCAGGCCAAGAUUUAUCAACUCAAAGAUCGUCAUGUCACUUUUUGAAAGUUGACUAAAAAAUAUUCCUAAAAGUAGCAAAAGUUGGUGGAUUAUUGUGGUUUUCCUACUUUAUCGUUUUUGGUUGAAUAAAUUAAUAUAAAGCUGUCGAUUCUGCAUUAAAGCUUAUGAAUUGUGAAGAUAUAUGAAUACCAAAUCUUUCCAACUCCAACUCUUGAGUAAUUAUUAGGUUCCCACCCAUGCAAACAUAUUUUCUUUCGAGAAAAAGGGAUGCCUGAGUCAGGGCAUCCGUUGCCUCGGUUUAUUUGAUUUUGUUUGGUUCAAUUGUGGUUCUGUUAUUUAGUUUUUCCUCUGAUGGUUCUGUUUCUCUGUAUAUUUCACUGGGUUUGCUUUGCUUCACAUCUUUCUUUCAAAACUAAGUAUAUAUCAAAUCAUGCAUAUGCUCAUGCUCUUGCCUAUGAACACAUAAAGAACAACUGAAUAUCCUUCGUCGGAUAACAAAAAAAAAAAAUCUAAUCAUCCAUUACUUAAUUAGAAAAAAAAUUUGUUCGCUCUGCUUGCUUUAGUAAUUUGUCUUUUAUAUUUGACUGGCUCGACAAAGAGUUGUUGACCUCGUUUUGAUACACUUACAUUGCAGAGAUUGAAACCAGAUCUGUCAUACAUUAGUUGGCCAUAAAAAUAAUCAAAUCACUUUCUCUUUUUCACCUAUUUUCACGGAGAAAAAUGCUAAAGAAACUGGGAGAAUGCUAAAUUCAAAGGUGGAAAGUGUACAGAGAGAGGAAGCGCGUGUUUAGAGAGAGAGGUCUCAAAUAUAUAAGUUGGAUUUCUCAUAAAAGGUAGUAAGGUUUCUAUAAUUCUAUUUCUAUUUAUGCUGAAUUUCAUGGAAACGAAGUUAAUUUAGAGAUUUGUAUACUUUAUUUAUAGUUAAGUUUUCCAAAAAAAGGCGUAAAGUUGCUCCUAAGUUCAUUUUUAUAAUUGGUCGAUUAUUUUAGAAGUCACAAGGGUGCCAACAAGGAAUUGUAGAGUCGGAUACGUGUAGCCUUCAUUGUUUUCCUGAUUCGGUAUGUAUAUAGUUAUAUGUAUGUUUAGGUAGAUUAUGGUUGGUGAUGAUAUUGUUAAUAAUAUGGAUGAUUUGUUAGAUAUGAAAAUUAAGUUAUUAAGGGUGAAACAUGAAACCGAAUCCGUCACUGCAUUUGCUUGAAAAACAAUUUUACGAAUAAUAGGUCCUCGACAACUUUCAAUGUGGUUUAGUUACAUGUAUUCAAAACAUAAAUUAUUGUUAUGAUUUUAGAAAAUUUUGUUGUUUGUAAUUUAUAUUUGAAAUUUUGCAACAAUUGUUUGGCACAAAUAUUUUUAUUUAAGAAAAAGAGUGAUCUCAUUAUUGAGCUGGUUUUGAUAACACAUAUGGAAAUAAUAAAUUGAUUCAUAAUUAAGUCAAUUACCUAAUUAAAAUGUACCUCAAUAUUUUUUUCCUCAAUAUUUUUUUGGUAAUGUUGUAUCUGUUAUAGUAAUUUUUGGUAGUUAUGUUUGGAAAUAAUCACUAUGAAGAGAAUGAGUUAAACAUUUAGGAAAAUUUAUUUUUAGAAGUCCUAUUGAUAAUGUAAAUGCUAAAUUGAAUAUAAUGUUAAAUAAAAUUUAUUUAUACAUUUAUAAACAUUUAAAUAAAAUAUUUUUAUCUUGUAAGUAUAAUAAUUGAUUACUAAAAUAAAUAUUUUAUAUUAUUAAUUUUAUUUUUAGUUUGUUAUCUCAAUGUAAUUGUUGAUAAUAUCUUUAAAGUUAAUAAUUUUAUUUUCUAAUUAAUAAGGAUAAUUAAUAUAUGUAGGGAUGUAUAUGGAAUUAUAUUGAGUAUAAAACUGAUUAUCAAAAUCAGAUUUUGAAAAACUAUUUGCUUUCAAAAUUUAUUGUAGGAUUGAUGAUUUUACCAAAGGUGACUUCUAAAAUUUUUAUUAAAUACCAAAAUUAGCAUUUAACUUUUCAAAAUUAAUUUUGAGCCUCUAAAAAUAAUCCCAAACGGAACUUUAAUAUAUGUUUGAUUUUUUUUAAUUUUAUAUUAUAUGAGACAAAAAUAUAAUUUUUAUCGUUGAAAAACAAAUGACAGAUUUUUUUGAAUAAUUUAAAAAAAAAAGAAACACAGAGCUCAAGAUAAUGCUGUAAUUGUUGCAUAAGAAGGCUGCAACUUGAUGAUAAAUUUAUUAUACUAGUUUUAAGGUUUUAUUUUGUGUGUAAAAGUUGCUGGUUCUUGUUUUAGAAAUUUCUCUUUCUAUUUGCCUGACUCGACAAAGAGUCGGUGUACCUCGUACUGAUACACUUAAAUUACAAACAUGGAAACCAGAUCUGGCAUCAUAAAUUAAUCAAUCACCUUCUCAUUAAUCUACCAUUACUCUUUUCGUUCCCUUAUUUUUAUCUAACCAUUUAGGAUAGGAUUUGAAUUCAGUACUUAAUUAUUCUUUUUAAUAAUUUUAAAAAAUUAUAAUUAAUAGUUAUUGGAUAAAAAUAUAAAAUUAAUUAUAUUAUUUGUCAUACGCGUGUGACAAAAGGUUAAGAAAAAUUUAUUUACGUUUGCUCAAUCCACUCUCUUAUUAGCUCCCCCACUCUCUUAAUCAUUUCUUCUCAUUCGAAAAACACUUUGCUUCUGUUUGUUUGUUAUUUAUUUUUAGCUCCAUAACUGCUCGUCGUAACGCUGUCUCUCUGUUUUGACUGUCCUUUAGCCUUCUUCACUUCUACAUUGUUGUCAGGAUUCAAGAUGCUGGAAAUCAUUGUUACUCUCGUUUUGGAACCUUGUAAAAUGCUUGGCUCCUCCAACUGAACGCCAACUUGUUUAUUUGCGAUGGCGGAACUACAAUGCCAACCUUGAGAAUCUCAAGGCGGAAAUGGAGAAGUUGAAGGUUGAACGUACGAGCAUUCAGCGCAGAGUUUCAGAGGCGAAAGAAAAAGGGGAAGAGAUUGAAGAGAAGGUUGAGAAGUGGCUGGUUAGUGCUAACGGCAUCAUUGACCAGGCAGCCAAAUUCGUUGAAGAUGAAGAGUCAACAAAUAAGCGCUGUCUCAAGGGCUUGUGUCCUAAUUUGAAGACCCGCUAUCAGCUUAGCAAGAAAGCAGAGACGGAGGUGAAGGCCAUUAUUGAGCUUGGAAAACAAAAUUAGAGAAAUUUCCACGUUCAAAGACAUUUUAAUAUGUUAUAACUAAACUAAUCAGAAAAACGAGUUUAAAGAAAAAAAAAAAAGGAGAGGGAGGGGACGGCAUCGUUUAAUUAAAAAGAGCUAAAAUUUUACUCUGUCCAUGUUGCAAAGCAAGAAAGCCGAAAAGCACAAAACAACAAUAAGCCAACGUUUGGGGAACUCCUCCCACCAGGGAACCAAGCUCUCCGAAUCCACGCCCAAAUCCUCACUCCCCAACGCGACGUCUUUCAACGCCUCCUCAAACUUCACAGAUUUCUCCGACACAUUGUACGACUCGGACUUCACAUCCCGAACGGAUACUCGGAACGAGCAACCCCUGUCUCCGGACAGAACCCCAAGUCGAACAAAGGUUACGAGGCCUUCGAAUCAAGAGUUUCUACUUUGAAGUCUAUACAAAAUGCGUUGACUGAUGUGAAUGUCAGCAUUAUUGGGGUGUACGGCAUGGGCGGCAUUGGAAAGACGACACUGGUGAAGGAGUUUGCUAGGCAAGCCAGGGAAGACAAGCUGUUUGAUCGGGUGGUUUUUUCAGAGGUUUCACAAACUCCAGACAUAAAAAAGAUUCAAGGGGAAAUUGCAGAGAAGUUAGGUCUGGAGUUGUCCGAUGAAGCUGAAUAUAGAAGAGCUAGCAGGCUGUAUGAACGACUGAAGAAUGAGAAUAAGAUUCUUGUGAUUCUAGAUAAUAUCUGGAAACAUGUUGAUUUGGAGACGGUUGGAAUUCCCUUCGGAAAUGAUCAUAAAGGAUGUAGACUACUGCUGACAGCAAGAGACAAUAAUGUACUAUUAAGUAUGGGCUCCAAAGAUAACUUCUUGAUUGGCAAUCUAAAUGAAGAAGAAGCUUGGGGAUUGUUUAAGAUAAUGAAUAGUGAUGAUGUUGAAAAUUGUAAGUUCAAGUCUACAGCAAUUAAUGUAGCCCAGGCAUGUGGAGGGCACUGAGAAACAAGAGUCUGCAUGAGUGGAAGAAUGCCUUGCGAGAACUCCAAACACCUUCAGUGGUAAACUUCGAAGGUGUGCCUGCAGAGACUUAUUCAAGUAUUGAACUGAGUUUCAAGUAUUUAAAAGGUGAGCAACUCAAGAAAAUUUUUCUGCUCUGUAGUCUAAUAGGUAACAGUUUUUGGAUUACAGACUUGUUUAAAUACUCCAUGGGUUUGGGCAUAUUUCAAGGAGUCAACAGGAUGGUAGAUGCACGAAACAAAUUAUAUGCAUUGGUCCAUGAACUUAGUGUUGGGGAAAAAUUAGGUUUUUAAAUUUUUAUAAAACCUUUUGAAGAUCGCUCUCAUAUAAUAUAUAAGAAUUUGUAUUCUAGAAAUCGUACCUUGAAAAUCUGAAUUGGCUUUUUCCGCUGAAGUGAUUUAGGCUCCUAGAUCACGAUCCGCCACCACCACUCCUGAUAGAUCACGAUCUGUCACCACCACGCUUGUUAGAUCACGAACUGUCUCCAAUGAUCUUCCAGGUUAUGACUCAUGUUCGAUCUGCACUUGACGUGUGGGCGCCUUUAUCACUACCAAAGCAACUAGCAUGAGAAAAUUUUUCUCUCAACAAUAGAGAGAAAAAUCUUAUUCUCCGAUCUGUAUAAAGUGGCUCCUUUCUUUUUUCUUUAGGGAAAAAUAAGCCUUUUAUAUCACCCUUUAGUGAAAACCCUAGGCUCCUAAUGAUCAAAAAACAAAACCCACGUUUAUUUGCUUUUUCAAUAGGGGACCCACCUUGUAAAAUAACAUAAGGCCCCUUAUACAAAAGCUAAUUAAAUGGAGCCUCCCACUAAAUGAUAUAUUUAGGCUUUUGACCCAAAUAGCUAGUUAUCUUACUUAUUAGUCCAGUAGUGGUGCAAUCAAUUAAAUGAGCUAACCCGGGGAUCAUUUGGGAACAUACAAUAGUGGCUACAAUAAUUAGGCCUAUAAUUAAACUAGCCCAAUUAUUUAAUUCCAAAUCUACUCCACUAAAAGAUUGGAACCGACUUCCAUAAUUGUACGCUCGAAUAAUAAUUCGUCCCAAGCCACAUUGAUUUCUUUACUGCACAAUCCUUUGUACCACAUCGUUAAUUAAAUUGAUAUCUCAACUGUCCAAUCAAUUUAAUAACAUCUUAUUCCUUGAUCCUUACUGGUUUUCUCUAAUGAUCAUUUUCAACAUACUAAAUAUGUUGACACACUCUGGCCAGAGAAUUCUAUGAUCAAGUGCCGAAAACCCAUCAAGAGAUGUGUUGUACAAAUUCUAUAUUGUUAAUCCAUAACUUCAAUACUCAUAAUUGCUCCCACCAAGAUAACGGGUAAUCUUGACCACAAGGAUGUGUCGUGCCCAUUGGUAACUCAAAUGGAAUAACAAUUACAAUCAUGAAAUCAUAAUUAACUCAAGAUUAAGAUUACAGUAAAAUCAACGCCUAUGAGAUUUAAUAAGUCUGACAGUUAUUUCAAAGUUAAUUAAAUCUCAUAUGUGAUCCUGUUCAAUGUAGUCGCACUACAUCAAUAAAUUCAUACAUGAUUAAGACAAAUCAUUCAAUGAAUUUAUUACAGUCUAGCAUGACAAGUCGGUUGAAGAUUUGUCAUCAGCAUGACAAGUCGGUUGACAGUCCAGAGAGAGCUAUAUGACAAGAUUAUCGUGUCGUCUAUAUACGCAAAGAAAGCAUGUGGUGUUCACGUGUUUCACUUAAACUAAACGGCUGCUUGAACUGUCGUUUUGUUACUUGGAAUAACCAAGAUGAAGACACGUGUAAUGAAGGCUUAUUCAGAAGUCUGUUAAGCCGUUAAUCAGCGUGGGAAGUUACUGUUCUUCUCCACGGGAAACAGGGGAAGCUUGCUGGUGAUUUGAGAGUCCUUCUUUGAUCAAGCAUCGCCUAUAUAUAUAGCUGGGUAUUCUGGGGUUAACACUUUAAGUUCAUGUAUGCUUAGCUUCUCUAAAUAAAGCUUGCACUCUGUAAGACACUCGUUCAAUAAAGCUUGGAUUCACCCUUUCACAGUGGACGUAGGCUUCCAUAGCCGAACCACUAUAGCUUUCUUGUGUUGUCUUUUCUGCUCUUGAAUUCUUCGAUUAAACUAGCUUUGAUUCUUGGCUUGUUAAAGUGUUCUUUAAGCCGAGUUCUGUUCACAUUAGCUUUAGUUACAAGAACCCUUCUUGAGUGGAUCUUGGGGAGCCAUUUUUCGGUUCUUUACUGAUAUUUGGCACAACAAAUUGGUAUCAGAGCCUCCCUCUGAAGUUCUUGAUCUAAAGAUGACUGGCCCUAAACUUGAAGUAGAAAAGUUUACUGGGGAAAAUGACUUUCACCUAUGGAGACUCAAGAUGAAAGCACUGUUGGUACAUCAAGGCCUGGAUGAAGCCCUUGCCGAAGUCACAUCACCCAAGAAACCAAGGAAGAUAUCAGAUGAUGACCUCCUAGAUGUGCUUGAUAGGGCUCACAGUGCAAUUAUCUUAAGUCUUGGAGAUGGUGUACUCAGAGAAGUGGGAGGAGAGACAACAGCUGCUGGAUUGUGGAAGAAGCUUGAGGACUUGUACACCAAAAAGUCCAUGGCCAAAAGGUUAGCCACCAAAAAGAAGCUUUACACAUUGCAGAUGGAAGAGGGUUCAUCAAUCUUUGAUCACAUUGAUGCCUUUAACAAGAUCAUCUUGGAUCUUGAAGACAUUAAUGUAAAGAUCGAUGAUGAAGAUAAAGCCAUGAUUCUGUUGUGCUCUCUACCAAGCUCUUAUGAGCAUCUGGUCGACACUCUCAUGUAUGGAAGACAGUCCCUCUCGAUGGUGGAUGUAAAAGAGACAUUGAACUCCAAGGCUGCAAGCAAGAAAGAAGCAAGUCAUGGGGAAGGAUUAACAGUUAGAGGGAGAUCAGAAAAGAAAGAAGGUGUUAAAGGGAAGAAGAAAAGAUCCAAGUCAAGACCAAAGAACAUGAAGUGCUUUCACUGCCACAAGGAAGGCCACUUCAAAAAGGACUGUCCAGAGAGGAAAUAUAAAAACAAUGAAGCAAAAGAGAAGACUGGAGAUGCUGCUGUUGCAUCAGAAGGACAAGAAUCUGAUGGUUAUGACUCUGCUGGGGUUCUCAUAGUCUCUGAUGGUGCAUCUAAAGGUAACUGGGUUUUAGAUUCUGGCUGUUCAUUCCAUAUGUGCCCUAAUAAAGCCUUCUUUAAAAACUAUGAAACCUAUGAUGGAGGGAUAGUUGUAAUGGGGAAUGAUGCUAGUUGUAGAGUAAUUGGCAGGGGCACCAUUAAACUGAAAAUGCUUGAUGGCACAAUAAAAGAAUUAGCAAAUGUCAGACAUGUUCCUGAUUUAAAGAGAAAUUUGAUUUCCCUUGGCAUGCUUGACAAAAUGGGGUGUGUUAUCAAGCUUGAGUCAGGCACUCUAAAGGUGUUGAAAGGGUCUAUGGUGUUGAUGAAAGGAAACUUAGACAAUGGCCUGUAUGUACUCUAGGGGUCUGUAGUCACAGGAGAUGUUGGAGUUUCAAACCAGAAUCUAAACAAAACCUUAUUGUGGCACUUUAGAUUAGGCCAUAUGAGUGAGAGAGGCUUGAGAGAACUAUCAAAACAGAGAGUCUUGGGUGAAGAUAAAAUAGAGCCCUUGGAAUUUUGUGAGGAGUGUGUCCUAGGCAAAUCAUCAAGAGUCAAAUUCAGCACAGGUGCACAUGUUUCAAUAGGAACUCUAGAAUACAUACAUGCUGAUCUGUGGGGACUUGCACAGACAGCAUCUUUAGGAGGGGCAAGGUAUUUUCUAUCUCUAAUUGAUGACCAUUCCAGAAUGGUUUGGGUGUAUGUGCUGAAGAACAAAGAUGAAGUGUUUGAACAUUUCAAGAACUGGAAAACACUGAUUGAAACUCAGACCAAUAGGAAGGUUAAGAAGCUCAGAACUGAUAAUGGAUUAGAAUUCUGCAACAAGAUGUUUGAAGAGUUCUGCAGCAAGCAUGGGAUCAUGAGGCACAGAACAGUAAGAUAUACACCUCAGCAAAAUGGAUUAGCUGAGAGGAUGAAUAGAACCUUAGUUGACAAAGUGAGGUGUAUGCUCAUUCACUCUAAGCUACCUAUGUCCUUGUGGGCUGAGGCUCUGUCAACAGCUUGUCACAUUGUGAAUAGAAGUCCUUCAACUGGAAUUAACUUUAAAACACCAUAUGAACUUUGGUAUAGUAAACCAGCAGAUUACUCCAGUUUGAAGAUCUUUGGUUGUCCAGCAUAUGCUCACAUCAAACAAGGAAAAUUAGAGCCCAGGGCAUUGAGGUGUAUAUUUCUUGGUUAUCCUGAAGGGGUAAAAGGGUACAAACUGUGGUGCACAGAUAUGAAGCCACCAAAAGCAAUCAUAAGCAGAGAUGUAGUAUUUAAUGAAGCUGAGAUGCUCCAGCACUCAGUAUCUCUAAAGACUACAAAUGCUGAAAUAAAAGAGAAAGAUGAGAGAUCUUUUCUUGAGGUGGAGCUGUUAAACUCAAACCAGAAACAGAAAUCAAGAUCAGAGGCUGGAGACAAAACAGACAUGGAAAUACAUGACACUGAGAAUGAAGCAGCAAGUGAUCAGGCAAUAAGUGAAGAUUAUCAGUUAGUGAGGGAUAGAGUAAAGAGAGUAAUAAGACCUCCUAGUAGAUAUGCAUAUGCAGAUCUAAUAGCAUUUGCAUUAACAGCAGCAGAUGAAAUAGCAACAGAUGAACCCAGAACAUACUCAGAAGCUAUUAACAGUGAUAAAGCAGUAGAAUGGAUAAAGGCUAUGGAUGAGGAAAUGAUGUCUUUGAAAAAGAAUCACACCUGGAAUCUCAUUGAAAGACCAGCAAACAAGAGGGUAGUAGGAUGCAAAUGGAUAUUCAGAAUCAAGGAGGGAAUACCAGAUGUUGAGCCACAAAGAUACAAAGCCAGGCUGGUUGCAAAAGGCUUCACUCAGAAAGAGGGGGUUGACUUUACAGAAGUUUUCUCCCCAGUGGUGAGACAUGCUUCCCUGAGAAUCCUGUUAUCCCUAGUGGCUGUACAAGACAUGCAUCUUGAACAGAGGGAUGUGAAGACUGCUUUCCUGCAUGGUGAAAUAGAUGAGAUGAUAGUGAUGUCACAACCUGAAGGGUAUGAGGAUUCAGAAAAGGCUGAUCAUGUAUGUCAUCUAAGGAAGUCACUAUAUGGAUUAAAACAAUCUCCAAGACUGUGGUAUCUGAGGUUUGACAGGUUUAUGUCAGAUCAUGGUUUUAAAAUGAGUAGUUUUGACUGCUGUGUUUACUUUAAAACUAUAGAAGGUGGUGACAAAAUCUACCUACUACUCUAUGUAGAUGACAUGCUAAUAGCUUGUAAAGAGAUGGAAUUCAUCAAUGAACUGAAACAGCAGCUGAGCAAUACAUUUGAGAUGAAGGAUCUGGGUGCUGCAAAGAAGAUCCUUGGAGUUCCGCUAAAGAGAGACAGGAAGAAUGGCAUCCUAAGCCUAACACAGCACAAAUACAUCAGGAAAGUACUUGAGAAAUUUAAUAUGGAUAAAUGUAAACCAGUACAGACACUACUGCCUUCACAUUUCAGACUGUCCUGUCAACAGUGUCCAAACUCUGAUACUGAGAAGGCUGAAAUGAAUAGAUUUCCAUACUCAAGUGCUGUUGGAUGUUUAAUGUAUGCAAUGGUCCUUACUAGGCCUGAUCUCUCACAUGCAGUGAGUGUGGUAAGCAGGUAUAUGGCAAACCCUGGGAAGGAUCAUUGGAGGGUUGUUGUAUGGAUCUUAAGAUACCUUGCUGGUACAACUGGAUAUGGUUUGAUCUAUGGAGCUGAGAAAUAUGCAGAGGUUAGUGUGGAGGGUUAUGUAGAUGCAGAUUAUGCUGGAGAUCUGGAUAAAAGAAGGUCUUUAACAGGUUUUCUUUUUAUGCUUAAUGGCUGCACCAUAAACUGGAAGGCUUCACUGUAGAGUGUUGUUGCUCUGUCAACAACUGAGGCAGAAUACACAGCAGCUGCAGAGGCAAUCAAAGAAGCUAUCUGGCUCAGAGGGAUGGUGACAGAACUGGGGUUUGAACAAAAACAAAUCACAGUUCAUUGUGACAGCCAAAGUGCCAUAUGUCUAAGCAAGAACCAGAUUCACCACGAGAAGACCAAGCAUAUUGAUAUCAAGCUUCACUUUGUCAGAUUGGAAAUAUCAAAGGGUGUGAUUAAGCUGGCUAAAAUACACACUGAUAGCAACAUUGCUGACAUGCUUACCAAAGCUGUACCAGGAGCUAAGUUUGAGUUAUGCUUAAACUCAGCUGGCAUUUGCAGGGUAUAGACUGCAGGAAAUAAGUGGAAGGGUGAACCUGAGGGAAUGGAUGAUUUGAGCUCAAGGUGGAGAAUGUUGAAUAUGAACUGCAAAUCGGUUUUAUAGUCAAGCAUGACAAGUCGGUUGAAGAUUUGUCAUCAGCAUGACAUGUCGGUUGACAGUCCAGAGAGAGCUAUAUGACAAGAUUAUCGUGUCGUCUAUAUACGCAAAGAAAGCAUGUGGUGUUCACGUGUUUCACUUAAACUAAACGGCUGCUUGAACUGUCGUUUUGUUACUUGGAAUAACCAAGAUGAAGAAACAUGUAAUGAAGGCUUAUUCAGAAGUCUGUUAAGCCGUUAAUCAGCGCGGGAAGCUACUGUUCUUCUCCACAGGAAACAGGGGAAGCUUGCUGGUGAUUUGAGAGUCCUUCUUUGAUCAAGCAUCGCCUAUAUAUAUAGCUGGGUAUUCUGGGGUUAACACUUUAAGUUCAUGUAUGCUUAGCUUCUCUAAAUAAAGCUUGCACUCUGUAAGACACUCGUUCAAUAAAGCUUGGAUUCACCCUUUCACAGUGGACGUAGGCUUCCAUAGCCGAACCACUAUAGCUUUCUUGUGUUGUCUUUUCUGCUCUUGAAUUCUUCGAUUAAACUAGCUUUGAUUCUUGGCUUGUUAAAGUGUUCUUUAAGCCGAGUUCUGUUCACAUUAGCUUUAGUUACAAGAACCCUUCUUGAGUGGAUCUUGGGGAGCCAUUUUUCGGUUCUUUACUGAUAUUUGGCACAACAAAAAUAAUCCAGACUUCCUGUGUAUCGUCGAUUCAAUGAAGAGAGAACCUUGUGUCGCCUUUCCUCUUUUGGAGUCCCUUACUCUUCACAAUUUGAUCAAUACGGAGAGGAUAUGUAUUGAUCGACUCAAAAUAGAGUCCUUCAAAGAACUCAAAACCAUAAAAGUGGAAAAUUGUGAUGAGUUGAGUAAUAUCUUCUGGCUCUCUAGUAGUACAAAAUGCCUUCCAAGACUGGAGAGGAUUGCAGUUAUCAAUUGCAACAGCAUGGAAGAGAAGCUGAUGUUGAUGUUGAUGAGAAGAUAGAGUUAGGUCAAUUAAGAUCUUUGAGUCUGGGAAAGCUUCCAAAGUUUACAAGGUUUUGCCGUGAAGUGAAGACUCCUUUCACAUCACCAAACAGACAAGAGUCGCAAGAGGAAUUGACAGCCAGUUCCAACGAGAUCAGUUCGGAAACGUCAACUCUGCUUUUCAACGAGAAGGCACGUAGGCUAAUGCUUCUUUUUUUUUUAAGUUCUAUCAUGCACUCGCAUUUGAAAAAAAAAAGUCUCAUACACUCGCUAAUUAACCUCUUAAUAAGUGCUUCUCAUAUGGAUAUUGUGUCAAAACAAGUGCUUUUCAUACUGAUAUUGGAUCUAAAGAGAAAAUUAUCUUUAGAUAGUGUUGCCAAAUUUGGAGGCUUUGGAGCUGAAUGCUAUUAAUGUCGACGAGAUUUGGCAUGACAAUCAACUUACGGCCAUGAUUAAUAGCUUUCAAAGCUUGACACGAUUGAUAGUGUGGGGCUGUGACAAAUUAAAAUACAUAUUUUCAGCUUCUAUGAUCCAAAGCCUUAAGCACCUCCAACACCUGGAGAUACGGAUAUGUAUGGGUUUACAAGGGAUCAUCUCCAAAGACAGAGCAGAUCAAGUGACCCCAUAUUUUGUCUUUCCACAAGUGACCACUCUGAAUCUCGAAGGUCUACCAGAACUCAGAUGUUUAUACCCUGGAAUGCAUACUUCAGAAUGGCCAGCACUAAAAAAAUUGGUGGCCUGUAAUUGUGAUAAAAUAACGUUGUCCCAGAAUAACGAGAAUGAUCAAUUUGGUAUUCCGGCACAACAGCCCCUGCUCUCGUUCAAGAAGGUAUGAAACCAAAUUUUAGAUUUUUUUUUAUCAAUUAUCUUUGUUGUUCCUCACUCACAGAUCAGGAGGUUUAAUAAAUACCUAUAUAGAGUUUUUUUCUAGUGGGAAUGCCCUUAUUUUUUACUUUUUUCAUGCGGAGAAACUUUCAAAUCCCACGGUUUAAGAGCGUGUGUGUGUAUAUAUAUAUAUAUAUAUAUAAUCAUUCUCAGGUGUGGGGGUCCGCAUUUUUUUUAAUGUGGACACGCUUUUAAACUGUGCGGUUUAAGAGAGUUAGUUUUUAAAUGAAUUAUGAGUCAUGCGGUUUUAGGGAGUUAAAAACUAACUCUUUUAAACCAUGGAGUCUAAAAACUGAUCCACAUGAAAAAAAAAAAAAGAUGUCCGCACUAGAGAAGGAAUAUAUAUAUAUAUAUAUAUAUAUAUAUAUUAGUUAGAUCAUUGAAAACUUUGAUUACACAAUGAAUUUUGCCAGUCUUGAAUUAUGGAUCAAUGUGCUAAGUUAAUAAUUUGAGCUCGAUGAUGAUCAGAUCUUACCCAACUUGGAGGAACUGGCAUCAAGUGGAAAAGACAUCACGAUGAUUUUGCAAGGCGAUUUCCCACAACACCUCUUUGGCAGUCUUAAACUACUACAGGUUGGGGAUGAUGACUUAGCUUGCUUUCAACUUGGUUUACUUGAGAGGUUUAACAAUCUUGAAUUUCUCUUCCUAUCGGAUUGUUCGUAUGAAGUGGUAUUUUCAAAUGAAGGAUAUUUGGAGAAACAUGGGAGGAAGUUGGCACUGAUAAAAAGGUUAAACCUGACCAGACUUAAUCGUCUGCAGCAACUGUGGAAACAUGACUCCAAACAGCUGGACUUCAUUUUUCAACAUCUUGAAAUUCUAAGAGCAUAUCACUGUCAAAAUCUGUUAAGUCGAUUGCCAUCAUCAUCGGUAUCUUUUCGGAAUCUCGCACAUCUGCAAGCUUUUGCUUGCAAGAAAUUGAUGAACUUAGGAACAUGCUCCACAGCAAAAAGUCUGGAGCGACUCUUAUCAUUGAAGGUAUUUGGAUGCACAGCAAUGACAGAAGUCGUAGUAUGUGACGAAGAUGAAACAGCAAAUAUAAAAGAAGAGAUUGUUUUCAGCAAAUUGAAUGUGCUGUAUCUGUCUGAUUUAGAUAGUCUCACAAGCUUCUCCUCUGCCAAUUACACAUUCAAAUUCCUAUCUUUGCAAGAUUUGUCCGUGAUUGGUUGUCCCAAGAUGAAGAUUUUCACCAAAGGAGAAUCAACCACGCCUCCGAGAGUAAACGUCCGGUACGGAAGGAGUGAGGACAAACUACGUUGGUCUAAUAAUGACCUUAACACAAUCAUACAACAAUUAUUAAUGAGUGAGUUUUUUAUCACGUUUUUAUAUGAGAAUCUUAUGAAAUUCCUCGGAAAUUCAUUAAUCAUUAGUUUUUAUUUCAUAAUAUGAAUUUUAAUUUAAAUUGAUGAAUGCUAAUUUUAUUUUCAGCUGUUGGAGGGGUCGUCUCGUUACUCAUCGCAGUACUGAUCUCAUACGCCUUUAGUACUAGGCGAGCUGUCAAUCUGAAGAAUAAGGUCCCACGUAUUUUAUUUUUAGAAUGAAAUCCCUAGAAAAUAUCAUUCAAAGUGACAACACUUUCAUGUGGAAAGCUUUCAGACUUUUUUCCCCCGCUUUAAUCGAGGGGUCUGUCAAAUUUAGUUUUUAAAUGAGAAUAAUUUUCAUGGGCCAUUUCACAAUGAAAAAUUAGUUUUUUCUAAAGUGAUGACAGUAAAAACAUAUGAAUUAAUGACCCAGUACAUUACCACAAAAUUAAUCUUGGUUAGUUAGGUUAUAUGAAAAUUGUACAAAAUAAAUAUUUUUUCUAGUUCAUGCUCAAUGUCGUGCUCUAUAAUUGCAGAAUUCCCAAGUGAUGAAGAAGAUUGAGGUCACUCCUCUGUGUUUGCAGCAUCAGAAAUAAGAGCUGUUUUUCUGUCAAACUCGUGCUCCGUCCUUUGAAGUUAAGUUUACAUGCUGAGGUUAUUCACUUUACUGUAUCACUAAUGCAGCUUUGAAAGUGUUUCAUUAACCCUCCGUUGUGUUUCUUUCAUUUGACUAUCUUAAGUUCAAAAACGAUGUAUCAAUUUACCAUUGGUGUGUACUGCUUCUUGUAAUAUAUGCAAUAAAUUUCCAGUUUAUUUUGACAUUUUGAAUAUAAAUUCUUUUGAAUUUUCAGUCAGAGGUUUGGUAGUUGUUCUGAUUUAUCUUCAGUUUAAUUUUGUGAUCACAGGAACGUUAGGACUUGCAUGCAUGAACGCACAUUAAAUCACAGAAUUUUUGUCAUACAUCCAUGCAGAUGAAAUUUUAUCAGCAAUCUUGUAAUUUUCUGUUAUUGUUGUCGUUGUCAUUAUUCUAUUGCUGGUCCUGUUUGAAAUUUCUAGUAUUUUAGAUGUGAAAUUUAUUAUAUUAGGUAUUCAAGGUAUAUAUAUGAUGCUGAAUACAGGGCUUCUGUUGUCUAAAUUUGUUUUAUUUUGUUUGCUUCACAUAUAAUUUUCAAAAACUUUUGAAGAAUGCUGAGAGAAGGAACAAUUGGGCUAAAGAAUCAAAUGUAAUAUUGAAGUUAGUUUGUUAAUUGCCAUCAUUGCUGUCCUGUUAUUUUAAUUUUUGCCCUGUUUGUUCUGUUUCCCUGUUUGCUCCACAUCUAUCUUCCCUAACUUAGAAGGCAAGGAAUUUGUACUUGAAGACGAAUAGCAGUUGCACAAAAUGUGGCAACCACACCAAAUAAUCAGUUUGUUGAGAAAUUUUCAAAGCUUUACUUGAUAAAAAUUUGAAAGUUUUGAAGAGGAUUCAGGUCGCUCUUCUGUGCAGCCUCUGGAAUAAGAGCUGUGUCACUGUUGAAAAGUUUACAUGCUGAGAGGCUUCCAUCUUCAUUGUUCUACUUAUGCUUUACUUCAUCUUCACCGUGUCACUACAAGGUUAAGGCAGCUACAGUUAUGACGGAGAAGGAUCAUUCCCUGAUUUUGGCUGCUUCAAGUUAGUUGGGUUUGGUGAACCAAGUUGUGUCAGGAUUAGCUUAUAAGGGCCCACAUGAUUUCAGACGAGCCUGAGCUUUUGUCUCUCCCUCAUCCAUCUCAACACACUCAAUCUUCAUGUGGCUUUUGCCCGCCAAUCCACUAGCUCCAGCUUCCUGAAAAUGUAAAACAACUACUAGUAUUAUGGUCAGUGAUCGCUGUCAGAUUGAUUGGAUUAAUUAUAAUUACAGAUCAAACUGUUGAAAUUCAAUUUAACAGAUACACACGCCUUGGCGCGUUUCCAAGUUUCGGCAACGGUGAGAGGACCGUGUUCCUUGACUAUGGCAAACAUAACCCUCGUAAUUCUCUGAGUUUGCUCCGGUGGAGUUUUUGAGAUCUAUGGGUUUCAUCUUUGGUUUCGGCUUCGUCGACAAAUAUCUCACAAACAUUCUGCAUUCAAGAAACAACACAACUCCCGCUCUAAAUGUAUUUUAUACACUUUCAAACGCACCGUUUUGAUUUUUGUUAUAAACAUGACGCCGCCAUUUUUAUUUUUUAUUUUUUUUUUGAACAGGCGUAGCACUACUGUUUUCAGUAAUUUUGGGAUGUGUAGCACUACUGUUUCUUUUUAAUCCUUUCCUUUUAUCUUUUAUAGCCAUCUUCCAUGUUAUUAGGAGGAGUGGUUUUUACUAUUUUAAAAAAAAUUUGAUCAAAUUAAACUUUUGAUCAGAGUUCAUAACAAAAAUCAAAACGGUGCAUGACAUCGAGAUUAUGAUGAAUCAAAUUGAACUCCCAGUACGUUAGUUCAUAAAAAAUGCUUUUCUUCUUCCAAGUAAUCUUAUCAUUUCCUUCAUUUUAUUCACUCUCCUCUUUUCAAGUCUUCAAUCUUACACUCGGUAAGUAAAAUAUUCAACUGCUUUUUCACUUCAGUUCCGGACAACCGAGAAGGUGCUUGUCUCUACUCUCCACUCCCUAUUCUCUAGUUUUAUCAAAAGACACUAUUUUCGAAACCUAUGAUUCGUUGGUUAAAAUCGACGGUAACCCAGUGACAAAAUUUUCUAUUAUGUAUCAACCAAUUAGAUCUAGUGUUUUGUUGGCAAACAAGAAAUGCUUAUUUACCUUUAAUAGUCCACCCAAACAAGUUGGCAUUUGCUAGAAAGUCAGAGAUAGUCCAUAACAAUGCUGCAUGUAACUUGAACAUUUGAUUACGUGAUGCAUCGUGUAUCAUUCCAACCAUACUAUCAUCAGCACCCGAGCCAUGACUAACCUGUUUCUUAGUUAGAUUUCAAAGAUGAAGAUGGCUUACCCUGCAAUAUCCAGCUUUAAUACUUUAACCAAAAACCAUUUAUAAUGAUAUGGUCUCCUGCCACUUCCCUUAUAACGAAAUAUCGAUUACGACACUUCUUACAAGGACAAUAAAUACUUGUAUCACCAACAACAUUCUCAAAUGCAAAAUCUAGAAAUUUUUCAACCCCAUUGGUAUAUGACUUGGAUAUCUAUUUGGCAAACCAACCCAACUCUUGUCCAUGACUAUCUCCCUUUAAUGCACUACAAAAAUUAGUUAAAUAAAUCAUUUUAGUUCUUCAUUUCUACUACUAAACAAGAUAUUUUCAUGUGUGCACAGUUUUGGAAUAUAAUGAAAAAAUCAUUAUACAAUUUUAUGGUUAAUUUCGUUAGAAUAUUUAUAUAGAUGAAAGGAAGCAAAGCCAAAAGAAUCAGAGAAAAAGAUGUGAAAAUUAAAGUAUAUAUACAAUAAUAAUUAAUGUAAAAAAAAUGUUUCCAAUACCUUGUGCAAAGAAAUAUCCUCACCCACUGCUGAGAACUUCACUUGGCUAUCAAUUACAGAUAUAUAAAGCCUGUUACCUUAAAAAAAAUUAGGCCAGCCAGCUGAAGCAUACUUAUAAACCAACAUUGGAGAUAGUACUCCAUUUAUAAACAAAAUUACAACUUUACAAGCUCAAAACCAAGUCAACUCAGCAAAACCAUUACCGAUUACAUCCAUCCAACUCAGCUCCUCCACUCCCAUCAAUGCAUCCAACAUUCCCUUCAUAUUUACAAAAGGUAAGUGGUUCUAUAUAUCCCACUCAAGAAUGCAUAAGUUUCUUCAAUCUCAAGUAUCUAGAGUUUUCUUCUAUGUUUAUAGAAAUUUCAGAAGAAUCUCCCUAUAAUUCUUCAAGUACAUGACAUAGAUAUAUGAGUGUUUAUGUGCUAUGCCAAAACAACACAUAGUAUGUACCCAGAGACCAUGAGGAGCAGCUACUAAGAAACCCAUUUUUACAUCGGAAAAAAACUUCAUGUACUAACCAAUGAGUAGUUGUUAAAAGCCAAUGAAUAAUUUUAUAAGAAAUCAACAAUAAUGUUGAAAAAAAAACCAAACAAAAAUAAUAAAGCCAAUGAAUAGAUUAAGGCUCUUUAAGGUCUAAUAAACUAAUCAAACUAAGUUGUGGGUAAAGGCGAAUAUGUUUGUUUGGUCAAUAAUAAGCUCAACAAAUCACUAAUAAUCACCUAAUCACUUUUCCUUAUGCUAUGCAAUGUAAUGGCCUGGGUAAUGGCUGCAAGGCAGGCAAUAACUAGCUAGCCAGUUAUGAUAGUGGAUUAACUUAACCUACUGGAAAUCUGAAGACCAAAACGAAGAAGCUUUGACGAGAACUAGAAUAGGAACGUUCAUACCCAAAACUAAUAUAUAUGAUUAAGAAACUUGAUUAAAUGUAUAAUUUUGUUUGCCGCAAUUUAAGAGAACUUUCAAAAGAUGCUAAGGUACACCAAAUCCCACUAUUCCAUACUCGUAAACACAAAAAACCAUGGCAAAAAUUAAUUACUAUAUCAAAUAAAAUAGGUCGUAGGACAUUGAGAUUAGGAAAACAUGAUUUGUAUACUGUAAAAUAACUAUAUCUGCAUAGUCAACUAUAUUUCUGUUAGAACUCUAAAGUUUUCCAUUAAAUUUUUUUUCCCUCUUAAGUAAACCACUUAACUGAAAUGCUUAAGCCAAUAUUGACAAUCAUAGACAUACAAGUAUUAUUAAGCUCGUUCAAGUGAAAUGAGCAUUAUUUUACAUAUCCUUUAGGUUUUUAAGUCAUUUAGAAGUCAUUCAUGUUAAAAAAUUUCUUCAUAUACUUUCAAUAUAAUUAGUACCUGCACAAUUAAUUAAUUAAAUAAAUCUGUUUCAGCUGGCACAGGAACUUAAUUGAUCAGAGCUAGUAGUCAUAGCUAGGACUUGAACGGGGCACCUUUCAAAGUUCAAGAGGAGCAUCUGAACAGAAUGAAAGCAUAUAACUUAUCAGACAAUAUAACAAGCACUUGGUGAGUAUACAAGAUAAACUAAAACAAGUUAUCUAGAAAAUGAAACUAAAACCCAAGCUCCGCUAUUCAUUGUAGAAGCUUUAAACAUAAAAUUAAAGUAAUUCUAAUUGCAAAACAUUAGAAUGGAUGUUGAAAUUAAAGCUAAAUUCAAUAGUAAUUCAAAUGAAUCCAUUUGAACUUUGUUAAUUCCGCAGAACAAAAUUAAUUUGAGUGAGCAAACUCACCAAUGGAACAAGAACACUGGGGCUUCAACUUGUAGGAAUAAAAAAAGGAAAAAUAUUGCUGGCGGGACAAAAAUUGACAAUGACGGCUAAAAUACGAAUUAUAAAAAAAAACCAAAAUCUAUAAUUACAAGCUAAGAGAAGAAACUCAUAAUCACAAGCUUACCUCAAAAGAUGAAGGGAGAAUACGAUGAAGAAGAAGAUGGCCGGUGUUUUACGCCGUUCGCCGGCAACCAGUUAGGUUUACGAUGGUGGCUAGUCCAGCGAAUAGUUUUGUAACUGGAAAUAAAUUUAAAAUUCUAAAAUAGUAGGAUACCGAACGGCUCUUUACCGUCACGUGGUUAGUAACAUAUGCGACAGCAGUGUGGCUGUCACAUAAAGGGUAACAAAAGCAACUCGGGUUUACAAAGCUAGAAGUUAGUGAUAUACGUAAUGGCUUUGUUUGCAUUCACAUUAGGGGUCACAUAUACCCUAUUUUCUUGUAGUACAUGGUAAAUUCUAUUUGAAAAUUGCUAAGUAUUUUAGAUUUGUACGAAUUCAUUUUUGUGUGCUCGUUGAAUAAUAAUGUAUAAUAAAUUAAAUUUUUGGUGUAAUUUUCACAAUAUUGUAUUAUAAAUAUGUCUCGUUGAGAGGUUUUGAAACCGUUUUGAUUUAUCAUAAUUGAUAUUUCCACAAUUACAAAAGAUGCCAGAGAAAAUUUGAUUAUCUUAAGAAAUGAGUGCAUGAGAUAUGAAAUCAACCAUACCAUAAAAUCAAAUUUUAUCAUGUCAUCCUUCCUUGUUCAAAUUUAUGGAAACGAUAAUCAAAUGCAUCCAUGAACUAGUAUAUUCCGACAUAGGUACCAUCAAAUUAUUGCUAUGUCAUACUUAUAAAUUUUAAUAACAACAAUUGGGCCAAGCAUAUGUUGGGCAUUUGAAGAUUUAUAAGCUCCAUCCUUGAAAAAAUAAGGCUUGACUAUUCUCAAUAUAAUUCUUUUUGUUUUAAGUUCUUAAUUAAGCUUUCUUGCUUGUUUUCAAGAGCCAGUAUUGUAAUGAUCGACAAAGAUGAUUUGCAUUUAUUGCACUUGGCAGUUAUGUGUCACUUAUUAAUUAGAUUUAAAUUUUAUAAAUUAAUUAAGUUGAUUAGUACUUUAUGUUGAUGCAGAAAUCUGGUCAAGUCGGUUGUUGACUCAAUACCACAUCCUCGCGUCAGCAUUAAAUUUGUUUGGUGGAGAAGCGGCUUGUUAAUCUCCAAGAAAAUCCUCUAACCACGAGCAGAUAAUCCAUGAGCAGAUGAUCCAUGAGCUGCUAAUCAGUGAGCACCAUGAGCAGAUGUUCUAUGAGUAGAUAAUGAAUGAGAAGAUGAUCCAUGAGCAGAUAACCCGCAAGCAUGCAAGCACAAAGAACAGUCAGGGGGCACCAUAAGCUUUUCCAGCGAAAACCCUCUGACGCUCAAGUCAGGGAUUUGGGUCUACUUAGAAAAAUCCGUACCACAAUUCACGCGGCUUAAUUAUGAAUACUUUAAAAAAAAGCUUUUAAAUAAAUUUAUGGAAAAAGAAUAGAAAAUAAUCAAUCUUAAAAAAAGAAAUCAUGGCAGAAAGAGAAGUUUCCCAGUGAUAGAGAGAAAAAGAUCCCAUGGGUUCAGUCGCCCAGAGAGAGAGAGAGAUAAAAAGAAUCCCCCCAUUUUCCUCCCUUUCCCAGAGUUUUUAUAGGAAAUUAUAAUUGUUUUUUUCCUCUCACCUAAAACUCUCAAGAAGACUACUAAUUUUCAGCCCGCUAAGAAUAUGGUCCCUAAUAUUUCGAAGAAAAUAAGUGAGAUUUGUUUUGACUGAGUCGUGCUUCCUGGUAACCUCCUGGUCGAGAUAAUCUGCUCGAGGUCACCAAAUAAUCUCAAGGUCGAGGUGAUAUGCUCAAGGUGGCCAAAUAAUCUCUUAGUCAAGAUGAUGUGCUCGAGAUCACCAAAUAAUAUAUUGGUCAAGGUGAUGUGCUCGAGGUGACCAAAUAAUCUCUUGGUAGCCUAUCAACUAUUUGUUCACUUUUUACUUUGAGAAGAGCACAAUAAUGUAUGAGUAAAUACCUUAUCUUGGUCACCCUAUUUCAUUCCCCGAAUACUUUAUAUGUGCACUAAAUGAUAGAUACUGCAUAAAUUGGGACACUAGUAACUAUGUAUCCAAACUAUGUAAUAUUUUUUUGUCACAAACUCAAUCAUGGCCUGAUAUUCUAAAUAUUAUUUAGAAUACCAUUUCAAGCCCCAUGGGGGCUCCUUCCAUUUAAAAAAAAAAGUAUGAAAUAGAUGUAGAUUUUUCUUCAGAUAUUAUUAGUAAGAAAGAGUACCUUUGGUGGCAAUGGUCCGGGAUGAUUUGGGAUUUGACAAUUCCACCCUCAUCUUAAUUAUAAAAUGGAAUGUAAGUAAUAAGUAUGGAUAAACUCAUCCUGCUUAUAUAUUGGUGAUCAAAAUUAGGACCAAUCUCAAACCGCUCACAAUUAUGUCCUAUCCUAACUAUCCUGAAUGUCUCGAAUGCCUCCCUUAAUUAUCAUUUUAGUUCUCAUUAACAUAUUAGCAAAAUUUCCAUAUAUUAAAAAUAUUAGGGUCUGACUAUCUAUACUUAAAAAAUUACUAUGAACACUCAAUUAUUUUAUUCCCUCAUCUAAUAAAUUUAAAAAAUUAAGUUUUAUUUUGCACACUUUUUAAAUAACAAAAACAUCUUUACAUGAACCUAAUAAGUUUCUUUAAAAAAAUUAAAUCAAUUAUUUUUAUUUAUUCAAAAUACUAAUAAAACUAUUCAGCAGACCGUGAAAUAAAAUUUUUAAGAAAUUUAGCAUAUACAACAUUGAAAUCAAUUUAUGUUUCAAAUAAAUUCUUUAAUACAAUCAUAGUAAUUACUUAUUGUUUAUUAAAGAAUGUGUUCACGAUUGUUUUUAAUUUUGCGAAAUCAAAAAAGAAGAAGAAGAAGUUUGGGGUUUAAGAUACAUUUAAUUUUUAGUGUAACAGUUGUAUCAAACAAAAUAAAAACUAAAACAUCCAAAAGUUACAAGUUCCAACACCUCCCAAAUAAAGGCCCGUUAGGAUUGUUUUUGGGAAGCUCAAAAGUGAUUUUGAAAACUAAAAGCUAAUUUUUAGUGUUUUAUAAAUUUUUUUAGUAAUUACUUUUGGAAAAAUCAUUUCAUCAUACAGUGGAUUUUAAAAAGUAUAAAUAGUUUUUCAAAAUUUGAUUUUGAAAAUCACUUUUAUACUUAAUCCAAUUUUAUAUAUAUAUCCUCAUUAUAUAAUAAAAAUCCAAAAAUAUCUUUAUUAAUUAAGAAAUAAAAUUAUUAAGUUUAAAGAGAUUAUUAUUAUUAUUACCAAUUAUAUUGAGAUAACAAAAUAAAGAAUAAAAUUUAAUAAUAUAAAAUAUUUAUUUUAGUUAUCAAUAAUUAUAUGUACAUAAUAAAAAUAUUUUAAAUACAUGUCUGUAAAUGUGUAAAUAAAUUUUAUUUAGCAUUAUGUCCAAUUUAGUUAUUUACAUUCUUGGACCAGUUUAACAAUAAAAUUUAUGAAAUAUAUACGACUGCUUUUAAAACUAAAAGUACUUUUAAAAAUAAAUUUUACUAAAUGUUCAGCUGAUUCUCUUCACGAUUGAUCAAUUUCUACAACAUAGCUAACUGUAAUUAUUUUAAAAUUACAGGAUUACCAAAAUGACCCUAAAUCAAACCAAUAAAAAUGUCUAAAAGUAACAAUAAAAAACCAAAGCAAACGUACAAAAAUUCAUGCAUAAAUUGAUAAUCAACAAAAACAUCCAAAAGUUCAACUCCAAGUUUUCUGUUCAAUUGACAUAACCCUUAAAUUUCAAAAGGCAUAAUCAAUUUUGUGUCUAAUCGUAUAAAAUUAGAAAAUUAAAGAAUAUUAUAUACUGAUAAUUAAAUAAUAUGCAAUUAAUAAUGUUAAAAAAAUAAUGUCAAACAUAUUGUCAACUAAAAUAAUUGGGAGAAUUGGAGUUCCAAGAUAAAUUCUUAUCUAGUCCCAAAUCAACAAUUGGAAUUAAUUUCAAUCUUAAACUCUGACUGCCUUUAAAAUUGGUCCUAAUAAUAUGGACAAAUCCCAUUCUGAUCAGUAUGGAAUUCCAACCCCAUAUCUUUGGGUCUCGAUGGUGUUUAGUUGGAGGGAUGAGACGGGAAGGAAAUGAAUUCAAAUUCCUUUCACUUUUCUGUUGUUUGGUUUUCACUAAUAUAUGGGAAUUCAAUUUCUAUUGAAAUUUAAUUUUCAUCAAAUUGUGCAUUUUGGAUUCCUCACCGAAGGUUGUAAAAUUCAAAUGCCCCUCCUAUUAGAAAUCGAGUCAUCCAAAAUUGCUCCUCUCAAAUAUUUAUCAAUUAUUUUAAUUCUUAUCAAAUAAUUCUUAUUUAUGAUUUUAUUUUUUCAAUUUAAAUUGUCACUAAGGAUUCUUGACUUACUACCGUAGAAAAGCAAAAAUACAAUUUAUAGAUUAUGAUAAUUCUAUGUAUUGUAUGAGAAUUGCAAUCCAAAAAUUUUCCCUACUAAACGAUUUUCAAUCGACAGCAAAUACAUGCUUUCAAAUUUAGUCAGCUGAACUAAUUUUUGUUUUUUUGGAUUAAUUUUGAAAUGUUGCAUCCAUAACGAGCUGCCAUUGAAAUUAAUGUUAACAACAAAAGUAGAAGCAAAAGGAGAAACAAGCGUCAUGUGCAGUACCCACUGUGAACUACUCACAUUGGAAUAAGUUGUUGGCAGCUGGUCUGUUUGGCCAUUAAUAUUUUGACUAUUCAGUGUUGAUUUUGAUUCCACUAAAUUAAGCCAUCAAAAAUUGCUGGGAAGGGAGUAAUAUCUAUUCAUAAUUGGAAAUACUCACCGUACAAUGAAGGUUAGAGCUGCAUGUAUCAUUUAUUAUUAACAACUAACUUAUGAAAUGCUUUGAAUGUACCUCCUAGGUCGUAUUUACUAUACUGGUUAGGAGAAACUACAACAUUAAAUUAUUUGAUAAAUACUUAUUAUAAUUUUAAAAAUAUAUUAAUUUUAUCCUUAACUUUAUGAUAAAAAAUUUAAAAUAUAUAUAAAUCAUUCAUUUUAUAAUCUUGAACUUUAUUAAAGUUUCAAAAACUAUUACUCUAUAUGAUAUAAUAGUGUGAUGUUAUUACACUAUUAUACCAUAUAAAAUAUAUUUGCUUUCUUAAAUUUUAAUAAAGUCUAGGUUUUGGAGAGAAGCACUUUAUAUAUAUGUAUAUAUAAUGAUUCUCCAGUGACGACAUCCUCAUUUUAACAAAGUGAUGAUAUCGCUAACAAACUAAAUAACACACAUUUCAAUACACCAAUAGAUUAAAAAAAUCCAGUUCUUAAUGUGUUAAAAUAUAUGUCUUUUGUAUAUUAUUGAUAUUUUCACUUUAACAAAGUGAGAGUCUCCUCACUAUAGAAGUACUUUAUAAAUAUUCUUUGUAUUUUUGUGAAAAUUAUUAUUUAAAAGUCAUAUCUUACCAAAGACUAAUAGUUUUUAUUUUAUCAUUACGCCGUACUUUUCAAGACAGAACACCUCAAUACCAUGACCUUAAUUUUUGAACUCUGCUGUACAAAGUUGUUGGUUGGUCUAUUUACUUUAGUGUUUCAAUUAUUUGUCGUUUGAACUGAGAUGAUCCGAAUAAAGCUAUAUAUCAAUAAUUUCCUAGUGAAACUUCGGGAAAAAAUAAAAAUCCUCUCAUACAGUAGCAUUAUUUUAAUUCUCAGCUUGAUUAUGUUUUGAGUUAACUUAUAGAUUAUUUGAAAUAAAAAGAAUAUAAUUUAUUUUUUCUAACUAAAUAUUUUAAAAUAAUUUUGUUAAUUUAAUGAGUACUUAUACACUUACAACGUUAUGAUAUAAAAUUAUAUCCCAGAAUACUGCUAUGUGUUUCUUAGUAAUUAACUUUUUAUACUAUUAUUAAUGAGAUAAUUAACUUCAACACCAAUAAACAAAUUUUAUAUUAAUACAUCCUCUAGCUUUAUUAUCAAAUAAUCAUAUGUCAUAAUCAAAGCAAGCUACCAGAGCCUACCACUAAAAGAUUUAUUGAAGGGUUUUCCAAGUUUGAAAAUGUUAGUAGCAUUGGCAAAUGGCAACUUCCAGGAAUCUUCCGAUCAAAAUAGUUGAAUCAACUAUUCAAUGAAAUACGCAAAUGGCACAAAGGACCCCCACCACCCAUUAAGUCACGUCAUUUAUUUAUUUGUAAAAGAAAAAUAAGGUUCCGAUCGGAAGAAAUCAGCACCUUAUAAUGCAUGAUUACUCGUAUGUCAAGUUUACCGAUUAUAAGUCAUCAUCACAAUAACUUUGGACUUUAAUAUUUAAGUCUCUGUUUGGGACCAAUGUAUGGCAGUUGGACAACACAUCACUCAAUUAUAGAGUGUGAAAUAUUGAUAUUGUUCUUAUUAUUUUAUGUAAUGUAUAAACGUUUCCUUUUAUUUUUGUUUGAUUAUUUAUUUUUUAUACUUAAUAAAUAUAAAUUUAUUUUUUUAAUAUUUAACAAAUAGUCACGGCUAGACAAUAUUGUCAGAUAUUACAAACGAUGACCCAAAUCCUUUUAUCUCACAGAAAUAAUUUAAAUUCACAACAACUAUGACGUUACAUUAUCAAAUAAACACUAAAUACUUUGAUGAUUAUAGUUUAUCUUUCAUUCAUAGCAUGAAGAGUUUGAAAUAUGAUCUCAAAACAAAGAGUACGACAUGUCAUGUUCGGUUUUCAGAAGAAGUGUACGCCAUGUCAUCCGAAAACUAAAAGGCACGUAUGACAACCAGACGCUGUCAUCUCUGAUUUGCUUACACUUUAAGGAUGAAUUCUGGGUUUUGAGUGACAAUUAAAAGCUAGAGUGAGAAUUAGAGAGACAGUUAUAUAUUCUUAUUUAUUCCUAGCACUUGCUAUAUUGUGUAGGUCUUUUGUGACUCCAAUAAUAAAAACGCUCAUAUUAUUUUUUAUAGAGCAAUAUUUGUUAAAGCAUGAAGAACGGCAGAAAUAUUGUAAAUCCAUCUCAACUUUUUUGUUUAUUGUGGUCGUUGAUAGCGCUAGCUGUUUUCUUAUUUAACUUUGUUCCCUUUUGCCAUCAGCUCUUAGCAUUUUCAUUGGAUCAAGCGACCAUUUUCUUGCUUCAAUUUCUGAUCUCAAAAGCACUUUGACUCUCUUCAGUUACACUGAUUUUCUCCUUGUUUUGUACACAUAUCUUUUCUCUUUCCCAUUUAGCUUUGAUUUGCUUCUACUUGACUAUCAAUUGCCCAGUCGUUGAACCUGUUGUAUUUUUAUUUUGUUCACUUCAAAUAGACCAAAAAAAACAAAUGUUGGAUAAAAGCCAAAAAUCUAAUUUGAUUUUUAAUAUGAUUUAGCUAAGAUGUCCAAUUUAAUGCUAAGAGUAAUGUUAAGGAUCCCAAUAAUUGAAUCUCAACUGAUAUGAUAGUCAUUUAUUAGAUGAUCGAAAUAUUAAUUUUACUAAUUAUGAAAUUCAUUAUCUAAUAAAAUAAUGACACAUAACAAUUGGGUCUCAAGUUAGAAUUCUACUAUUGAAAUUCCUAACAUUAUUCUAAUAUUAAAAAUUCAUCAAAAUAAUAUCUAUUAUCUAAAAAAAUAAAAUAAAAAUCUAAAACCAUAAAUUUACUCUUCGAUCUUCGUGAUUUGACUGAUUUCUUUAUAUUUUUAUCGGUCAUUUUAUUGGUACUGGUUUGAUUUUCUGACUAAGCUACUGUUUAGUUCUAAGUUUUGGCAAUUACCCGGACUGCUCUGUUUUGUGUAUCAUCGACACAAUAAGGCUUAGCAUUUAAAAGUCGGCAGCCACGCAACUUCUUGGAAUCUUCGUGCAAGUGUUGGAUAUCGACUGUUCGAUAAUGAUGGCAGCAUUUGACUGGAGUGUAAUUGACGCAGUGGAAUAAGGAUCACAUGUCUCAAACUUUUGGUGAAGAUAUUGUCAGAUAUUUUAUUGAUCAAGUAAGGAUCACAAAUAAUGGAUAUUGGAUGAGGAUCACAUGUUUUAUGGGACUUAACUAUGUUGCAACAGUGAUACUAUACCAUUGUUUUUGUCAUUAUUCAUCGCGGCCAUUGGAUGGUAACUUAUUUAAUCUAAUGGUUUAAAUUAGUUAAUGGAGAAAUGACGCGGCAACUUACAACCCUUGCAGCCGGUUCUGUAUUGAUCUAAUAGCAUGGAGUAGUAAGCGUGCGUUCCAGAACCUUGUCACUGAUCAUGAAGAACAUUGAUCCAAUAGCAUGGAGUAGUAAGCGUGCGUUUCAAAGAUGCUAAGAUACACCAAAUCCCACUAUUUCCAUACUCAUAAAAACAAAAAGCCACGGCAAAAUGAAUGACUAUAUAAAAUAAAAUAGGUCAUAGGACAUUGAGAUUAAGGCAACAUGAUUUGUAUACCAUAAAAUAACUAUAUCUGCAUAGUCAAUUAUAUUUCUGUUAGAACUCUAAAGUUUUCCAUUAAAUUUUUUUCCCUCUUAUGUAAACCAUUUAACUGAAACGCUUAAGCCAAUAUUAAAAAUCAUAGACAUACAAGUAUUAAUAGGCUCGUUCAAGUGAAAUGAGCAUUAUUUAUUUAGGUUUUUAAGUCAUUUAGAAGUCAUUCAUGUUAAAAAAUUUCUUCAUAUACUUUCAUUAUAAUUAGUACAUACACAAUUAUUUAAAUAAAUAAAUCUGUUUCAGCUAGUACAGGAAAUUAAUUAAUCAAAGCUAGUAGUUAUAGCUAGGAUCUGAAUUACAGAGUUCAAGAGGAGCAUCUGAACAGAAUGAAAGUCCUUUAUAGAAAUGGUAAUGUCGCUUUACCAUUUAGAUAUCUUCUAGAAAGUACUUACAUCACGCAAUUAGGGACCGAUAUUUAAUGACAAUAACAAUCCAAAAGAUUGGGAGGGCCAACUAAAGGAAUAAAUCACUCAACCAAACCCUUAGGGACAGAUAGUUAAUGACAAUAAUAAAAGAUCCAUUCCUAUGCAUACGAGCUUAGUCUAUUAUGUUAAAGAGGCACCCUGUUGUUCGAUAGUCAGCACAACAAGUGAUCAAUGAGGUUGUUGCACAGACUGAUGACAUGGAAUUACGGCUCAGCCCAAGUGGUUCUGUGAUCUGUAGUAGACAAGCUGAGUAGUGGGAUUGGUUAGCUUGAUUUGCUGUGAAUAGUAGCUUAGUUAACAAGUUUGUUAGAUUACUGCAUAUAAAGCAAGCGAACUCUCUGUGUAUUCAUACUGUGAAGUAAAUCAAUCGAUUCAUUUUCUCUCAAAUCUCAAUGGUACUUUCUCUAUUUAAAUUUUAAAAUACCUUUAAUUAGGAUUAAUUAGAUUUUUCGCUUAUUAGGAUAAAAGCGAGAAAAAAGCACAACUACAAAAUUUGAUUGCAAAGUGUAAACCUACAAUUUUUUUGGGUAAAACAUGGAUAGUAAAACAUACAAUUAAAGAAGGAGAUAAAAAGCGUUUAUAUUUCACCUGAUUAGUUUCAGAAUUUGAGUGGUCUCAUCCCCACCAGCCAUUGAAUCGUUGAUAUGAUCACAUGCAUUGUUUUUAGAGGCACACAGGAGAGGUCUAUUUAGCACAACUAGCGUGACAAACGUUUUGCUGCACUCGUAGCAGACACUUGUACGACCGAUCGGGAUGGGUGAUUUCUGUUUUGCAACAACUUUCUGAAAAGUUAUGAAUGAUCACCUUCAACUUUUUUGGCAUCUUCUCUUCCCUGGCAUAAAUUAUAUGUGUUAUGAAUGAAGCACCCUUCAGAGUUCAAGAGGAGCAUCUGAACAGAAUGAAAUCACUUUGUAGAAAUGGUAAUGAUGCUUUACAUCUACAUGCUCUUACACAAUAUGAACUUUCAUUUAUUCAAGAACAUAACACUACCCCAAGCUCUUAUUCUACAAGUCAAUUCAGUUUGUAGAUGCACGCCAUUGUAAAAACUUUUGUAUUAUAAUUUCUGAAAAUAGAACGUAACAUUAUUAAUAUAGAAUCAGCAAUGUAUAUAACUUAUCAGACAAUAUAACAAGCACUUGGUGAGCAUACAAGAUAAACUAAAACAAGCUUUAAACAUAAAAUUAAAGUAAAUCGAAUUGCAAAACAUUAGAAUGGAUGUUGGAAUUAAAGCUAAAUUCAAUAGUAAUUCAAAUGAAUCCAUUUGAACUUUGUAAAUUCCGCAGAACAAAAUUAAUUUGAGAGAGCAAACUCACCAAUGGAACAAGAACACAGGGGCUUCAACUUGUAGGAAUAAAAAAAUAUUGCUGGCCGGACAAAAAUUGACAAUAACGGCUACAAUACGAAUUAAAAAAAAAAUCAAAAUCUAUAAUUACAAGCUAAGUGCGAGAAGAAACUCAUAAUCACAAGCUUAACUCAAAAGAUGAAGGGAGAAUACGAUGAAGAAGAGGAUGGCCAGUGUUUUACGCCGUUCGCCGGCAACCAGUUAGGUUUACGAUGGUGGCUAGUAACACGGAGUCCAGCGAAUAGUAGCAUACCGAACGGCUCUUUACCGUCACGUGGUUAGUAACAUAUGUGACUGCAGUGUGGCCGUCACAUAAAAGGUAUCGGGGUUACAAAGUUAGUGAUAUACGUAAUGGCUGCUUUUGCAUUCACAUUAGGGGUCACAUAUACCCUAUUUUCUUGUAGUACAUGGUAAAUUCUAUUUGAAAAUUGCUAAGUAUUUUAGAUUUGUACGAAUUCAUUUUUGUGUGCUCGUUGGAUAAUAAUUUAUAAUAAAUUAAAUUUUUGGUGUAAUUUUCACAAUAUUGUAUCAUAAAUAUGUCUCGUUGAGAGGUUUUGAAAUCGUUUUGAUUGAUCAUAAUUGAUAUUUCCACAAUUGCAAAAGAUGCCAGAGAAAAUUUGAUUAUCUUAAGAAAUGAGUGUACGAGAUAUGAAAUCAACCAUACCAUAAAAUCAAAUUUUAUCGUGUCAUCCUUCCUAUUUCAAAUUUAUGGAAACAAUAAUCAAAUGCAUCCAUGAAUUAAUAUAUUUCGACAUAUAUACCAUCAAAUUUUUGCUAUGUCAUGCUUACAUAUAUAUAUAUAUAUAUAUAUAUAUAUAUAUAUAUAUAUAUAUAUAUAUAUUGAAAUUUUAUUAACACCAAUUGGGCCAAGCAUGUGUUGGUACUUGAACAUUUAUAAGUCCCAUCCUUGAAAAAAUAAGGCUUGGCUGUUCUCAAUCUAAUUCUUUUUGUUUUAAGUUCUUAAUUAAGCUUUCUUGCUUGUUUUCAAGGGCCAGUUUUGUAAUGAUCUGCAAACAUGAUUUGCAUAUAUUGCACUUGGCAUCUAUGCGUCACUUAUUAAUUAGAUUUAAAUUUUAUAAAUUAAUUAAGCUGAUUAAUACUUUAUAUGUGCACCAAAUGAUAGAUACUACAUAAAUUGGGAUACUAGUAACUACGUAUCCCAACUAUUUAAUAUUUGUUUGUCGCAAAUCCAAUCAUGGCCUGAUAUCCUAAAUAUUAUUUAGGAUACCAUUUCAAGCCCCAUGAGGGCUCUUUCUGUUUUUUUUUUUUUUAAAGUAUGAAAUAGAUGUAGAUUUUUCUUUAGAUAUUAUUAGUGAGAGUACCUUUGGUGGCAAUGGUCCAGCAUGAUUUGGGAUUUGACAAUUCCACUCUCAUCUUAAUUAUCAAAUGGAAUGUAAGUAUCGAUAAACUCGUCCAGUUUAUAUAUUUGUGAUCAAAAUUAGGACCAAUCUCAAACCACUCGCAAUCAUGUCCCAUCCUAACUAUCCUGAAUGUCUCGAAUGCCUCCCUUAAUUAUCAUUUUAAUUCUCGUUAACAUAUUAGCAAAAUUUCCAUAUAUUAAAAAUAUUAGGGUCCGACUAUCUAUACUUUAAAAAUUAUUAUGCACAAUCAAUUAUUUAUGCACUCAUCUAAUAAAUUUAAAAAAUUAAGUUUUACUUUCUACACUUUUUAAAAUAACAAAAACAUCUUUACGUGAACCUAAUAAGUUUCUUGAAAAAAAUUAAAUCAAUUAUUUUUAUUUAUUCAAAAUACUAAUAAAACUAUUCAGGAAAAUUUUUAAGAAAUUUAGCAUAUACAACAUUGAAAUCAAUUUAUGUUUCAAGUAAAUUCUUUAACACGAUUUUAGUUAUUACUUAUUGUUUAUUAAAGUAUGUGUUCACUAUUGUUUUUAAUUUUUUUUUUAAUCAAAAAAGAAGAAGAAGAAGAAGAAGAUGUUUGUGGUUUAAGAUACAUUUAAUUUUUAGUGUAACAGUUGUAUCAAACCAAUAAAAACUAAAAGAUCCAAAAGUCACAAGUUCCAAUACCACCCAAAUGAAAGGCCCCGUUAGGAUUGUUUUUGGGAAGUUCAAAAGUAAUUCUAAAAAUUAAAAACUAAUUUUUAGUGUUUUAUAAAUUUUUUUUGUAAUUACUUUUGGCAAAAUCAUCUCAUCGUACAAUAGAUUUUGUAAAAGUAGGGAAUGAAAAGUUUUUUUAAAUCUAAUUUUGAGAAUCACUUUUAUAUUUAAUCAAAUUCUAUAUAGAUAUCCUCAUUAUAUAAUAAAAAUCUAAAAUUAUCUUUAUUAAUUAAGAAAUAAAAUCAUUAACUUUAAAGAUAUUGUUAUUAUUACCAAUUAUAUUGAGAUAACAAAAUAGAGAAUAAAAUUUAAUAAUAUAAAAUAUUUAUUUUAGUUAUCAAUAAUUAUAUGUAAGUAAUAAAAAUAUUUUAUAUACAUGUUUGUAAAUGUGUAAAUACAAUUCAGUCAUUUACAUUAUUGUAUCAGUUUAACAAUAAAAUUUAUGAAACACAUACGAUAGCUUUUAAAACUAAAAGUACUUUUAAAAAUAAAUUUUACUAAAUGUUUAGCUGAUUCUCUUCACAAUUGAUCAAUUUCUACAACAUAACGAACUGUAAUUAUUUUAAAAGGUACAGGAUUACCAAACUGACCCUAAACCAAACCAAGAAAAAUGUUUAAAAGUAAUAAUAAUAAACCAAAGUAAACGUACAAAAAUUCAUGCAUAAAUUGAUAAUCAACAAAAACAUCCAAAAGUUUUACUCCAAGUUUUCUAUUCAAUUGACAUAACACUUAAAUUUGAAAAGGCAUAAUCAAUUUUGUGUCUAAUCCUAUAAAAUUAGAAAAUUAAAGAAUAUUAUAUUCUUAUAAUUAAAUAAUAUGCAAUUAAUAAUGUUAAAACAUAUUGUGAACUAAAAUGAUUGGGAGAAUUGGAGUUCUAAGAUAAAUUCCUAUCUAAUCCCAAAUCAACAAUUGUGAUUAAUUUCAAUCUUAUACUCCGAUUGCUUUUAAAAUUGGUCCUAAUAAUAUGGACAAAUAUCAUUCUGAUCAGUAUGGAAUCCCAAUCCCAUACCUUUGGAUUUCAAUGGUGUUUAGUUGGAGGGAGGAGAGGGGAAGAAAAUGAAUUCAAAUUCCUUUCACUUUUCUGUUGUUUGGUUUUCACAAAUAUAUGGGAAUUCAAUUUUUAUUGAAAUUUAAUUUUCGUCAAAUUGUGCAUUUUGGAUUCCUCACCGAAGGCUGUAAAAUUCAAAUUCUCCUCCUAUUAGAAAUCAAAUCUUCCAAAAUUGCUCCUCUCAAAUAUUUAUCAAUUAUUUUAAUUCUUAUCAAAUAAUUCUUAUUUAUGAUUUUAUUUUUUCAAUUUAAAUUGUCACCAAGGAGUCUGACUUACUACCAUAGAAAAGCAAAAAAUACAAUUUAUAGAUUAUGAUAAUUCUAUGUAUUGUAUGAGAAUUGCAAUCCAAAAAUUUUCCCUAGAAAACGAAUUUUAAUCGACAGCAAAUCAAUGCUUUCAAAUUUAGUCAGCUGAACUAAUUUUUGUUUUUUUUUGGAUUAAUUUUGAAAUGUUGCAUCCAUAACGAGCUGCUAUUGAAAUUAAUGUUAACAACAAAAAUAGAUGCAAAAGGAGAAACAAGCAUCAUGUGCAGUACCCACUGUGAUCUACUCACAUUGGAAUAAGCCGUUGGCAGCUGGUCUGUUUGGCCAUUAAUAUCUAUUUAUAACUAGGUUUUUUUUUUUUUUUUUGAGAAGAUUUAUAACUGGAAAUUACUCACCGUAAAAUGAUGAAAUGCUUUGAAUAUACCUCCUAGGUCGUAUUUACUAUACUAGUUAGGAAAAAUUACAAUGUUAAAUUAUUUGAUAAAUACUUAUUAUAAUUUGAAAAAUAUGUUAAUUUUGUCCUCCACUGUAUGAUUAAUAAUUUAUAAUAUAUAUAUAUAUAUAUAAUUCAUUCUAUAAUCUUGAACUUUAUUAAAGAUAAAAAAACUAUUACUCUAUAUGAUAUAAUAGUGUGAUGUAAUUACACUACUAUACCAUAUAAAAUAUAUUUACUUUCUUAAAUUUUAAUAAAGUCCAGGUUUUAGGGAGAACCACUUUAUAUAUAUGUAUAUAUAACGAUUCUCUAGUAACGACAUUUUCAUUUUAACAAAAUAAUAAUAUCACUAACAAACUAAAUGACACACAUUUUAAUACAUCAAUAGAUAAAAAAAAUACAGUUUUAUUGUGUUAAAAUAUAUGUCUUUUGUAUAUUAUUGAUAUUUUCACUUUAACAAGUGAAGGUCUCCUCACUAUAGAAGUACUUUAUAAAUAUUUUUUGUAUUUUUAUGAAAAUUAUUAUUUAAAACUGUUUUGUGUAUCUUCGACACAAUAAGGCUUAGCAUUUAAAAGUCAGCAGCCACGCAACUUCUUGAAAUCUUCGUGCAAGUGUUGGAUAUCGACUGUUCGAUAAUGAUGGCAGCAUUGGACUGGACUGUAAUUGACACAAUAAAAUUAGGAUCACAAAUAAGGAUGAAACUAUGUUGCAACAAUUGUAGCAUGCCACUAGAUUUUAUCUUUUUUUUUAAUUAAUUACACUGCACUACCUUAUAUUUUAUGAAAAAAUUGAAUAGACAUUAAAAGUUACAAAAUUUUAUAUAUAAAUCCCUUUUUUUGGGAUAAAAUGGCUUUUCAAAAACAUUUGACUGUUAUUAUUAGUAUUAUUUAUUAAUAUCAUUAUUAUUAUAUUAAUAAGAAUAAUAAUAAUAAUAAUAUUAUCAAAAUUUAUUAUUUUAAUUAUUAUGAUUAUUUUUAAUUAAGUCAUUAUUAUUAUUUAUUAAUUUUAUUACUGUCAUUAAUAUUAAUUUUAUUACUAUUGUUAAAAUAUAUUAAUUUUAUUAUUUUAAUUAAUGUUAAUUAUUGUUAUUAUUAUUUUAUUAAUAUUAAUAUCAUUAAAAUUUAUUUGUUUUAUUAUUUUAAUUGUUAUGUUAUUAUUAAUGUCAUCAACAUCAUCAUCAUCAUCUUUAAACUUUAUAGAUUUUUUUGUUUAAAGUAAUACUAUUGUUAUUAUUAUUAUUUUACCUUAAUUGAACAUUAAAUAUAUUUUUAUUUUUAUUAUAAUAAAUAAAAAUAUAAAAUAAAUUAUACUAUCAUAUUAUUUUAUUAUAUCAUAUUAUAUUUAUAUAAAAUAAUUAAUAUAAAAAUAAUAAUUUAAUAUAAUUAAUAAUAAAUUUAAAUAAUGUUAGUAUAAUAUUAAUAUAAAAUUAAUGCAGUACAAUGUAAUACCAAUUACCAAAUGUUGUACAAAUAUUAUUAUAAUUUAUUACUAAUGUAAUAUAACAUAAUACAAUAUACCUUUAUUGAAUAAUGAAAUACAGUAUAGUAUAAUACAAUAUGUGAAAUGGACCCUUAAUUCUUUGAGUGAUGAUAGUUUAAAGGGAUGUAGAGAAAGUAAAAAUAAUCAUGGUAGAGUCUUUUGCAGUGGUUGAUUAGCCAUCAUCAAAAAAUUUAAGGUAACAUAAUAAAAAUUAAGCAAUCACCCUACAUUUAAAAGAGUAAUUAGAAACCAAUAAAUUUACUAUUCAAUUAUUUUUAAUCAAGAAUAAAUAAUAAAUUAUCAUUACAGCAAGAUUCACAAGCUCAAAUAUCUAUAAAAAAAAGUUAUAAUUCUCAAGAAACAUAAAACUCAAAUGCUUUUGAAGUAUUCUUAAAAAAAUUAAACUAACUUCCUUUUAUGCUAUUCUUUAUUUAUAUGACUUUGUUGGGCUACAUUUAAAAUUUUAAAAAAUUAAAAUGGUUUCCUUAAAUUUCAAGAGUAAUAUUAGUAUUUUAUAGGUAAAUUAACAUAUUUUAUAUACAAAUAAACUAACAUGUCAACUAAUAUUAAAAACAAAAAUGUAAUAAAAAAGUAAAGUUUUGUAAUAUUAAAAUAAUAAAAUUUUAGAACCUAAUACUUUUUACAGUUCCUUAUUUUGAAAUUUCACCUUUUUUAUUUUAUAAUUUUUUGAAGUAUUACAAGGUUAAUAACCUAUAUUCUUUACACAUAUUUAGUUUAUUUAUUCUAUAUUAAAUAUAAUGGGUCCGCCUACCUUGCAACAGUUGCACGGUACCCCAAAUUUUAUAUUUUUCUAAUUCAGCUGAUGAAUCUAAUAUCUAAAGUGUUCAACGGUCAAGGCCGGCUCAACCAUAUUUGGGGCCCUAGGCAAAUGAUUUUAAUUAAUUCUUAUAAAAAAUUAGGGUAAUCUAUGAAAUUUUAAUUCAAUUAUAACAUUUUUACUUAUUGUUCUUUAACUCAAAUUACAUCUUUUUUACUACUCCUUUUCUAGAUUAAACUAAUUUUUCUAUUUUAUAAAGUUUUUCGAUAUAGUUUUAUUUCAAAAUAGAUAAAACAAGCAUACAAAAAAAAAGAGUAGAUGAAUAAAAGAAUAUAUUGAAAAAAAUAAGAAUAAAUAAAUAAAUAACACAACUAAUUAAGAGAAUAAUAAAAAGAUAAAAUCUGGAAUUUGAGAUGAAAUCAUGAAUUAACUUUAUCUUUAUAUUAAUUGUUUGUGGAUUUGAGUAAUGACCAAUAGCCAUAGAGAAUAGAGAAAAUUAUUAGAUUUUUUUCUUCUUCUUGAGUGGAAAGUAGAGGAAGCAUGAUUUUUUCCCUCUCUCUCUUUCUUUCUCUCAAACACUAACAACAUAUCGUGUCUUGAUUAUUGGAGGAAAAAUUUAAUAGAUAAGUAAUAAAAUAUGGGGUUUUUAUAGAGGUUUAAAAUGAAUAUAAUACUUUUUAAUUAUAACAUAUUAAUUCUAACAAUUAAAUAGAGAAUUUGUAGGAUUGAAACUAUUAAUUUAUUGGUUUUGUAGGAAUUAAAACUACUAAGUACUACAUUAAAUAAACUUUAUAGAAAUUUGAUAGUUUAUUUAGGAAAAAGAUAAUUACAAAAUAAUAACAAAUUAAAUGCAUAAUAAUGACUUUUAAAUUCACUUUUCCCUUUUAUAUACAAAAUAAUCAUCUUACGGGGCCUUAAUGUAAAGUGGGGCUCCAGACAACCGCUUAAGUUGCCUAGAGGUCGAGCUGCUACUGUCAACGGUUGAGAUGUGUUCAAUUGGUUAUUAACACUUAAGUCUCUACUGUUUAUUAUAAUAUCAUAAAAACAAAAUUUUUAAAAUAUUUAUUUAUAUAACUCCUAUUGUUUUAAGUUUUUUAAAGUUUGAUCCAUUAGCCAAGCUUGAUCAUAAAAAUGAUUGAUGGUGUAAAGAUAAUAAUGUAAUAUCACAUAAAAUUUUUUUUAAACACAUGAAAAAUUGAUAAAUGUAAAUAUUGUUUUUUUUGGUUAUAUAAUAUAUUAACUUUAUUAUUUUAAUUAAUGUUAAUUAUUGUUUUUAUUAUUUUAUUAAUAAUAAUAACAACUAAUUUGUAUUUUACUUUUAAGGUUGAUUUGAUAAAUUUAAAUUUUUCUUUACAUUAACAUAUCUAAGAAUAUUGUUGCAAGCAUGUUAUUAUAAAAUCAAAGAAAAAUUAAGGGUAGGAUUAUAUUGUGCUUACCGACAAAGGUGUCUUGAGGGACUAAACGGUACUUCAUUCAAAAUAUAGAGACUGAACAAAUAUUUAUCAUUAUUUAAGCUGAAAUAGUGCAUUUUAACUAGUCCCGGGUUUGAUUCAUUGUAAAUAUCAUUUUCCUUCAUGAAAUACCUAUAGAGAAUCAUAAAUUUUGGAGAAAAGGACGUUACACCUAAGUUUUGGGAAAUAGUCAUGUAGACCCCUAAAUUUUUAAUAAGGAAUACGAAUACCUCUUUUGACUAUAAUACAUUUUGACUCUAUUAACUCAAAAAAUUGACUCCUAUGUUUUAUAAUAAAUAGAAAUAUAAUAUUGAAAUAAACAUAAAAUAUUAACAUUUUAAAACAACUUCAAUUUAGGAAAAUAUUUAUAUACUUAAGAAUCUUAUAUUAUAUUAGACUAAAUUUUAUAAUAAAUAAGAACAUAAUAUUAAAAUAAAUUUUAUAAAUUUUUUCAAUAUUAUAUAAAAUAAUUUCAAUAUUAUUACUACAUGAGAUAUAUUUUAUUAAUGAGAUGUGUUUUAUUAAUUUUAAAUUCUAUUUAACCCCAAUGAUUUAUUUGAUAUUUUUAUGAUAAAUAAAAUAUAUUAUUAAAAUAAAUAUAAUGUUUUUAUUUAAAAAAUAUUUUAUAUAUUAAAAAUAUUCUAAUAUUAUUAGUCUAUUAGACAGAUUAAACUAUUUAAGUUAUAUUUAUAUUUAUUAAAAAAUUCUUAAAGUCAUUUUUUUAUUUACUAUGUACAAAAAGUAUUAUAGUCAAAAAGAUAUUUUGGUUACUGAAAAUUGAAAGAUUUACGUGACCAUUUCUUUAAAUCUUGGAGUAUAGGUGUCUUUUCCUAUAGAUAUUAGAAUAAGGGCUACAUGUCUAUAUGUAAAUAGCAAGUAGUGGCGGACCUACAGUUGGACUAGACUGGGUUGUAGCUUGGUCUAGUACAGAAAAAAUCAUUUAUACACCUUGUUUUCUUAUAAUUUUUUUAUAAAAAAGAGUUUUUAUUUUGUUUUCAUAUAUGUCCCUAACUCAAGUAUCCUUAUGUUUUCAUCAAUUUAGUUUAACAAUAGAGUUUUUACUUUAUAUUCAAAUAUUUUCCUAACUCAAUUACCCUUAUAUUUUCAUCAAUUUAGUAUAACAAUUGAGCUAUUAUUUUAUAUUCAAAUAUAUCCCUAAUUCAAUUGUAUUGUUUCCAAUUGAAAUUAGUGACUUAUUUUAUAAAUUGAUUAAAUUAUAUACUCAUUGGAUAGAUUGAAAACAUUAGGGAGCUAAAGUAUUAUUAUCAAUUUAAUUUAUUUUAAAAAAUUUCUAAUUGAAAAAAAUAUAAAUCAAUGUAAUAUAACAUCGUCACUAGCAUUAAAAAUACUUACGAAAACAAUAUAUAGUAACAAUUAUCAACAUUUUCAUAAACAUUUUAUGUGAUUUUUUAGAUUCUAUUUAUUAGUUACAUUAACUACGACAAGAAGUUAGAAUAUAAAAUUUAGGUAUUUUGAGGAGCUUUAAUAGAAGAAUCAUCAACAUCUACUUCUAUAAAGAAAGUCAGUGCACUGGCAAUGAAACAACGAUAUCCAAAUAACUUUUUGUUGAAUUGAGUUUAGUUUAUUACUAAAACUUUUGACUAAUAAUACUUUUAUAAUUCGAAAGAAUGAAUGAAUUUUAAUUUUUAAAUUUAUUUAAACUUGGUAAUUUAAUACUUGACUUCAAACAUAAAAGUUUUACUUGUAAUCUUUAAUUAAUUUUAAUUACAUGUACUGAUCUAAUUUAGUUUGAAAUUCUUAAUUGAUUUAUUAAUCCUUAUAUAAUUACAUGUUAUUAUAGUUGCAAUGUCGGAUUCCAUAAUUGAAAAAUAGUGUUUUGAUAUUUGAAUUGCCUUUUGGUUUCUAUUCUUUUCUUAUAAUUAUUUUUGUUUAUAAUACAUAUUCAUAGGGAUAUAGCUCUCCAUGUCUCCCCUCAUUUAAUAUACUUCUUUUUACUUAUAAAUUUUUAUGUUCACUUCAAAAUAUAAAUUUUAAAAUUUAACCCAAAAUAAUAUUAAGUCCUGAAUCCGCACAUAUAGCAAGUUAAGUCACAUCCUUUUAUCUUUUUAUUUUCAUUUUAUAAAUAAAUAAAUAAAUAAUGCAUAUUGAAUUAGGAUCACGCGUCUGAAAUCUUUACGUGAAGAUUUUGUUAAACACCGUGUAAAAAAAUAAUAUGAAUAGUGAAAGCUUAAUAGUAAAAAAAUAAUAUGAAUAGUGCAUUGCGAUCUAUCAAUCGCAAUGCACCGAUGAUUGCAACAAUUAAAAAUCUUGAAAUAUGAUUAUUAUACAAAACGAAAAUGUACAACCACUCAUGAAUUAGAGUUAUUUUUUUUUAGAGAAGAUAAUUCGGGUUUUUAAGAUAGGUUCUUUUUUUAAAAAAAUUAUUAUCCUGAGGAUAUUUGAAUAAUAAUUUUUUAAAUUAAAAAAAUAAAUUUUAAAUAUAUUUUUGUGAGUUUAAAUAACCUCAUUCCCAGCAUAACUACAUGAGCUACGUAGUGCUUAUUUAUUGACAUUAAUAAACUGCAUCAAUUUAUACAAAAUACUGUUUUUCUUCUUCGUUUUUCUUUUUGACAUGUUGUGCUAAUGCUGUUUGUUGGCCUAGAUGGCGAAUAAAAAAUAUGAUAAUAUAUGCUAUCUACAAGCUUAAUUAUGAACGAACAGUUAAUAAUUACCCCAAAGUUCAUAUUUUAUAAUAGGUGUAGAAUCUUUUCACUCUAAUAAGUUUAUCUUCAAUUAUUUAUCACUAGUUUAGUUAAAUAAUGCACGUCAAUGUUGAAUUGACAUCCGCGAAUAUCACCUUUGCACUUUUAAAUCAAAUAAUCAAUGGCCAUCAAAUGAAGCGAAAUAAAUGGUUAAACUAAUUUAUGUUAAAACAAAUUAUUGUUGAAUAGAGUAGUGAUAGAUGAUAUCCCAAAUUUUUGGGUUCCUAAGGAAUAAUCAUUGUCAAAUUAUUAAACCGAACCUUACAUUCAGGAAUGAUAAAGAUUGAAGACCAAUAUCUGCAACAUUAACUCUUGUCAUACAUAAGCAAGAACAAAAAAAAUAAAAAAUCAUUGAAUUAUAUUAAUACAUGAAACAGAAAGGCCAAAAAUUAAACCCAAAUGAAUAUACAGUGAAAGGAAAUCGCAGUUGUAAUGUAACGCAUAUUCACAAAAGCUUUGUUGAUGAAGUCUAGUACUCUAAUGAUACUUUAUAAUGUGGGGGCAGAGCAGUAAAUUUCAAAGAAAUAAUUUUCUCUUUUGAUGUUUUGUCGUUAUUGUUGACUGAGACGAGAAAGAAAUAAUUGCUCGUUUGGAUAUUCUCUAUAUUGUAAAAGAAUUGCUUAUUAGAAUUGCUUAUUAGAAUUGCUUCAAAGCAGUUUUACCAGUUAUAAUUCAUCAGCUCCUACUCUUUGCGUUCAAUUCUCAAUCAAGAAACCCUCUCCUGACUUUCAGCUUUUAACCUCGAACACGCUCUGAUUCUGUUUAUUGUACCCACUGCUAUUGCUAGCUGUUCCCUUAUUUUGCUUUGCUCCCUUCUGCCAUCAGCUCUCUGUAUACUCAUUGGAUCAAGAAGCCCUUUUCAAUUUUCUGAUCUCAACAACACUUUGAUUCUCAUCUAUUACACUGAUUUUUUUUCCUUGUUUUGCUCAAAUACAAUUUCUCUCCCUAAUUUUGUCCCGUUCCCUUUCGCCGCCAUCUGUUUGUUCUUCGCUUCUUCAUUGAUUAACAAUUGUCCAGUCGUUUCACCUGUUCUUUUUCUGUUCCUUUCACUUCAGAUCAAUCCAUCCUCGCACAACCCCCCCCCCCCCCCCCAAAAAAAAAAAAGAAAAAAGAAAAAAGAUUGAAGGUGAUGGAAUGCAUUGUUACUGUCGUUUUAGAGGUUGUAAAAUGCUUGGCUCCUCCAACACAACAACAACUUCGUUAUUUGCGUAGUUCCAAUGCCAACUUUGAGAAUCUCAAGGCUGAAAUCGAGAAUCUUAAGGAUAAAAUUAGGAGCAUUCAGCGCAGAGUCUCAGAGGCUGAAAGAAAAGGAGAAAAGAUUGAAGAGGAGCUUGAGAAAUGGCUGGUUAAUGCGAAUAAGAUCAUUGAGCAUGCAGACAAAUUCAUUGACGACGAGGAGGCAACAAAUAAGCGAUGUCUCAAGGGUCUGUGUCCUAAUCUGAAGACCCGCCAUCAGCUUAGCAAGAAAGCAGAGGCAGAGGUGAAGGCAAUUGUCAAAAUCCGAGAAGAAGCUGGGAGAUUUGACGAUAGAAUUUCCUACCGUACGAUUCCGGAGGAGAUAUGGCUCAAGUCUCACAAAGGCUACGAGGCCUUCGAGUCAAGACUUUCUACCUUGAAGGCCAUACAAAAUGCAUUGAUCGAUGUUAAUGUUAGUGUCGUUGGGGUGUACGGCAUGGGCGGCAUUGGAAAGACGACACUGGUGAAGAAGGUCGCCAGGCAAGCUAUGGAAGAUAAACUCUUUGAUAUGGUGGUCUUUUCAGAGGUUUCGCAAACUCCAGACAUAAAAAAGAUUCAACAGGAAAUUGCCGAGAAGUUGGGCCUGGAGUUGCACGAGGAAGUUGAAUCUGGAAGAGCAAGUAGACUAUUUGAGCUAUUGAGAAAUCACAAGAAGAUCCUUGUCGUUUUAGAUAACAUUUGGAAACACCUUGAUUUGGAGACAGUUGGAAUUCCUUUUGGAGAAGAUCAUAAAGGCUGCAAACUACUGCUGACGGCAAGAGAUCGUAGUGUCCUCUUAAAAAUGGGUUCUAAAGACAACUUUUUGAUAAACAAUUUAAAUGAAGAAGAAGCCUGGAGAUUGUUUAAGAUGAUGGCCGGUGAUGAUGUUGAAAAUCGUGAGUUGAAAUCUACAGCAAUAGACGUCGCCAGGGCAUGUGGAGGUUUGCCCAUUGCCUUGACUACAGUAGCAAAGGCACUGAGAGGCAAGAGUCUGUAUGAAUGGAAGAAUUCCUUGCGAGAACUCCAAACGCCUUCAAUGGUAAACUUCGAAGGGGUAUCUGCAGAGACUUAUUCAAGUAUUGAGCUCAGUUUCAACCAUUUAAAAGGUGAGCAGCUCAAGAAAAUUUUUCUGCUCUGUAGUCUAAUGGAGAGCCAUAUUACUUUGGACUUGUUUAAGUACUCCAUGGGUUUGGGUAUAUUUAAAGGAGUCAAUAAGAUGGAAGAUGCACGAGACAAAUUAUAUGCAUUGGUCCAUGAACUUAGAGACUCUUGUUUGUUGCUUGAGGAUGAUAGCAAUGAACGAUUUUCAAUGCAUGAUGUUGUUUGUGAUGUCGCAAUAUCAAUUGCAUGCCGCCACCAACAUGUGUUUUUGGUGAGAAAUGAUGAGGAUGUGUGGGACUGGCCAGAUGAGGAUGCACUUCGAAAAUGCAAUGCUAUCUCUUUAAUAAAAAAUAGUAAUUGUGAAUUUCCUGAAGGAUUAGAAUGCCCAAACCUUGAACUUUUAUAUAUUUCUCUCAAAGAUUCUUCUCUUGAAAUCAAUAUUCCUGAGAACUUUUUUGUAGGGAUGAAAAAGCUUAGAGUUCUAGAUUUUACUCGAAAGCUGUUUUCUUCAUUUCCAUCUUCAAUUGAUCUUCUAGUAAAUCUUCACACACUAUGUCUGGAUCAAAGUGCGUUGGGGGACAUAGCAAUCAUUGGGAAGUUGAAGAAUCUAGAAGUCCUUAGCUUUUUGAUGUCUGAUAUUAUGCAGUUGCCAGAAGAACUAGGUCAAUUGAAUAAGUUGAGAUUGUUAGAUUUAACCAAUUGUUUCCAUCUAAAAGUUAUUGCGCCCAAUCUCAUAUCAAGCUUAACUCGAUUAGAAGAUCUGUAUAUGGGUAAUUGCUCCAUUGAAUGGGAGGUUGAAAGAGCCAACAGCAAAAGAAGUAAUGCUAGCCUUGACGAAUUGAUGCAUUUACCUCGGCUAACCACUCUAGAAAUUGACGUUAAAAAUGACAGUAUGUUACCAGAAGGUUUUUUGGCCAGAAAGCUCGAAAGGUUCAAAAUAUCUAUUGGAAAUGAGUCAUUCAUGCCUCCCAAGAGUGUUAGACAAGCUUGGUUUAAAAGUCGGCCGCGCUUUUCGAUCCACAGUUAUCGCAAGAGUGUAAGAGCAUUGAAGCUCAAGCUUGAUUUUAUGGACAUUUGCUCCAUGAAAUUGCAGGGCAUCAAUAACGUUGAAUACUUAUGGUUGGACAAGCUGCAAGGCACUGAGAAUGUUCUUUUCAAUUUGGACACGGAGAGCUUUUCACAAUUGAAGCUUCUCUGGGUUCAAAAUAAUCCUGACUUCUUUUGCAUCGCCGAUUCAAGGGCGAUGGUCGCUUGUGAUGCCUAUAGCUUAUUUUUAACUUUGAAAAAUAUGACAAAGCAUCGAUAAAUUAAUACUCAAUAAAUUAAAAACUUUUAUUAUACAAUAAUCUUUGCUAGUCUAGACUAAGGGAUCAAUGUGGUAGAUUAAUAAUUAUAUGAACUGUUUUAGGUAUAGCAUUUCUAAAAGAAUCCUUAGUCUUUCCAUAUAAAAGAACUUACAAAAUAAAUUAGUAAUUUAUUAUUGUGCAAUAAAAUAAUUUCGUUUUUUUCCCUAAUUUCUUUUUUACCUCUAAAAUUAGCAUAUAAAAAAUCAUUUAAUAAAUUUUAUCAAUAAUUCAAUUUUUUUUUUAAAAUAUAAUAUAAAAUAAAUACUAUAAAAUCACUGUGUGUGACCAUAGAUCAUCAAUUGACCUUAUUAGUUAUUUUGAUUGAUGAUGAUAUCUUACCCAACUUGACGGCACUAUCACUAAGUGGAAAAGAUGUGAAGAUGAUUUUGCAGGCCGAUUUCCCACAACACCUUUUUGGCAGUCUUAAACAACUAGAGAUUGUUGGAGAUGACUCAGCUUGUUUUCCAAUCUGGAACGUACUGGAGAGAUUUCACAAUCUCGAAAUACUCAUACCGUUUUUGCAUUCCACGAAGAGGUAUUUUGGAUGGAAGGAUGCUUAGAGAAACAUGUGGGGAAGUUGGCAAUGAUAAAAGAAUUAAAGCUGCACCGGCACUAUCAUCUGAUGCAGCUGUGCAAACAAGACUCCAAACUUGGCCCCAUUUUUCAGUAUCUUGAAAUUCUAAAAGUAUAUAAUUGUCAAAGUCUGUUAAUUCUAUUGCCAUCAUCAUCGGUAUCUUUUGGGAACCUAACAAAACUUGUAGCUUUCGAUUGCAAGAAAUUGAUACACUUAGUAACAUCCUCCACAGCAAAAACUCUGGUGCGACUCGUAACAGUUCAAGUAUAUGGAUGCAGAGCAAUGACAGAGGUGGUAAUAAAUGACAAAGACGGGGUUGAAAAAGAAGAGAUUGUUUUCCGCAAAUUGAAGACGUUGGAUCUGCGUGAUUUAGAUAGCCUCACAAGUUUCUGCUCUGCCAAUUACACCUUCAAAUUCCCAUCUUUGCAAGAUUUGUGGGUGAUUGGUUGUCCCAAGAUGAAGAUUUUCACUACAGGAGAAUCAAUCACGCCUCCAAGAGUAAAUGUCCGGUAUGGAGAGACAGCGGAUCAACGGCGCUGGGCUAAUAAUGAUCUAAACUCAACCAUACAACAAUUACAUGCUGAGAAGGUACGUAUAUACAUGUAUAUACAUCUUUACAAAAUUUGCUUUCUUAAAUACAAUAUAGAUAAGAUAUUUGAUGAAUAAGAAUUUUACUUUCAGCUGUUGGCGGUGCAGUCGGCGAUCUCUACCCAGUACUAAUUUCAUAGGCUUCUUAUGACUUGGGAGUUGUGAAUUUUUAGAAGAAAGCCUCAGCUGGUAAUUAAUUUUUAUUUCAUUUAUUUGAUCUCAUGGCUUGUUUCGCAAUUUCAUCUGAAUUAUUUAGAAUGGGUCAAUCGGCUUACUGUUAAAUUUGGAAUGCAAUUUUAAUGAUUCGUUCAGACUUUUGUGGACAGAUUUUGCAUCAUUGAAUGUCUUCUAGUCUAGUUUAAUUUGAGUAUUUUUUUUCUUUUUUUCUUUUUUUGAGAGUUCCCCUUGUUUUCUAAAAUUUUAUAAUUCCUUGCAUACUUUGUAUGAUAAAAUUUCAUUAAAAGCCUUCAUAUUUUAUAAUUCCUUGAAAACAUCAUUGCUGUUCUGUUAUUUUAGUUUGUUCAUUUAGUUUGGUUUGCUUCACACCUAUCUUUGUUUGGAAACUUUUUUUUAUUUUUUUGAUGAUCUUUCCAAAUGCUCUCCCCUAUGAACACAUAAUUAAGACCAGCUGAAAAUCAUUCAUCGGAUAAAAAAUAAAAAAUAAACAAAAUCUAAUCAGAGCAUUAUGCCUAGAACAAAUCCUUAGACCAUCAAAGCAAAACUCUUCGCUAUGAAAAACUAUAUUGUGGAAAUAUUGUUUGAAAACGUUGGAUACCAAGAAAGGGACUAAUCUGGUCUAGUUUUAUGAGAAGUGCAGAAGAACAGUAUUUUCUCUGUUGUUCCUAUUAAAAUUCUUUACUAUGUGAUUGUAGAAUGUCUGGAUACUGAUGAAGAUUCAGGUAACUCUUCUCCUGUGCAUCAUUUGAAAUAAGUUUUUUUUUUUUUUUUGGUAAUAUCUCCUACUGGGUUAUAGUUCAUACAAAGAGAAAUUCUUAAAUCAAGCCGGAUACUGGUAGAAACAAGUGGGGAAGUAGGCACUGAUAAAAUGGUUAAUCCUGUCCAGACUUAAUCAUUGAAGCAACUCCAAACUGGACUCCAUUUUAAAUAUCUUGACAUUCUAAGACUAUUUUACAAGCAUUUAAGUCUAUUCACAUGAUCAUCUAUAUCUUUUGGGAAUCUAAAAGAACUGUUGGUUUUCCAUUGCAAGGAAUUGUAACAUCCGUCCACUACAGCAGAAAGUCUAGUGCGACUCGUAUCAAUGAAGGUAGCUGGAUGCAGGGCAAUGACAGAGGUGGUAAUAGGUGACGGAGAAGAAGACGGAGCACCAAAUUUAAAUUCAAAACAAGAGAUUGUUUUCAGCAAAUUGAAGACAUCGAGUCUGUGUGAUUUAGAUAGUCUCACAAGUUUCUGCUCUGCCAAUUACGCUUUCAGAUAAAGAUUCUUGAAAUUGUCCUAUUUACAGCUGACAUUUCCACAAGAGUUAGAGAAAUAUAAAAAAUUCAUUAAUCGUUAGUUUUUAAUUUCAUUAUUCAAUGAAAAGUCCUGUCAAAUUAAAUUGCAAAUCUCAAUGUGCAAGUACCUAAAUUUACAAAAUUUACUUUAAAUUAAUGAAUGAAAGAAUUUAUUUUCUGCUGUUGGAGGAGUCGUCAUCUCUCUCGACAUAGUAUACGAUAUGUUUUGAUCCCAUAGGCUUUUUAAUAUAUUACCUUGUGUUGUUUGAUCUCUAGGUUUAUUUGCAAUGCGUCAGUUGGUUUAUUUGUUAAUUUUGGAAUGAAGUUGAUGCAGCUGAUGGUUGCAUAGGAUGAGUAGGAUAUCACUCCUAGAUCAUAACUUGAUCUAACAAUAUUGUGUAGGUCUUUUGUGACUCCAACAAUAAAAAAACUCAAUAUUUUUUUUAUAGAGCAAUAUUUGUUAAAGCAUGAAGAAAGGCAGAAAUAUUGUAAAUCCAUCUCAACUUUUCUGUUUAUUGUGGUCGCUGCUAGCGCUGGCUGUUUUCUUAUUUAACUUUGUUCCCUUUUGCCAUCAGCUCUUUGCAUUUUCAUUGGAUCAAGCGACCCUUUUCUUGCUUCAAUUUCUGAUCUCAAAAGCACUUUGAUUCUCUUCUAUAAUUCUGUUACACUGAUUUUCUCCUUAUUUUGUACAAAUAUCAUUUCUCUUUCCCAUUUAGCCUUGAUUUGCUUCAACUUGACUAUCAAUUGCCAAGUUGACCCUGUUGUAUUUUUAUUUUGUUCACUUCAAAUAGACCCAAAAAAAAAAAGAGAUGUUGAAUAAAGCCUAAAAUCUAAUUUGAUUUUUAAUCUGAUUUAGCUAAGAUGUCCAAUUUAAUAUUAAUAGCAAUGUUAAGGAUUCUAAUAAUUGGGUCCCAACUGAUAUGAUAGUCAUUUAUUAGAUGAUCGAAAUAUUAAUUUUACUAAUUAUGAAAUUCAUUAUCUAAUAAAAAAUGACACAUAACAAUUGGGUCUCAAGUUAGAAUUCAAAUAUUGGAAUUCUUAACAUUAUUUUAAUAUUAAAAAAUUCAUCAAAAUAAUAUAUAUUAUCUAAAAAAAAUAAAAAAUCUAAAACCAUAGAUUUACCCUUCAAUCUUCGUGAUUUGGCUGAUUUCUUUUAAAGCUUUGGUUUCUUUGGAAGUGCAACGAGAAAUAGUAAUAAGAUUAAAAAAGCAAUGAAGUAAAACUUUAAAAUUUUUAUUUUUUUAUAUUUUUAUGGGUCAUUUUACCGGCACUGGCGUUUGAUUUUCUGACUAAGCUACUGUUUAGUUCUAAGUUUUCAAUUACCCGGACUGCUCUGUUUUGUGUAUCAUCGACACAAUAAGGCUUAGCAUUUAAAAGUCGGCAGCCACGCAACUUCUUGGAAUCUUUGUGCAAGUGUUGGAUAUCGACUGUUCGAUAAUGAUGGCAGCAUUUGACUGGAGUGUAAUUGACGCAGUGGAAUAAGGAUCACAUGUCUCAAACUUUUGGUGAAGAUAUUGUCAGAUAUUUUAUUGAUUAAAGGAUCACAAAUAAUGGAUAUUGGAUGAGAAUCACAUGUUUUAUGGGAUUUACUAUGUUGCAACAGUGAUACCAUACCACUGUUUUUGUCAUUAUUCAUUGCGGCCGUUGGAUGGUAACUUAUUUAAUCUAAUGGUUUAAAUUAGUUAAUGGAGAAAUGACGCGGCAACUUACAACCCUUGCAGCCGGUUCUGUAUUGAUCUAAUAGCAUGGAGUAGUAAGCGUGCGUUUCAAAGAUGCUAAGAUACACUAAAUCCCACUAUUUCCAUACUCAUAAUCACAAGCUUACCUCAAAAAAUGAAGGGAGAAUACGAUGAAGAAGAAGAUGGCCAGUGUUUUACGCCGUUCGCCGGCAACCAGUUAGGUUUACGAUGGUGGCUAGUAACACGGAGUCCAGCGAAUAGUAGCAUACCGAACGGCUCUUUACCGUCACGUGGUUAGUAACAUAUGUGACCGCAGUGUGGCCGUCACAUAAAAGGUAUUGGGGUUACAAAGUUAGUGAUAUACGUAAUGGCUGCUUUUGCAUUCACAUUAGGGGUCACAUAUACCCUAUUUUUCUUGUAGUACAUGGUAAAUUCUAUUUGAAAAUUGCUAAGUAUUUUAGAUUUGUACAAAUUCAUUUUUGUGUGCUGGUGCCUGGUUGGAUAAUAAUAUAUAAUAAAUUAAAUUUUUGGUGUAAUUUUCACAAUAUUGUAUUAUAAAUAUGUAUCGUUGAGAGGUUUUGAAAUCGUUUUGAUUGAUCAUAAUUGAUAUUUCCACAGUUGUAAAAGAUGCCAGAGAAAAUUUGAUUAUCUUAAGAAAUGAGUGCAUGAGAUAUGAAAUCAACCAUACCGUAAAAUCAAAUUUUAUCGUGUCAUCCUUCUUGGUUCAAAUUUAUGGAAACAAUAAUCAAAUGCAUCCAUGAACUAGUAUAUUCCAACAUAUGUACCAUCAAAUUUUUGCUAUGUCAUACUUAUGUAUGUGUGUGUGUGUGUGUGUUUGUGUAUAUUGAAAUUUUAAUAACAACAAUUGGGGCAAGCAUAUGUUGGUACUUGAAGAUUUAUAAGCUCCAUUCUUGAAAAAAUAAGGCUUGACUGUUCUCGAUCUAAUUCUUUUUGUUUUAAGUUCUUAAUUAAGCUUUCUUGCUUGUUUUCAAGAGCCAGUUUUGUAAUGAUCGACAAACAUGAUUUGCAUAUAUUGCACUUGGCAUUUAUGUGUCACUUAUUAACUAGAUUUAAAUUUUAUAAAUUAAUUAAGCUGAUUAAUACUUUAUAUGUGCACUAAAUGAUAAAUACUACAUAAAUUGGGACACUAGUAACUACGUAUCCCAACUAUGUAAUAUUUGUUUGUCACAAAACCAAUCAUGGCCUGAUAUUCUAAAUAUUAUUUAGGAUACCAUUUCAAGUCCCAUGAGGGCUCUUUCCGUUAAAAAAAAAAAGUAUGAAAUAGAUGUAGAUUUUUCUUUAGAUAUUAUUACCUUUGGUGGCAAUGGUACGGGAUGAUUUGGGAUUUGACAAUUCCACUCUCAUCUUAAUUAUCAAAUGGAAUGUAAGUAUGGAUAAACUCGUCCUGUUUAUAUACUUGUGAUUAAAAUUAGGACCAAUCUCAAACCGCUCACAAUCAUGUCCCAUCCUAACUAUCCUGAAUGUCUCGAAUGCCUCCCUUUAUUAUCAUUUUAAUUCUCAUUAACAUAUUAGCAAAAUUUCCAUAUAUUAAAAAUAUUAGGGUCUGACUAUCUAUACUUUAAAAAUUACUAUGAACACUCAAUUAUUUUAUACACUCAUCUAAUAAAUUUAAAAAAUUAAGUUUCAUUUUGUACAUUUUUAAAAGUAACAAAAACAUUUUUACAUGAACCUAAUAAGUUUCUUUAAAAAAAAUUAAAUCAAUUAUUUUUAUUUAUUCAAAAUACUAAUAAAACUAUUCAGCAGACCGUGAAAGAAAAUUUUUAAGAAAUUUAGCACAUAAAACGUUGAAAGUUUCAACUAAAUUCUUUAACACAAUUUUAGAAAUUACUUAUUGUUUAUUAAAGAAUGUGUUCACUAAUGUUUUUAAUUUUGUGCAAUCAAAAAAGAAGAAGAAGAAGUUUGGGGUUAAAGAUACAUUUAAUUUUUAGUGUAAAAGUUGUAUCAAUCCUAUAAAAACUAAAAGAUCCAAAAGUUACAAGUUCCAACAUCACCCAAAUAUUACGAUUGUUUUUGGGAAGGUUAAAAGUGAUUUUAAAAAUUAAAAGCUUAUUUUAGUGUUUUAUAAAUUUUUUUUUAGUAAUUACUUUUGGCAAAAUCAUCUCAUCAUACAGUAGAUUUUGAAAAUUAAGAAAGGGAAUAGUUUUUCAAAAUCUAAUUUUGAGAAUCACUUUUAUACUUAAUCCAAUUCUCUCUCUCUCUCUCUCUCUCUCUCUAUAUAUAUAUAUAUAUAUAUAUAUAUAUAUCCUCAUUAUAUAAUAAAAAUCCAAAAUUACCUUUAUUAAUUAAGAAAUAAAAUCAUUAACUUUAAAGAAAUUAUUAUUACCACCAAUUAUAUUGAGAUAACAAAAUAAAUAAUACAAUUUAAUAAUAUACAAUAUUUAUUUUAGUUAUCAAUAAUUAUAUCUACAUAACAAAAAUAUUUUAUAUACAUGUUUGUAAAUGUGUAAAUAAAUUUUAUUUAGCUUUAUAUCCAAUUUAAUCAUUUACAUUCUUGCACCAGUUUAAUAAUAAGAUUUAUGAAACACAUAUGACUGCUUUUUAAACUAAAAGUACUUUUAAAAAUAAAUUUUACUAAAGGUUCACCUAAUUCUCUUCACGAUUGAUCAAUUUCUACAGCAUAGAUAACUGUAAUUAUUUUAAAAGCCAUAGAUUACCAAUAAAAAUGUCUAAAAGUAACAAUAAUAAACCAAAGUAAACGUACAAAAAUUCAUGCAUAAAUUGAUAAUCAACAAAAACAUCCAAAAGUUUUACUCUAAGUUUUCUAUUCAAUUGACAUAACCCUUAAAUUUCAAAAGGCAUAAUCAAUUUUGUGACUAAUCCUAUAAAAUUAGAAAAUUAAAGAAUAUUAUAUACUGAUAAUUAAAUAAUAUACAAUUAAUAAUGUAAAAAAAAAAUCAUGUUAAACAUAUUGUGAACUAAAAUAAUUGGGAGAAUUGGAGUUCCAAGAUAAAUUCCAAUCUAGUCCCAAAUCAACAAUUGGGAUUAAUUUCAAUCUUAAACUCCGAUUACUUUUAAAAUUGGUCCUAAUAAUAUGGACAAAUCCCAUUCUGAUCAGUAUGGAAUCUCAAUCCCAUAACUUUGGGUUUCGAUGGUGUUUAGUUGGAGGGAGGAGAGAGGAAGGAAAUGAAUUCAAAUUCCUUUCACUUUUCUGUUGUUUGGUUUUCACAAAUAUAUGGGAAUUCAAUUUCUAUUGAAAUUUAGUUUUCAUCAAAUUGUGCAUUUUGGAUUCCUCACCGAAGGCUGUAAAAUUCAAAUUCUCCUCCUAUUAGAAAUCAAAUCUUCCAAAAUUGUUCCUCUCAAAUAUUUAUCAAUUAUUUUUAUUCUUAUCAAACAAUUCUUAUUUAUGAUUUUAUUUUUUCAAUUUAAAUCGUCACUAAGGCGUCUAACUAAGGGCCAGUUUGGGAAUACUAUAACUUUUAAAAUAAUUAUUGUUAGUUGUGCUUUAGAAAUAAUCAGCUGUGAAGAAAAUUAAUUAAGUGUUUGGUAAAUUUUGUUUUAAAAAUACUGUGAGUUUUAAAAGCAGUUAUGGACAUUUAGUAAAUUUUACUAUUAAAUUGCUGAGAGAAAACAUAUGACUAAAAUGUAUAUAAUGUAGAUAAGAUUUACUUAUACAUAUAAAAACAUGUACAUAUAAUAUUUUUAAUUGUGUAUUAUAAUAAUUUUUAUUACAAAUAAAAUUUAUAAUAUAUUGAUUUUUUUAUUUUUUUAUCUUGAAACAAUUGAUAAUUAAAUUUGUAAUAUAGUGAAACAAAUUUAAUAAUAAUUCGACCAAUAAACUGAUAUUAAUAUAUUUAUAUAACCAAAUUAACGGGUGAAUUCUAUAAUCGAUUUCUUUUAUUAACAUCUCAUAACUAUGAGAAGUUUUAUAUUUUGAUAAAUGAUCAUACUCAAUUAUGUGCCUUAUUGGAUGAAAGACGGAGAAGGAAUGCCUUACCGGAUUCAAUUCAAUAUACACUUUUUGUUCCCAGGUCUAGCCUUUCGCGGGUACCUCAACAAAAAACUGAAGAGUAAUGGCAACAAGUGAUUGAGUUAAGUAGUUCCUCAUGUAAAAUUAUUGACUCUAGAGAUAUAGUAAUAUGGAGAAGACUAAACUAUUUCGUAUUGAUGAAUUAUAGUAACAAUUUAUUAAAAUAUUGAUUUUGAUUCUAAUUUUAAUAAGGAAGAACACCAAGAACGUUAUCCCUCUAAAUAUGUACUAUAUACAAAAAAUAAUUGUAAAAAAAGGGUAGAAAAAUAAAAGACAACUCAGAAAAUACUAUUUUUUUUAAUUAUAGAAUAUGACAUUGCAACCUAUAAUUACAUGUAAUUAUAUAAAGAUUAAAAAAUCAAUUAAGAAUUUCAAAUUAAAAUAGAUCAAUACAUGUAAUUACAAUCAAUUAAAAAUUGCAAGUAAAACUUUUGAAGUGGAAUACUAAAUUACCCGACUUAAUAAAUUAAACAAUUAAAAUUUAUUCAUCCUUUCAAAUUGUAAAAGUAUUAUUAGUCAAAAGUUUCAAUAAUAAACUAAACUCAAUUCAGCAAAAAGGUAUUUGAGUGCAAUUGUUUCUUUGUUAGGCGCUUUGCCUCUCUUUAAAGAACUAGAUGUUAAUUAUUCUUCUAUCAAAAAAUCCUUAAAAUAAUUAAAUUUUAUUUUCUAACUUGUUCUCUUAGUUUUUUUGAAACUAACAAAUAAAAUCUGAAAAUUCACAUAAAAAUUUUAUGAAAAUAUUGAUAAUUAUUACUAUAUGUUGUUCUGUAAGUACUUUUAAUACUAACAACGAUGUUAUAUUAUAUUGAUAGAUUUUUUUUUCAAUUAGAAGUUUUUAAAAUAAAUUAAAGCAAUAAUAAAAUUUUAGCUCCCUAAUUUUUCAAUCUAUUCAAUAAAUACGUAAUUUAAUCAUUUUAUAAAAUAAGUCACUAAUUGCAAUUGAAAAUAAUAUAAUUGAAUUAGGGACAUAUUUGUAAAUAAAAAAAACUAUUGUUAUAUAAAAUUGAUGAAAACAUAAGGAUAAUUGAGUUAAGGACAUAUUUGAAUAUAAAAUAUUGUUGUACUAAAUCGAUGAAAAUGUAAGGGUAAUUGAGUUAGGGACACAUUUAAAUAUAAAAUAAAAAAUCUAUUGUUAUACCAAAUUGAUAAAAACAUAAAAGUUAUUGAGUUAGGGACGUAUGUGAAAAUAAAAUAUAAACUCUAUUCUUUUACUAAAUUAAUGAAAAUGAAAAAAAGAGGUAUAAACGAUUUUUUCCCACAUGUAGGUCCGCCACUCGUGUUGUAUGAGAAUUGUAAUCCAAAAAUUUUCCCUACAAAACGAUUUUUAAUCGACAGCAAAUUUUCACUACAAAACGAUUUUAAACGAUUUUUGUUUUUUUUCGAUUAAUUUUGAAAUGUUGCAUACAUAACGAGCUGCCAUUGAAAUUAAUGUUAACAACCAAAGUAGAUGCAAAAGGAGAAACAAGCAUCAUGUGCAGUACCCACUGUGAACUACUCACAUUGGAAUAAGUUGUCGGCAGCUGGUCUGUUUGGCCAUUGAUAUUUUGACUAUUCAAUGUUGAUUUUGACCCCACUAAAUUAAGCCAUCAAAAAUUGCUGGGAAGGGAGUAAUAUCUAUUCAUAACUGGAAAUUACUCGCCGUACAAUGAUGAUUGGAGCUGCAUGUAUCAUUUAUUAUUAACAACUAACUUAUGAAAUGCUUUGAAUGUACCUCCUAGGUCGUAUUUACUAUACUGGUUAGGAGAAACUACAAUAUUAAAUUAUUUGAUAAAUACUUAUUAUAAUUUAAAAAAUAUAUUAAUUUUGUCCUCCACUUUAUGAUAAAAAAAUUAUAAUAUAUAUAAAUCAUUCAUUCUAUAAUCUUGAACUUUAUUAAAGUUCCAAAAACUAUUACUCUAUAUGAUAUACUCGGGUGAUGUUAUUACACUAUUAUACAGUACAAAAUAUAUUUGUUUUCUUAAAUUUUAAUAAAGUCUAGGUCUUGGAGAGAAGCGCUUUAUAUAUAUGUAUAUAUAAUGAUUCUCUAGUGACGACAUCCUCAUUUUAACAAAGUGAUGAUAUCACUAACAAACUAAAUAACACACAUUUCAAUACACCAAUUGAUAAAAAAAUCCAGUUUUUAAUGUGUUAAAAUAUAUGUCUUUUGUAUAUUAUUGAUAUUUUCAUUUUAACAAAGUGAAGGUCUCCUCACUAUAGAAGUGCUUUAUAAAUAUUUUCUGUAUUUUUGUAAAAAUUAUUAUUUAAAAGUCAUAUCUUACCAAAGACUAAUAGUUUUUAUUUUAUCACUAUACUGUACUUUUCAAGAUAGAACACCUCAAUACCAUGACCUUAAUUUUGAACUCUCUUGUACAAAGUUGUUGGCGGGUCUAUUUAGUUUAGUCUUUCAACUAUUUGUCGUUUGAACUAAGAUGAUCCGAAUAAAGAUAUAUAUCAAUAAUUUCCUAGUGAAACUUCGGAAAAAUAUAAAAAUCCUCUCAUAUAGUAGCAUUAUUUUAAUUCUCAGCUUGAUUAUGUUUUGAGUUAACUUAUAAAUUAUUUGAAAUAAAAAGAAUAUAAUUUAUUUUUUCCAACGGAAUUUUUUAAAUAAUUUUAUUAGUUUAAUGAGUAAUUAUACACUUACAAAGUUAUGAUAUAAAAUUAUAUCCCUAAAUCCCAAUAAUAUGACACCAAUGAACUACUGCUAUGUGUUUCUUAGUAAUUAACUUUUUAUACUAUUAUUAAUGAGAUAAUUAACUUCAACACCAAUAUAAAAAUUUUAUAUUAAUACAUCCUCUAGCUUUAGACGUUACAGACUCUGUAUGUAACGCAGCAAAUGAGGAGCAUCCACGCGUUGCAGGAGAGAGGAAAAGUUGUUGGAAUUUAGCUGAUACAAGACUAAUUUCCAUUGAGCUGUUACAUACAGAGUCUGUAAGGUAGUUUUAUUAUCAAAUAAUCAUAUGUCAUAAUCGAACCAAGCUACCAGAGCCUACCACUAAAAGAGUGAUUGAAGGGUUUUCCAAGUUUGAAAAUGUUAGUAGCAUUGGCAAAUGGCAACUUCCAGGAAUCUUCCUGCUACAAUCAAGUUGAAUCAACUAUUCAGUGAAAUACGCAAACGGCACAUAGGACCCCGCCACCCGUAAAGUCACAAUCAUUUGUUUAUUUGUCAAUCAAGUUGAAUCAACUUGAAUAAAGCCUAAAAUCUAAUUUUUUAUUUCGUUCACUUCAAAUAGACCCCCCCCCCCCAAAAAAAGAGAUGUUGAAUAAAGCAUAAAAUCUAAUUUGAUUUUUAAUCUGAUUUAGCUAAGAUGUCGAAUUUAAGACUAAGAGCAAUGUUAAGGAUCCCAAUAAUUGAGUCCCAAGUGAUAUGGUAGUCAUUUAUUCUAUGAUCGAAAUAUUAAUUUUACUAAUUAUGAAAUUUAUUAUCUAAUGAAAAAAUCACACAUAUCAAUUGGGUCUCAAGUUAGAUUUCUACUAUUGAAAUUCCUAACAUUUUUCCAAUAUUUAAAAAUUCAUCAAAAUAAUAUCUAUUAUCUAAAAAAAUAAAAUAAAAAUCUAAAACCAUAUAUUUACUUUUCAAUCUUUGGCUGAUUUUUUUUUAAAGUUUUGGUUUCUUUAGAAGUGCAAAGAGAAAUAGUAAUAAGAUUAAAAAAGCAAUGAAGUAAAACUUUAAAAUUUUUAUUUCUUUAUAUUUUCAUCGGUCAUUUUACCGGUACUGGUUUGAUUUUCUGACUAAGCUACUGUUUAGUUCUAAGUCUUGGCAAUUACCCGGACUGCUCUGUUUUGUGUAUCUUCGACACAAUAAGGCUUAGCAUUUAAAAGUCGGCAGCCACGCAACUUCUUGGAAUCUUCGCGCAAGUGUUGGAUAUCGACUGUUCGAUAAUGAUGGCAGCAUUGGACUGGAGUGUAAUUGACGCAGUGGAAUAAGGAUCACAUGUCUCAAACUUCUGGCGAAGAUACUGUCAGAUAUUUUAUUGAUCAAGUAAGGAUCACAAAUAAUUGACGCAGUGUAAUUUGCUUUUUUUGCUACUGAUGUAAGUCUUGCAAUUAUUUUUAAAUAAUGAUAUUAUAAUUAAAAAUCAAGAAAUAUUUAUAAUACUUAAAGACUGAUUCAGAUUAUUAAUUCUUUUAUAUGACUUAAUUAUUAGCUGACAAAUAAUUAAAAAGUCAUGGAACAAUACUUUUAUUCUAAUAUGACACAACUUGUACUUUCAUUCCUAUGCUAAAAUAUAUCUAACUUAUUAAUAGUCAAGAAAUAUAUCUAUUCAACAUAUAUUUGUUAGAAAGAUUAUCUACUAAUUAAUCAUUCAGACAAGAUUACGAGUCUCAACAUAAAGAGUAAUGAUAUAAUCAUAAAUUUUUGUAUAAAUUUAUUUUGUAUAAAUUAAUAUGUCAUAAUAAGAUUGGUUAAAUUAAAUAUCACUUGACUCAUAUAAUUUAUUUUUAUUAUUUUAUAUUUUCAUUCAACUAAUGAAUUAAUGUCAUGUUAAUUUAUACAAAAAUAUUUAUACAAAAAUUUAUAGUUAAUUUAUACUCCAAAUUAAGAUAAAAAUUAAUACAUUGAAAUUCAGAACCCUUUUUUAUUUUUUUUUUCCUUCUGCAGUUUAAAAAGGAGUCGCCCACGAUUAUUGAAAUAAUUUUAUCAGAUUCGCUUGAAAGUAGUUUUACGAGCAAGCGGUUUUUCCCUCUUGAUCCCCGUAUUCGUCAGCUCCUACUCUUUGCCUUCAAUUCUCAGUCAAGAAAACCUCUCCUGAUUUUCGUCUUUUGAUCUCAUACACACUUUGCUUCUGUUCAUCGUGGUCGCUGCUCGUGCUAGCCGUUUUCUUAUUUAGCUUUGUUCCCUUUUGCCAUCAGCUCUUUGCUUUUUCAUUGGAUCAAGCAACCCUUUUCUUGAUUCAAUUUUCUGAUCUCAAAAACACUUUGAUUCUCUUCUGUUACACUGAUUUCCCCCUUGUUUUGUACAAAUAUAAUUUCUUUUUCCAAUUUUGCCUUGUUUUGCUUCUACUUGAUUAUCAAUUGCGCGGUCGUUGACCCUGUUCUAUUUCUAGUUCGUUCCCUUCCCCCCCCCCCCAACCCAAAAAAAAUGGACAUUUUGAAAAGCAUUGUAAACUGCUUGUCUCCUCACGCACAACGCGAAUUUAGUUAUUGGCAUAACUCCGCUGCCAACUUUGAGAAUCUCAAGGCAGAACUCGAUGGGCUCAAGGAUGAAAGAGAAAGCAUUCAGCGCAGAGUUUCUGAGGCUGAAAGAAAAAGUGAAAAGAUUGAAGAGAAGGUUGAGAAAUGGCUGGUUAAUGCGAACAAGAGCAUUGAGCAGGCAGCCAAAUUCAUUCAAGACGAAGAGAAAGCAAAUGAACGAUGUCUCAUGGGGCUGUUUCCUAAUUGGAUUACUCGCUAUCAGCAUGGAAAGAAAGCAGAAACAGAGAAGGAGGCCCUUUUUAAACUCCGAGAAGAAGCUGGGAGAUUUGAUAGAAUUUCCUACCCUACCAUUCCGGAGGAGAUUUGGCUCAAGUCUCACAAAGGCUACGAGGCCUUCGAAUCAAGACUUCCUACUUUGGAGGAUAUAAAAAACGCAUUAAUCAAUGUUAAUGUCAGCAUCAUUGGGGUGUACGGCAUGGGCGGCAUUGGAAAGACGACACUGGUGAAGGAGUUUGCAAGGCGAGCCAUUGAAGACAAGCUUUACGAUAUGGUGGCUUUUUCGGAGGUUACCCAAAGUCCAGACAUAAAAAAGAUCCAAGAGGAAAUUGCGGAAACGUUAGGCCUACAGUUGUCCGAGGAAGCUGAGUCUAGAAGAGCUGGUAGACUAUAUGAAAGAUUGAAGAAUGAGAAGAAGAUCCUUGUGAUUCUGGAUAACAUCUGGAAACCUCUUGAUUUGGGGACUAUUGGAAUUCCUUUUGGAGUUGAGCACAGAGGAUGCAAAUUAUUAUUCACAACAAGAGAUCUUGAUGUGCUGUUAAGGAUGGGAUCUGAAAAAAACUUGUCGAUUGGCAUUUUAAAUGAACAAGAAGCCUGGAGAUUGUUCAAGAUAAUGGCUGGUGAUUAUGUUGAAAAUCGUGAGUUAAAAUCUGCAGCAACAAGUGUAGCCAAGGCAUGCGGAGGUUUGCCUAUUGCCCUAACCACAGUAGCAAAGGCACUGAGAAAAAAAGAGCUGCCUGUGUGGAAGAAUGCCUUGCAAGAGCUCCAAACGCCUUCAGAGGCGAGCGUCGACGAAGGAGUACCAGCAGAGGCAUACUCAACAAUUGAGCUGAGUUACAAGUACUUAAGAGGUGAGCAACUCAAGAAAACUUUUUUACUGUGUAGUCUUAUUACGCCAGCACCAAUUAUGGACUUGUUCAAAUAUAGCAUGGGCUGGGGUGUAUUUAAAAGUGUCCACAAGCUAGAAGAUGCACAUAACAAAUUAGAUGCAUGGGUCCAUCAACUAAGAGACUCUUGUUUGCUGCUUGAGGAUGGUGGCAGUAAAUACUUUUCUAUGCACGACGUUGUUCGCGAUGUUGCCAUUUCAAUUGCAUGUCGUGACAAAAUUGGAUUUGUGGUGAGAAAUGGCCAAAUGCAGAUGAAUUAAAAAAAUAUCUUGCAAUUUCUUUAAAAGAUAGUAUUAUUAAUGACAUUCCUGAAGGGUCCGAAUCUCUACAACUUGAACUUCUACUCAUGUCUCCCAAGAACUCUUUUGCUGUGCCUAAUAUUCCUGAGAACUUCUUCAAAAGGACGAAAAAGCUUCGGGUUUUGGAUUUGACUAGAAUGCGGUUAUUGUCAUUGCCAUCUUCAAUUGGUCUUCUAGUAAAUCUUCAGACACUUUGUCUUAAUCAAACCAUUUUGGGAGGCAUAGACAUAGCCAUUAUUGGAAAGUUGGAAAAUCUAGAAAUCCUCAGCUUCGUGCGGUCUGAUAUGGUGCAAUUGCCCAAAGCACUUGGUCAACUGACUAAGCUAAGGCAGUUAGAUUUAACUGACUGUUUCCGUCUAAAAGUUAUUGCUCCAAAUGUCAUAUCAAGCUUAAUCCGAUUAGAAGAAUUGUAUAUGGGUAAUUGCUCCAUUGAAUGGGAGGUUGAAAGAGCGAACAGCAAAAGAAGUAAUGCUAGCCUUGAUGAAUUGAUGCAUUUACCUCGGCUAACCACUCUAGAAAUUGAUGUUAAAAAUGAGAGUAUGUUACCAGAAGGCUUUUUGGCCAGAAAGCUCGAAAGGUUCAAAAUACAUAUUGGAAAUGGGUUAUUCACACAUCCCAUGCUUUUUAGACAACAGUGGUUUAAAAGUCGGCAGCACUUUUGGAUCAACAGUAAACGCAAGAGUUUAAGAGCAUUGAAGCUCAAGCUUGAUUUUAUGGACAUUUGCUCCAUGAAAUUGCAGGGCAUCAAUAACGUUGAAUACUUAUGGUUGGACAAGCUGCAAGGCAUCGAGAAUGUUCUUUUCAAUUUGGACACGGAGGGCUUUUCACAAUUGAAGCUUCUCUGGGUUCAAAAUAAUCCUGACUUCUUUUGUAUCGUCGAUUCAAGGGAGAUGGUCGCUUGUGAUGCCUUUCCUCUUUUGGAGUCACUUAUCCUUCACAACUUGAUCAACAUGGAGAGGAUAUGUAUUGAUCGGCUCAAAGUAGAGUCUUUCAACGAACUCAAAAACAUAGAAGCAUAUAAUUGUGAUAAAUUGAGUAAUAUCUUUUGGCUCUCUACUACAAAAUGCCUUCCAAGACUUGAGAGAAUUGCAGUUAUUAAUUGCAGCAAGAUGAAAGAGAUUUUUGCAAUUGGGGAAGAAGUUGAUAAUGCAAUUGAGAAGAUAGAGUUUGCUCAAUUAAGAUCUUUGAGUCUGGGGAAUCUUCCAGAGGUUACAAGUUUUUGCCGCGAGGUGGAGACUCCUUCAGCAUCACCAAACAGACAAGUGUCGCAAGAGGAAUCGACGACUAUGUAUAGCUCCAGCGAAAUCACUUUGGAUAUUUCAACUCUGCUUUUCAACGAGAAGGUGCGUAGGCUAACAGAUUUUAUUCUAUCAUGCGUUCUGUUUUGAUGUCAUACGUGGAAAAUAAUUAAAUCAUUUAAAGAAUUGAAAGAAAAUGGAAAAAAGGAUAAAAAGAAUCUCACGCGCUCACUAAUUGAGCUCUUAACAAGUAGUAUGAAUUAGAAUGCAUACUCAGCUGUCAGUUGGAAAUUGAUUCUGACUUGCAUUAAUUUGUAAUCAAAGAAGAAAAUUUCAACAAGUGCUUCCCAUAUGGAUAUUGGAUCUAACGAGAAAUUCUUAUUUUUUUAGGUAGUGUUGCCUAACUUGGAGGCUUUGGAGAUAUCUACAAUUAAUGUCGACAAGAUUUGGCACUACAAUCAUCUUCCGGUCAUGUUUCCUCGCUUUCAAAAUUUAACACGAUUGAUUGUAUACUGCUGUAUCAAAUUAAAAUACAUAUUUUCAGCGUCUAUGAUCGGAAGCCUGAAGCAGCUCCAACACCUAGAAGUAUGCUUAUGUGAGGAUUUACAGGAGAUCAUUUCUGAAAACAGAGCAGAUCAAGUGAUCCCUUAUUUUGUCUUUCCACAGCUCACCACUCUGAGACUCCAAGAUCUACCAAAACUUAGAUGUUUGUACCCUGGAAUGAAUACUUUGGAAUGGCCCGUGCUAGAAAUUCUUUUUGUGUAUGGUUGUGACAAAUUAAAGAUAUUCGCUGCAGAUUUAUCGCAGAAUAAUGAGAAUGAUCAACUUGGUAUUCCUGCACAACAGCCCCUAUUGCCGUUGGAAAAGGUAUGAAGUCAUUUUCUAGAUUUUUUAUCAAUAGCUUAUUUUUAACUUUGAAAAAUAUGACAAAGUAUCGAUAAAUUAAUACUCAAUAAAUUAAAAACUUUUAUUAUACAAUAAUCUUUGCUAGUCUAGACUAAGGGAUCAAUGUCGUAGAUUAAUAAUUAUAUGAACUGUUUUAGGUAUAGCAUUUAUAAAAGAAUCCUUAGUCUUUCCAUAUAGAAGAACUUACAAAAUAAAUUAGUAAUUUAUUAUUGUGCAAUAAAAUAAUUUCGAGCCAGUAUAAAUCAACCUUUUUUCCCUAAUUUCUUUUUUACCUCUAAAAUUAACAUAUAAAAUAAAUUUUAUCAAUAAUUCAAUUUUUUUUAAAAAUAUAAUAUAAAACAAAUACUAUAAAGUCACUGCAUGUGACCGUAGAUCAUCAAUUGACCUCAUUAGUUAUUAUGAUUGAUGAUGAUCAGAUCGUACCCAACUUGAAGAAACUAUCACUAAGUGGAAAAGAUGUGAAGAUGAUUUUGCAGGCCGAUUUUCCACAACACCUUUUUGGCAGUCUUAAACAACUAGAGAUUGUUGGAGAUGACUCAGCUUGUUUUCCAAUCUGGAACGUACUGGAGAGAUUUCACAAUCUUGAAAUGCUCAUACUGCGUUAUUUUUCAUUCAACGAAGAGGAAUUUUCGAAGGAAGGAUGCUUAGAGAAACAUGUGGGGAAGUUGGCAAUGAUAAAAGAAUUACAGCUGCACGGGCACGAUCAUCUUGAGCAGCUGUGCAAACAAGACUCCAAACUUGGCCCCAUUUUUCAGUAUCUUGAAAUUCUAGGAGUAUAUUAUUGUCAAAGUGUGUUAAUUCUAUUGCCAUCAUCAUCGGUAUCUUUUCGGAACCUAACAGAACUUGUAGCUUUCGGUUGCAAGGAAUUGAUACACUUGGUAACAUCCUCCACAGCAAAAACUCUAGUGCAACUCGUCACAGUGAGUAUACAUGGAUGCAGAGCAAUGACAGAGGUGGUAAUAAAUGACAAAGAUGGAGUUGAAAAAGAAGAGAUUGUUUGCUGCAAAUUGAAGAUGUUGGGACUGUUUGAUUUAGAUAGCCUCACAAGUUUCUGCUCUGCCAAUUACACCUUCAAAUUCCCAUCUUUACAAGAUUUGAAUGUGAUUGGUUGUCCCAAGAUGAAGAUUUUCACUACAGGAGAAUCAAUCACGCCUCCAAGAGUAAAUGUCUGGUAUGGAGAGACAGGGGAUCGAUUGCUUUGGACCAAUAAUGAUCUCAACACAACCAUACAACAAUUACAUGCUGAAAAGGUACGGAUAUACAUAGUACUCUCUAUCUCCCAUGGAAACAUUUUACAAAAUUUUUAUUUUAAUAAAAUAUAGAUAAGAUAUUUGUUAUAAAGUAAAAGUUUAAAUUGAUGAAUAAGAAUUUUAUUUUCAGCUGUUGGCGGUGCAGUCGGCGAUCUCUACCCAUUACUAAUUUCAUAGGCUUCUUAUGACUUGGGAGUUGUGAAUUUUUAGAAGAAAGCCUCAGCUGGUAAUUAAUUUUUAUUUCAUUUAUUUGAUCUCAUGGCUUGUUUCGCAAUUUCAUCUGAAUUAUUUAGAAUGGGUCAAUCGGCUUACUGUUAAAUUUGGAAUGCAAUUUUAAUGAUUCGUUCAGACUUUUGUGGACAGAUUUUGCAUCAUUGAAUGUCUUCUAGUCUAGUUUAAUUUGAGUAUUUUUUUCUUUUUUUCUAAAAUUUUAUAAUUCCUUGCAUACUUUGUAUGAUAAAAUUUCAUAAAAAGCCUUCAUAUUUUAUAAUUCCUUGAAAACAUCAUUGUUGUUCUGUUAUUUUAGUUUGUUCAUUUGGUUUGGUUUGCUUCACCCCUAUCUUUCUUUGGAAACUUUUUGUUUUUUUUUUUAUGAUCUUUCCAAAUGCUCUUUCCUAUGAACACAUAAUUAAGAACAGCUGAAAAUCAUUCAUCGGAUAAAAAAUUAAAAAUAAACAAAAUCUAAUCAGAGCAUUAUGCCUAGAACAAAUCCUUAGACCAUCAAAGCCAAACUCUUCGCUAUGAAAAACUAUAUUGUGGAAAUAUUGUUUGAAAACGUUGGACACCAAGAAAGGGACUAAUUUGGUCUAGUUUUAUGAGAAGUAUAGAAGAACGUUGUUUUCUCUGUUUUUCCUGUUAGAACUCUUUACUCUAUGAUUGUAGAAUGUCUGGAUACUGAUGAAGAUUCAGGUAACUCUUCUCCUGUGCAUCAUUUGAAAUAAGUUUUUUUUUUUUUUUUUGGUAAUAUCUCCUACUGGGUUAUAGUUCAUACAAAGAGAAAUUCUUAAAUCAAGCCGGAUACUGGUAGAAACAAGUGGGGAAGUAGGCACUGAUAAAAUGGUUAAUCCUGUCCAGACUUAAUCAUUGAAGCAACUCCAAAUUGGACUCCAUUUUAAAUAUUUUGACAUUCUAAGACUAUUUUACAAGCAUUUAAUGAAUGAAAGUCUAGUGCAGCUCGUAACAAUGAAGGUAGCUGGAUGCAGGGCAAUGACAGAGGUGGUAAUAGGUGACGGAGAAGAAGAUGGAGCACCAAAUUUACUUUAAAUUAAUGAAUGAAAGAAUUUAUUUUCUGCUGUUGGAGGAGUCGUCAUCUCUCUCGACAUAGUAUACGAUAUGUUUUGAUCCCAUAGGCUUUUUAAUAUAUUACCUUGUGUUGUUUGAUCUCUAGGUUUAUUUUAUCGUUUCAUCUUAUUAUUUGCAAUGCGUCAGUUGGUUUAUUUGUUAAUUUUGGAAUGAAGUUGAGCGGGUAUCUAUUCGGCAAGAAAUUCUGUUUAUUUCCUAGUUAUUUUACAAAGUUUAAGAGAUUUUCUUAUUUUUCUUAUUAUUUUCAAUAUUUUUAUAUUUUUUCUCUAAAUAUAAGAUUUUAAGUAUGAUUUAUUUUAUUUUUCUUAUUUCAGUUAGGAGAACGUUAUUAUGUAAUAAUAUUUUAAGUUUGCCUAUUUUGAUAAAUACAUAAUACUUAGAAUUUGUGUAAAAAGGGUCCAAUACCCUAAUUUUGUUAUUCAAACUUCUAUUAAUAAAAUUUCAGACUUUUUAAAAAAAAUUCUCUAUAUUUUCAAUCUCAACAUCUAUGUUUCCCUUUCAUCAUAAGUUUUAAUGUCUGGUUCUGAGCUAGCUUUAUGUGCAUAUUAAACAUCAUUGAAGGUCUUUUGAUCUAAGUUGUGAUCAAAAAAUUAUGCUCGCUUCUGUCUGGUCGUAUGAAAAUUGUGCAAAAUAAUAUUCUUAUAUAAUUUUUAUCCUCCAUUGUUACAAAAUCCCAAGCUUCGAAUUUGUAAACUUUGAAAGCAUGGCAGAAAACUUAGUACUUAAUAAGGCUCUGGAAUAAGACUCUUUAUGGCUUCAAUAUUUUAUUUAACAUGAAAAUUUCUUUCUAACUAGCAUCAUUGCGAAGAUAAAUUGUGGUAGUUCUGACAAGUACUGCACAAUUAAUGUUACCAGCAAUCAAUUGUUGUGAGCACCGACAACCAUUUUCAUAUUUAAGCCUUAAGAACAGUAACUCAAAAUAUGGCAAGUGGCAACCACAUCAAAUAAUCAAAUUGUUGAUAGAUUUAGAGAGCUUUAAUUUGCUUGAUAUAUAUUUGAAUAUUUCAACAGAUGCAUCUUUUCUCUACUCACGGGGCACGUUGAGUUAGAAACGGUUUGAAUGUCAAUAUUACUCCAAGUGCCUCAACCAAAUUCAGAAUGAAAAAAACCAUCUGGUUACCUGCACUUUAGUUUAAGCAGCUGAUUAAGUUAGUUAGCACCAAGUAAUUCACAUACUGGUGAGAAAUUUCAUUAGUAAAUCAUCAUACCGGGGAGGAAACCAGCAUCUUGACGCUUUUGUGACCAAGAAAAUCUGCACAACCCGAUUAAUCAAGUUGUUACCAAACAAAUGAUCAAUUUAAUCAUGCCUUAAUUUUUUCUUUUUUUUUUUUUGUGCCGGGGGGGGGGGGGGGGGGGGGGGGGGGAAUAAAAAUCGUAACUUCAUUUACAUAUAAUUUUACAAAAUCAAUAGGACACUUACGGAGCACCUCCUACAGUCAUAGCAAGUCCAUUGGCAGCUCCUCUUUGAUGCUGUUCCCGUUAUUGUGGCAUAAACCAACAAAUUAAAUUUAAACUUUGACACAUACAAAAUUUGAUAAGGCUGAAAUCAUGGAAAUGUACUAAACAAAUAAAAGAAAAAAAUAUUUACCACUGCUCUGUUUUGAAGAAGGAAUAAUCCAGUUAUUAUAGCCACCUGAUGUUACAAUUCAGGAAAAGUAAAAAAGAAUUACAAGAAUUCUAAUAAAAAAGACAUAAAAUAAUUUUAUACAUACUUGCUGAUGGAUAAUAUAACCUACGUAUAUGGAUCAAUGAUUAGGAUAUCCACUUACAGAUAAAACAUUCUUCAUCACAGAAGCACAGUUUAUCAAUAAGGCAAGGCUGAACCCAGAUAACAUUGCUAUAAAAGUGUAACUUGUCAAAAGCGCCAUCGAUAAAACCUGUACACACAUAGAAAAUUAUGGGACCAAAACCAUGAAGAAAAGUGUUUUAUAAACAAAUAUGUUUGAAACAAACUAUCAAAUGGUCUAAAUGCCACAUGGUGUGUUCAAAAUUUUACCCCUGCAAUGCGUGUUAUGAUUAUUGGCCCAAUGAUCCUCUCGACGUAAGGGUAUAGAGUGAGUUGAAAAAUAAGGAGGCUGAAUCUUGUAGUAAGUUCAAAAUGAGGACAAUCAUCAAGCAUGUGAUGGUGUCAAUGUAGUCAUUAUAAGAGAAGCGAAAGUUAUAUUUUAUAGUCUCACCAAUAAGAAAAUUUGAAGUUAUGGGAGAGUUGCUAUUACAUGUACAAUUCAGCCUGAAAAGAGAGCUAAAGGCUACGUACCGGAAUCCAGCAAGAAGCAAUAGUUACCGCAAAAGCAAAGAGUGACAUACAGAGACAGGGCAGAGAUGAAUUCAGUCAGCUGAAUCAAUUGAAGAGUGAAGUGCCAGCUCAGCUGAAGUUAGUUAGACACGUUUAGAUCAUAUUCAGUUAGUUUCUUCAUUUUCUGUUAAGCUGUAAACAGCUGAGUAUAAAUACAAGCAUCUUGUAAUCAUUGAAGUUUUAAGCAAAAUAAAAUAAAGCAUUUGAUUUCAUAAGUCUUUUACAAUUUUCUCAGCACUUGAAAAUACAUUUUCUCAGUAACCAAACAGUCUAUUCAUUCAAGCUUUUAAGCUUUCAAACAUGGUAUCAGAGCCAUACAGAGCUAGUUCCAGUAAUCAACAGUCAAGCUUUCGUAAUCAAACAACAAACAACACAAAUCAACCUACUCAAAUCAACUUCUCUUUUACUAAUCCUAUCAAGCUAGAUCGAUCAAAUUACUUACUCUGGCGUUCUCAAGUUCUAGCUUCAAUAAGAGGCAAUCGUUUGGAAGAUUUCGUCAUAGGAGACAGAUCAGUACCUGAUAAGUGUCUUCUGUUAACUGAAGCAGAUGGAUCUAUACAACAAAUUGAAAAUCUAGAAUAUCAGAUCUGGAGAUCACAGGAUUAGACACUUCUUGAUUGGCUACUGUCGUCAUUAAGUGAAGGUAUCUUAAGUCUUGUUAUCAAUUCUGAGAGUUCUUUUGAUAUAUGGAAAACUUUGGAAAAGAAAUUUGGAGUUCAAUCUAAAGCUCGACUGCUUCAGCUCAUAUAUGAACUAAACACUAUUAAAAAGGAAGCUCUUAGUGUUGAAGAUUAUUGUAUUAAAAUGAAAGCAAUAGCUGAUAAGCUGGCCAGUGCUGGUAGUUCCAUUACAGAGAAGGAUCUUAUGUUAACUAUUCUUAAUGGAUUAGGACCAGGAUAUCGUGAUAUUGCUACAUUUAUAACUGGUUCACAAAUGGAAUUUGAUGAUGUUUAUGCACUGUUACUCACUCAUGAGACUAGAUUAGAGCAGGAGCAAGGUGACAAAAGUAUGUUUAAUGCAAACUAUGCAUAUACGAAUGCAUAUUAUCCUAGAGCUUAUUUUGCACAGCCUAGAGGAAGUUUUAAACGAGGAGGUUAUUCUGGUGGUAGAACUCCUUUCUUUGGCAGAGGAAAUAUGAAUUACUCUCCAAGAAUGUUUAAUGGAGGUUUUAAAAAUGGAUAUGGCAGAGGAUUUUUUUCCUGGAAACAACUGAUUUCAAUCAUUUUCCAGCUCCUAGGAAUCCAGUACCUAGGAACUCAUCUUUUCUAACUAGAAAUGGAUCUGCUAACAUGAGUGGAUCACAAGGAAGUUUUAAUAAUGCUGGGGAGCUGGUAUGUCAGAUUUGCUUUAAGAGUGGUCAUACUGCUGAUGUCUGUUGGCAUAGAUUUGUUGAAGACUUUGUACCUGUUCCAAGAGGUUUUGGCAGGGGAAAAACACCAAGAGCAGCAUAUUUCUCAAACUUUGAUGGCUCUACUUCUAAUCCAGAUUUUGGCUAUGAAAAUCUUAAUAAUAUGUUUCCAGGUUAUGAUUCUAUGUCUGGCAAUAGUUAUUAUUAUGGAAUGGAUAGAUACACUUCUGGAGCAGCUGGAACAGCCUUUAUGGCUAAUUUUGAAGGAACUGCUGAUGAUGGAUGGUAUCUGGAUAGUGGGGCAACUCACCAUUUAACCAACAACAUGGAGAAUUUGCAGAUCAAUGAAGAGUUUAAAGGUACUGAUCAGCUUAUCAUUGGAAAUGAUCAAGGUUUGUCUAUUACUCAUGUUGGACAUGCAUUUCUGGUGUUAAGAGCUUCUAAAUCCUUAUCUACACAUGCUAGAAUAACACUUAAAGAUAUGUUACUUGUUCCUUCAAUUACCAAAAAUCUAUUAAGUAUUUCCAAACUCACAUCUGAUAAUCCUGUAUAUGUUGAAUUCUGUGGAAAUGUUUGUUUUGUGAAGGACAUGAAAGGUCAAGUUCUUCUGCAGGGUAUUGCUGAAAAAGGCCUUUACAAGCUGCUGCUGAACUCCAAUUCUCUUUCUUCAUCACCUACAUCCUAUCUUUGUAAAUCCCAGCCAAAUAAACCAGUUUCUAUGUUAUCUGCUUUCAAACACUGUGAUAAUGGUACUCGAGCUUGCUAUCAGUCUGUUUUAAAUAAGUGUAAUGCCAAACCUGAUAUAAUAACUUUGUUACAUAGAAAGUUUGGUCAUCCAAGCUCAAUGACAUUGGUGCAUUUGCUUAAAUCAUGUAAACAAUUUAAAGUCUCUUCAAAAGACAUGUUAUCUUCUGCAAAUACUUUAUGUGAAGCAUGUCAGCUAGGCAAAGUCCAUAAGCAACAUUUCUCAAUAACCGAAACAAAAACAAAAGGGGUAUUAGAAUUGAUCCAUACUGAUCUUUGGGGGCCUUCACCCACUAUGUCUAGAGAUGGAUACCAAUACUACAUUAGUUUUGUGGAUGAUUAUACUAGGUACUCUUGGAUCUAUCCUCUUAAGCUCAAAUCACAAGCAUUUGAAGUUUUUAAAUUGUUCAAAACUCAAGUUGAGAAUCAAUUUGAUACCAAAAUUAAGAUGCUACAAUCUGAUCUUGGGGGAGAGUUUAGAGUGUUUACUGAUUUUCUUAAUCAAAAUCGAAUAAUUUUUAGACACUCAUGUCCUUACACCCAUCACCAGAAUGGUCUUGUUGAGAGGAAACACAGGCAUAUAGUUGAGCUAGGCUUAACUCUCAUGGCUCAAGCAAACCUUCCUCUUCAAUUCUGGUGGGAAGCUGUUCAUACAGCAGUGUAUCAUAUUAACAGAUUGCCUACCCCUGUUAUGAAAUUCUUAUCUCCUUAUGAGAAACUUUUCAAACACAAACCAGAUUACACAUUCCUGAAGUGUUUUGGUUGUCUUUGCUAUCCAUACUUGGGAGAUUUUAACAAACAUAAGUUUGAUUUUCACACUUCUAAAUGCAUCUUUAUUGGAUACAAUCCCUCUUACAAAGGAUACAAGUGCUUAGCAAGUUCUGGUAAAGUCUAUGUUCUUAGACAUGUUAUUUUUUAUGAAAACACAUUCCCUUAUCCAAUAAACACUACAUCUCACUCAUCAGAAAACCCCAUAUCUUCUUAAACCUCAGUGUCUAAUUUCUCUCAACAACAUAUCUAUCAUCUUUCUACAAUGGCCUUACCCAACAGCAGCUUUGAAGGUCUUCAGUCAGCAGGCUCAGCAAGAAAUGAACAAAUUCCCUUUGUUCCCACACAUACAAAUAUUCUGAAUCAACAAGAACAUCCAUCACACACAUCUUUAGAGUUAUCAUCCUCAACCUCACCAUCACCAAACACAUUACCACUACAAUCAUCCAUUCUACAACCAGAGGAAAUUUCUAUUCCACAGAACACAGACCAAAUUCAAACCAGAAGUCAUUCUCAACCAUCUUCUCAUCCAAUGAUUACAAGAUCAAAAUCUGGAAUCUUCAAACCAAAGGUUUAUACAGUCACCUUAGCCAACAAAGAACUAAUACAGUUCAAGAAGCUCUUAGCAGUCAGAAUUGGCAUCAGGCCAUGGUAGAUGAGUAUGAAGCUUUGAUAAAGAAUGAGACUUGGUCACUAGUACCAUUUUCAAAUGCAUACAAAGUAGUUGACAACAAAUGGGUGUUUAGACUCAAGCAAAAUACUGAUGGAAGCAUAGCCAAACACAAGGCCAGGUUGGUUGCCAAAGGUUUUCAGCAAAUUGAAGGUGUAGAUUACUUUGAGACUUUUAGCCCAGUUGUAAAAGCUUCAACAGUAAGGAUUGUUUUGAGUUUAGCUGUGAUGCAUAAAUGGAAAAUAAGGCAAGUGGAUGUGAAUAAUGCCUUUUUGAAUGGAGAAUUGACAGAAGAUUUCUAUAUGGAUCAGCUUGAAGGUUUUAUUGAUCAACAAAAACCCAAUCAUAUAUGUAAGCUGAAGAAGGCCUUGUAUGGCUUGAAGCAAGCUCCUAGAGCUUGGUAUGACAAGCUUAAGAAUUGUCUGAUUGCUACUUGGAAAUUUCAGAAUUCAAAGGCUGAUACCUCUCUCUUUUUCAAAGAAGUGCAAGGCUCAAUGACACUUAUCGUAAUCUAUGUUGAUGACAUUCUAAUAACAGGACAUGUUAAUGAUGAGCUGGAAAAAUUCAUCUCAGAAUUCAGUAAGACUUUUGCCUUAAAAGACUUGGGAAUUCUAUCAUAUUUUCUGGGGAUAGAAGUUUCCUAUGUUGAAGACUGCAUCUAUCUAUCUCAGAAGAAAUAUAUCUUGGAUUUGUUAUCCAAAGCUGAUAUGCAGAAUUGUAAAGGCUGUGACACUCCCAUAGUUACUGGAUCAAAGCUUCAGAAAGAGGUCAAAGGCUGUUUGGCUCAAUAUAUUGAGGAUGCAACAAGCUAUAGAAGCUUAGUUGGAGGUUUACAAUAUCUGGUAUUAACCAGACCAGAGAUAACAUUUGUUGUGCAUAAGUUGAGCCAAUAUGUGACAGCUCCAACACUCCAGCAUGUUAUGGCUUGUAAAAGAGUUCUCAGAUACCUUAAGGAAACUAUAGAUUAUGGUUUGAAGUUUUCAGCAGGUGGGGAAAUGAAGAUCACAGGAUUUACAGAUGCAGAUUGGGCAUGUGAUGUUGAUGACAGAAAAUCAAUAGGAGCAUAUUGCAUCUAUUUUGGAAACAAUCUAAUUUUAUGGUCAUCCAAGAAGCAGGCUGUGGUUACACGAUCCAGUGCAAAGAGUGAAUAUCGUGCUCUGGCUUCUGCAAGUGCAGAGAUAACAUGGAUCCAGUCAUUAUUCAGUGAACUUAGCAUUAAGUGUACUUCAUUACCAACUAUCUGGUGUGAUAAUAUAAGUGCAACAGAGUUAGCUAAGAAUCCAGUUUAUCAUUCAAGGACUAAACACAUUGAACUAGACAUGCACUUUAUUAGAGACAAAGUUUUGGCAAAGGAGUUGGAGAUUAACUAUAUUCCCAACGAGGAGCAAAUUGUUGAUGCUUUGACAAAGCCUCUGACAUUCAUUCACUUCAAUUAUUUCAGGGCCAAACUCAAUGUGCAACCAUGCCCUUGAGUUUGAGGGGGGCUGUCAAGGAAGCUCAUAAUGCAUGGAAGGAUGCAGCACACGUGUGAGAUGAAUGCAGUCAGCUGAAUCAAUUGAAGAGUGAAGUGCCAGCUCAGCUGAAGUUAAUUAGACACGUUUAGAUCAUAUUCAGUUAGUUUCUUCAUUUUCUGUUAAGCUGUAAACAACUGAGUAUAAAUACAAGCAUCUUGUAAUCAUUGAAGUUUUAAGCAAAAUAAAAUAAAGCAUUUGAUUUCAGAAGUCUUUUACAAUUUUCUCAGCACUUGAAAAUACAUUUUUUCAGUAACCAAACAAUUUGUUCAUUCAAGCUUUUAAGCUUUCAAACGGGCAGGAAGUAAGGAAACCUGCAUAAAUUUGUUUUUCAGAAUACCAUCAUUUUGAAAGUACUACAGAAAAAGAAAAGGCUAAUGGCAGUAAAAAUUCACUUACUUUCCAAACAUAGAUUCUUUGGAAAAUGCCUUUGGAUAUUUCUCUGCUGGCUAGAUUGCAAAAUUAUCCACGAAUAUAUAUAAGAACAAUAUUUAUCAAGCCAAACUACUAAAAAUUCAAAAAAAAAUGCCCAUAAUAAUCAAGUAAAAAUUGCAGAACCCGGGCCAGAAAGCCACCCACUGCAGGGCCAAUAAUCAAUCCUGUGCCCCAUGCUGUACUGAGCUGAAAUUAUAUUGUACCUAAAAAUGUAACUUUUAGAGUCUCUAGCCACUGAUGAGGACACGUCUUUUGUCUGCUAGCGGAAAGCGCGUGACGGCAUGUUUUUUGUCAGAGCCUAGAGACGAAGAGGGAAGGAAAAAAAAAUAUCAUUAAUUUUUUUUCCUCUCUCGGUGGGCCCCACGUAAGGUGGGGCUUUGGUUUUUGUCGCAUUCUGUGGAGGGUGUAUAUCUAAAUCAACCCCUUGAAUACGGACACGUGUCGAUCUCAGAGAAACUCACGUUUUGUUGUUGGGACCCAUUAAUUCCCGUAAAAGUCCUAUUCUUAAAACAAGUCGAUACGAUGAUCAAUACUCCGCCUGUGGGUCCCGGCGACGACCCCCUACGCUGGGCAGUACAACACUCAAAAAUCGCCACGUGUUAUAUUUUAAAAAGCUUUGGGGGAGCGAAUCGAUAGAUUUUUUCUUUUCGUGACAAAGCACGCGGGGGGGGGGGCCUCCCUGGUGGAUUUGCCCGCCGUUGAUCAAUUUGUUUGAUGAUAAAGAUUCAAGCAAUCAUACACGAACUUGAUUCAAUGGAGCUUCAAAAGAUUGGCAUUGCAGUGAAGUCCUGAGUCUUCUACUCAUCUUUUAACAACCUUUGCAGAAGCACAACAACAGGGACAAAUUCUGCAUAAUCGGGAAAAGAAAAAUCAGAAGACGUCAUAUUGAAAUGCAUUCAUAUUAAUUUGACAAGAAGAGAAUCAAACGCAGACCUCGUUAAAAAUCUUGUAUGCAUACGCAUAUAAGAGAAGUUCAAUAAUUGCGACGCAGGAUCAUUGCCGAAGCAUUAAACAAAUACGAGGCAGAGAAAGAGGAGCUCUGAGGAAGAGCGUGUUAGUGUGGUAAUACAAUAUCCUCGAUGCUUGCUGAAUGGUGGACAGUGGCGUUGGAAUAUCAUCUAAUAAAAGGAGAGAAAGAGGUGGCAACUGGCAAAGUGGGUGAGUGAAAGUUCAAGGCUGAAGCGGUUGGCUAAACUUUGUUAAAAAGAUGCACAUAUUGAUAAUAAUAUACGACCGUACGUUGUCUGUUAACUUGGAACUCUUUAGCAUUUAAGCGAGUCUCUCUCUCUCUCUCUCUCUCUCUCUCUCUACGAUUGGGAAUUGGGAUUUCGGAUCGGGAUCUACCGUAUUCUCCGUCUAUCCUAUGCAUGUCAUCAUACAUCAGUAAGCGUGCGUGCCUCUGCGUCUCCCCCUCUCCUUUUUACACAACUAUUUACCGUUACUAUUUCUUUGUCAAUUCCCUUAUUUCGUGGUACUUGUAAUAAGACGAAAUUAACAAAGGAAGAAAAUGCUAAGGUACUUCAUUAGGCACAUUUCUCAUGCGUACUUGAAAGUAAUCAGAACCGUUGAUCUUUCCCCGAUGGGCCACCCACUGCAGGGCCAGUAAAAUUUUCUCAAGACCUUUGCAAUCAUACACGAACUUUGCAAUCAUACAUUCCUAAAGUUUGGUGUUUAUGGCGCAAUAUUUCACAUGCAUAUGCCUGGUGUAAGAGAAGUUUGAGCACAAAUAUUUGCAAGAAUUAAAUUGGAAUUAUCAACAAAUACCCCAAUCAAUACCUUUAUUGCUCCAAGUAAACCAUUCAAAGCCCCAAGGAGAAACCUUGUAGCUAUGGCCAUCCAGAAAUUCACACUAAGCCCAAAGAGAGUGUUAAAAAUAACCCUGUGAGCAUUUUAAGACAAAUAAGAAACCCAGAAAUUGCCAACGUAUCAUCAAUUUCAAGCUUAAUCAUUUGAAAAUAGAGGUCACUAACAAUGUGAUGCAUCCUAUUAUUAUUACAGGCUUUCGACCGAAGCGGUCAGCUCCCAUUCCCCACAAAAAAGAUGUUAAAGCUCUGCCAAGCAUGUAUGAAGACCCUUCAAUUUCAUCAAGGUAUUAAGAGGUUUGUCAGGAUGGCUUCUUGAGGAAUUUGAAAUGUUACAUACAUAUAUGUUAAUUAUUUGUCAGGAUGGCUUCAAUUUCAUCAAGGUAUAAAGGCGCAAGUCUGCAGUGUAAAACCCUUGUACAGUACCUUUACAGUGUCGUAAAGCCCUCGGUAGAAUGUUUUUACAGAGUUGUAAAGGCGCGAGUCUGCACAUUUGUACCAAAAAAGGACUCCAUACCAUGUGUCAUUUAUUAAACACAAUAAAAUUAUAAAAAUACAUAAAUUAACUCACCCACGUAACCAGCAUAGAAUCCAAUAUCUUCCUCCCUUUUUGCAAUGUGAAAAUCCCUAAUCUGAAAAGAAAUCAUAACAUACUGUUGUGAAAAAGCAAUGAAUUGUUUGAUAGAUAAAACUUGUCUUUUCUUAUAUUUCUAAGAAAAUCAGCAAGCAUGAUAGAAAAAUAUAAAUUUUCUCACUAGUAACUACUCUGGUGAAGGCAACAACAGUCCACUCACCAUAAAAUAAAGAAAGGGAAAGAGAGAUGCGACCGGCAGAACUGAAAAAAAAAAAAUCACCAAAGAAUUAAGGACAAAACUAGAAGAGCACAAUAGGCCAAAAUCAUUGUAAAUGGUUCUCUCAAAAAUCAUUAUAUCGAGUUGAAGUUGAAAAAUUUACCAGUUGCAAGCACAACAAUCUAAAUUAUAAAAAGCUUGCGAAUUGGUAAGCCUCGUUCCGACUCUUUAAGCUUAUCAACCUUACAGCCUGAGCAGUUCUCAUAAUAUUUCUUCUUCAGCAGCGGCUCUCUCACUUUCGCCUCCGCCAUACUUGAAAAAUUUUCAGCUCAAGUAAUCGUCUUAGUCUAUGCAAUCCAAUUUCAAUGCCUAAAUAUAAGUACUAGAAAAUAAGUAACAAAAUCAAUAUGCUUAAGGAUAUAGUAGAACUAUAUAAGUGAUCAUUUAAAGAAUUUUCAAUAGAAUUGUAAAAUCAGUUGAUUUUGCAGCUGGGUCUGUCACCACCAUGGUAAUUAAAAUUAUUGGAUCCCAUGUAAAACAAAAUUUUUUCAUUACAUGCCCUCAUUGCUGACGUCCAAUUAAUCAUUACUCUUGUGAGAAUAAUUUUUGGUGACAAGAACGGCGGCAUCCUAGGACGUGACAAAAUAGUCACAAAAAUCCCUUAUUUUAAAAAAUGAUCAUGAAAAUUUAUCCACGGACACACAAAUUCAGGAUCUAUGUAACUAUUUUUAAAUACAAAAAGAGGUCUAUAUAUAUAUUUGAAAAUAAGGGAUAUUCAUGAUUACCAUGUUAAGCCACGAGAUGUCGUGCUGUUUUUUUAUUUUUCAUUAAAUCGUUGUUACACAAUUCGACAUGUAAAAGUAAUUUUUUUUUUUUGAGAGAUGGUAACAAACAUAGUGACAAAACUAUCAAAGUACCGUCUAAUGAUGAAACUAAUUGUUAAUUAAUUAAUAAAAAUACUAAGGUGACGUUUGUUUUUUAACUUAAUGACUUAAAGUGACUUAACUUAAUUAAUUAAGUUAAUUAGAGGUGUUUGUUUUUAUAACUUAAUGAGACUUUUUAGAUAAUUUUGACUUAAUAAAAUAAGCCAAUUUUUUUAGUUUUUUACUUAAUGGAGAAAUUUGAAUUAAGUCAAUUACUUACUAAUGUCAAAAAUAUCCAUGUUUUAUAAUUUAUUUUUCAUGUCUAUCCCAAAACUCACCCAUAGACAUUUAUCCCACAUAAAAAUAUCCUUGUUUUUUCUUUCUUAUAUUAUAUAUGAUAAAAUUUAAAAUUUAUGGUAUUUUAUAUAUAUAAAUUCCAAAAUAAUUAUGUAUUCACUUGAAUAUAGUUUUACUUAUAAAUGUUAAAAUAUUGUGGUAUUUAAUAUAUUAUUUAUUUGACUUUCAAAUUUAAUAAGGAUACAAAAGUAAAAGUACAUAUUUUCAGUUGAAAAAAACAAACAACUUAAUACUUAUUUUCUGAGAUUCAGACGAAAAAACAAACAUGUUAUUUAGAUUCAGACAUUCAGAUCUAUUCAGAAUUCAGACUAAUUCAGGUCUAUUCAGAUUUCAGACAAAAAAACAAACGCCACCUAAGUGAUUGUAGCAGUUCCGGUCACAGUCACAGUCAAAUACAAUUAGGAUAAUUUAAUUUAAAUAAUGUGUAAUUUAGCGUUAGCCCCAAUUGUUUUGACAUUUUGCAUUGUGCCCCCCAAUCUUCCGACCAUGUCCACCACCCUCAUUUCUUUCAAAUCUAAUGUUAACGGAAAGAGGGGUAGAAUGGUAAUUAACACAAAAUUAAAAUAAUAUAUAUAAUUAAAAAAAAAACCCUUUUUUCCUUCGCCGCCUCUAUAAUUUAAUUUUGGGUUUGAUAUCUUUAGUUUUAAGAUUUUUGAUUAUUGAGUUUCUUUUUAUCGAAUUUUCUUAGUAUGAAUUUAUUUUGUAAUAGAAUUUUACAAUGAAAUUUGCUCUCAGGGAUUUUGGUAUCAUUAGUUUAGGGUUUCUUUCUAUUGGGUUUUAUUUAUUUUGGUGGGAUUAUUGGACUUAUUUUGUAAUGUACUGAUGAAUGUGUGUUUGAUUUUUUUCUUUCACAUUGGAAUCAUGCUUUGCCUCUGAUUUUGUAAUUUACUAGGUUAUAAUCUUGGGUUCGUAAUCCGGAAAAAAAUUGUUUCCAUAUAAUUUUAAAAAUAUUAUAAUAAAUUUUUACUUUUUGAUUUAAAUUUUAUUAGUUGUAAGGGUAUUUUAGUACUUAUAUACCCAAUUCAUUUCAAAACAGGGGGUAGUAUAGUCUUUUAAAUUUAUAACAGCCUAAAUAGUUAGAUUAGUUGAUUUUUUAAUAGAAAUAGGGGGAGGUGCACAUGGUCAAAAGAUGUGGGUGCGCUGUGUGAAAUACUGAACAAUUGGGGGCUGAUACUUAAUUAUCCUUAAAUAAAUUAUUAGUUUAAUGGAAGGAACAAAAUUCAGGAAAAGAGGAAUCAAACUGCAAAAGGAAUUAGGAUACCUGAAAAGAAAGAAUGAAAAUAACUUUUUUUUAAAAUUAUUUAUUUGGACAUUGUGACAAACAAGUGAUGUGCAUUGUUAAUUCUGAUUACCCCAAAAUGUCGAGUCUUUAAAAACGACAACAUUACAUGAUUCAUGAGAAUCCUAUCACUUUGAGAUUAAUUUAAUUAAAAAAAAGUUCCGUUUGCUUAAUACUAAAAUGUCACACUGAUCCAUAGUUGAGCCAAUUAUCUAGUUAAAAGCUACCUCCAUAUUUUUUAUUUUUACCCUAAUGCAUGUUUGAUUCUUUUAAAAUUUUACGUUAUAUAUAUUAAACAAAAAUUAUAAUUUUAAUCAUUGGAAAAUUAAUGACAGACAUCUUUUGAAUAAUUUUUUUUUUUGAAAAAUACAGAGCUAGAGAUAAUGCUAUAAUUGAUUGAAUAAGAAGGCUACAACUUGAUGAUAACCUUAUUGCAAUGUUGCGUGAUCUCAAUAUAUUAUUGGCUUUUGUGUGAGUAAAAGUUGCUGGCUCGUGUUUUACUAAUUUGCCUUUGUAUUUGACUGGCUCGACAAAGAAUCGAUUUACCUCAUACUCAAAUUACAAACAUCAAAACCGGAUCUGUCAUUACGUUAAUUGGCCUCCUAAAAUAAUCAAUCACUUUCUCUUUAGUCUACCAUCCACUCUUUCCAGUCGUUAAUUAUUCUGUACCCAUCAGCUCUUUUAGCUCUUUACGUCGUGAUAGAAACCCUUUUCUUGUUUCCUUCAUCUCAUCUGAAAAACACAAUUGCUUGUCCUAUCGCUGUCUCUUUGUUUUUACUUUCGUUUGGCCUUCUUCGCUUCUACGUUUUUGUCAGGCUUCGAGAUGCUGGAAAUCAUUGUGACUAUCGUCUUGGAACUUGUAAAAUGCUUGGCUCCUCCAACUGCACGCCAACUUGUUUAUUUGCGAAAACGGAACUACAAUGCCAACUUUGAGAAUAUCAAGGCGGAAAUGGAGAAGUUGAAGGUUGAACGUACGAGCAUUCAGCGCAGGGUUUCAGAGGCGAAAGAAAAAGGGAAAGAGAUUGAAGAGAAGGUUGAAAAGUGGCUGGUUAGUGCGAAGUGCGAACGGCAUCAUUGACCGGGCAGCCAAAUUCAUUGAAGAUGAGGAGUCAACGAAUAAGCGCUGUGUGAAGGGCUUGAGUCCUAUUUGGAAGAGUCGCUAUCAGCUUAGCAAGAAAGCAAAGACGGAGGUGAAGGCCAUUAUUGAACUUGGAGAAGAAGUUAAGAAGUUUGAUACUGUUUCCCACCGUACCAUUCGGGAGGAGAUAUGGUUACGAGGCCUUCGAAUCAAGACUUCCUACUUUGCAGUCUAUAAAAAAUGCAUUGACGGAGGCGAAUGUCAGCAUUAUUGGGGUGUACGGCAUAGGCGGCAUUGGAAAGACCACACUGGUGAAGGAGUUUGCUAGGCAAGCCAGGGAAAAGAAGCUGUUGUAUCGGGUGGUUUUAUCAGAGGUUUCAUAAACUCCAGAGAUAAAAAAGAUUCAAGGGGAAAUUGCAGAGAAGUUAGGUCUGGAGUUGUCCGAUGAAGCUGAAUAUAGAAGAGCUAGCAAGCUGUAUGACCGAUUGAAGAGUGAGAAUAAGAUUCUUGUGAUUCUAGAUAAUAUCUGGAAACAUCUUGAAUUGGAGACGGUUGGAAUUCCUUUUGGAAAUAAUCAUAAAGGAUGUAGAUUGUUGCUGACAGCACGAGAUAAUACUGUGCUUUUAAGUAUGGGCUCCAAAGAUAACUUUUUGAUUGGCAAUCUAACUGAACAAGAAGCCUGGAGAUUGUUUAAGAUAAUGAAUGGUGAAGAUGUUGAAAAUUGUAAGUUCAAGUCUACAGCAAUUAAUGUAGUUAAGGCAUGUGGAGGUUUGCCCAUUGCGUUGAGGGCACUGAGAAACAAGAGUCUCCAUGAAUGGAAGAAUGCCUUGCGAGAGCUCCGAACGCCUUCAAUGGUAAACUUCGAAGGUGUGUCUGCAGAGACUUAUUCAAGUAUUGAGCUGAGUUUCAAUUAUUUAAGGGAAAUUAUCAUUUGUAUACCCUUAGUUUACUCCAUUAUCAAAAAUACUACAAUACUUUGAGGGUGUAUCAAUUGUCCACCCUAAGUUGACAAAAUGUAUCAGCUGACCACCAAACCGUUAGUUGCCGUUUAAGUAUGAUGACGUCAGAAGGGUAAUUUGGUCUUUUCAUAUGAUACAAGUGAUAAUUUAAGGGUAUAUAAGUGAUAAAAAGAGAAUUUAAGGGUAUACAAGUGAUAAUUUUCAAGGGUAAGAUUGUCAAUUCACUGUAACUCCGUUAACUUUCAAACGGCAACUAACGGUUUGGUGGUCGGCUGAUACAUUUUGUCAACUAAGGGUGGACGAUUGAUACACCCUCAAAGUGUUGUAAUAUUUUUGAUAAUAGAGCAAAUAUAGGGUAUAUGAAUGAUAAUUUCCCAUUAUUUAAAAGGUGAGCAAGUCAAGAAAAAUUUUCUGCUUUGUCGUCUAGUAGGUAACAGUGUUUGGUUUUCAGACUUAUUUAGAUACUCCAUGGGUUUGGGCAUAUUUCAAGGAGUCAACAUUCCCUUCAUAUUUACCAAAGGUAAGUGAUAAAUCCUACAUAUCCCACUCAAGAAUGCAUAAGUUUCUUCAAUCUCAAGUACCUAAAGUUUUCUUCUACGUUUAUAAAAAUUUCAGCACCAUCUCCCUAUAAUUCUCCAAGCUCACGACAUAGCUAUAUAAGUGUUUAUGUGUUAUGCCAAAACAACACAUGACACCCGUUCACCUAGAACGUACCCAGAGAACACGAGGAGCAGCUACUGAAAAAGCCAUAUUUAUGUGGAAAGAAAACUUCAGCUACUAGCUACCAGAGAGAACUAUGCAUUCCCAAACUGUCCAAGCCUGGACAAUUCAAGAAUUAUUAAUAGACAUAUGAUCCUCACUAUCAUCCAAAGAUGACACUAAUACAACAUGUGUCUAUUAAUAAUUUCUUAAACAAGUCUAAGCUUUCAAUGCACGUAUCAAAAGUUUAAAAUUGAAUCUGAAAUUUGAAUAACACAUAAAUAUCAUAAAUCUCUUCAAUUUAUUCCUGAAACAAUGUAGCAUUAUUUCACACGUCAUUUCUUAAGCAAAACCAUAAAAAAUACAAACGAUAAAUACAUUUUCCCACUGAUGCAGAUUAUGUUUACUGAGUAAUAAGUUUUAUGUCAUUCAUGUUGAAAUACUUCUGCCUAUUCUUUCAACAUAUAACUAGUACGUACACACAAUUAAUAAAUUUAAAAAAAAAAACUGGUGGUGAAUCUUGCAAAAUCUUCCUUUUUUCUUUUUUUUUUCUUUUUCUUCUUUUUUUUGGGGGGGGGGGGUGUGUUGGGGGAACUAUGAAUCUUGCAAAUCCUCAAGAAGCCAUGUUAAGACAAGGCCAGCUUACUAUUAGGGUAUGAAAGAUAAAACCUUUUAUUUCCUUUUCAGAAUAAAAAGGACAUUGACAGUGUUAAAAAAAAUCUAGAGGAUUUCAGGCCUCCAGAUCCUUACAAAUCAAGGAUAUUAAAAAAAAUUACUUAAGAGGAGAAAGGUUAUGCUCAUUUGUAUCUUGUUAGAAGAAAUUGAUCCAAAGCCUCAGUUUUAAUUUGCUUCAUAUAGCCAAUGACUAGGUGUUUAAAAACCAAUGAAUAUUUUUAUAAGAAAUCAACAAUAUUAUUGAAAGAAAAACCAAAUAAAAAUAAUAAAGCCAAUGAAUAGAUCAAGGCUCUUUGUGGUCUAAAACUAAUCAAACUAAGUUGUGGGCAAAGGCGAAUAUGUUUGUUUGGUCAAUAAUAAGCUCAACAAAUCACUAAUAAUCACCUAAUCACUAUUCCUUAUGCUAUGCAAUAUAAUGGCCUGGGUAAUGGCGCCAAGGCAGACAAUAAGUAGCUAGCCAGUUAUGAUAGUUGAUUAACUUAACCUACUGGAAAUCUGAAGACCAAAACGAAGAAGCUUUGUCUAGAACUAGAAUAGGAACGUUCGUACCCAAAACUAAUAUACACAAUUAAGAAACUUGAUUAUAUGUAUAUUUCUGUUGGCCACACUUAAAGAGAAUUUCCAAAAGAUGCUAAGGUACACCAAAUCCCACUAUUUCAUACUCAUAAACACAAAAAACCAUGGUAAAAAUUAAUGACUAUAUCAAAUAAAAUCGGUGAUAGGACGUUGAGAUUAGGACAACUUGAUUUGUAUACCGUAAAAUAACUAUAUCUGCAUGGUGAACUAUAUUUCUGUUAGAACUCUGAAGUUUUCUAUUAAAUUUUUUUCUCUGUUAGGUAAACCACUUAACUGAAGUGCUUAAGCCAAUUUUGACAAUCAUAGACAUAAAAGUAUUAAUAGGCUCAUUCAAGUGAAAUGAGCAUUAUUUCACACAUCCUUUAGGUUUUUAAGUCAUUUAGAAGUCAUUCAUGUUAAAAAAAAAAAAUUCAUAUACUUUCAAUAUAAUUAGAACAUACACAAUUAAUUAAUUAAAUAAAUCUGUUUCAGCUAGUAUAGGAACUUAAUUAAUCAAAGCUAGUAGUUAUAGCUAGGACUUGAACGAGGCACCUUUCAAAGUUCAAGAAGAGCAUCUGAACAUAAUGAAAGCACUUUCUAGAUAUGGUAAUGAUGCUUUACAUCUACAUGCUCUUACACAAUAUGAACUUUCAUUUACUCCAAGCUCUUAUUCUACAAGUCAAUUCAGUUUGUAGAUGCAAGCCAUUGUAAAAACUUUUGUAUUAUAAUUUCUGAAAAUAGAACGUAACAUUAUUAAUAUAGAAUCAGCAAUGUAUAUAACUUAUCAGACAAUAUAACAAGCACUUGGUGAGCAUACAAGAUAAACUAAAAUUUAAUAAUAUGUGGAAUUAAAGAUAAACUAAAAUUUAUGUUUAAACAUAAAUUUAAAGCAAAUCGAAUUGCAAAACAUUAGAAUGGAUGUUGGAAUUAAAGCUAAAUUCAAUAGUAAUUCAAAUGAAUCCAUUUGAACUUUGUAAAUUCCGCAGAACAAAAUUAAUUUGAGUGAGCAAACUCACCAAUGGAACAAGAACACAGGGGCUUCAACUUGUAGGAAUAAAAAAAUAUUGCUGGCGGGACAAAAAUUGACAAUAACGGCUACAAUACGAAUUAAAAAAAAAAUCAAAAUCUAUAAUUACAAGCUAAGUAAGAGAAGAAACUCAUAAUCACAAGCUUACCUCAAAAGAUGAAGGGAGAAUACGAUGAAGAAGAAGAUGCCCGGUGUUUUACGCCGUUCGCCGGCAACCAGUUAGGUUUACGAUGGUGGCUAGUCCAGCGAAUAGUUUUCUAACUGGAAAUAAAUUUAAAUUUCUAAAAUAGUACUAUACCGAACGGCUCUUCACCGUC